GAGAAUGUUCGCUACUGGCUAUGAAUGUUUUCAUGAAGCACCAGAAGACAGCGUUUUAUUUGGUGGGGGUGAAGUUUUAGUACAGGAAUUGCUCGGUUUGAAAUAUUUAGAGGUAUUGGAGUUGACCUUGGGAAGUUAUCAGGCUCUCCAAAUCUUUUUGAGCUCAAAUAAGUUAAAAAGUUGUAUUCGAUCUCUUUUCCUCCAGUUGGCCGGAGAUACAAAGUCGAUUAUUGAUGCUGCGGCUUUCGCAGAUCUAAACCACCUCAAUGAAUUAUAUAUUUAUGAAGGUAUUGAGUUGGAAGAAUUGAAGAUUGAUUAUACAGAGAUAGUACGAAAAAGGCGGGAACCUUUUGUUUUCCGCAGCCUUCACCGUGUUACCAUAUUUAGUUGCGGUAAAUUGAAAGAUGUGACAUUCCUCGUUUUUGCUCCAAACCUCAAGUCUCUUGAGCUAUUGCAAUGCGAUGCUAUGGAAGAAAUAAUCAGCGUCGGAGAAAUUGCUGAGACUCCUGAGAUGAUGGGACACAUAAGCCCUUUUGAAAAUCUCCAAAGUCUUCAUUUAUCGUAUUUACCAAUUUUGAGGAGCAUCUACUGGAAGCCAUUGCCUUUCACUCAUCUCAAAAAAAUGGAGGUACGUAGAUGCGAUCAGCUUAGAAGGCUUCCGCUCGAUUCCAACAGUGCAACAGAGCGUAAUGUUGUUAUUCGUGGAUACACACUCUGGUGGAACCGACUUCAAUGGGAGGAUGAAGCCACUCAAAUUGCUUUUCGUUCCUGUUUCCAACCUCGUUCCUGAGCAGUGGUCGCAAAAUUUGAUUUCUGGUGAGUGCGUUUGUCUUUUAAAAAGAAGAAUUUAAAAGAAAUUUAUUCUUGUCGUUUUCUUCACUGUUUUUAUUUGAUUUCUGGUUAGUUUCUUUCUCUCUCUCUCUCUCUUUGUCUUCUGCAAAUCACAAUUAAAUGUUGAAUUAAUGGAAUUGAUGCUCUGGUUUUUUACUUUUUGUUGUCAAAUUUUGCCCUGUUCUAUCUUCUUAGCGAUUUAAUUUCCUGUCAAAAGACGAGCGAGAAGAACAUAUAUAUGACUUAAACCAAUUGAUACUUUAUUUAUGUGCAUUGUAUGUAAUAAAUAUUAAGUAUACUUUAUUUUUGCCCUGUUCUCUGUUUUUAUUUCAGUCUCUCUCUCUCUUUCCUGUCUUCUGCAAAAUAUAAUCAAUUAUUUUCAAAAUAUCAUUGAUGAUUUUUCUGCUCUAAUGCUAUGUAAAUAGUAUGUUAAGUAAAACAUAAUCAAUUAUUUGUGUUUUAUCUCUAAUUAGAACAUCAAUCAGUUCAGUACCUCACAAAUAAUUCGCAAUAUCUACAAAAUACUAUAAUGGCUACAAAACAAAUCCUGCUUGCAAAUUGUCAAGGAUACCUAUCCGUUCGCUUGACAAGUCAUUUGAAUAAAUAUUGUUCACAUUCCUUACUCUAUCAAUUAUCCAAAGCACCAUCAAUGGUCCUCAACUUUAGUUUGAAUAGUAUACAUGCCAUCACCAUUACCAAGAAUCAAGCAUGGAAGAGUCAUUCUAUAGAGUUAAUCGAAGCAAGGAAUGAUGUAUCAGAAAAUAUUUGGUGGAGAAUUCAGCACAAACAUAUUUUGGAUGAUCAGAAUCAAUAAAACCUGGUGGUUGCGCCAUAUAAACAUCUUCGGAAAGCUGACCUUGAAGAAAGGCGUUAUUGAUAUCCAAUUGACGAAGAGGCCAGCCAUGACUAACAUCAAUACUAAGAACAAGCCGUACUGUGGUGGACUUAACAACUGGACUGAAAGUGUCAUAAUAGUCCACACCAGGCCAUUGAUUGAACCCUUUGGCAACAAGAUGAGCUUUAAACCUGUCAACAGAACCGUUGGAAUGUCUUUUAAUACAAAAAUCCAUUUGCAGCCAACAAUAUUGGAAGGGAUGGGAGGUGGAACAAGCUUCCAUGUCCCGUUACGAACAAGAGCAUCAUACUCUUCUGACAUAGCUGGACGCCAGUGAAGAUUUUUGAUAGCUUGCGUCACAGUUGUAGGUUCACAAUCAGAAGAAGGGCUAAAAUGAGCACGGAGGUUAAGUUUUUGUAACGGCUUGUGAAUCUUAUUUUUAGCUCGGGUAGUCAUAUCAUGAUGACUUGUGGGGCAAUGAUCUAGUGGAGUUUAGGAAGAUGAUUGAACAGGAAGUGAAGAAGUGCUUUGUGUAGAGGUAGAAGUAGGUUGGGAGGAUUGCUGCGGAGAUGUUACCGGUAGAGAAGAAGGAGCAGUACACGGUGGCAACUCCAGAGGGCCCACAAUAGAUGGAGUAGGUGCCGACAAUGGAGUACUAGGAAAUGAAACAGGAAGAAUUGGUGGAACACUUGCGUAAUUAGGAGUGGUAGAUGAGCUUGUAAUGAUUUGUAUGGAAAAACAAACUCUACAAAUUUAACGUGACGUGAAAUAAAAAUUCAACCCGAUUGCAUAUUUAAGAACAUCUCAAAUGAAUUGCUUACUGCUAUCAUCAUCAUUAUUGUCUAUAUAAUAAUGGAUCUUUAUUAUAUAUAUGUUUCCACUAAAAUAUAUUUAAUUAUUCUUUAUUUUUCUAUUGUUGCGUGUAAGAUUUAUUUGAGUUCUAAGUUAUAUCAAUACAAAUGUUAUCUUAUCCAUAAAAAGUUAGAUCCAACAAUUAUGAAAAUUACUAUAGAGUUGCUUUCAAUUAUUUUUUUAAAAUACCAGGAGUAAAUAAUAAUUAGUUCAAAUGGUGGAGACUAAAAUGCGUUCACCUUUAUUUUUUAUCUGUUAUUUACUUUUGUCAUUACAUUAAUGCACAUGCUAUACAUUUGAGACAUUCCAUUAAUUGCCAAUUAUGUAUGUGAGAUAGUAAUUUAAAUUAAAAAAUAAAAGUGAAAGUUAAUCCUAUGCAAUGUGAAUAAAUUUCUUUCCUUUUUCCUUUACUCUUUUUAUUUGACAAUAAAGUUUCCAUCUAUCAUCUAUCAUCUAUGUACACAAAAUUUCUGCAACAAGUACAAAACAUAAAAAUAUAUGAAUAUUAAGGGAAACACGCAGAAGUUCAUCAUUUCAAUGUUCAGUAUUACCAAUUUUGGCAUUAAGCUUGUACGAAUAUAUUCUACUUCGAAAGCAAAAUAUUAGACUCGUGAUUUUAAUUCAUUCAUUAUCUCUCAUUUUAAUCCCAAAAUAUUCAAGAGUAUCCAAGUUACCAUAAGACUUCAGAGGCUCGAGCCUUAGCCAGAGAUGGUUAAUUGAUAGACUAUGUGCCUGGGUCGAGCACUGGAAGCCUGCAAUGCAGACUGAUUGAUUUAUCAGUUUAACGUGUGCCAGGAAUGAAGAACUGGAAUAUCACCGUCAAGCAAGCACCCUGUGGAGCAAUACCAAAGAAUGCACAAUCUGGCUUUGCUAGGUGACCCUGGAGGCUUUUUGAAAAGUGCUUCAUGCUCACUUGCACAGAUUGAGCAUCCCCUCUGGAUAUUGCCCUCUCUGAUCGAGUCUGAGCACUCAAAUUUCGGUCCUCAGAUGGAGCUACAGCUUUCUCUCCAAUAACCAACAAUUUUCUAAACUCAGCACCUAGUGUGAUCAGAGUUGUUGAUAUUUGCAAAUGGAGAUCCCCAUAUUUGCAAAUGGAGACAUUUAACAAAUCACCAACAUGCUUCAUCCGGUCCACGAAAUUCUGCAACUGAUUCAAAUCUGGAACCUGAACCAGAGUCGGAGGUAUAUCUUGAGCCAUAUCUAAAGCAGUUUGAAGUUCAAGACCUUGAGCCCUUGACAAUGGUUUUGAAAUUGGAACAUCUUGGAUUACUGCAGACUUGUACCCCUUGGUUUCAAAGGUAAGGAAAGGCAUUGCUUGAGUACAAUUUGGAGGCAGCUUCUUCACCAAUUUUAUUUGGAGGCAAUUGGCAGCGGAUCCAGCUGCACCAAUUUCAGAGCAACUACUGACACUACUUCGAACAGCACACUGACGAAGUGAUAUGUCUACGGCAAAGGCAAUGCAGUCCUCAUUUUGGCUUGAGAUGCAGUAAUCAUCGAAGAGAGUUUCCUUGUGAAACUGGGCAACACAUUGAAUCCCUUCGCCACUGAGAAGGUUGUGGAGGAAGUAAGCUGUCUCUCUAGUGAGGAAGAGGUGGCAUACCUUCCCCAUUUUGUCUAGGGCAGGUAGGAAUCUUUUUUCUAAGAGAUUUACUUCAUUCUCUGUGAGAAAUGCUUUGAACUUCAUCCCUCUGUCUCUAUCCUCACUUAUCAGGAAAUAAGUUGAAAGCACUAUGAAGAGAGAGAGAGAGAGAGAGAGAAUUAAGAUAUAUAGACAAGAAAAUAAUUAGACGUUGAUCUUACAAACUAAUACUUCAAGCAGUAUCCUAGAAAGCUAAAAACUGCAAGAUGGCUUGAAAUUUGAAAAGAGCACAUGGUUUUCCUCCUUAACUUGAGAAAAUGUUUAAUAUAGUGCACCUUACAGAAGCAUUUAAGCAAUUAGAACUUUGCACAAAAACAUCAAGAAGACUAAACAAAUCAGAUGCAGUGUAUUUGUCCAAGCACAAAUUGCAUUUUGUCCUCAACUUUAAUAUUUAUUGAUGAGAAUCAAUACAGGUCCCUCAUUUGUUAUAGAAAGCUUUCUUGUAGUCUCACCAGUUAAUUCACAGGUCUAUAAUCAUCUUGCAAAGUUAAGGGCAUUUCUUUCGAUCUAAAGUCUUUGCAUCACCACCUCAUCACACGCCAAGCCAAUAUUCCAUUUACCUCUACAACAAAAAGUUUUUAAGUAAAUAAUCCUAAUGCACGCAGCCGAAUAAAAUGCAGUAAGAAUAUUCAACUUAAAAAUCUGAAAGCCAACUUGGUGAAUUGCCUCCUUAGGUGAAGUUCCAUGCUUUACUAUAGUUGACAGAACUCAGCAAAAGCUUCCAUACAACAGAUUUUGAAAAUGAUGAUGCCAAUAGAUACUCAUUCAAUCCAUUGAAACUCCAAAGGUUCAUUGUUCAUAGAAGUUUACAGAGUUUUGGUCAUCAAAUAGCUCAGACCUAAUCCCAAACAAAAAACGAGUGAAAAUUAGAUCACGAGCAGCUAAUUGUAAAUUCUAACUUAACUCUUCAUCUCCUUUGUAAACAAGAAACAAAAUGGAGACACGCAAAAUGAAUAUGGAGAAAAUUUGAACUCAAAUGAAAUGAGGGCACGAAAGCAAACAAAUGGCAUGCACAAAAAAACCAAGCCUCGAUAAAAAACUAAUUAACCAUUAAGAAAAAAAUUGGUCAGAGAAUGAACUCCAAAUUCAGGAGUCAAGCAAGAAGCUUUCAUUAUUUCAGAAGCUCCUGUACAAAUUAAUAAGUUAUGCUCUUUGGAAGCAAACCUAAAUUCCAAGAGAAACAGAACCCAAAAAAUUUGCAAUUAUACGCAAAGGAAGUGAAGCACAGGAUUCUAUCACACAUAGGAAUUGUAUAACAAGAGAUCGAUAUAUCGAAUUAGAAAACUCAAUUCGAAUUUGUGUCAAAAAUCAAAAUUAGAAGAUUUCACAUUUCGAGAGGAACAAGCAACAGAUGAAGUUCAAAAUUUCAGCCAUAACAUGCUAAAAAUGCUACACUUAACGGUUCAUUUUCAUGGAUUUUCUCGGGAAACAAACAGAAAAUUACGGUUUAGAGAGUUGACUGACCUUUUGGCUUUUGAAAUUGACCAGAUCGCGCGCCAAAUUGGAAGAGGGAAAGUGAAAGCGCGAGUUUUAAUAUGGGUAUUAGAUAAGGAAAUUUUAUUAGGUUGCGAGGGUAAAAAAGGAAAGAGAUAUCAUUAUUUUAUUAUCGAUAAUUAUUAAAUUUUUUUCCAAAAAAAAGAACAAGCAAGGAUUUUUUAUUGUCAUCACUAAGUUAAAAAAAAUUGUUUCAAAAUUACUUGAGUCAUAUCCAAUGGACCAACAAAGUAAUCGUUUUUAUUUUUAUUGAUUUUUGCAGGAAAUUAAUAACUUAAAAAUACUGAAAGCUACUGUAAAAAUUUUUAUUAUCAACCUCAUAAUUUUUUUUUUUUGGGGAAGAGAAUUCAAACUUUUUUUUUAUGAAUAUCGCUGUUUCGUUUGAGUUGGAUGUGAAUUCAAAUCCAAAUAUUCUUUGUUUUUCAAUUUUGAACUCAAUUUCUUUUUCUCAAGAAUGUUAUGCAGAAAUAAUUUUUACUAAAUCUUUUUUGAUGAAUUGUUUAAAUUAAACAAUUGGAAUAAGAAUUGUAACGAUUUAUCAUAAGCGUGCUAAUAUGAUAACUUGUUUUACGAAGGAUUAAUUAAUCAAUUAAUAUUAAAUUAUAUAUUAGUCAAUUAGAUAUGUGUUACAUUUAUCAUGUUUUGUAGGUGAUAGUACAUCAUUUCUAAAAGAAUAUAGUACGUUAAAAUAUUAUUUUAAUGAAGAAAAUUUUAUUAUUUUAUUAUUAGGUGACACAAUAAUAAAUGGAUUUCUGUAAGAAUUGAGAUUCUUGAUAUAAUUAUUACAUAAGGAGAAGUUUAGUUGGUUCAAUUUUGACGUGAUAAGAAGACAACACAGCACAGAAAACCCAAAUUGCCACUUCCACUAAUAAAAGAUACCUGUUUGAAAAGUAAUUAUAAACUAUCUUCUUUGUGUUAUUUCUCAAAACUUUUGUGGCACAAAUGUUAUUUCCAUUGACAACAGUACGAAAUACCACCCCUUUCACUUGAGCAGGAGCAAAGCAAAGGUAUGAUGAGCUAUCUCUGUAUAAUUGAAACGCCAUUACUAAACGAUUCUUGAUGAUGGGAGCCACCGUGCCAGCUUUGUCGCUGAUUUGCAUGAUUUAUUAGUUGUCCAGAUGGCGGAUUUUGUACUGUUACCUUCGUUUCAUUCUUCAGAGCCAUGUACUGUUCUAGGAUACCAGAGAAACCAAGGUGGCAUUGAAGUUGCCCUGGUGGUUAGUUUUCCGAUCAUUUUUUUAUUCAAUUAUUUAUGUUUUUAGAAAAAUGUAGGAAAUAUGUAGAAAUGUUGACAGCUAUGAUUUUGAAACUUUUGCCUAAAAUUGUUAUCAUUACUUGUUGUUUCUUAUUUAAAGAGAAAUUCUAGAAACAUGAAAUGAUUAUUCUACGCUUGUUUUAAUAUUGUGCUAUGAAGAUUACGAAGGUUUGAUUAUAUGUCACUAUCAAUUGCCUUAAUCGUUUGUCGUAAAUCAAUUAAGCAUUUUGAUGCGAAUGAUUCCCUAUUAAAAAAUUCAAGUCAGAGCUGAAUUGCAAAGUAGUUAGUCGUGCUUGCAAUUCAAAUUAAGUAUUGUAUUUUCUCCCUGAUUUGGUUGAUUCAACUAUGUGCAUUUGCUUAUGAACGUUGCAGUAUAGAAAUCGAAAUAUCUUGUCUUUUGCUAAGCCCAGAAGCAAAUUCUUUGUAUUCUACUCAUCAGUUUUCUUCAUUCUCUUUGUUGAAAUUUUAUCUAAACAGCGGUUUCUUCGAAUUUAUGCCUUCGCUUACUCUUUUAAAUUUUAUCCAAACAACGGUUUUGAAAUUGUUUUCACUACAAUACCUUAGUCUUUCAGAUGCUCCCGUCACUGAGUUGCCAGAAGAGCUAAAAGCCUUGGUAAAUCUUAAGUGUUUGAACCGGAGUACACAAAUUAUCUCUCUACAUUUCCAAAGCAAUUGAUUUGUUACUUUUCGAUGCUACAUGUUCCGCGAAUAUUCAGUUGUGGUUAUCUUGUUCAGAUACCAGAAAAUAGCGUUAUAUUUAGUGGUAAUGAAUUCUUGGUUUGGGAGUUGCUUAGUUUAAAACGUUUAAAUGUAUUAAGCAUCAUCUUGAAAAGUUUUUCUGCUGUCCAAAAACUUAUGAGCUUCCAAAAGUUUCAAAGCUGUACACAAUGCAUGGAGCUUGUAGACUGUGAUGAUCCAAAGUCAUUUGCCGUGGCAGAGUUGAAGCAUCUUGAAAAACUAGGUUUUUCAAGUUGUGGAAAUUUGGAAGAGUUAAAGUUCUGCUGUGUCGAAGUUGCAAAGGCUCGAGAAUGUUUUCGUUUGAACAGCCCUCACUGAGUUAAGAUGAAGGCUUGUCAUAAAUUGUGGGAAGCGACAGGUUAUUCAAAUAGAAAAAUUUAUGGAGAUGGAUGUUAAUCUUAAGGUUAUUCAAUUAGAAAAAUUUGAAUAAAAUUUAUGGUAAGUGCUUUUCCAUUUAUUGCAUAUUUAUAUCUAAUUUUUAUUUUCCUUUAUUGUUAAAUUUUGGUCUCUAUUUGUUGUUGUAUGGUGGCAUUCUUGUACAAUUAUUAGCUUUUCAUUUCUCUUCUCACAUUAACUGCCCUUCUGAUCAUGUAGGAUUUGCUGAUGCAAAGAGUCAUAAUUUGGGAUACAAAUGUAAGAAUUAGACAGAUGACAUGUUGUUUUGAAGCUCUCAAAGAAGGACUAAUUAUGUCAUUGAAAGCCUCCAAUUUUGUGAUUGGUUUCUUUUUAUUUUAUUUGUUGUUUUCUCUAUUUUCAGAUCACUUAAUUGUUAGUUGUUGUAAUGUAAUGUUUUAGUAUAGCAAAUUAUAUUCGGCCAAGACAGUGAUAGGAGGGCACAUUGUGCAUGCACACUAGUGGAUUUGGCAUGCCAAAUCCAAUUAGGAUGGAUAACACUUUAUAAGCAUUAGGCUUCUCUCAUACCUGAGUAAUAUAGAAUAUGUUUAUAAGUUGUGAAUCACCCUUUACAAGUGUUAGGCUUCUGCUAUACUCAGUGAUGUGAAAUAUAUUUAUAAGCACUAAACUUCUCCCAUACACUUUAUGUUAAUAAUAAUAAUAAUAAUAAUAAUAAUAAUAAUAAAAUAAUAAUAAAUAAACCCAUUUUAACAGACUCUUUUUUCUUUUUCUAUAUGAACAAAUGCAUUCUUCAAAGCAACUGUGGGGAGAAGAAGUGAGUAGAGAAGAACUGAGCCCCUGUCAUUCCCCUAAAACCUCACCAAAACCUCUCUUGUAAGCUUCUCGGAUUUUCUUUCUAUAUUUCUUAGGAACUCAUUUUUUAUUGAAUCACUUAUUUUGCAUGCUGCAUUUUUUGGUUGUCGUAUUUGUGUAUUAUCUUAUCUGGAAUGCUGUUAUGAUUGAUGGAACAAGUAAUCGAUUUUUGGUCUAAUGGAAGUUGAUUUAUUUAUUUAUUGUUGUUUUUAUUUGAAAUUAUGUACAAUUGUAUUUCAUUCAUUUCUCUCUCUUUUGCUUUUUUCCCCCCAUAUAUUUGUUAUGUAUAAUUGCGUUUCAUUUAAUAUUGAUCAUACUGUAGGUAACCAUGUGAUUGUAGAUGGGGAUUUCGAGUUUGUUGAAUAUUCAUGUAAGUGAAGUAACCGUCACAAUACUAGUGAAAUUGGGAGCUUUAUUCAUGAGUUUGUGGUUUUGAAAAGUACCACAGUUCAACUGGUGAAGGCUCCGUUUUGGGAUUCUUCUUUUUCUAGGCUGCAAUUAGGAUAUGUACAUGAUAGACAAUCUUUUGUUGGUUUAGCAUAUCUUCGCUGAUUUUGUCUUUUAUUCCCCAAUUUUAUAAUUACACACCAUGAAUGUUGGGUGAUUGUAUAGAAAAUUUGUGUUAUAACAAAAACAUUGUGAAGGAGUUUCCGUGCUAAUAGUUAGUGGCUUCUGUUUUAUUGGCAUUGAUUGGGUAGAUUACGUGUUACAGUGAUUCAAUUUGUGUUCCAAACUUUGCUUUAAUUUUCUGUUUUCCCCAACUAUUUAUGUCAAAUUUAAAUCCAGAAGCAUGUGCUGAUUUUUUCUUUUUGUAUUAAUCUGUGAAGUUUAUUUGGAAUGGAAGUAACUGGGUCGGGUCUAAUGGAUUAAAUUAUGACAUUGAGGGGAAGGCACUAAAAGGGUUUGCUUGACACAUUUGGUUCUGUGUUUACUCUGCAAGAAAUAACUUUUGCUUAUUGCAAUGCAGGGGGAAAUCCCGAUUUGGCUGGUGAAUUUCUCUGCAACAAACAGGCAAACACCUCAACAUCUUCUGUCCAUACUUCUGCUGGGGAGGCAAGGGGUAAAGAGUCUUCAAAAUCAUCAAAUAGUUACAUCUCUGAGAAUUCAUUUUAUGGAAAUGGAAAAUCUAGAGUUUCUAAUACAAAAUGGCAUCUGGUAUCAGGACGUACCGUUUCAAGUUUUCUUGGUAAAGAUUAUGUUAAACCUGCACAGCCAGCUAAUGGCACUUUUCUGGCAUCAAAGCCAUUGAAGUUGGAUCCAAGGGAGUUUCGCAUUUCUGCACUUUCAGAGAAGAAACUAAACCGACAAUCAAAGGAUGACCAUUUGCAGAAGGAUAUGGAAGAUUUUCUUUUUAAAUUGCUAGGAGAAGGGUUCCAGCUGUACAGGGAUGUGAUUCAGGAGGUUCAUGGUAACGUCUUAAAUAUAUUGAUGCCAAUUUAAUACAUAUUGUCCUUUUCAAUGUUCUUUCUUUCUUUCUCCUCUUUUUAUUAUUCUUCUUCUUCUUUUUUCUUUUCAUGUGCAUGUGAUCACUAAUUUGGUAUUAUUCUUGACUUGCAGAUAGUUGUGGAUAUGAAAUGCAAAAGGUAAGGGCUAUAUCUUCUUGAUGGAGGCCUCUGAUUUUUUAAAUCGCAUUUUCCUUUGUGAUUGAUAUAUCAUACCAAAGUCAAGUCUUAAAUACUGCUGUCAUAUGUUAAGGUUCAACUUCCAUUUUGAUUAACGUCGAUUUGCUACUGCUUCCAAAAGUGAGAAUGAGAUACUUUGGUUAAUUUCAGUAGUUGAACUCAAUGGAGUACUUUAUUUAGAUCUUCAUGGUUCAAAGGCCUGAAAAAACUUGCCGGUAUUUGCAAAAUGACAUCUGUGCUUUUAUUUAGACUUAUUAUUAAAGACAACAUUUUAUUUCAGCCAAAAAUGUUUGUUUCAAUUAAAGACUUGAACCAUUUUCAUUUAACCUGAUUGUGAUGCUUUACAUUAUGCAUGUUCCUCUCAAUCAAUAAAAGUUGAGGUCAUGAUUUUAUAUUUCUAUUUUGUAACUUGAAAUAAUUGGUCUGCCUGUUUCUGUUGCUUGAUAACAUGAAUUUUUCCUUCUGAAGUUAAUUUGAUCAAUAAAGUAAUUCUUCGGAGAGGAUAUGCCCAUUCUAUAGUCAUUUUCUUAGCUAACAUGUUUUUUCUUCACUCUUCAAAGCAUGUCUAAACUAAUUGAUCGCUCAGCGGAGACUUUGGGUGAGAAGACAAAAUUUCUUGGUAAAUCCUCUGAAAAGGUAUGCAUAAUUCCCGAGUAUUAAAUAAUCAUUGGUCAUAAUUUUUGUACACGACUCUUGUUUUGGAGAUCGUUAAAAGUGGUUGAUGAUCUAUUUUGUAAUAUCAUAGAGGGAUCAUGAAUUCCUUUUCUUUUCUGUGGCUAGGCAACACUUUCGAGCCAAGCUAAGGAAAUCUAUUUUAGGUAAUGUGAAAACUAGUUGUAGGAUGUAAUAGUUUAUUAUGCCCUGACAAUAACUUUUUGUAUAAUUGUCAGUUUAAUGAAUACAAGAGGAACUCUGUUGGCAAGUUCAUCCAUGAUAGAUGCUAAAAUUAUUUAUGCAUACCAGUUGCCUUAACUAAUUUUUCUCAACACUGGUAUUGAACAGGAAAAUGAAUAUGCAAUUUGUAUAUUGUGCCAUUGUGGAGAAUUUGGAUAUUCUUAUUUAAGUAACAAGGAGAGUAUUUGCCUCAUCUUUAAACAAUGAAUCUUUGAGAAAUGAGGAGUGGGUGAUUGACAGUGUCUUCAUGUAAAUGUUCAUUUAUUUGUAUUUUGAACUAUUAUGAGAAUCUUUGUAUGCCAAAUUAGUAAUACAAAUGUUCAGAUGAUUUUUCCUGUUGAUCAUGCGUGUGUAUCUGCACACAACCAUUGUGUACCACUUUAUUCUGAUGCACAAAUAUCUGUAGUUUAGAAGAAAAGAAAUAAUAAUCAUAUAUUAUUGCUUGGUUCAUGAUUAUUAAAUGAUUAUGGCUUUAGAAAAUCCACAAAUCCUUUGUGUUCAUAUAUGAAUGUGCGAAGUUCGCUAUAUCUUAGAUUACCUUCUUCCAAGAUAACAAGUUCAUAUAUUUUUUUUAAUCCUUUUUCAUCACAGUUGAAUUUCAAGUGUAAGUUUUGUUAUUAAUAGCUGGUUUCCUGUUAUUAUGAUUUCAUAAACAAUGAGAGGAUAUGUGCUCUACUUUUGGAUGGCCUCCACAUAAAAGAAAAUUGCAACAAUUGAAUUCUUCUGGAGGGUAUGGUAUUUAAUUUAUUUUCUCAGCUUGUUGUAAGACUAAUAUAUUUCCUUCAGUACGCACGGCAUGGUGGGAAGGGUUUUUAUUGAAAGAAUUAUGAUAUUUCUUAGACUUUGUUUUGGAAGGGGGUGGAGGGAUUUCUCAUCCAUGUAUGGUUACUUGAUUAGCUUUUGACUGUACUGUCUCCGUCGUGCAAAGGAAAAUCCAAAUACUAACGAAGGGGAAUUGCUUAGGCACCCAAAGGACAGAAAUGAAUUACGGAAGGAGGUUUUUGCUGCUUUAUUUAGUGCUGCUGAGAAAUCUGAUGAAUUUCCUGAAAUUACGGUGAAGACGGAGUGGAGGUCCAACGCAUUAGGAAAGGUGGUGAGUGAACCGCCAGAGGAAUUAGUACCAGAAUACAAGGCUAAUGUGGUGCACUGGCAGCAAGAUGACCAGACCUGUAUGUGCUCUUAUAUUAACUAUAUUGGCUGGAUUUGUGAGUGUGUUCAUUUUUGUGUGUAUACUCACUUUUGUAUUUAUGCAUAUUCACGUGUGUAGGAUUCUCGAUUUCUGCCACUUACUGGAGAACUAGUGGAAAGCUUUAUACUGAUAUAUGUGCUAUAUAACUAAUGGAAACUACAAUAUGAAUAUUUUCUCUCACCUGGAGAGCAGUGUAACUAAUAUAAUUUGUGGCUCUGGAAUACUGAAGAUUCUGCAAUAACUAAUGGAAAAUAUGAUAUGAAUAUUUUUUCUCACCUGGAGAACUUUGUAACAGAUACAUUUUGUGCUGGAAUGUCUAAAGAAUGCUUCAGUUUAUAUCAAAUAUCUUUUAGUUAGAAAAGAUAAAAUUCUCUGAAUCUGAAAGACUGAAACAUUUUGCAUAUUUCGUGAAAGGCAAGUAUCUGUAGAUACUAGCUCAUGCAUUGAGGUAAUAUCAAUGUUAAAGAAAAACAGCAAUAAUUUAUUAUACAGAAUUAGGUUCACUUGCUUUAAAUGCUGGUCUGAUCAACCAUAUCAACCUGUAAUGGUCCUGCAGAAAUAUAUAUACGGGGAGAAACUAGCUAAUUUUCCUUUCACUUAUGGGUUUGGUCUUUUUUUCCCCAAUUUUUCAGCUUUCCUUCUCCUGAAGUAUGUUAAUAAUUGCAGAUAAUGGCGAAGAGGACUGCUUCCAGGCUACCGGCAAAAACUUUGUGAAAGCUUUGGAGUUAAACAGGGAAUUCACUUACUGCUAAGGACAAUUGGUGGCGAGCUAUUUCAUUCAUUUUAUGUCCAUACAUCUAUUUAAUUAUUAAAGAUAAUGUACGCAUUUGUAAAUUUCAGAUUGUGUGUCUCUGAAAAUAACAAUAUUUAAAAUGUCUCUUAAAUUAUUAUAAAUUUUAAUUUACUCUCGAUUUAAAAUGGAACAUGUUGGUGAAAUAUUUUUUCUUCUUAAUAAAAUUGAAAUAAAUUAUGUUAGCAGUAGUUUGAAAUAUUUUAAAGAUGAUUAUUUUAUAAGGGAGUAAUAUGAAAUGAAAUUUACUUUUCAUGCGUGAAAUGUUGAAAAAGGACAAAGCAAGUGUCCCUGCUUUUAUUUUAUUUCAAAGUGGAGUCAUCUCACAUACUUUAGCUCUAUCAUUAGGAGCCGGCUAAGUUACGUUAAACGUAAUUUACGCCAGGCACAGCAAUAAUGACAAGUCCCAUGACUAGUAUUGUUGCUGUGUCUGACGUAAGUUACGUUUAACGUAACUUAGCCAAAGCCCUAUCAUUAAUAUAUAUUUAAAUUUAACACAUGCAUGUGGGUUACUUUUCCGUAAGUUCCUUAAUAUAUAUUUAACACAAAUCAUGGAAGAGAUGGGAGUAUAUCAAGAUGAUCAAAGCAUGAAACAAAAAUAUUUAAGAAGUAAAACACUGAAAAUGGAGAAGAGAUGCAAGCAAAAGAUAUUCUAAAGAAAAGCAAUCUAUCCCCUUUCGAGGGCAAACUUAUCAGGUUUAAGAAAAGUACAUGCUUUGGAUUGGUAGUUGCAGCCUUGCAGGAUAAUUGUUUUUGCCACUAUAUUAGUUGGAGGAGUUGAACCCAGUGAAGAAUGUUAUGGAAGAGCAAAUGAUAUUUCUGAUAGACUCUAUUUGAUUAUGUAGCCUGAAUAGAUGUCUUGUUGAAAGAUAUAUCAGUGCAUUAGUUCAUCCUUGUCUGUCAAUGUGUUUUUAAUGGUUUUUCCAAUUGUUUUUUUUUUUUUUGAAACUGAUUAAGCAUCAGGUUACUGCAUUACACAGAUAUAUAUACAACUGCUAUGACAGCAGGUCAUUACACUGAUAUUUACAAUCAGAUAUAUAUACAUGGGACUUAUAUUAUUACAUUUUUAUUCUAUGAAGUACAUGCCCAUCCCAAAUACCCCUCACGGAGGAGGGAUGUCUCUACUCCACUCGCAUUUCGCAAGGGAGAAAGACGUUUAUAGAAAUCUCCACACAAUUAUGUUUAAUUGGAGGAGGUUGAGUCCGUGGGGACUCGAACCAUUGCCCUCAAAGUCAUGCUUAACUUUGAGGGCAAUGGUCCACCACUGGGCUACAAGCCCAAGUGGCGGUUUUUCCAAUUGUUUAUUGCUAUAGAUUGAUUGUAAAUUGAUGUGAACUUAAUGUUGAAAUAUUUUCUCUUUAGUGGAAUGAAAGUUAAACAUUCAAGAUUAGAUUAUUCAAGGUCCACAUAGUAUGUGUUCCGUUGUGUUGUCUGUAAUUUUGCAUUUAAAUAAAUUUGAGUGCUGCCGUUUCGCUCCCACAAUCUCUCGCCUUUUUUUAAUUUUAAAAAUUAAAAUAUUAAUAAAAAACAAUAAAGAAAAUCGAAUCCUUUAUGUCAUUCCAUCUUUACAACUCUCUCUCACAAACUCCAUCUAACAGACUUCUCUCUUACUAUCUCGGUCGAACAAGACCAGUGACAAUGAUGACACGACCGCCGACGAUGAGAUGGUCAUCGCUAAAGAAUCGGGCCGUGUAUUUUACAAUUUCUUGGUUUGUGACAACAAUGGAAAACUCCUGAAAAUUUUGAAUUUGUAGUCGAGCAAAGGAAGAAGCAAGUUAUCUUCAAAGCAUUUUCCAGUAAUAGCUGAUGAAAUUUAAUACUUCAAGCUGGCCCUUUGCUGUCACAACUAGAUGCAUUUGCACUGUCAUUACAAUUUAUGGAAAUUAAAGUAAUUAAUGGUUCUAAUUAAUAGCUUCCCAAAAAACCAAUCUGCCCUUGUGAGAACCAAAGCAUUAAUUUCUUGUAAGAGCUGCAGAAGGCCAGAGAAUUUCAGAUCGUGAAAAGGAGUGUGUGAGUGAGAGAGAGAUCGUGAAAUAGUGAGAGACAAUGAGAGAGAGAGCCGCUCGACUGAGAUGGUGAGAGAGUUGCAAAAAUGGAGUAAGGAGCAGAUAAGAUUAUGUUUUCUUUAUUAUUUUUUAUUAAUAUUUUAAUUUUUUUAAUUAAAAAAGGGCGAGAGAUUUUGGGAGUGAAACGGCAGCAUGUUCCAAUAAAUUUUUACCAAAGUUUCUCUCGUGUUUCUCUCACCUUUCUAGAUACCAAGCAUUUUCCAAUAAAUUUUUACUAAAAACUUAGCAAGCCCUUGAAACUUUGGUCAAAAUUAUUGUUAUUAUUACUUUUAGAGGAAAAACUUUUAUUAAAACCUCAUUAACACAAUUCUUAAUUAAAAUUAUAAGUUUGUGUUGGUGUAAGGAUUUGCAGGAGCAAUUACUGCCUAGCCAAGUGUCAAAAGCACAAAAUAAAUCAAGAGAAAGUAGACAUGAAUUAGGAUCCAAUGAAAUUUAAAUCCCGGAGAAAAGAAAUAAUCAUGCAGAUUAUCAAGAUUUCAAUAAGGGAUAUUGAUAUCCUAUUUUGAUUAAUAAUAUCCUUUUACUGUGUUAACUCAAAAAAUAUGUAUAUUCUAAUAUUUUACAAUAAAUAGAAAUCUAAUAUUAAAAUAAAUGUGAUAUAUAUAUAUAUAUAUUAAAUAAUUUAAAUAUAAAAAAUAUUUUAAUGUUUUACAAUCUACUACACAUAUUUUAUUAAGUUAAUAUAAUUUUUCAAAUAAAUAGGGACAUAAUAUUAAAAUAAAUUUAUAAAAAUUUAAAUUAUUUUGAAUUUAAAAUAAUUUUAAUAUUAUUAAUAUGUUAGAUAUGUUUGAUUAAUUAUAAAAAUUAUUUACGCAAAUUUUUUUAAUAUUUUCAGUAGAUAUAAAUAUAUUACUUACAUUUUGAUUAUUUAACUAUUAUUAUUCUACAAUUAUUUAUAUAAUGUUUGCACUUAUUAGAAUAUAUUUAAAGUCAAAUCUUUUGCACUUCUACCUAGCUAGAAUUAUUGGACGCAGAGAAAUAAGCAUAUAUGCUUUAUAACUUUAGAAAUCGAAUUAUCUAUACAAAUUGAUUUUAGCUGGAAAAAAAGUGAGCUGAAUGAUAUAGGCGAUUAGUGUGGUAAUAUUUCAUAGAGUUAGACUAUUGAAUUUGGCACCCCUCCAAUCUUCUCAUGAUUACCUUUUUGAGUUAUUAAUACACUUCUAAUUUUUCGUUUAAUUUUUUUUAUUGUUAUACUCAAAGUAGUAUUGUGAUAUUUUAUAUUUCUUUUGCAAUCUUAUUAUUAUUUUACACAAAAUUAAAAAGUUUUCUAGGUGAUGAACUUUUGAGUUUUGAACAUUAAUCAUUGGCUUAAAUUUCAUAUAUUUUACAUUAUAAUUUGAAAUUAAGUACGAAAAUAUUUAAUAAAUUAUGAAAAGAUUAACAGAUUAUUCUAAAUUGAUACAACUUAUUUUAGUUAAAUAAAAAGUAACAGGUAAAAAAAAAAAGGAUUGGUUAUGAAAUUUGUUGGAAAAAAAUCUGUGUGUGUUUAAUUUUUAUUUGUCCUUAAUUGUAAUUUAUUUGAAGUGAGGUUUUAUAAGGAUAAUGAAGGGGUGCCAUAGUUUCACUCUAUUUCAUAUGGAGAGAGAAGUAAAAGGUACACCUGAGGUUAAUGGAAAGGACUUCGAAAGUUUCUUUUGAUUAUAAUACUGUUUGUUCUAAUUAACUUAAAAAAUUUUACUUUAAUAUUUUAUAAUAAAUUAAAUUUUAAUCUUAAAAUAAGUAUAAUCAUAUAUUUUAAAAUAAUCUUAAAAUAAAUACAAUCAUAUAUUUUAAAAUAAUCUUAAAAUAAAUACAAUCAUAUAUUUUAAAAUAAUCUUAAAAUAAAUACAAUCAUAUAUUUUAAAAUAAUCUUUAUAUUUAAAAUUUAUUUAUUUGUACAUAUUUUAUAAUAAAUAUAACACAUACUAUUAAAAUAAUAUAUAAAAAAUUAAAGUAUUUUGAAUAUUAUAUAAAAUAACUUUAAGAUUCUUAAUAUGUAAGAUAUAUUUUAUUAAUUUAAAAUUCUAUUUAAAAUUUUAUUAAUUUAAAAUUCUAUUUAACCCAAAGAUUUAUUUAAGAUAAAUUAAUAAUCAUAUUUUUUAAAUCAUUUCAAAUAUUAAAAAAUAUUUUGAUAUUACUAGUCUAUUAAAUAGAUUAAAUAUUUUUAUUAUUUUGUACUAAUCAAAAGUUACAGCUCGAAUGAUAUUAUGAGAACAGAAUUUUUAUGUCUUUAUUAAAAAUUUGGGUUUGUAUAAUUAUUUUUUCAAAUGUUAGGGGCAUAGCUGUCUUUUUACUUUUAUAUAUGUGAACCGCGGUGGUGAAAAAGUGUGAUUUAAUAUUAGUUAUUUAAAUAAUAUCUGAAUUAAAGAUGUACAGAGAAGAAAUUUCGGUGGGCAUUUUAGUCUUUUAACGAUUAUCAUGAUUAGGGAUUAGGUCCUGCUCUUGAAACGUUGGUCAGAAAAGUUCUAAAAUGCGUACAUUAUCUUUACUUUAAAAAAGUUAUUUUAUUUUAUUACAAAUUAAUGCCGACAAGAAAAAGCAAGAUCUUAAANNNNNNNNNNNNNNNNNNNNNNNNNNNNNNNNNNNNNNNNNNNNNNNNNNNNNNNNNNNNNNNNNNNNNNNNNNNNNNNNNNNNNNNNNNNNNNNNNNNNAUAAAGAUGAAGAAAAGGGCAAAAAAAUAUUAAUGAUUAACGAAAUCUCUAUCCAAAUUGAUUUUAGCAGGAAAAAAGUGAGCUAAAUGAUGUAGACGAUUAGUGGUAAUAUUUCAUAGAGUUAGACUAUUGGCACCCUUCCAAUCUUCUCACGAAUCCUCUUUUUGAGUUAUAUUUAUUUUAUUUUUAAAAUAUCUUUUUUCUCUUUUACUACACUUCUAAUUUUUCAUUUAAUUUUUUUAUUGUUAAACUCAAAGUAGUAUUGUGAUAUUUUUAAUUUCUUUUGCAAUCUUAUUAUUACUCUGCAUAUAAAUUAAAAAGUUUUUUAGGUGAUGAAUUUUUGAAUGUUAAUCAUUAGCUUAAAUUUCACAUAUUUUACAUUACAAUUUGAAAUUUAAUAUGAAAAUAUUUAAUCAAUAAGAAUUAUGAAAAGAUUAAUAAAUUAUUCUAAAUUUAUACAACUUAUUUUAGUUAGAUCAGAAGUAGCAGGUUAACAAAAGAAAGGAUUGGUUAUGAAAUUUGUUGGAAAAAAAUCUAUGUGUGUUUAAUUUUUAUUCGUUGUUAACUCUAAUUAAGUAGGUUAAAUAUUUUUGUUAUUUUUUACUUAUCAAAAAAUUUAAGAUCAAUAUUUUUAGUUACCAUUCGAAGGAUAUUAUGACAAAAACAGAAUUUUCACUUCUUUGUUAAAAAUUUGGGGGUUUGUGUAACUAUUUUUUCAAAUGUUAGGGGCAUAUCUGUCUUUUUACUCUAUAUAUAUGAACCAUGGUGGUGAAAAAGCGUGAUUUAAUGUUAUUUAUUUAAAUAAUAUCUCAAUUAAAAAUGUAAGGAGAAGAAAUUUCGGUGGGCAUUUUAGUCUUUUAACGAUUAUCAUGGUUAGGCCCUGGUCUUGAAACGUUGGUCAGAAAAGUUCUAAAAUGCGUUCAUUUGUCUUUACGCCAACAAUAAAAAGCAAGAUCUUAGUGUCCCACAAAAGCAAAUCGUAAUAUUCCGCAAUGGAGUUAGAUCCGCAAAAGCAAACAAAUUCUUUUAUUAAACUACAAAUUAAAGUGGAAUCAUUUACUAAACAACAAAUUAAAUUUGAAAUAUUUAAAUAGUCGUGCGUUAGACGAUUAGAGACUCUUAUUAAAGGCAAGUACAAAGUAGUGAAGAAUCGAAUAUUUCUAUUGUCUAGUCUUUUUUUAAAAAAAAUUUUCUUUUAUUAUUUUUCAGAAUAUGUUUUGGUGAUUACUAUUGGGUUAUUAUUCAGAGUUAUUGUUAUCUUCCGGGGCAGUUUCUGUUCAUCGAAUUCGUUAAUAAAAUUUUAAAACUCUUAUUGAAAGAAUGUUUUUCCGUUAUCUUUUUUAUAAUCUAAUUUUAAGUGUAAGAAGUAGUCAUUUUAGAAUUUGGGUCUUGAAUCGAAUUUCAAUGCAUGAAUUAAUAUUUAAAAAAAAUUUACUACAUGCAGUUUAGGUUACAAACUAUUUUUUGCAAAGUUGACUAUGAAAUUGGAGAAAUUAAGUAAUUUAUAAUGUUUGCAAAGAAAGAGACCAACAUACUUCCAAUUACACUAUAUCUCAAUUAUCAUAAUGUUAAGAUUAAACUAACUUAAAAUAAAAUUUAUUUAAAAAGUUUAUCAAACGCAGUCUAAUUUUAUUAACUUGAAGAGAUAAUAGUUAUAGAAAUUAUUAUUCUAACUUAAUUAGUAAAAGUGGUAUAAAGGUUAAGUGUGCACUAAAUCUAUUUAAAUUUUUUUCCAGUAUAACUAACAGAGGUCAUUACUAGAAUUAUAUUACUAGUCUAUUAGAUAGAAAAAAUUAUUUAUAUUGUUUUAUAUUUAUUAAAAAAAUUUAAAGUCAAUCUUUUUAAUUACUAUUUAAAGGAUAUUAUAAUUAAAAAAAUUUUAAUGUCUUCAUUAAAAAUUUAAAAUUUUAUAUGACCGUUAUCUAAAUAUUUAAAGUGUAACUGUCAUUUUCUCAUAUAUAUAUAUAAUUUCAUCAACCCCUUAUACUUUAUGUUAUUUAUAUUUUAUUCAUGAAUAUUAUAAAUUUUUUGAAAUAUAAAAUUUCGUUUAACCCUUUAUACUCAAUUUUAUUUUAUUAAAACCCUAGAGUAUGAAUUCGUCCCUAUAAUAUUAAAUUCUCAAAAUAACUUCCAUUUAAUUAAAAAAUAUAAUUAUUAUUAAAUGAAUUAUAAUUAUUAUUAUUAUGUUAUUAUAAUCAUAAAAAGCGAGAUCAUAUUCCACAAAAGCAUAAGUGACAAAACAACCAACUGGAUUCUUUUAUUAAUCAACAAAUUGUAUAGUCUUUUUCAAAUUGUUAUAAAUUGGUGGCCCCUACAAUCCUCAAUAAUUGUACCGAAAUUCACAAGUUGGUGGGCCCUACAAUUCUGUUCCGAUAAUUUAACUGUGCAAGUGCUCAUUCACAAUCUUCCAGGUCAUGCUCUUAACAAUUGUUUUUUCUUUUCUGCACGCCCUUUCAUGCUCUUAAUAAUUGAAGAGCAUACUUUUCAAAUGUGAAGCCGCAUCUAAUGUCGCUAAUUUAAUUUGGGAUUAAAUUACGGGACUAUUAUAUUGCAGUGUGCACUAAUUUUUAUGUUUAUCUAAACUCUUCAAAUUUAAAACAUAUUAUGGCAUAAAUAAGAAUGUAACAAUAACAAAAGAGUAAGAAAGUGUAGAGAAAAUCUUGCAGAAAUAUAAAUAAUAUUUAUUUUUAAAAUAAUAUUAAUAUUUAAAAUAAUUUUUAAUAUUUUAUGGUCCAUUAGAUAUAUUUUAUUAUAUUAAAAUAAAUUUUAUAAUAAAUAAAAACAUACUAUUAAAAUGAAUAUAUAUAGAAAAUUUAGAGUAUUUUAAGUAUUAUAUAAAAUAAUUUUAAUAAAAUAUGUGAGAUAUUCAUAUUUUAUUAAUUUAAGAUACCAUUUAACCUAAAGAUUUAUUUAUGAUAAAUUAAUAAUUAUAUUUUUGAAAUUACUUCAAAUAUUAAAAAAAUUAAUAUUACUAAUAUAUUAGAUAGAUUAAAUUAUAUAUAUUAUUUUUACUUAUUAAAAAAAUUUUAAAAUUAUUUUUAAUUACUAUUCAAAAAACGUAUUCAAAAAACAUAAUGAUAAAAAAAUCUUAACAUCUUUAUUAAAAAAUUAAAAACUUAUAUGAUAAAUUCUCUAAAUAUUUACGGUAUAUGUGAACCACGGUGGAUAAGCUUUAUUUAAUAUUAUUGAUUUAAAUAAUAUGUCAAUUAAAAAUGUACAGAGAAGAAAUUUCGGUGGGUAUUUUAGUCUUUUAAGCAAUUAUCAUGAUCAGAUCAGCCUUUAGCCUUCAAACGUCGGUCAGAAAAGUUUUAAAAUUAAUGCUAAAUUGUUUUUCACUUUUAACGUUGGUGGCCUUGAAAUUGCUUGUAUUUUAUUAAAAAUUAAUGCUAACAAGAAAAAGCUAGGUCAUAUUCCACAAAAUCAAAAGUGACAAAACAACCAGCUGGUUUCUUUUACUAAACUACAAAUUAAAAUAAAUUUUUUCGAUAAAUUACAAAUUAAAGUGGAUUCUUUUGAAUACAAAUGGGACAGACGAUUAGGCUCUUUUUAUUAGAGGCAAGUAAAAACUAGUCAAGAAUCGAACAGUCUUUUUCCAAUUCUUGUUUUAUUAUUUUUCAAAACUAGUUUUUGGUAAUUACAACCGGGUCAUUAAUCAUUAUUCAGAGUUAUCUUCCGGGGCAGUUUCUGUUCAUCGAAUUCGUUAAUAAAAUGUUAAAACUCUUAUUGAAAGAAUGUUUUUCCGUUAUCUUUUUUAUAAUCUAAUUUUAAGUGUAAGAAGUAGUCAUUUUAGAAUUUGGGUCUUGAAUCGAAUUUCAAUGCAUGAAUUAAUAUUUAAAAAAAAUUUACUACAUGCAGUUUAGGUUACAAACUAUUUUUUGCAAAGUUGACUAUGAAAUUGGAGAAAUUAAGUAAUUUAUAAUGUUUGCAAAGAAAGAGACCAACAUACUUCCAAUUACACUAUAUCUCAAUUAUCAUAAUGUUAAGAUUAAACUAACUUAAAAUAAAAUUUAUUUAAAAAGUUUAUCAAACGCAGUCUAAUUUUAUUAACUUGAAGAGAUAAUAGUUAUAGAAAUUAUUAUUCUAACUUAAUUAGUAAAAGUGGUAUAAAGGUUAAGUGUGCACUAAAUCUAUUUAAAUUUUUUUCCAGUAUAACUAACAGAGGUCAUUACUAGAAUUAUAUUACUAGUCUAUUAGAUAGAAAAAAUUAUUUAUAUUGUUUUAUAUUUAUUAAAAAAAUUUAAAGUCAAUCUUUUUAAUUACUAUUAAAGGAUAUUAUAAUUAAAAAAANNNNNNNNNNNNNNNNNNNNNNNNNNNNNNNNNNNNNNNNNNNNNNNNNNNNNNNNNNNNNNNNNNNNNNNNNNNNNNNNNNNNNNNNNNNNNNNNNNNNNNNNNNNNNNNNNNNNNNNNNNNNNNNNNNNNNNNNNNNNNNNNNNNNNNNNNNNNNNNNNNNNNNNNNNNNNNNNNNNNNNNNNNNNNNNNNNNNNNNNNNNNNNNNNNNNNNNNNNNNNNNNNNNNNNNNNNNNNNNNNNNNNNNNNNNNNNNNNNNNNNNNNNNNNNNNNNNNNNNNNNNNNNNNNNNNNNNNNNNNNNNNNNNNNNNNNNNNNNNNNNNNNNNNNNNNNNNNNNNNNNNNNNNNNNNNNNNNNNNNNNNNNNNNNNNNNNNNNNNNNNNNNNNNNNNNNNNNNNNNNNNNNNNNNNNNNNNNNNNNNNNNNNNNNNNNNNNNNNNNNNNNNNNNAUUGUGGGCACUCUUGUUCGUGCAUGUUUGCUAGAAGAGAUGGAAGAUGAUAAAGUAAAAAUGCAUGACGUUGUUCGUGAUAUGGCUUUAUGGAUAGCUUGUGAAAUUGAGAAGGAGAAGAGAAACUUUUUGGUUUGUGCAGGUGCUCGAUUAGAAGAGGCACCGGGUGUUAAAGAAUGGGAAAAUGUGAGAAGAUUGUCAUUGAUGCAAAACCAAAUUGAAACUGUGUCAGAGAUUCCCGCAUGCCCUCAUCUCCAUACUCUAUUUCUUGCCUCUAAUAGGAAUUUCAGGAUGAUCACGGAUGGCUUCUUUCAAUUUAUGCCUUCUCUCAAAGUUUUGAAGAUGUCACGCUGUGGGCAAUUCGAAGGUUUUCAAUUACCUGUUGGGAUGUCAGAGUUGGGUUCAUCACUAGAACUUCUUGAUAUUUCACAUACCACCAUAAGAGAGUUACCCGAAGAGUUAAAGUUGCUGGUAAAUCUGAAAUGUUUGAAUUUGAGGUGGACAGGUGCGUUAAUUAGAAUUCCACGGGGACUAAUAUCAAAAUUUUCAAGGUUACGUGUGUUGAGAAUGUUGGGUACUGGCGGGUUCAUUUUUUAUGAAGCACCAGAAGACAGCGUUUUAUUUGGUGGGGGUGAAGUUUUGAUACAGGAAUUGCUCGGUUUGAAAUAUUUAGAGGUAUUGGAGUUGACCUUGGGAAGUUAUCAUGCUCUCCAAAUUCUUUUGAGCUCAAAUAAGUUAAAAAGUUGUAUUCGAUCUCUUUACCUCUAUUUGACCGGAGAUAAAAAGUCGAUUAUUGAUGCUACGGCUUUCACAGACCUAAACCACCUCAAUGAAUUAUGGAUUGAUAAUGGAAUUGAGUUGGAAGAAUUGAAGAUUGAUUAUACGGAGAUAGUACGAAAAAGGCGGGAACCUUUUGUUUUCCACAGCCUUCACCUUGUUACGAUAUAUAGUUGCCAUAAAUUGAAAGAUUCGACAUUCCUCGCUUUUGCUCCAAACCUCAAGUCUCUUUCGCUAUUCAAAUGCCGUGCUAUGGAAGAAAUAAUCAGCGUCGGAAAAAUUGCUGAGAAUCCUGAGAUGAUGGGACAUAUAAGCCCUUUUGAAAAUCUCAAAAGUCUUGAUCUAUCAUAUUUGCCGGAGUUGAAGAGCAUUUUCUGGAAGCCAUUGCCUUUCACUCAUCUCAAAGAAAUGGGGGUAAGAGCAUGUGAUCAGCUUAGAAAGCUUCCACUCGAUUCCAACAGUGCAAAAGAGCGUAAAUUUGUAAUUCGUGGAGAAGAAGACUGGUGGAACCGACUUCAAUGGGAGGAUGAAGCCACUCAAAUUGCUUUUCGUUCCUGUUUCCAACCUGAUUCCUGAGCGGUGGUCGCAAAAUUUGAUUUCUGGUGAGUGCGUUUGUCUUUUAAAAGAAGAAUUUAAAAGAAAUUUAUUCUUGACGUUUUCUUCACUGUUUUUAUUUCAGUCUCUCUCUCUCUCUUUUUGUCUUCUGCUAAUCACAAUUAAAUGUUGAAUUAAUGGAAUUAAUGCUUCAUAAAUUUGCCGGCACUGCCAUUACUUUUUUUUUUUUUAAUACAAAUUGAUACUUUAUUUAUAUCUUCUUAGCGAUUUAAUUUCCUGUCAAUUGACGAACGAGAAGAACAUAUGACUUGAACCAAUGCUCGCAUAAACUUGCUGUAAAAAGAUAUAAUCUCACUGAAAUGCACACGCCUAGAAUGAAUAGAAUUAAAACAGGGAAAAUAUUAAGUAUAUUAGCCCUCUUUACCGAAAAUCAAAUGACAAUAAAUUUUUUGAAGUUUUGAUUUUCUAUGGUCAAUUCCACCUUUUGCAAUUUCUUCUGUUCUAACAAAAACCAAUUUCUUUGUUCAAGUAUUUUCGUUUGGGUAUUAAUAAUUCUCCACCGAAAGAGUGAACUCUUGCUCAAGGGAUCUCUAAUCAAUAGCCGGAAGGGCGCCGAGACCUGAUCGGACCUAGGCCCAAGUUUGGUCUUAAAGCCUGGGCUUGAGCCUGGCAAUUAAAUUAAAACAGUAAUUGAUUUCUUGAAUGAAUUGUCGUGUAAUUGAUUUAUGGGGGAUGACACAUCAACAUACUUGAAAAUACACUAAUCUCAGCAUCAUCCGUUAAUAACUUUUAGAUUUAUGGGCAAUCAAUAGUUAAAUUAGUUGUCAUUAAUACUAAAUAAUUUUUACUUUUUUUGUCUCUUCUAGAGGAUCUUCUAGAAAAAUGCAUCCACAAUUAAAUUUAAUACUUUACAUAAUAAAGAAAGCAUAAAUGUUAAAUUUAAGAAACUGCAUUGUAUUUCAGCUGAAGUUGACUUUAAUAUUUAGGGUAGAAAAAAAUUAAAUCCUUAAUGUGUUUAAUUUCUAUCACUUGUGUCAUUAAAAUUUUCUAGUCACCCUAACCAAUUACAUCUCAACCCACUUUUUUUUGGAUGAUUUUAUUUUUACACUAUUAUUUUCAACAUUUUUUUUUCCUUUUAACACCAACAUUAGUGUAUGUUACGUAACAUAAUCCAUAUUUGGAUAAUUUGAAAUUUGUUUGUGUUUUAUCUCAAAAUAGAGCUUCAAUCAAUUUGUACCUCAUAAAUUCACAAUAUCUGGCAUAUUGUCAAAUGUGCUUAUCCUUUUGCUUGACAUGUCAUUUUAAAAUUGUCAUUCAAUGUCAAAAAAUCACAUCAACUAAUGGCCGACUACUUUAAUUUGAAAGCAUGCGUGCGAUCGCCAAUAAUUAUAACUUAAUUGUUAUAUUGAAAUUUUUUUCUUUAUAAUUUAAGUUUAAUACUGCUACAUGUGUGGCACAUAAGUUGGAAAAUAUAACAUAAAAUUUGAAAAAUGUGUAGUUUUCGUUCCUUUUUUUUCUAAAAAAAUGGGAAAAAAGAAUGUAAUUUUGUUUAAAUUACUGUUGUCAUAACAAUUAUUAUUUUAUUGAUUAAUUGGCAGAGAAUCGUAAUGGUUUCGCAUGGUUGUUAAAACAUUGGAAAGUCCACUACAUCAUCGGUUAAUAACUUUCAGAUUUAUGGUUAAUUAAUAGCUGAGAUUUAUUAUCAUUAAUGCUAAAUAUUUUUUCUCUCUCCUGGAGGAUCAUCCACAGGCAGGUGCUUCCUGACGAUGACAAAAUUUUGGGCAGGCAGGUGCUUCCUGACUUUCACACGGUAAUUCUCAAAUUCUGAUUUCACCAUAUUUUAAUUACUGAUUAGCAUAUAUUCAAGUGCUCUCCAUUAUAAUGGAAGCCGCCGCCUCACUCGUAAUUCCAAACUUUAUCUUUUUUUCCUUUUUUAAAUUAAUGCAAGUAGCCGCUGUCCUUUCUAUUAAUUAAUUAAUUCGGCCGCCCACAUUUCUUUUCCUAAUGUCUUCUACUGUCGAGUUUAUUUUAUUUUCUCUUUAUUAUUAAAAUAUACUUAUAAUAAUAAAAAAAUAAAAAUUAACAUAUCAAAAUAUAAUUUAACAGAAAAUUAAGAUAAAAAAUUAAAAAUAAAUAAAUUAUGAGCAUAUCAAUCAAUAAAUGAAAAAUAAUAAUUUUUAUUUUUAUUAAAUAUAAAUUUUUCAGUAUUAAUCAAUUAUCUGAAUAAAUAAAAUCAUUUAAAAAUAAAUAAAUAAAUUAUUCUUAAAAAAAAAAAAAAAACUUUUUAUAACACUCACUAUGCUGGUUGUAGGGUUGACGCUUUGGGUACUGAAGCUAGUAACUUCUACAAGUAGUCUUAAGUUGACUGGCAACAACUAUAUUGGCAUUUAGAAAUAAUGUACUGCAACCAUAUUGGCAUGUUCAAAUGUUCUUAUUAUUGUAUUGGUGUGUCAAUAUUAUCUCUAACGGUUUUAUAAAUAAAAAAAUAAUCUAAAUUUAUAAUUUAACAUAAAAUAAAAUAAUUGGUAGAAAAACAAUUAUGGUUCAUUUACUUAUCAGUAAUCAGAAUAGACUGAAAUCGAAAUGAGUUGUAUUACUGUUGAUGUGUUUAUGUUGUACUCGAAUCGAAAUGAAUUAUUUUAAAUUACUAAAAUAUCCUUGGUCUGUUAUUCUAAUUAUUAUUAUUAUUUAAUAUUUAUUAUAAUAUUUUUCAUAUCAUUAAAAAAAAAUAAUAAUGAUGAUAAUAUUCUCAUUAUUGUUUGUUACAUUAUUAUUAUUCAAAAAAAUUAUUGUUAAUAACAAUAAUUACUUUAUUUCAAUAAUAAUAAUGAUAAAAUUAAUAAUAAUAAACAUGACAACAACAAUAAUUAUUUAUUAUGCCAAAAAAUAACAAUAAUAAUAAGAAUAAUAAUCAUCAUCAUUUUUUUGCCAAAGAAGCAUUAUCAUCAUCAUUUCAAAAAAAAAAUCAUCAUCAUCAUCAUCAUUUUUGUAGUGGCUACCUAUCGGCUGCUGCUUUCAUGUGAGAUUGACUUGCGACGCUUCAACGGCUAUUAUUUCUGACAAUGUCAGGUGUUGCUAUUUCAAUUUAGGAAGAAGUUGUUUCGGUGUGCUAGCGAUGGGAGAUGUUGUGGCUGCGAUUCGGGGAGCUACUAGUUUAUUGCACUAAUAACGGCAGGUGCUGUUGCUUGAUGCGAGGUCCAUGGCCAGUUGUCAGCAGUUCGACUUUGGUAUGGGUGCUGCUGGUUCGAUUUUAGGUGUUGUCCAAUUUCAUUUUCAGGAUUUUAAUUUUAUUUUUCUUUUAUAUUUUCAUUAAUUAAUCAGGGUAAAAUUGGAUUUUAGAAUUUAGAAUGAAGGUAAUUUUGUUAAUAAUGGAAAUGAGAUUCUGAUUGUCGAGAAUGAGCUUACACAAACAACUAUAAAUUAAGUGAAAACAAAACACUUUUUCUCUUUGUGUGAUUAAAACAUGAUAUGUACCAUAAAUAAAUAAGUAAAAAAUAAAUCAACACAAUCUAAAACAGUAAACAAAUUACAAGAGGCACAGAUUUUUAUGUGAAACACCGAAAAUGGAAAAAACCACAGCAUCUUAGUUUGAUAUAAUCUUCUACUAUAUUAAUGGGAUUAUAGCACAAAUUCUUUCCUAUAUAACACUAGAGAUUAACAACAUCAAGAAUCUCAAUAAUCUUGACUUACAAUACAGCCUAAUAUUUGUCUCUCUAAUAAGUAGAUAUCUAAAAUAACAGUCUCUAAUAAGUAUGUAUCUAAAAUAAUAGUCAACAAGAGGAUAAAACAAAAAUUAAGAUUAGUAGGAUGUGUAUAAGGUGAUGCUAUCAAUUUAUCUUCUAAAUUUGAGAAAAAUAGUUAAAUUCACUUUUUCGAUUGUCCGACCAAAAAUGGAAACCCUUGCCCCAAAACCAAAGGAAUCACCAUUAUGUUUUUCUCUCUCUCUCUCUCUAUCUCGUUCUUUUCUUCUUCUUUUCUUAAUGUUAGCCAUCACUUGCUUUUAUUCUUUAUAGCAUUCAAAAAGCUACUUUUAAUGGUAAAUUUCAUUUAAGUCUGCAACUUAGUGAUAAUUGCACACCAAACAAUCCUUACAUAGUGUUUUGGGCCCUCAAAUGAGAUGAAUACAACAAAUCUCCCCCUUUAAAUCAUGUGGGGGGCACCGCAAGCCCGCUAUUUGCAUAUAGCUUUUCAGCUUCUCCUUGAAUAAUGACUUUGUCAUCAUACAUAAUCCAUUCUUCGUUGUGUAAAUCUUCUCAAGCUGUAACUGUUCCUUCUCAAGCUGUAAUUAUUCCUUCUCAAGCACGUCUCGUAUCUAAUGAUACCUUACAUCAAUAUGCUUAGAUUUCGAAUAGUAUAACAGCACUCUGACUAUCGUAGUACAUAACAUAGCUGUCUUGUUUUACACCCAGCUCUUGUAGGAAAUUCUUCGUCCACAAUAUUUUUUUGCAACCUUCAAUAAUUGUAAUAUCAUUUGCUUUAGUGGUAGAAAAGGCAACUUAUUACUAAAGUUUAGAUUGCGAUGAGACUGUUCCCCCUGCAAAAGUGAGCAAACAUCCUAGUAGGAAUUUUUCGGAAUCAACAGCUCCUGCCAUAUCUACACACUUGUAACACAGGUUUGUCACCACCAAAAUAUAAACAUGCUCUGGAAAUGCAUCUAAGAUAUCUGAGAAUUUUUCACUGUUGUCCAGUGCUCUUUACCGAGGUUGAAGAGAAACCACUGACUACACUAACUGUAUAGGCAAUAUUUGGUCUUGUACAAAUUAUGGCGUACAAUAAACUGCCAACUGCUGAAGCAUAAGGAACUCCUCUCAUGGAGAAAUGGGUUUUACUCUUGAGAUUUUUGGGACCAUGAAGAAUAAAGAUGUAAUUUCUUAUACUGCCAUUGUUUCGGGAUAUAUAAAUAGAGAACAAGUCGAUAUAGCUCGACAGUGUUUUGAUCAGAUGCCAGAACGAGAUUAUGUCUUAUGGACUACCAUGAUUGAUGGGUACCUUCGAGUGAAUAGGUUCAGAGAGGCUUUGACACUUUUUCAGGAGAUACAAACUUCAAAUAUAAUGGGAGACGAGUUUACCAUUGUUAGCAUUCUUACAGCUCGUGCGAAUCUGGGGGCACUAGAACUGGGAGAAUGGAUAAAGACUUAUAUUGACAAAAACAAAGUCAAGAAUGAUAUAUUUGCGGGGAAUGCUUUGAUAGACAUGUACUGUAAAUGUACUGUAAAUGCGGAGAUGUUGAGAAAGCUCAAAAGGUAUUCAGGAAGAUGCUUUGAAAGGUCAAAUUCACAUGGACGACCAUGAUUGUUGGCCUUGCCAUCAGUGGAAAUGGUGAUAAAGCUCUUGAUAUGUUUUCCCAAAUGCUCAGGGCUUCGAUCAAACCAGAUGAGGUAGCUUAUGUUGGUGUUCUGUCUGCCCGUACUCACAAUGGUAACGAAACUUUUGUGAUAAAUAGUUGCAACUUAAGGUGAGAACUGGAGGAAGGGAAAUAGAUUGAAGUUGUUCAAUCAUCAGUAGUUGCUACUUGGUUUUAAGUUGUUCAAUCAUCGGUCGUCUCUAUUUGGUUUUCUCCAAUAUCUCAUCUUCAAUUUUGACUCAGAUUGUAUCUUACCACUAGUAAUUACAUAGACUUGCUGCCAAAGGUAAGAAUGGGAAUAAAUUAAAUAGAUUAUGUCGAAAACGAAAUAAAUUUACUAUUGUUCUGUUCAUUCUAUUUGUUUCCUACAAAAUAUUUCUCCUGCCUAAAAUUUUUUGAAUCAGUAAGUUUUUACCUUAUGGAUGAAUUGUGUUGAGAGUAAUUCCAUUUCUCAGUCUCUUUAUGUUUCAAUGAAGACGUAAAACUUGUGUUCUAGUGCACCAACGUUUAUGCUUCUUACAAUUUGACUUUAAUUUACUUUGUAAAAUUUUUGUCAAAAAGUACUAAAAAGUAGUGCACCAAACACCAACUUUAUUACAGAGAGGACUUUAGUUAAAUUUUAAGAAAACACUCAAAAGAAAGAGUUGUAAAUUAUUAUAAAAAUAUUUCACAUAAAUAAAAGCCAUCCCAUGCUGCAAAGAUCUUGCUAUAAUCACCAAAAACUAUCGGGAGCUUUUAGGGUUUCCAUAAAAAUGCCAUUUCGUUCCAUGUAUAUGAUUCUAUAGUCUCACUGGCAAGUAAACCACAGCCCAACAGCACUGACUGUCCAUGAUGAUUCACCCCAAUGAACGAAACCAGCGUUGCAUCAUAUCUUUCUGUCAAGCAUGUAAUAUCAAUUGAUUUGAGCUAUUAACAUCAUUUCCAAAUACUCCAUUGGCAUCUACAUUACCAUUUCCCUCGGCAUCAAUGAUAAGAGUUCGAAACAGUCUAAUCUUUUGAACUUCUUCAGCACCAUCUAAGAGCAAUGUUCUUUUGGUUCCAAUACCCAUGUGCUUAUGAUAUUUGUAAAAUAAUUAUUUGUAAAAUAAUUAGUUCAAUUUUGACAUAAUACGGAAUAAACACAACCUGCCAAUCUAAGUUACUAUCUUUUCCCGUCAUCAGGUACCUGUUUGAAAAAUAAUUAUAUACAAUUUUAUUUGCGUCGUCCCUCUAAAAAUUUGGGACUCAAAUGUUAUUUCUAAUUGCUAAAAGUACGAAAUUGCCCCCUUUCUCUUCAGCUAAAGGAGUGCAAAGUCAUCUGUAUAAUUGAAUCUGCAUCAUCAGUUUCUAUUGCUGGCUGGUGUUACUGCAUGCUUACAGUUGCUUGACAAAGUGAGCCAGUUUUUUGUUUAUUAAUUUUUUUUCUUGUCGAGACAGUCACAAAGUAUUACUUGUUCUAUUUGAGAAUGAUGUGAAUCAAUUUUUCAAUUAUGCAUUCUGUGGUAAUUAUUGUGAAUUUAGUUUCAUUUGUCUUGUCUCCUGCAAAUUUUGAAGAAAAUGCAGACAUACAAAUUUACAAUAUGUAUUUGCGUUAGUAUAAAAACAAUUGUUAGAUGAUUAAAGCGAUUUAUUUUUUUUUUUACAGCAUUUGAUUGUAUUAGUUAAAAUCAUUUUUUAAGGAUAAAAAUAAAUAGAAAAUUAUUCUCAUGUAGUGUGGAAAUCUUUUCUAAUUUCUUGUUGACUUGUACAUUUAUUUCAGAAUUUCCAUUCAUUAAUUCUACUGUUUUAAUCUUUGACUUAGCUACCGUAGUUGACUUUUUAUAUCAAAGGCUUAAACAGCAUGCAUUUUUGAAUUGACUGAGAAUAAUUUGGUGGACAAAUUACUAGUAAAGGACUUCAAAUGGUUGAAUUGACUGUGGGUUUUUCAUGCCCAAGUCACUCGUCACGUCGUUUCAUCGAAACAAAGUGCCCGGUGCAAAUGGUGUGAUGUAAAACACCUUUUUAAAUUGUCAUUUUUUUUCCUUUGCUUUUGCUUUAAUUUUCUAAAUGCUCAACGCCAUAAAUCCAUGUAUUCUUAAUUUUCGUUUGCUGUAUUGAUUCCCAACCCUCUAUGUCACAAGGUUUUGAAUGCCAGUAAUUAAGUUAAAUUAAACAUAUUUUAAGUCCUACUUUAAAUUAUUGAAAAAUGUAUUAUGGUUGAACUGAAUUUUAACUAAAAAAUAUAUACAAAAUAAAAGAUUAAUCAUAUCUUUUUAUGAGGAAGGUCAGUCAUCAUUCUGACCACAGACACUUAAAAUUAAUUGAGUGGAAUAUUGCAAAAUAUAUAUAAACCAUGCCAAAACUAGAUGUUUGAGUAAUGAAAACGAGAAUUCAUAUGACUCAGAAAUAUGGUCGCUUUCCUUUUUCUGAAAGGCAAAAAAAAAGGGGGAACCAAAAAGGACCAAAAUGAACAAAAAUGGAAGGCGAAGGUAAGCAGACAUGUUAUAUGUUUUACCUAAGAUGCCAAAUGCAACUCCCCAUUGAUGGUGAUCGAACAUUAUGGCCAUUUUCUUAGUAAACAAAAAAUGAAUUUUGAACACUCAACAACGAAACUUGAGCAGAAGAUCAAGCAAGGGCCUCGAUCUCAAAGAAGAUACUAUGAAACCCUACUUAAUGGUUAAAUAACUUUCAUUCAGCUUUGGACCCUAUUUCGUGAUACGGAAAGACAAACCUUUCUUGGCCGGCAGUGUCCCAGAUCUGGGCUUUGAUGAUCUAGAGGUUGAUGGUGACAGUUCUGGUUUGGAACUCGACGCCAAUGGUUUAUUUCGAUUCAAAGCAAAACUCAUUCUUGGUGAAUCUCGAAAGAAUCUGAGACUUGCCCACGGCCGAGUCACCGAUCACCACUACCUUGAAUACAUAGUCUAUUUUGUCAGGAAUCAUAUUCUCUCGUUGUUGAUGACGAUGAUCGGUGCCAUCACCACUCAUUUCUUCGUUCAUUCAUUCUAUGUCCAUUGAUCUUUUUGAAUUAUUGAAGACAAGUGGCUCACCGCUUUUAGUAUUGGUAAAAUUCAGAUAAUCUCUAUUCCGAAAUAAUAAUAUUAAAAAUAUCUCUUAAAUCAUUAUAAACUUCAAAUCUAUUUUAAUUUUAUUUAAAAGAUAAAAGAAAAAUAAGUUAUGUUGGUGAUUUUUUAUUAUCUUUUUAAUAAAAAUAGAAUAAAUUGAUGUUUAUAAUUAUUUAAAGUAUUUUAAAGAUUGCUAUUUUAUGAGAGAAUAAUAUUUCAUUUUUUUUUUCGUGUGAAAGACCGAAAAAGGACAAAGCAAGUUUCCCUAAUUUUUAUUUUAUGUGAAAUUGGUCAUCUCAUAUACUUUACCCUUCAACACUCUAAUUUUUUUGGUUAUAAUUUUAUUAUUUUUUCUCUUUUACACAUGCAUGUGAAUUACUUUUCUUUAAGCUCCUGAAUAUUUAAGACAAAUCAUGGAAGAGAUGAGAGUAUAACAAGAUGAUCAAAAUAUGUAACAAAAAAAUUUUAGAAGUGAAAAAUAUGUUAGAGUCGAAGUAAAACUCUGAGGUGAUGUUUGAUUUGAAGAAAAUGGAGGAGAGAAAAAGAGUGGAAUGGAGAGGAAAAGAGAGAAAAGGAGAGGAGAGGAGAGGAGAGUGAACUUUUUUUCUAAUGUUUGGUUUGUCACAUAAAUAUACAAAGAAAGGAAAUCUCCAAUUUUUUAUUUAGACAAUUUUAACCUUAAUAAGUAUUAAGCUUUCAAUAUUUAUCAUGUGUAUAAUUUAAAAAAAGUAAAUGGUAGAAAGCGGUUUCUGAUUCCGGCCACAUCGCCGGCAAUGGAAGGUACUUAUCAGAACAUCAAGAACCGGCCAUCAUUCCCUAGCCAUCACUGCUGUAGGAACACUGCUAAAAAGCUGCCGAUUGAACCGCGAAAAGUCGUGGAAAUCGUUGCCUCAAAUCGGUGAGUUUCGCCUUUUUCUGGUCAUGCCGUCGCCUUGGCUUUGUCCAUCAACGCUGCCACUUCCAUUUCAACCAUCCAUAGCCACUAUUAACCGCCAAAUCGCCGCCGAUCAGCGGGAUCUGUGGAAGUUAAAAAGUUUCUAAAAUUUUUUAAUUGGAUUUGAACAACAUACAACCAUUUUUUGAUCUCAAUAACGACAUAGUAAUGUUGAUCGUUGGUCGGCAAGUCGAAUGGUAGUGGCGGUGAGUAACACGCGCCAAUGACAUCGGCGGCGGCGGCGGCACUAUCCGGCUACUGUUAAAAUUAAUAUUUUAUAUUUGUAGAUUAAAUAAAUUUAUUUUAUUAAACUUUUUAAAUCAUUAUUUAAAUUUAAUUAAUUUAAAAUUAUCUAUGAUGUUGAAUUGAUAAAAUAAAUUUAUAAAUAAUAAUUAUGUGAUUACAUUAAAUAAGUUAAAAAGUUGAAGGGUUAUUUUUGGAAGAUUUAGUUUCCAACACAAAGGGAAUUUGAAUUCUUCACUUCUUAGUGUGGAAUUCAAAUUCUAUAUUGUAAUGGAUAUUAAAUUCCAAUAGAAAUUAAAUUCUUAUAAGUUAUGUCAAACCAAACAACGGAAAUAAAAAAAAAGAAUUUAAAUUACUUUCCUUUCCUCCACCCUCUCCUUCCAACCAAAUACAUCCUGAAAAUAGAGAUAUUGAUUAAUUUAGAAGAGAUGCAAGCAAAAGAUAUUCCACAAAAAAAAAAAAGCAAUAUGUCCCUUUGGAGGGCAAACUUGUCAGUUUUAAAAAAGUACAUGCUUUGGAUUGAUAGUUGUAGGAUAUUUGUUUUGUCACUAUGUGUUAGUUGGAGAAGUCAAGCCUUGUGAAGAAUGUUAUGAAAGAGCAAAGGAUAUUCCUGAUAGCUGAUAGAGCUCUAUUUGAUUAUGUAUCCAAUGAAUGGAUGUGUUGUUGGAAGAUAUUUGAGUGCAUUAGUUCAUAUGUGUCUAUCAAUGUGAUUUUAAUGAUUUUUCCACUUGUUUGUUGUAAAAGAUUAUUGUAAAUUGAAAUGAACUUGAUGUUGUAAUAUUUUCUCCUUAGUAGAAUUUCACCUAGUAUGUAUUUAGUUGUGUUGUCUAUAAUUUUGCAUUCGAAUAAGUUUCACCUAAAAUAUUAGCAUGAGUAGUGGCCCUUGAAACUUUGGUCAAAAUUAUUGUUAUUAUUUCCGACUAGAUGUAAAUUUUUUAUUAAAUCUCGCUAACACAAUUCUUAAUUAAAAGUAUAGGUUAGUGUUGGUGCAAGACUUGCCACACCAAAUUCUGCCUAACUGUCAAAAGUGCAAAAUAAAUGAAGAGAAAGCACAAAUACACGACUUGAAUAAGGAUACAACGAAACUUAAAUUCAAGAGAAAAUGAUAGCUAUAUCUCAAGAUUUGAAAAAACGGUCAUGUAGAUUUUUAAGAUUUCAAUAAGCGACUGAGAUUCAAAUAAUAUCCUUUAAUUCUAUUAACAAAAAACAAAGACUCAAAUAUUUUAUGAUAAAUAAAAAUAUAAUAUUAAAAUAUAUGUGAUAAUAUACACAUUUUAAAUACUUUCAAUCCAAAAAAAUAGUUAUGUUUUACAAUCUAUUAGACAUAUUUUAUUAAAUUAAUAUAAAUUUUCUAUAAAAUAAGAAUAUAAUAUUAAAAUAAAUUCACAAAAAUUUAAAGAAUUUUGAAUGUAAAAUAAUUUUAAUAUAUCAAUACGUGAGUUUUUUUAUUAAUAUAAAAUUUAUUUAACUUUAAGAUUUUUUAAAAUCUUUACAAUAAGUAUAACUAUAUUAUUUACAUUUAAAAAUAUUUAAAUAUUAUUAACCUACAAUUAUAUUUGCAUUUGUUAGAAAUUUUUUAAGUCAAAUAUUUUGCACUUCUAUAUUAUUAGAAUUAUUGCACAAAAAGAAAGAAACAUACACCUUUAGAAAUUGUUUUCUUUUAAAAUAGAGAUGAUGAUUAGUAUAAGGAUGAAAAAAAGGAUAAAGAAUAUUAAUGAUUAACGAAAUCUCUAUACAAAUUGAUUUUAGUAGGAAAAGAGUGAGAUGAAUGAUUUCUUUUACAGUUAGAAACAUAGAUGAUGAUUAUUAUAACGAAGAAAAAAAGAUAAAGAAUAUUAAUUAUUAAUGGAAUCUCUAUACAAAUUGAUUUUAGUAGGAAAAAAAUGAUUAAAUGAUUUAGAGUGCGUUUGGAAUUGAGAUUGGGCAGCCAUAGAUUUUAAGUUACAACACUGAAGUGUUUAGUAAAUACUAGUUGCUGCAGAUUGAAAGUUAUGUUGAUAUGAUUUUUCACAUGUAUCAUAGAAAAUAUAUUACAUCUUUAAUAUUUUUUAAAAAUUUAUAUUUGCUAUAUAUUAUUAAUUUUUUUUUAUAGUUAUAACUUUUUUUCCACAACAGUUGUAGCUUAAAAGUCACAGCACCUCAAUCUCAAACAAAUCCUUAGACAUUCAUAGUGUGUUUAUUUUUUGGAUUGGUGAAUCAAAAUUAUUGACAACGCUAACUUCAUCUUCACUGUUCGCAAUCCAACAGCAGCAAUUGUCGCCAAUAAUGAUAUCUCCAAUGAUGAUGACAAUUAUUAUUAUUAUUUUUAUUAUUAUUAUUAUUAUUAUUAUUAUUAUUAUUAAUUAAUUAAUUAAUUAAUUAAUUAAUUAAUUAAUAUAUUAAUGUUGAUAUUAUUAUUAUUAAGAUUAACAAUAAUUAUUAGUAAUACAAUUUUUUGAAUAAAAAUAAUCACAAUAAUUAAAAUACAAAUUAAUAAUUAUGACAAUAAUUAAUUAAUGUCUUUUUAGUAAUUUGUAAUAAUCUAACUCAUUUUGGUUCUGAUUAUUACAGCUUAAGUAAACAAAUUAUUAUGAUUCCUAUUCUCCUUUCCCAUUUUAACUCACUUUGAUUCCAGUCUAUUCCGAUUUCUAUUUAAUAAAUGCACCAUUAGUGCUAAAGUAAUAUUUCAUACAUAGAAAAAUAAAAACUACGCCUAAGGUUAAGGGAAAAGACUUCAAAAUUCUCUUUUGAUCAUAAUACAUUUUGUCCUAAUUAACUUAAAGAUUUUGAAUCUAAUAUUUUAUAAUAAAUAAAAAUAUAUUCCUAAAAUAAAUAUAAUAUCAAUAUUUAAAAUAUGUUUUAAUAUUUUACAAUCUAUCAUACACAUUUUAUUAUAUUAAAGUAGAUUUAUAAUAAAUAUAUAAAAAUUUAGAAUAUUUAGAAUAUUAUAUAAAAUAAUUUUAAUAUAAUGCGUGAUAUAUAUUUUAUUAAUUUAAAAUGUCAUUUUACCUAAAAAAUAUGAUAAAUUAAUAAUUACAUAUUUGAAGUUAUUUCAAAUAUUAAAAAAAUUUAAUAUUAUUAAUCUUUUAGAUAGAUUAAAUUAUUUUUUAUAAGAGAGAUUAAAUUAUUUUAAAAUGCCUUAAUUGUUUUUACUUUUAACGUUACGGGCCUUUCUUUUAUUUUAUUGCAAAUUAAUGCUAACUAGAAAAACAAAAACAAAAGUGACAAACACAACCAGCUGGAAUCUUUUAUAAAACUACAAAUUAAAAUGGAUUUUUUUUUUUUGUUGAUAAAUUACACAUGAAAGUGGAUUCUUUUGAAUAUAAGUGGGGUAGGCUCUUUUAUUUUUUUUUUAAUACCGUAUAACAGGACUGUAGACUCUUUUAUUAAGCACAAAUAUAGAGUUGUCGAGACAAUUAGGGUCUUUUAUUAAACUACAAAUUGUAUAGUCUUUUUUAAAUUGUUCAGAUAUUUAUAAAUUGGUGGCCCCUACAAUCCUCAAUAAUUGUACCGAUAUUCACAAGCUGGUGGCCCCUACAAUCCUUAAUAAUUGUUUUUUUUUUUUUCUGCAUUCCCUUUCAUGCUCUUAAUAAUUAAAGAGCAUACUUUUCAAAUGUGGAGCCGCGGCUAAUGUCGCUAAUUUAAUUUGGGAUUAAAUUAGGGGACUAUUAUAUUGCAGUGUGCACUAAUUUUUAUGUUUAUCUAAACUCCUUAAAUUUAAGAUAUAUUAUGGCAUAAAUAAGAAUAUAACAAUAGCAAAAGAGUUAGAAAGUGUAGAGAAGAUCUUGCAGAAAUAUAAAUAAUAUUUAUUUUAAAAUAAUAUCAAUAUUUAAAAUAAUUUUUAUUAUUUUAUGAUCCAUUAGAUAUAUUUUAUUAUAUUAAAGUAAAUUUUAUAAUAAAUAAAAACAUACUAUUAAAAUGAAUAUAUAGAAAAUUUAGAGUAUUUUAAGUAUUAUAUAAAAUAAUUUUAAUAAAAUAUGUGAGAUAUUCAUAUUUUAUUAAUUUAAAAUACCAUUUAACCUAAAGAUUUAUUUAUGAUAAAUUAAUAAUUAUAUUUUUGAAAUUACUUCAAAUAUUAAAAAAAUUAAUAUUACUAAUCUAUUAGAUAGAUUAAAUUAUAUAUAUUAUUUUCUAUUUAUUAAAAAAUUUCAAAUUAUUUUUAAUUACUAUUCAAAAAAUAUGAUGAUAAAAAAAUCUUAACAUCUUUAUUAAAAAAUUAAAAACUUACAUGAUCAAUUCUCUAAAUAUUUAGGGUAUAUGUGAACCACGGUGGACAGAGGUCAUUACUAAAAUUUCUCUUCCACAGGCAAUUACAGCAGCUCCAGUUUAUCAAACUCAACCAAUUUUCUUUCUUAACAAAAUUCCAAAGAUGUGUAGCUUUUUUCAGAUCACAUGCGAUGGUGCUUUUUUCAAUCGUUGCUUGGAUUGCUUUCUUGGAAAAGCAGCAUACAUACGUAACCUCCAAGAUAAUCUUGAUGCCUUGGACACUGAACUGGGAAGACUAAUCGCAGCAAAGAACGAUGUGAUGAUUAGGGUUGUCAAUGCUGAACGGCAAUAAAUGAGAAGGCUGGACGGAGUGCAAGUGUGGGUUUCGAGUGUGGAUGCUGUUAAAACUGGAGCCGAUGAACUUAUCACAGACGGCUCUGAAGAAAUUGGCAAAUUAUGUGUUGGAGGCUACUGUUCCAAGAACUGCAGGUCAAGCUACAAAUUCGGAAAACAAGUGGCUAGAAAGCUACGAGAUGUGGAGACUUUAAUCGCCGAAGGAGUUUUUGAGGCGGUGGCUACUGAGGUGGUGCCUGAGAGAGCUCCAGAGCCUGUAGCAGAUGAAAGACCUACCGAGCGAAAAGUAGUAGGCUUGCAAUCACAACUUGAACAAGUCUGGACGUGUCUUGUGGAAGAAUCAGCGGGAAUCAUUGGCCUAUACGGUAUGGGCGGUGUUGGUAAAACCACACUAUUGACCCAUAUCAACAAUAAAUUUCUCGAGAGUCCAACCAACUUUGAUUGUGUGAUUUGGGUAGUAGUUUCAAAAGACCUGCGACUUGAAAAACUUCAAGAAGAUAUUGGGAAAAAGAUAGGUUUGGUUGGUGAUUCAUGGAAGAGUAGAAGUGCAGAGGAGAAAGCUCUCGACAUCUUCCGGAGUCUAAGAGGGAAGAGAAUUGUAUUGUUGUUAGAUGAUAUAUGGGAGCGGGUUGAUUUAACAAAAGUGGGCGUUCCACUUCCUGGACCACAAAAUACUACCUCAAAAGUCGUAUUCACAACNNNNNNNNNNNNNNNNNNNNNNNNNNNNNNNNNNNNNNNNNNNNNNNNNNNNNNNNNNNNNNNNNNNNNNNNNNNNNNNNNNNNNNNNNNNNNNNNNNNNNNNNNNNNNNNNNNNNNNNNNNNNNNNNNNNNNNNNNNNNNNNNNNNNNNNNNNNNNNNNNNNNNNNNNNNNNNNNNNNNNNNNNNNNNNNNNNNNNNNNNNNNNNNNNNNNNNNNNNNNNNNNNNNNNNNNNNNNNNNNNNNNNNNNNNNNNNNNNNNNNNNNNNNNNNNNNNNNNNNNNNNNNNNNNNNNNNNNNNNNNNNNNNNNNNNNNNNNNNNNNNNNNNNNNNNNNNNNNNNNNNNNNNNNNNNNNNNNNNNNNNNNNNNNNNNNNNNNNNNNNNNNNNNNNNNNNNNNNNNNNNNNNNNNNNNNNNNNNNNNNNNNNNNNNNNNNNNNNNNNNNNNNNNNNNNNNNNNNNNNNNNNCAGGAAGUCCUAGUGCGUGCUAUCAGAAAAGAUGCUGGGAACUGUUUCGCGAAAAUGUUGGGGAAGAAACUCUUGAGAGUGAUCAUGAGAUCGUUGAGCUAGCCCAAACUGUGGCCAAAGAGUGUGGUGGUUUGCCACUCGCACUUAUUACUAUUGGUCGAGCUAUGGCCUACAGAAAGAAAGCGGAGCAGUGGAGACGUGCAAUUGAAGAGUUAAGAAGAUCAGCUUCAGAGUUUGCAGGUUUGGGAAAAGAGGUGUAUCCUCUUUUAAAGUUUAGCUAUGAUAGUUUGCAGAAUGAUACAAUUAGAUCUUGUUUCUUGUAUUGUUGUUUAUAUUCUGAAGAUUAUGGCAUUCUUAAAUGGGACUUGAUUGAUUGUUGGAUUGGUGAGGGAUUUUUGGGGGAAUCUGACAGGUUUGGUGCAGAAAACCAAGGAUAUGACAUUUUGGACACUCUUGUUCGUGCAUGUUUAUUAGAAGAGGUGGAAGAAGAUGAAGUAAAAAUGCAUGACGUUAUUCGUGAUAUGGCUAUAUGGAUAACCAGUGAAAUUGAGAAGGAGAAGAGAAACUUUUUGGUUUGUGCAGGUGCUGGAUUAGAAGAGGCACCGGAUGUUAAAGAAUGGGAAAAUGUGAGAAGAUUGUCAUUGAUGCAAAACCAAAUUGAAACUCUGUUUGGGGUUCCCACAUGCCCUCAUCUCAUCACUUUAUUUAUUGACUUUAAUAGGGAGUUGAAGACUAUCGCGGAUGGCUUCUUCCGAUGUGUGCCUUCUCUCAAAGUUUUGAAGAUGUCAAACUGUGGAAAGCCUUAGAAAGGUUUGGAAUUACCUUUGGGGAUGUCAAAGUUGGGUUCACUACAACUUCUUGAUAUUUCACACACCUGCAUACAAGAAUUACCACAAGAAUUAAAGUUGUUGGUAAAUCUGAAAUGUUUGAAUUUGAGGCGGACAAUUUGGUUAAAUAAAAUUUCAUGGCAACUAAUAUCAAAAUUUUCAAGGUUACGUGUGUUGAGAAUGUUCGCUACUGGCUGGUUCAGUUUUCAUGAAGCACCAGAAGACAGCGUUUUAUUUGGUGGGGGUGAAGUUUUGAUACAGGAAUUGCUCGGUUUGAAAUAUUUAGAGGUAUUGGAGUUGACCUUGGGAAGUUAUCAUGCUCUCCAAAUUCUUUUGAGCUCAAAUAAGUUAAAAAGUUGUAUUCGAUCUCUUUUCCUACAGUUGUUCAGAGAUACAACGUCGAUUAUUGAUGCUACGGCUUUCGCAGAUCUAAACCACCUCAAUCAAUUAUGUAUUAGUAACGGUUCUGAGUUGGAAGAAUUGAAGAUUGAUUAUACGGAGAUAGUACGAAAAAGGCGGGAACCUUUUGUUUUCCGCAGCCUUCAACGUGUUACCAUAGAGGAGUGCCAUAAAUUGAAAGAUUUGACAUUCCUCGUUUUUGCUCCAAACCUCAAGUCUCUUUCGCUAUACGAUUGCGGUGCUAUGGAAGAAAUAAUCAGCGUCGGAAAAUUUGCUGAGACUCCUGAGAUGAUGGGACAUAUAAGCCCUUUUGAAAAUCUCCAAAUGCUUUAUUUAAUGGCAUUGCCGGAGUUGAAGAGCGUCUACUGGAAGCCAUUGCCUUUCACUCAUCUGAAAGAAAUGGAGGUACUUGGGUGUGAUCAGCUUAAAAAGCUUCCACUCGAUUCCAACAGUGCAAAAGAGCGUAAAUUUGUAAUUCUUGGAGACACACAGUGGUGGAACCGUCUUCAAUGGGAGGAUGAAGCCACUCAAAUUGCUUUUCGUUCCUAUUUCCAAACCUGAUUCCUGAGCGGUGGUCGCAAAAUUUGAUUUCUGGUGAGUGCGUUUGUCUUUUAAAAGAAGAAUUUAAAAGAAAUUUAUUCUUGUCGUUUUCUUCUCUGUUUUUAUUUCAGUUUGUUUCUCUCUCUCUCUUUUUGUCUUCUGCAAAUCACAAUUAAAUGUUGAAUUAAUGGAAUUAAUGCUUCAUAAAUUUGCCGGCACUGCCAGUACUUUUUUUUUUUUUUAAUACGAAUUGAUGCUUUAUUUAUUUCUUCUUAGCGAUUUAAUUUCCUGUCAAAAGACGAGCGAGAAGAACAUAUGACUUAAACCAAUUGAUACUUUAUUUAUGUGCAUUGUAUGUAAUAAAAUUUUCUCUGUUUUUUUCAAAUUGAGGCUUUAUUUAUAUUUUCUUCGUGAAGAGUGAUUUAAUUUCCUGCCAAAAGACAAACGAGAAGAACAUUAGAGUCAAACUAAUGCUCACAUAAAUUUCCCGUAAGAAUAUAUAUAUAAUUAGACUGGAAUGCACACCUCUAGAUUGAACAGAAUUAAAGCUGAGAAAAUAUUGAGUAUAGUAGCCCUCUUUACAGAAAAUGACGCGAAAGUUAAUUUAGAAAGAUAUAUUCUUGAUUAAUCCAUUUUCUGAAGUUUUUUAUUUUGUAUGGUCAAUUAUACCUUCAUACUAAAAAAAAAAAAAAAAAAGAGAAAAUAUGUAAUCCAUGAAUGGUUAAUUUUGUUUGUUUGUUUUUUUUUCUUAAAUAUCAUUCUUUUUCGGCCACCCAAGGACAUUUUCACAAAUACCUUUUGUGUGCAGAAGUCUUCCAAACCAUCAAUGGAAAAAUAAAAAAUAAAAAAAACACGGUCCAGUAUACCUCAAAAUAUCAUUGAUGACUUUUCUGGUCUAAUGCUAUGUAAAUAGUAUGUUAAGUAAAACAUAAUCAGUUCAGUACCUCACAAAUAAUUCGCAAUAUCUACAAAAUACUAUAAUGGCUACAAAACAAAUCCUGCUUGCAAAUUGUCAAGGAUACCUAUCCGUUCGCUUGACAAGUCAUUUGAAUAAAUAUUGUUCACAUUCCUUACUCUGUCAAUUAUCCAAAGCACCAUCAACUUUAGUUUGAAUAGUAUACAUGCCAUCACCGUUACCAAGAAUCAAGCAUGGAAGGGUCAUUCUAUAGAGUGCAGAACAUGACUCUAUGCGGUAGUCAAUUUGACACACGACGAACACCAUAUGCUGCAUAACAUACAAAUUAAUUUCCCAUAUGUGAUGCAAUUUUCUCCUCAACAUAUGCGCAAUUCUUUCCAUUCCGGCAUUUACACUCAAAUUUUCCUUCCUUUCUCUUUGUGGUUGAAUCUUACACCACAACUCAUGUGAUGCAAUCUCCUCUCGCUGCCUAAAUUGCACUCUCAGCAAAGCAGCAUAUGUAAGCAAGCUUGAAGAUAAUCUUGCUGCUCUGCAGAAGAACGGCAAAAGUUAAUCGAAGCAAGGAAUGAUGUAUCAGAAAAUAUUUGGUGGAGAAUUCAGCACAAACAUAUUUCGGAUGAUCAGAAUCAAUAAAACCUGGUGGUUGUGCCAUAUAAACAUCUUUGGAAAGCUGACCUUGAAGAAAGGCGUUAUUGAUAUCCAAUUGAUGAAGAGGCCAGCCAUGACUAACAUCAAUACUAAGAACAAGCCGUACUGUGGUGGACUUAACAACUGGACUGAAAGUGUCAUAAUAGUCCACACCAGGCCAUUGAUUGAACCCUUUGGCAACAAGAUGAGCUUUAAACCUGUCAACAGAACCGUUGGAAUGUCUUUUAAUACAAAAAUCCAUUUGCAGCCAACAAUAUUGGAAGGGAUGGGAGGUGGAACAAGCUUCCAUGUCCCGUUACGAACAAGAGCAUCAUACUCUUCUGACAUAGCUGGACGCCAGUGAAGAUUUUUGAUAGCUUGCGUCACAGUUGUAGGUUCACAAUCAGAAGAAGGGCUAAAAUGAGCACGGAGGUUAAGUUUUUGUAACGGCUUGUGAAUCUUAUUUUUAGCUCGGGUAGUCAUAUCAUGAUGACUUGUGGGGCAAUGAUCUAGUGGAGUUUAGGAAGAUGAUUGAACAGGAAGUGAAGAAGUGCUUUGUGUAGAGGUAGAAGUAGGUUGGGAGGAUUGCUGCGGAGAUGUUACCGGUAGAGAAGAAGGAGCAGUACACGGUGGCAACUCCAGAGGGCCCACAAUAGAUGGAGUAGGUGCCGACAAUGGAGUACUAGGAAAUGAAACAGGAAGAAUUGGUGGAACACUUGCAUAAUUAGGAGUGGUAGAUGAGCUUGUAAUGAUUUGCAUGGAAAAACAAACUCUACAAAUUUAACGUGACGUGAAAUAAAAAUUUGAAAGGUGGAUGGGUCAAAACAUAAAUAAGCACUUUGAGAUAAAGGAAUAUCCUAGAAAAACACAAGGCUUAGAGGGUGGUUCGAGUUUAUGUGAUGAAACACAAACAUUCAAAAAAUUUUAAGUUUAUAUUAAUUAGGAGUGGUACCAAAAAUUAAUUAGCUAUGGGGUUGUUGGAUGUGUUUUGGAUAUUUACAGUUAAGUUUGAGUAUCUCAACUUAAAAUUUGUAGUUUUCACUUGAAAAAAUUCAGUUAAAUUUUGCAAUGCAGACUGAUUGAUUUAUCAGUUUAACGUGUGCCAGGAAUGAAGAACUGGAAUAUCACCGUCAAGCAAGCACCCUGUGGAGCAAUACCAAAGAAUGCACAAUCUGGCUUUGCUAGGUAACACUGGAGGCUUUUUGAAAAGUGCUUCACGCUCACUUGCACAGAUUGAGCAUCCCCUCUGGAUAUUGCCCUCUCUGAUCGAGUCUGAGCACUCAAAUUUUGGUCCUCAGAGGGAGCUACAGUUUUCUCUCCACUAACCAACAAUAUUCUAAACUCAGCACCUAGUGUGAUCAGAGUUGUUGAUAUUUGCAAAUGGAGAUCCCCAUAUUUGCAAAUGGAGACAUUUAACAAAUCACCAACAUGCUUCAUCCGGUCCACGAAAUUCUGCAACUGAUGCAAAUCUGGAACCUGAACCAGAGUCGGAGGUAUAUCUUGAGCCAUAUCUAAAGCAGUUUGAAGUUCAAGACCUUGAGCCCUUGACAAUGGUUUUGAAAUUGGAACAUCUUGGAUUACUGCAGACUUGUACCCCUUGGUUUCAAAGGUAAGGAAAGGCAUUGCUUGAGUACAAUUUGGAGGCAGCUUCUUCACCAAUUUUAUUUGGAGGCGAUUGGCAGCGGAUCCAGCUGCACCAAUUUCAGAGCAACUACUGACACUACUUCGAACAGCACACUGAAGAAGUGAUAUGUCUACGGCGAAGGCAAUGCAGUCCUCAUUUUGGCUUGAGACACAGUAAUCAUCGAAGAGAGUUUCCUUGUGAAACUGGGCAACACAUUGAAUCCCUUCGGCACUGAGAAGGUUGUGGAGGAAGUAAGCUUUCUCUCUAGUAAGGAAGAGGUGGCAUACAUUCCCCAUUUUGUCUAGGGCAGGUAGGAAUCUUUUUUCUAAGAGAUUUACUUCAUUCUCUGUGAGAAAUGCUUUGAACUUCAUCCCUCUGUCUCUAUCCUCACUUAUCAGUAAAAUAGUUGAAAGCGCUACAAGGAGAGAAAAGAAGAGUAUUAAGAUAUAUAUAUUAUAUAGACAAGAAAAACAUUAGAUGUCGAUCUUACAAGCUAAUACUUCAAACAAUAUCCUAGAAAGCUAAAAACUGCAAGAUGGCUUGAAAUUUGAAAAGAGCACGUGCUUUUCCUCCUUAACUUGAGAAAAUGUUUAAUAUAGUGCACCUUACAGAAGCAUUUAAGCAAUUAGAACUUUGCACAAAAACAUCAAGAAGACUAAACAAGUCAGAUGCAGUGUAUUUGUCCAAGCACAAAUUGCAUUUUGUCCUCAACUUUAAUAUUUAUUGAUGAGAAUCAAUACAGGUCCCUCAUUUGUUAUAGAAAGCUUUCUUGUAGUCUCACCAGUUAAUAUGGAUAUUAGAUAAGGAAACUUUAUUAGGUUGCGAGGGUAAAAAAGGAAAGAGAUAUCAUUAUUUUAUUAUCGAUAAUUAUUAAAUUUUUUUCCAAAAAAAAGAACAAGCAAGGAUAUUUUAUUGUCAAUUGCAACCUUUAAUUUUUUUAAAUGCUAUUAGAAACACAAGAUAACAAAAAUGUAGUGAGAUGGGAUCUCCUGCAUGCCACUCUGGUUUAGAACACAAAGAAUGUGUCUGCAUAAAUAUCCUCUGAAAUUGAACAACCCACAAACACAAAGCACCUCCAAGUCGGAGGCAUUGUACAAAACAUCAAAAGCCCUUGAAUCCUUCUCGUUGCCACCAACCUCGAAUUCUUCCUUCACUAUGUAUGUUAUAGGUCCAUCAGAACUAAUAUGUUUUGUGCUAUAGUAAGAGUACAUAGCCUCCACCUCCAUCUGAAACUUCCUUAACAUUUCAUUUGUGUACAGUUUUGAGAGUUGAAAUUCAUAGUAACAUCUUGGUUUCCGGAUACAACUUGAAUUUCUUGAAUCCAUAUCUGCCAAGGCUACCAGUUGAUAAUUCGCCUGCAGUGCUUGAUCAUACUUGUCUAAGAAUUCUUUCAAAGGAGUAUUCUUAUCAAGAUAUCCUUCAAAGUAUGAAGUAGAAACCUCAUUCUGCAGGAACGAAAACACUCCUGAUAAAAAAGCUUCCUUCAAAUAAAUAGGAGCCCACCUUUUAUGAUCUUCAUAUAAAGUUUGAAUCCAUCCGUGAUCCUUUAUUCCAUGACAUUGAAUCAUGUCUUCCCAAGCUGCUUCAAAUUUCUCAGGCCUGAGAGAGUGAUAAAUUGCUCUAUGUAAUGCAGCUUUAAUAGCUUCAUAUUCAAACAAUCCUUGGAGUUUCUCUGGAAUUUUUUUGCAUGAUGCAUGACAAUGAAAAGAAAUGAUAAGCUCUUGGGAAAACAUCACCAACAGCAAUUUGCAAGAUUCUACAUUGGUCAGUGAUGAUUGUUUGUGGAGAGCGCCCUAACAUACAUGUAAGCCACGCCGUAAACAACCAUGUAUAUGAUUCUAUGGUCUCACUGGCAAGUAAACCACAACCCAACAACACUGAUUGUCCAUGAUGAUUCACCCCAAUGAAUGAAACCAGUGGUACAUCAUAUCUUUCAGUCAGGCACGUAGUAUCAAUUAAGACCACAUCACCAAAGUACCUAUAUGCAACUCUUGACCUGGUAUCAGUCCAGAAUAGGUUUUUCAAGCAUCCCUUUUCAUUUAGAUCCACUACAUUAAAAAAGUUUGGAUCUGUCAACUGCAAAUGACAAAAGAAACUCUGGACAGCUUGUGCAUCUCCUGGUUUAAGCUUCAAUUGAUUUGAGCUAUUAACAUUAUUUCCAAAUACUCCAUUAACAUCUACCAUUUCCCUUGGUAUCAAUGAUAAGAGUUCGAAACAGUUUAAUUUUUUGAACUUCUUCAGCACUAUCUAAAUGCAAUGUUCUUUUGGUUCCAAUACCUAUGUGCUUAUGUGACUUGUAAAACUUUCCGCUUCUUGGGCUUAACAAGUGGUUAUGCUCAAGCUCGACUUCAAUGAUUCUCCACCUUUUGGUUUCCAUCAACCUAAACUUUAUCAUUGCUGGACAGCCAGUUCUUGUUUCUGGUCUUGGGCGGUUUGCCUCGCUUUUCUUCUUGAAGCCUGCACUACUACAGCUCAGCUUUCCUCUAUACUUUUCUCUACUCUUUCGGUACCAUGGAUUGCUAACUCUAACACCAAAACCCUGUUCCUUGGCAUAGCAAUUGUAAAAGUAAUAUACAUCAUCAUACAUCUCAAACUCCAUUCCAACAGUAGGAGGCAAGGGAUUUUGGAUUAUCCCAGUUUGUCCAACAUAUUCAGUCAUCGCACAAUCUCCUACAACCUCAAAAUCAUCAGUGUCAUCAUCACCUACUGGUUCGGUGUUGAGAGAAACUUCAUCCAUCUACAAUGGAUGUUCAAUGAAGUGAGCUUUAAGGAGAAAAAGCAAAAUCUGUUCAAGGAAUGAUAAUAUAAUCAUACAGUUACUUUCACAAAGCUUCAUAUUUCAUCACUGCUUUACCAACAUGCAACUGCCAGAGAACAAACAGACAUGUCAUAGACGCUUGAAUUAAGUAUUGGUACAAAUGAGCACACAUCAUGUGGGACAAAAUUUCAGUCACUAAACCCAAUACCACUUUUUACAUCAUACCAAGGAACAGAUUAAACCCGACACCUUCUUUUAAACCAUACCAAGGAACAGAUUAAAUCAUCAAUGAAAAAUUAAUCACAUAAUAACUUAACCAGACAAAUGAAGAGCCUGAAACAGCACAAAACUUGAAUCUGAUUAUGAUAAUUGUUGAGUCCUUGUAUCUACAGCUUUCCUUCAAUGAUAAGACAAUGAACAUAAACGAGACACAAAAAAAUUAUUUUAAACUGACAGCCCAUGAUAUAAAUCAAACAAAAUCAACUCCUUUUUUUACACAUUACAUCUCAUAUUCAUUUACAUUGAAACACAAAAAGGAAGCAGGAGUGGGAAAAAAACAACAGCAGAGGAACUUAUUUCCAUAAGGUUUACGAAAUAAGGAAUCUAUUAAAACCCAAAACUUGAGGUCACCACUAAGAAUUUGGUUCUCAUUAUUUUUUUCUUCAUUUUUCACCAAUUGAUGAACUUAAAAUACAAUCAUAAAUGAUAAAACCCCAUCUCCAUCUUUUUGAACUAGAGCUAAAGCAAAGCAUUUUAAGAUGUUUCAUCAUUUUUUUUUUUAAAAAAAACUCAAUAGUACAAUGUUUUUCAAUGCUAAAUGCACAAUUCAAUCUUCUCCUAAUUUACUCUAAUAAUCUCUUAAUUAAGGAAGAUUAAGCUUCAGUUGUAAGCUAAAACAAAUUUCUUAAAUCAAGCCCCAAUGCUUUAUGCUAUUCAACAAGGGCUCAUAAAUGAUAAAACUACUUCUAUAAAGAUACCCAUUUUCUAAAUUAAUUUCACAAACUGAAAUCAAACUCCUGAAACGUAACGAGCAUUAAUAUAAUCAAGCCCGAACAAGAAUUGAAAAAUGAUACAUAAACUCGUUUACACAUUUCGACAGACACUUUGCAAUCAAUGAGCAAAAAAUUAAUGGAGAAGAUAAAAUUCAAACGAAACAUGCCUUACAUUGAUAAAUUAGAAGGGCAAAAGAAAUUUUAGUACGAUAUGCGAUCAGGGUCUUGCCACGGUGAUGUUAUUUGUGAAGUUCGAGCGACUCAGCAGCCUUCGAGGUUGAAAAUUUGAUUGACCAAAAGCUUCCCGUUCGUUGAUUCUCUAAUAGUAGAAACGAGACUGGCAGUAUACACAAGAAGUUCGCCGAUUUUAAAUUCCGUUGUUUGAGAUGGAAAAUUUUUUGAAAAAAUUAAUGUGUUCGAUGAAAAUCAAAAUCUCAAAAACCUCUUGUUUUUCAUUUUUUUGGAAAAAACCAUUGAGAUCCUUACUAUUUUUUCUUAUAUCAUCUUCCUUAAUAAUUUGCAAAGUCUAUCGCAUAGCACCCAUGUAUGAUGUAUGCUGCGUUGUAAUUUACAAAAUUGCACAUGAAUAAAUCCAGCUAAAAUUUGUUAAAAGAAAAUAAUAAUAACAUGUUAAAACUUUAAAAUUUGAUUAUUCGAAGAAAUUUUAAUUUAGUUAAGUAGGUGACAUGAUAAUAAAUAGAUACGUAUAAUGUCCGAGAUUUUUUAUAAGAUUAAUAAAUAUGAUAAAUUUGGAUUAGUUCAAUUUUGACAUAAUUCAUAAUAAACACAGCUUGCUAAUCUAAAUUGCCACCGUUACUCAUCAUCAGGUACCUGUUUGAAAAAUAAUUACAAACAAUUUUAUUUGUGUUGUUUCUCUAAAAGUUUGAGACACAAAUGUUAUUUCAAAUUGAUAAAAGUACGAAAAUUCCCCCUUGCUCUUCAACUAAAAAUGAAACAUGCAAAUAUACACACUAAUUUAGAUGUGUGAAUAACAAAUAUGGAACGACACAUGCAAAGUCAUCUGUAUAAUUGAAACGCCAUGCACUAGUAGUAGGUAAGAGAAACCAAGGUUGAAGUUGCUCCAAUGGUUACUGUUAAUUUAUUUUUAUUUAUGAUUUUUUUUGUAAAAUGUAAGAAAUAUGUAGAAAUGUUGCCAGCAAUGAUUUUGGAACUUUGCAUAAAAUUUUUAUCAUUAUUGUUUUUGGUAUUAAGAAAUCCGAGGCGGUGAUUAGACGUAUGUUGCAACAAUUAAGAAAUUUCUUAUUGGAGAUAAUUUGGUAGGUUUGCAGCAAUUAGAGAAUAAUUUUCCUGCCAGUUAAUCAAUCAAUAAUAAAUUUCAAAUUGCAGAAAAUAAAAUAAUACAGCCUCACUUAGAAUCAUCUUUUCUAUCUCUUUCAAUUGUGGCAAUCAUUUGCAACAAAUAAAUCAAUUUGAUGCACAUCAUUUCCCCAAUUCAAAGUUCAAGUCACUGCUCAAUUACAGAGUAGUUAGUGGACAUGCAUGCAUGUUUAAUUAAGUACUGCAUUGUAGUAUCGAAAAUCAUAACAUCUCACCAAUAUCAGAUUAUUAACCAUGGAAAUCAUAUCACAAUAUCAUAUAGAAUUCACAAAUCUGAAAAUCAUCACCAAACAAGUACCCAGAGAAAUAAUCUCGUCAUAUCCAGACCUCAACGGACGGGCAAUGACGUACUAUUUGGGUAACGUCACACCCUGGAGCUACACGGAUAAAUAGGAAAAUACCAUCUCAUAUCUCAUCAUAUUUGUGCAUGCAUAAUCUAGUCCCCAAGGGACAAAAGCGCCCAAGCACACGGCCCAAAGCCUCUAUGUGUACUCAGACGGGCCCCAAAGGCCUGUAUCUCAUAUGUAUCAUAUGUAUCAUUUGUAUCUCAAUAUCUGUUUGUAUCUCAUUUCCGUAUAUCUAUAAUCAUCAUACCGCAUGCAUAUGCCCCCAAAAGACAAAAGCGCCCAAACACAUGGCCCAAAGCCUUUAUAUGUGUUUAGACGGGUCCCAAAAGCCUCUUAUCUCAUCUUAUCUGUAUCACUGUAUCUGGAGAGAAGGGUACUGUCUAAUGAUUUAAAAAACAAUCAUUAUACUCAUAUUUACAUACCUCUUAAUCAUAUUUGAAAUCAUAUCACAUUUGAAUCCACUUUUCUAAUCUUUAAAAUAUUAUCAUGCUUUAUUCAAAGUCGAUACGCAAAAUCAAUAACCAAACAUUUUAAAUCAAAUUAUUAACCAUGGAAAUCAUAUCACAAUAUCAUAUAGAAUUCACAAAUCUGAAAAUCAUCACCAAAUAAGUACCCAAAGAAAUAAUCUCGUCAUAUCCGGACCUCAACGGACGGGCAAUGACGUACUAUCUGGGUAACGUCACACCUUGGAGCUACACGGAUAAAUAGAGAAAUACCAUCUCAUAUCUCAUCAUAUCUGUGCAUGCAUAAUCUAGUCCCCAAGGGACAAAAGCGCCCAAGCACACAGCCCAAAGCCUCUAUGUGUACUCAGACGGGCUCCAAAGGCCUGUAUCUCAUAUGUAUCAUAUGUAUCAUUUGUAUCUCAAUAUCUGUCUGUAUCUCAUAUCCGUAUAUCUAUAAUCAUCAUACCGCAUGCAUAUGCCCCCAAAAGACAAAAGCGCCCAAACACAUGGCCCAAAGCCUUUAUAUGUGUUCAGACGGACCCCAAAAGCCUCUCAUCUCAUCUUAUCUGUAUCACUGUAUCUGGAGGGAAGGGUACUGUCUAAUGAUUUAAAAAAUAAUCAUUAUACUCAUAUUUACAUACCUCUUAUCAUAUUUGAAAUCAUAUCACAUUUGAAUCCACUUUUCUAAUCUUUAAAAUAUUAUCAUGCUUUAUUCAAAGUCGAUACGCAAAAUCAAUAACCAAACAUUUUAAUAAAAUACCAAUGCAUAAAUAAAAUUCAUUUCGAGAAAUCAUUAAAUCAGAACAUUUAAAAUACUUAUUUCGCAAACAUGCUUUACUAUCAUCGCUAACUAUGAAAAUAAGUUUUGUAUAUUCCACUUUCAGUGAUGGUGUUCACGGUCGGUUAUCGUCCAUAUCUGCAGACCGAUUCUCGCUCGCGAAUCCUCCUAAAUCAAGGAAACGACAUAAUUAUUUUUUGUAAAUCGGAAUUAUGACUAAAUUUUAUGCAAUAAACUCAAAACGAACAUCUAUUCAUAAUUGACAACUCCUAUAUCCAUAAAAUUACUAAAAUAUCCUUGAGUCCGUAGAUCAUUAACAUGCUCCGAAAUCGUAAAUCACUGAAUUACCCUCGGAAUCGUAAUUACACCCGAUCCUCAAUUAUAGGAAUUACUAACAGAUCCACAGGCUUAGAAAUUACAAAAUUGCCCUCGUAGUGUGAAAUUACCAAAAGCCGGAAGUUGGUCAACAAUGGCUAGGAAGCUCAAAUCGUAAAGUUCCAAUCACGCUGAGUUCAAUGGUACCGGCGGUGAGCUCCAACGCGCGACAACGAUGCCAGAAUCUAGCUCGGCAGCCGUGAAUUCCACCAAUCGACCGGCGGCACAACAGUGACUCUCGGUGCCUAUGGAUGGUCGAAAAUGGAAGAGGGAGCCGUGGGGAACAAAAUCCAACCGGUGGUGUCACCAAAACCGGUGAAAAUCCCGGCGGAGCAAAGUGAAACAGUCGCGGGUUUCAUGCUUCGAUCGCCGGUGUUCCGAUUGGUUUUUGGCGAGGAGGAUGGCAAGGGAACGACAGCCGGCUUCUAAGCUUCAGAUUGGUACCAAGCUCGGCCGAAACGAUGGCCGGAAAUGGGAGAUAUGACCGGGUCAAGGUCGCGGGUUCCGGGUCGGGUUUUUUGGUCUGUAGUUGGGUCGGUUUGGUAGCUUCUCUCUCACUCUCUGUUACACGUGCAUAUGUUUCCUCUGUUUCCAGCUUAUUCUUUUGCUUUUACUAACUUCUUAACCGCCUCAUACUUAUUCAUUUUUAAUUCACAUAUGUUACAAUAAUUCCCGAGUAUUAAAUAACCAGUGGUCAUAAUUUUUGUACAAGAUUCUUUUUUUUUUUUGGAGAUCGUUAAAAGUGGUUGACGAUCCAUUUCGUAAUAUCAUAGAGGGAUCAUCAAUUCCUUUUCUUUUCUGUGGCUAGGCAACACUUUUUGGCCAAAGUAAGGAAAUCUAUUUUAGGUAAUGUAAAAACCAGUUGUAGGAUGUAAUAGUUUAUUAUGCACUGACAAUAACUUUUUGUAUAAUUGUCAGUUUAAUGAAUGCAAGAGGAACUCUGUUGGCAAAUUCAUCCAAGAUAGAUGCUAAAAUUAUUUAUGCAUGCCAGUUGCCUUAACUAAGUUUUCUCAGCACUGGUUUUGAACAGGAAAAUGAAUAUGCAAUUUGUAUAUUGUGCCAUAGUGGAGAAUUUGGAUAUUCUUAUUUAAGUAACAAGGAGAUUAUUUGCCUCAUCUUUAAACAAUGAAUCUUUGAGAGAUGAGGAGUGGGUGAUUGGAUGUGUCUUCAUGUAAUUGUUCAUUUAUUUGUAUUUUGAACUGUUAUGAAAAUCUUUAUAUGCCAAAUUAGUAAUACAAGUAUUCAGAUGAUUUUUCCUAUUGAUCAUGCAUUUGUAUCUGCCCACAACCAUUGUAUAUCACUUUAUUCUGAUGCGCAAGCAUCUGUAAUUUAGAAGAAAAGAAAUAAUAAUCAUAUUUUAUUGCUUGGUUCAUGAUUAUUAACGAUUAUGGCUUUAAAAAUCUACAAAUUUCUUGUGUUCAUGUAUGAAUGUGCCAAGUUUGCUGUAUCUUAGAUUACCUUCUUCCAAGGUAACAAGUUCAUAUAUAUAUAUUUUUUAAAUCAUUUUCCAUUACAGUUGAAUUUCAAGUGUUAGUUUUGUUAUUAGUACCUGGUUUCCUGUUAUAAGGAUCUAAUAAACAGUGUACGGAUAUGUGCUCUACUUUUGGAGGGCUUCCACGUGAAAGAAAAUUACAACAAUUGAAUUCUUCCGGAGGAUAUGGUAAUUAAUUUAUUUUCUCAACUUCUUGUAAGACUAAUAUAUUUCCUUCAGUAGGCACAGCAUGGUGGGAAGGGUUUUUAUUGAAAGAAUUCUGAUAUUUCUUAGACUUUGUUUUGGAAGGGGGUGGAGGAAUUUCUCAUCCAUAUAUGGUUACUUGAUUAGCUUUUGACUGUAUUGUCUCUGUCGUGCAAAGGAAAAUCUAAAUACUAACGAUGGGGAAUUGCUUAGGCACCCAAAAGGCAGAAAUGAAUUACAGAAGGAAGUUUUUGCUGCUUUAUUUAGUGCUGCUGAGAAAUCUGAUGAAUUUCCUGAAAUUACGGUGAAGACCGAGUGGAGGUCCAAAGCAUUAGGAAAGGUGGUGAGUGAACUGCCGGAGGAAUUUGUACCAAAAUACAAGGCUAAUGUGGUGCACUUGCAGCAAGAUAACCAGACCGGUAUGUGCUCUUAUAUUAACUAUAUUGACUGGAUUUGUGAGUGUGUGCAUUUUUUUGUGUAUACUCACUUUUGUAUUUAUGCAUAUUAACAUGUGUAGGAUUCUUGAUUUCUGCCACUUACUGGAGAACUAGUGGAAAGCUUUAUAUUGAUAUAUCUGCAAUAACUAAUGGAAACUAUGAUAUGAAUAUUUUCUCUCACCUGGGGAGCUGUGUAACAGAUAUACUUUGUGGCUCUGGAAUGCUGAAGAUUCUGCAAUAACUAAUGGAAAAUAUGAUAUGAAUAUUUUGUCUCACCUGGAGAACUUUGUUACAGAUACCCUUUGUGGCUCUGGAAUGUCUAAAGAAUGCUUUAGUUAGAUCAAAUAUCUUUUAGUUAGAAAAGAUAAAAUUCUCUGAGUCUGAAAGACUGAAACAUUUUGCAUAUUUUGUGAAAGGGAAAUAUCUGUUGAUACUAGCUCAUGCAUUGAGGUAAUAUCGAUGUUAAAGAAAAACAGCAAUGAUUUAUGAUAUAGAAUUGGGUUCACUUGCUUCAAAUGCUGGUCUGAUCAACCAUAUCAACCUGUAAUGAUUCUGCAGAAAUAUAUAUACAUGGAGAAAGUAGCUAAAUUUUUCUUUCAUUUAUGGGUUCGGUCUUUUUUCCCCUUAUUUUUCAGCUUUCCUUCUCCUGAAGUAUGUUAACAAUUGCAGAUAAUGAUGAAGACGACAGCUUCCGGGCUCUCCUUAGAGCCGUGAUGGAAUAUAGGGGCACAAUGAAGGAAUAUUGUAAAGCUGUAGGUACUUUUUCUCCUUUCAUUUAUGUUUUCUCACACAUUUUGUAUAUGCCCUGAACAUGCACCUUUGUAUGUAUCAAUUGACUUUUAAAUUUUAAAAGCCAUAAAGUAAGAAUACGGUUCCUUGUCAGGCUACUGAUGACAUUCGCUCAGGGGGAUCAUGUUCGAGCAGGAAAAUUUCUAGAACAGGUAAGGUUUCCAUCUACAGCCAUCCAUUGACAGCAGAUACAUUUUCAUUCAGCAGACUCUGUUAGCAUUCAAGAUGCUGGCAGAUUCACUUGAUUCUUAUUAGCUUGUUUAGUGGCAAAGCCUAUAACCUGUAUUUCAAAGCCAAGUUGUGCUAUUGAUUAUGUUAACUUUUUUGUUAACAUAAAAUGAUAUGGAGGAAAUAAUCAGUGUUGGAAAAUUAGGUGAAAAGAUGAUGUCAAAUCUUGAACCUCUUACGAAACUCUAAGUUCUUUACUUGAAGAGGCUACGAAAUUUGAACAGCGUCUACUCGAAGGCCUUGCCAUUCCCUGAUGCAUGCAGAAUUUUUGUAUUUAAAUGCCCAGAGCUUAAGAAGCUGCCACUGGAUCUUGAAGGGGCAGACCAAGGUAAAAAUCUUAUCAAGGGAAAGGAAGAUUGGUGGAAACAACUUAAUGGGAGGAUCAAGUAACUCAGAAUGCAUUGCUUCCAUUUUUUAAAUUGACUGACAAGUGAUUGAACGGGGCAUCAUCAACAUCAUCAACAGGGAUGGAGAGAUACCGGAGCAGAUCAGCAGGGUUUGAAUAUGACCUUUGGCGGUUGCUUUUUUUUUGUGAUUUUUUUUUCAUUUUUUCCUUCCUGUCAUUUUAUCAUUUCUUUCUCUGUUUCUAUUGCGGGUGUUACUGCAUGCUUACUGUUGCUUGACAAAGUUUGCUAGCUUUUUGUUUGCAGUGUUGCUAUACACUCCGAGUCAAGCCUCGAAAAUUUAUUAAACGAAGCCGUUUCGACAGUAACAAUUCUUUUCUUUUCCCUUUGCAUGUCUCUUUCAUCUGCUGUUUCUCUAUCACUUUUCAUUUUUGAUUUCCUUGCUUCUCAGCUGCCCCUAAAUUGUUAUUCUAGCAAUAUACUUUCUCAUCUUUGAAUUUUCAUCCUUGAGUACUCCCACAGCCGUAAUUUCAUCAUCAUAGACUUCACUUGGAAUGCUGUAUUUUUUCGAUUCUUGAGCUACUUCAAUUACAUCUUAGUAUAGGAUCCUCAUCUUCCUUUAUUUCUUCAUCUUAUGAGGUAAUAAAUGGAUUUCACAACUCAUCUACUUUUAAGCAAUUACAUAUUAUACCUUGAAUGAUUCAACUGUUCUGACAGUUAAAGAUUUUAUGCUCAACCUGCAGUGCUACGAACAUUGUCCAUGAAAGAUGAGUUUCAGCAUAUAAAAUGAAAUAUAGAUGUUUAAUCUAAAAUAACCCUUCACUGCCAGAAACCUAGGUCACAAAAUUCACAGAUAAUGAUAAAGAGCUAAAAAAUUUGAAAAACUCUACAGAUCACACAUCAAGCAAGAUAUCAUGUUUUUUUCCCUCAUUCAGUGGUGAUUGAUUCGCUUUUUGAUGAUGGAUAUGGUAUAAAAGUGUUGACCCAAUUUCAAGCAAACACAAAUAGAAACACAAACACAAUCGGGACUAGAGUUGUGGGCGAUUAUCUUAGGUGUACAAGUGAAACGGUGGUGGCUGUCGAUGGUGGUAGUGGGGUGGUUGGGUAUGCGUGAUGGCUAGAUUUUAGGACAAUAAUGAUUGGAGUUGACCUCAAUCAACGAAGGAAAGUGACAACAAUUUUGACAUCAAACGGUGCAUUUUUUAGCUUAGUAAAAUGGAGCCGUUUCGAUUUUGGGGUUUAAUCCGGGGUUUGACUCGGUGCAAGUAUCAUUUUCCUUUUGUUUAUUAAAUUUUUUUAUGGUCACAAAGUAUCACUCGUUCUAUUUGAGAGUCAUGUGAAUCAAUUUUUCAAAUUUUCAAUUUUAAAUUUUGUGGUCAAUGUGAAUUCAAUUUCAUUUGUCUCCUGCAAUUAUGAAAAAAUUAAAUAGUCAUAAUAUGGAAAAAUACACCGGUAAAAACUUUGUAAAAGCUUCGGAGUGAUACGGGGAAUUCACUUACUACUAAGGACAAUUGGUGGCAAGCUAUUCCAUUCAUUUUAUGUCCAUCCAUCUAUUUAGUUAUUGAAGAUAAGUGGUCCAUUUGUAAAUUUCAGAUUGUCUCUCUCUCCCUCUUGAAAUAACAAUAUUUAAUAUAUCUCAUAAAUUAUUAUAAAUUUUAAUUUACUCUCGAUUUAAAAUGGAGCAUGUCGAUAAAUUUUUUUUCUUCUUAAUAAAAUUGACGUAAGUUGUGUUUACAGUAGUUUGAAGUUUGAAAUAUUUUAAAGAUUAUUAUUCUAUAAGGGAGUAAUAUGAAAUGAUAUUUACUUUUCAUGUGUGAAAUGAAAAAGGACGAAGCAAGUGUCCCUGCUUUUAUUUUAUUUCAAGGAGGAGUCAUCUCACAUACUUUAGCUCUUAACAUUACAUUUUUUCUGGUUACAUUUUUUAUUUAUUUAUUUUUUUUUUUUUACACAUGCGUGUGGGUUGCUUUUCUGUAAGCUCCUUAAUAUAUAUUUAAGACAAAUCAUGGAAGAGAUGGGAUUAUAUCAAGAUGAUCAAAGAAUGUUAAAAAAGAAAAAAGAAAAAAAAAAGAAGUAAGACACUGAAAAUGGAGAAGAGAUGGAAGCAAAAGAUAUUCCAAAACAAAGCAAUCUAUCCCCUUUCGAGGGCAGACUUAUCAGGUUUAAAAAAGUACACGCUUUGGAUUGGUAGUUGCAAUCAAGGGAAAAUAAAUAGGAUCCAAUGAAAUUUAAAUCUCGGAGAAAAUAAAUAAUCAUGCAGAUUUUCAAGAUUUUAAUAAGGGAUACUAAUAUCUUAUUUUGAUUAAUAAUAUCCUUUCAUUGUGUUAACUCAAAAAAUAUAUAUUUUAAUGUUUUGCAAUAAACAGAAACGUACUAUUAAAAUGAAUAUAUAAAGAAUUUAGAAAAUUUUGAAUGUUAUAUAAAAUAAUUUUAAGAUAAUGCGUGAGAUAUAUUUUAUUAAUUUAAAAUGUUAUUUUACCUAAAAAAUAUGAUAAAUUAAUAAUUACAUAUUUGAAGUUAUUUUAAAUAUUAAAAAAAUUUAAUAUUAUUAAUCUUUUAGAUAGAUUAAAUUAUUUUUUAUAAGAGAUAGAUUAAAUUAUUUUAAAAUACGUUAAUUGUUUUUACUUUUAACGUUACCGGCCUUUCUUUUAUUUUAUUGCAAAUUAAUGCUAACAAGAAAAAGCUAGAUCAUAUUCCACAAAAGCAAAAGUGACAAACACAACCAGCUGGAAUCUUUUAAUUACUAUUCAAUAAUUCGAGACGAUUAGGGUCUUUUAUUAAACUACAAAUUGUAUAGUCUUUUUAAAAUUGUUAUAAAUUGGUGGCACCUACAAUCCUCAAUAAUUGUACCGAUAUUCACAAGUUGGUGGCCCCUACAAUUCUGUUCGGAUAAUUUAACUGUGCAAGUGCUCAUUCACAAUAAUUGUUUUGUUUUUUUUUUCUGCAUUCCCUUUCAUGCUCUUAAUAAUUGAAGAGCAUACUUUUCAUUUUCAAAUGUGGAGCCGCAGCUAAUGUCGCUAAUUUAAUUUGGGAUUAAAUUAGGGGACCAUUAUAUUGCAGUGUGCACUAAUUUUUGUGUUUAUCUAAACUCCUUAAAUUUAAGACAUAUUAUGGCAUAAAUAAGAAUAUAACAAUAGCAAAAGAGUUAAAAAGUGUAGAGAAGAUCUUGCAGAAAUAUAAAUAAUAUCUAUUUUAAAAUAAUAUCAAUAUUUAAAAUAAUUUUUAAUAUUUUAUGAUUCAUUAGAUAUAUUUUAUUAUAUUAAAGUAAAUUUUAUAAUAAAUAAAAACAUACUAUUAAAAUGAAUAUAUAGAAAAUUUAGAGUAUUUUAAGUAUUAUAUAAAAUAAUUUUAAUAAAAUAUGUGAGAUAUUCAUAUUUUAUUAAUUUAAAAUACCAUUUAACCUAAAGAUUUAUUUAUGAUAAAUUAAUAAUUAUAUUUUUGAAGUUACUUCAAAUAUUAAAAAUAUUAAUAUUACUAAUCUAUUAGAUAGAUUAAAUUAUAUAUAUUAUUUUCUAUUUAUUAAAAAAUUUAAAAUUAUUUUUAAUUACUAUUCAAAAAAUAUAAUGAUAAAAAAGAAUCUUAACAUCUUUAUUAAAAAUUUAAAAAUUUACAUGAUCAAUUCUCUAAAUAUUUAGGGUUAUAUGUGAACAACGGUGGAGAAGCUUUAUUUAAUAUUAUUGAUUUAAAUAAUAUGUCAAUUAAAAAUGUACAGAGAAGGAAAUUUCGGUGGGUAUUUUAGUCUUUUCAGCAAUUAUCAUGAUCAGAUCAGCCUUUAGCCUUGAAUCGUCGGUCAGAAAAGUUUUAAAAUUAACGCUAACAAGAAAAAGCUAGGUCAUAUUCCACAAAAGCAAAACUGACAAAACAACCAGCUGGUUUCUUUUACUAAACUACAAAUUAAAAGUGGAUUCUUUUGAAUGCAAGUGGGACAGACGAUUAGGCUCUUUUUAUUAAAGGCAAGUAAAAACUAGUCGAAUAGUCUUUUUCAAAUUGUUGUUUUAUUAUUUUUCCUUCAAAAGUUAGUGUGGCUCAUGUUUGCAGGUGCGAAUGUGGGUCCCGAAUCAUUACUAAAAUUUCUAUUCCACAGCCCACCGCAGCUUCAGUUAAUCAAACUCAAAUCAAUUUUCUUUCUUAACAAAAUAUUCCAAAGAUGUGUAGCAUUUUUCAGAUCACAUGCGAUGGUGCUCUUUUCAAUCGUUGCUUGGAUUGCUUUCUUGGAAAAGCAGCAUACAUACGUAACCUCCAAGAUAAUGUUGAUACCUUGGGCACUGAAUUGGGAAAUCUGAUCGCUAGAAAGAACGAUCUGAUGAGGAGGGUUGUCGAUGCUGAACGGCAACAAAUGAGAAGGCUGGACGGAGUGCAAGUGUGGGUUUCGAGGGUGGAUUCUGUUAAAACUGAAGCUGAUCAAUUUAUAAGAGACGGCUCUCGAGAAAUUGAAAAAUUAUGUGUUGGAGGCUACUGUUCCAAGAAUUGCAUGUCAAGCUACAAGUUCGGGAAAAAAGUGGCUAAAAAGCUACGGGAUGUGCGGACUUUAAUCAGUGAAGGAGUUUUUGAGGUGGUGGCUGACAGAGCUCCAGAGUCUGUAGCAGAUGAAAGACCUACUGAGCGAACAGUAGUAGGCUUGCAAUCACAACUUGAACAAGUCUGGAGAUGUCUUGUAGAAGAAUCAGCGGGAAUCAUUGGCCUAUAUGGUAUGGGCGGUGUUGGUAAAACUACACUACUGACCCAUAUCAACAAUAAAUUUCUCGAGAGUCCAACCAACUUUGAUUGUGCGAUUUGGGUUGUAGUUUCAAAAGACCUGCGACUCGAAAAAAUUCAAGAAGAUAUUGGGAAAAAGAUAGGUUUGGUUGGUGAUUCAUGGAAGAGUAAAAGUGUAGAGGAGAAAGCUGUCGACAUCUUCCGGAGUUUAAGAGAGAAGAGAUUUGUAUUGUUGUUAGAUGAUAUAUGGGAGCGGGUUGAUUUAACAAAGGUGGGCAUUCCACUUCCCGGACCAAAAAAUACUACCUCAAAAGUCGUAUUCACAACCCGUUUCAUCGAUGUUUGUGGUAGCAUGGAAGUUGACAGGAAGUUUCAAGUAGCAUGCUUAUCAGAAAAGGAUGCUUGGGAACUGUUUCGAGAAAAAGUUGGGGAGGAAACUCUUCAGAGUCAUCAUGAUAUCGAUGAGCUAGCCCAAAUUGUGGUCAAAGAGUGUGGUGGUUUGCCACUCGCACUUAUUACUAUUGGUCGAGCUAUGGCCUACAGAAAGAAAGCGGAGCAGUGGAGACGUGCAAUUGAAGAGUUAAGGAGAUCAGCUUCAGAGUUUGCAGGUUUGGGAAAAGAGGUUUAUCCUCUUUUAAAAUUCAGCUAUGAUAGUUUGCAGAAUGAUACGGUUAGAUCUUGUUUCUUGUACUGUUGUUUAUAUCCUGAAGAUUAUGGCAUUCUUAAAUGGGACUUGAUUGAUUGUUGGUUUGGCGAGGGAUUUUUUGGGGAAUCUGACAGGUCUGGUGCAGAAAACCAAGGAUAUGACAUUUUGGACACUCUUGUUCGUGCGUGUUUAUUAGAAGAGGUGGAAGAUGAUGAAGUAAAAAUGCAUGACGUUAUUCGUGAUAUGGCUAUAUGGAUAACUUGUGAAAUUGAGAAGGAGAAGAGAAACUUUUUGGUUCGUGCAGGUGCUGGAUUAAAAGAUGCACCGGGUGUUAAAGGAUGGGAAAAUGUGAGAAGAUUGUCAUUGAUGCAAAACCAAAUUGAAACUCUGGCAGAGGUUCCCACAUGCCCUCAUCUCCAUACUCUAUUUCUUGACUUUAAUAGGGGGUUGGAUAUGAUCGCGGAUGGCUUCUUUCAAUUUAUGCCUUCUCUCAAAGUUUUGAAGAUGUCAAACUGUUCGAAUUUGAAAUUACCUGUUGGGAUGUCAGAGUUGGGUUCAUCACUAGAACUUCUUGAUAUUUCAGAAAACAGCACAAGAGAGUUACCGGAAGAGUUAAAGAAGUUGGUAAAUCUGAAAUGUUUGAAUUUGAGGUGGACAGAGCAUUUAAAUAAAAUUCCACGGCAACUAAUAUCAAAUUCUUCAAGGUUACGUGUGUUGAGAAUGUUCGCUACUGGCCGGUUCAAUUUUCAUGAAGCACCAGAAGACAGCGUUUUAUUUGGUGGGGGUGAAGUUUUGAUACAGGAAUUGCUCGGUUUGAAAUAUUUAGAGGUAUUGGAGUUGACCUUGGGAAGUUAUCAUGCUCUCCAAAUUCUUUUGAGCUCAAAUAAGUUAAAAAGUUGUAUUCGAUCUCUUUACCUCGAGUUGACCGGAGAUACAACGUCAAUUAUUGAUGCUACGGCUUUCGCAGAUCUAAACCACCUCAAUGAAUUACGGAUUGAUAAUGGUAUUGAGUUGGAAGAGUUGAAGAUUGAUUAUACGGAGAUAGUACGAAAAAGGCGGGAACCUUUUGUUUUCCGCAGCCUUCAACGUGUUACCAUAGCGGAGUGCCAUAAAUUGAAAGAUGUGACAUUCCUCGUUUUUGCUCCAAACCUCAAGUCUCUUCGGCUAUUCUAUUGCGGUGCUAUGGAAGAAAUAAUCAGCGUCGGAAAAUUUGCUGAGACUCCUGAGAUGAUGGGACAUAUAAGCCCUUUUGAAAAUCUCCAAAUGCUUGAUUUACAAGGUUUGCCACAUUUGAAGAGCAUCUUCUGGAAGCCAUUGCCUUUCACUCAUCUGAAAGAAAUGGAGGUACUUAGGUGCGAUCGGCUUGAAAAGCUUCCACUCGAUUCCAACAGUGCAAAGGAGCGCAAAUUUGUUAUUCGUGGAGAAGAAGACUGGUGGAACCGACUUCAAUGGGAGGAUGAAGCCACUCAAAUUGCUUUUCGUUCCUGUUUUAAAAGUGAUGCUUUAUUUAUAUCUUAUUCGUGAAAAGUGAUUUAAUUUCCUGCCAAAAGACGAACGAGAAGAACAAUAGAGUCAAACUAAUGCUCACAUAAAUUUCCCGUAAGAAUAUAUAAUUAGAUUGGAAUGCACACCUCUAGAUUGAACAGAAUUAAAGCUGAGAAAAUAUUGAGUAUAGUAGCCCUCUUUACAGAAAAUGACGUGAAAGUUAAUUUAGAAAGAUAUAUUCUUGAUUAAUCCAUUUUCUGAAGUUUUUAUUUUGUAUGGUCAAUUAUACCUUCAUACUAAAAAUUUCUGAAGUUAUAAAUUAGUGCAACUUGACAAUUUUUACUGAUGAUAUCUUCUAUUUUUCCCUUUUUUUUUUUUUCACUUUCAUAGACUGGCAGCGGAUCCUGCGGCACCAAUUUGAGAGAAUAUACUGACACUACUUCGAACAGCAAGCAGAAGAAGUAAUAUGUCUACGGCAAAGGCAAUGGAGUCCUCAUUUUGGCUCGAGAUGCAGUAAUCAUCGAAGAGAGUUUCCUUGUGAAACUGGGCAACACAUUGAAUCCCUUCACCACUGAGAAGGUUGUGGAGGAAGUAAGCUUUCUCUCCAGUGAGGAAGAGGUGGCAUAUACCUUCCCCAUUUUGUUGAGGGCAGGUAGGAAUCUUUUUUCUAAGAGAUUUACUUCGUUCUCUGUAAGAAAUGCUUUGAACUUCAUCCCUCUGUCUCUAUCCUCACUUAUCAGGAAAUAAGUUGAAAGCACUAUGAAGAGAGAGAGAGAGAGAGAGAGAGAGAGAGAGAGAGAGAAUUAAGAUAUAUAGACAAGAAAAAUAUUUGACGUUGAUCUUACAAACUAAUACUUCAAGCAGUAUCCUAGAAAGCUAAAAACUGCAAGAUGGCUUGAAAUUUGAAAAGAGCACAUGCUUUUCCUCCUUAACUUGAGAAAAUGUUUAAUAUAGUGCACCUUACAGAAGCAUUUAAGCAAUUAGAACUUUGCACAAAAACAUCAAGAAGACUAAACAAGUCAGAUGCAGUGUAUUUGUCCAAGCACAAAUUGCAUUUUUUCCUCAACUUUAAUAUUUAUUGAUGAGAAUCAAUACAGGUCCCUCAUUUGUUAUAGAAAGCUUUCUUUCUUGUAGUCUCACCAGUUAAUUCAGAGGUCUAUAAUCAUCUUGCAAAGUUAAGGGCAUUUCUUUUGAUCUAAAGUCUUUGCAUCACCACCUCAUCACACGCCAAGCCAAUAUUCCAUUUACCUCUACAACAAAAAGUUUUAAUUAAACAAUCCUAAUGCACGCAGCCAAAUAAAAUGCAGUAAGAAUAUUCAACUUAAAAAUCUGAAAGCCAACUUGGUGAAUUGCCUCCUUAGGUGAAGUUCCAUGCUUUACUAUAGUUGACAGAACUCAGCAAAAGCUUCCAUACAACAGAUUUUGAAAAUGAUGAUGCCAACAGAUACUCAUUCAAUGCAUUGAAACUCCAAAGGUUCAUUGUUCAUAGAAGUUUACAGAGUUUUGGUCAUCAAAUAGCUCAGACCUAAUCCCAAACAAAAAAUGAGUGAAAAUUAGAUCACGAGCAGCUAAUUGUAAAUUCUAACUUAACUCUUCAUCUCCUUUGUAAACAAGAAACAAAAUGGAGACACGCAAAAUGAAUAUGGAGAAAAUUUGAACUCAAAUGAAAUGAGGGCAUGAAAGCAAACAAAUGGCAUGCACCAAAAAACCAAGCCUCAAUCAAAAACUAAUUAACCAUUAAGAAAAAAAUUGGUCAGAGAAUGAACUCCAAAUUCAGGAGUCAAGCAAGAAGCUUUCAUUAUUAUCAAAGUCAAUUAUCUUUGUUAGUAUGCGAGUGUGACGACUAUAGGUUGUUCUUUUUCUAAUGUCAUAUGAUUCCAAUUUUAGGUACAGGGCAUCUCUCUCUCUCUCUCUCAUCGCUAAGUGGAUAUUUUUCUCUUUUGUCAUAUACUUUAGUUAUUCUUCAAUUUACUAACUAAAAUGAAGGCCGCUUUAUUAAGAAGUUAUAUCCAGUUAUAUAAUUUGUUGUAUUUAAUAUAUGUUUGGGCUCAUAAUUUUUUUUAAAAAUAUAUAUUUCAUUCUCCAUAAUUUUUUCCCAUCAUAGCUACGAAACGUCUUAGUUUCGACUAAAAUCCUAAAAUUGGUCCUUAAUUGAAUAUGCAUUGCAAUUUGCAAAUGUAAUAUUGUGAAUGGGACACUGGAGAUACCAAAAUGGUCAAAUGCGAAAUAAGUUAGGAUUGUACGAUGUAGUUUGUAUUCAUAUUCAAUGCCUUUUUUUUCAAAAAACAAAUUGAAAUGCCAUUACUAAACGAUUCUUGAUGAUGGGAGCCACCGUGCCAGCUUUGUCGCUGAUUUGGUAUUAUUCUUAACUUGCAGAUAGUUGUGGAUAUGAUAUGCAAAAAGGUAAGGACUAUAUCUUCUUGAUGGAGGCCUCUGAUUUUUUCCCUUCUAUGUAAUUUAGUAAAUCGCAUUUUCCCUUGUGAUUGAUAUAUCAUACCAAAGUCAAGUCUUAAAUACUGCUGUCAUAUGUUAAGGUUCAACUUCCAUUUUGAUUAACGUCCAUUUGCUGCUGCUUCCAAAAGUGAGAAUGAGAUACUUUGGUUAAUUUCAGUAGUUGAACCCAAUAGAGUACUUUAUUUAGAUCUUCAUGGUUCAAAGGCCUGAAAAAACUUGCCGGUAUUUGCAAAAUGACAUUCUGUGCUUUUAUUUAGGCUUAUUAUUUAAGUGAUAAAAACUCCCGUAACCUGCUGUCAAGAAAAUUUCAGAUUGUUAAAAGACAACAUUUUGUUUCAGCCAAAAAUGUUUGUUUCGAUUAAAGACUUGAACCAUUUUCAUUUAACCUUGAUUGUGAUGCUUUACAUUAUGCAUGUUCCUCUCAAUCAAUAAAAGUUGAGGUCAUGAUUUUAUAUUUCUAUUUUGUAACUUGAAAUAAUUGGUCUGCCUGUUUCUGUAGCUUGAUAACAUGAAUUUUUCCUUCUGAAGUUAAUUUGAUCAAUAAAGUAAUUCUUCGGAGAUGAUAUGCCCAUUCUAUAGUCAUUUUCUUAGGUAACAUGUUUUUUCUUCACUCUUCAGAGCAUGUCUAAACUAAUUGAUCGCUCAGCGGAGACUUUGGGUGAGAAGACAAAAUUUCUUGGUAAAUCCUCUAAAAAGGUAUGCAUAAUUCCCGAGUAUUAAAUAAUCAUUGGUCAUAAUUUUUGUACACAACUCUUUUUUUGGAGAUCGUUAAAAGUGGUUGAUGAUCUAUUUUGUAAUAUCAUAGAGGGAUCAUGAAUUCCUGUUCUUUUCUGUGGCUAGGCAACACUUUCGGGCCAAGCUAAGGAAAUCUAUUUUAGGUAAUGUGAAAACCAGUUGUAGGAUGUAAUAGUUUAUUAUGCCCUGACAAUAACUUUUUGUAUAAUUGUCAGUUUAAUGAAUACAAGAGGAACUCUGUUGGCAAAUUCAUCCAUGAUAGAUGCUAAAAGUAUUUAUGCAUACCAGUUGCCUUAACUAAUUUUUCUCAACACUGGUAUUGAACAGGAAAAUGAAUAUGCAAUUUGUAUAUUGUGCCAUUGUGGAGAAUUUGGAUAUUCUUAUUUAAGUAACAAGGAGAGUAUUUGCCUCAUCUUUAAACAAUGAAUCUUUGAGAAAUGAGGAGUGGGUGAUUGGCAGUGUCUUCAUGUAAAUGUUCAUUUAUUUGUAUUUUGAACUAUUAUGAGAAUCUUUGUAUGCCAAAUUAGUAAUACAAAUGUUCAGAUGAUUUUUCCUGUUGAUCAUGCGUGUGUAUCUGCACACAACCAUUGUGUCCCACUUUAUUCUGAUGCACAAAUAUCUGUAGUUUAGAAGAAAAGAAAUAAUAAUCAUAUAUUAUUGCUUGGUUCAUGAUUAUUAAACGAUUAUGGCUUUAGAAAAUCCACAAAUCCUUUGUGUUCAUAUAUGAAUGUGCGAAGUUUGCUAUCUCUUAGAUUACCUUCUUCCAAGAUAACAAGUUCAUAUAUUUUUUUUAAUCCUUUUUCAUCACAGUUGAAUUUCAAGUGUAAGUUUUGUUAUUAAUAGCUGGUUUCCUGUUAUUAUGAUUUCAUAAACAGUGAGAGGAUAUGUGCUCUACUUUUGGAGGGCCUCCACAUGAAAGAAAAUUGCAACAAUUGAAUUCUUCCGGAGGGUAUGGUAUUUAAUUUAUUUUCUCAGCUUGUUGUAAGACUAAUAUAUUUCCUUCAGUACCCAAAAGGACAGAAAUGAAUUACGGAAGGAAGUUUUUGCUGCUUUAUUUAGUGCUGCUGAGAAAUCUGAUGGAUUUCCUGAAAUUACGGUGAAGACGGAGUGGAGGUCCAACGCAUUAGGAAAGGUGGUGAGUGAACCGCCGGAGGAAUUAGUACCAGAAUACAAGGCUAAUGUGGUGCACUUGCAGCAAGAUGACCAGACCUGUAUGUGCUCUUAUAUUAACUAUAUUGGUUGGAUUUGUGAGUGUGUACAUUUUUGUGUGUAUACUCACAUUUGUAUUUAUGCAUAUUAACGUGUGUAGGAUUCUUGAUUUCUGCCACUUACUGGAGAACUAGUGGAAAGCUUUAUACUGAUAUAUGUGCUAUAACUAAUGGAAACUACAAUAUGAAUAUUUUCUCUCACCUGGAGAACUGUGUAACAGAUAUAAUUUGUGGCUCUGGAAUACUGAAGAUUCUGCAAUAACUAAUGGAAAAUAUGAUAUGAAUAUUUUUUCUCACCUGGAGAACUUUGUAACAGAUACAUUUUGUGGCUCUGGAAUGUCUAAAGAAUGCUUCAGUUUAGAUCAAAUAUCUUUUAGUUAGAAAAGAUAAAAUUCUCUGAAUCUGAAAGACUGAAACAUUUUGCAUAUUUUGUGAAAGGGAAGUAUCUGUAGAUACUAGCUCAUGCAUUGAGGUAAUAUCAAUGUUAAAGAAAAACAGCAAUAAUUUAUUAUACAGAAUUAGGUUCACUUGCUUUAAAUGCUGGUCUGAUCAACCAUAACAACCUGUAAUGGUCCUGCAGAAAUAUAUAUACGGGGAGAAACUAGCUAAAUUUUCCUUUCACUUAUGGGUUUGGUCUUUUUUUCCCCUAUUUUUCAGCUUUCCUUCUCCUGAAGUAUGUUAACAAUUGCAGAUAAUGACGAAGAGGACCGCUUCCAGGCUCUUUGUAGAGCUGUGAUGGAAUAUAGGGGCACAAUGAAAGAAUAUUGUAAGGUUGUAUGUACUUUCUCUCUUGUCAUUUAUGUUUUCUCACACAUUUUGUUUAUGCCCUGAACAUGCAGCUUUGUAUGUGUCAAUUGCCUUUUACGUUUUAAAAGCCAUAAAGUAAGAAUACAGUUCCUUGUCAGGCUAUUGAUGCGUUCGCUCAGAAGGGUCAUGUUCAAGCAGGAAAACUUCUAGAACAGGUAAGGUUUCCAUCUACAGCCAUCCAUUGACAGCAGAUAUAUUUUCAUUAAGCAGACACUGUUAGCAUUCAAGAUGCUGGCAGAUUCACUUGAUUCUUAUUAGUUUGUUUAGUGGCAAGGCAUAUAACCUGUAUUUCAAAGCCAAGUUGUGCUAUUGAUUAUGUUAACUUUAUUGUUAACAUAAAGUGAUAUGGAGGACAUAAUCAAUGUAGGAAAAUUAGGUGAAGAGAUGAUGUCAAAUCUUGAACCUCUUACAAAGCUCCAAGUUCUUUACUUGAAGAAGCUGCCAAAUUUGAAGAGCGUCUACUGGAAGGCAUUUCCAUUCCCAGAUGUAUGCAGAAUUUUUGUAUUAAUGCCCAGUUCUUAAGAACCUGCCACUGGAUUUUCAAGGGGUGGGCCAAGGUAAAAUUCUUAUCAAGGGAAAGGAAGAUUGGUGGAAAGAACUUCAAUGGGAGGAUCAAGCAACUCAGAAUGCAUUGCUUCCAUUUUUCAAAUCAACUGACAAGUGAUUGAAGGGGGCAUCAUCAACAUCAUCAACAGAGAUGGAGAGAUUCUGGAGCAGAUCAGCAGGGUUUGUAUAUGAUCUUUGGUGGUUGCUUUCUUUUGUGAUUUUUUUUUUCUUCCUGUCAUUUUAUCAUUUCUUUGUCUCUUUUUUUAUUGCUGAUGUUAGUGUAUGCUUACUGUUGCUUGACAAAGUUCGCUUGCUUCUUGUUUAUUAAAUUUUUUAUCGUCACAAAAUAUUACUUGUUCUAUUUGAGAGUGAUGUGAAUCAAUUUUCAAUUAUAUAUUUUGUGGUCAAUGUGAAUUCAAUUUCAUUUGUCUCCUGCAAUUAUGAGAAAACUGCAGAGUCAUAAUAUGGAAAAGUACACCAGCAAAAACUUUGUAAAAGCUUCGGAGUGAAACAGGGAAUUCACUUACUACUAAGAACAAUUGAUGGCGAGUUAUUCCAUUCAUUUUAUGUCCAUCUAUCUAUUUAAUUAUUAAAGAUAAAUGGUCCAUUUAUAAAUUUCAGAUUGUCUCUCUCUGAAAAUAACAAUAUUUAAAAUAUCUCUUAAAUUAUUAUAAAUUUUAAUACACUCUCGAUUUAAAAUGGAACAUGCUGAUGAAAUUGUUUUCUUCUUAAUAAAAUUGAAAUAAAUUGUGUUUGCAGUAGUUUGAAAUAUUUUAAAGAUUAUUAUUUUAUAAGGGAGUAAUAUGAAAUGAAAUUUACUUUUCAUGCGUGAAAUGUUGAAAAAGGACAAAGCAAGUGUCCCUGCUUUUAUUUUUAUUUUAAAGUGGAGUCAUCUCACAUACUUUAGCUCUAUCAUUACAAUUUUUCAGGUUACAUUUUUAUUAUUUAUUUAUUUUCUUUUUUACACAUGCAUGUGGGUUACUUUUCCGUAAGCUCCUCAAUAUAUAUUGAACCCAGCGAAGAAUGUUAUGGAAGAGCAAAUUAAUGAUAUUUCUGAUAGAGUCUAUUUGAUUAUGUAGCCUGAAUGGAUGUCUUGUUGAAAGAUAUCUCAGUGCAUUAGUUCAUCCUUGUCUGUCAAUGUGUUUUUAAUGGUUUUUCCAAUUGUUUAUUAUUAUAGAUUGAUUGUAAAUUGAUAUGAAAAUUUGAUAUGAAUUUAAUGUUGAAAUGUUUUCUCUUUAGUGGAAUGAAUUUAAAAGUGCAAAAGAUUAUUGCACACAGAGAAAUAAACAUAUAUGCUUUAUAACUUUAGCAAUCGAUUCUUUUACAGCUGGAAACAGAGAUGAUGAUUAUCAUAAGGAUGAAGAAAAGUAGUGCGUUAGACGAUUAGACUCUCUUAUUAAAGGCAAGUAUAAAGUAGUGAAGAAUCCAAUAUCUCUAUUGUCUAGUCUUUUGUUUAAUUCUUCUUUUAUUAUUUUUCAGAAUAAUUUUUGGUGAUUACAAUCGGGUUAUUAUUCAGAGUUAUUGUUAUCUUCUGGGGCAGUUUCUGUUCAUCGAAUUCAUUAAUUAAAAUUUUAGAACUCUUAUCAGAAGAAUAUUUUUCGGUUAUCUUUUUUAUGUUCUAAUUCCAAUUGUAAGAAGUAGCCAUUUUAGAAUUUGGGUCUUGAAUCGAAUUUCAAUGCAUGAAUUAAUAUUAAAAAAAAAAAAUUCACUACUCGCAGUUUAGGUUACAAAUUACUUUUUGGAAAGUUGACUUUGGAAUGUUUGCAAAGAAAGAGACUAACAUAUUUCCAAUUACACUAAAUCUCUAUUAUGAUAAUGUUAAGACUAAAUUAAUUUAAAUAAUUUUUAUUUGAAAAUUAUAUCAAACGCAGUCUAAUUUUAUUAAUUUUAAGAAAUAAUAAUUAUAAAAAUUAUUGUUCUGACUUAAUUAAUACAAGUGAUAUAAAAGUUAAGUGUGCACUAAAUCUGUUUUAAUUUUUUCCAGUAUAACUAACAGAGGUCAUUACUAGAAUUAUAUUACUAGUCUAUUAGAUAGAAAAAAUUACUUAUAUUGUUUUAUAUUUAUUAAAAAAUUUAAAGCCAAUUUUUUUAAUUACUAUUUAAAGAAUAUUAUAAUUUGAAAAAUUUUAAUAUCUUUAUUAAAAAUUUAGAAAUUUACAGUCCUCUAAAUAUUUAAGGCGUAACUGUCAUUUUCUCAAGAAGCUUUAUUUAAUAUUAUUGAUUUAAAUAAUAUCUUAUUAAAAAUGUACUGAGGAGAAAUUUUGGUGGGUAUUUUAGUCUUUUCAGCAAUCAUCAUGAUUAACCUUUGGUUGGCCUUGAAACGUCGGUCAGAAAAGUUUUAAAAUGCUUAAUUGUUUUUCACUGUUAACGUUAGUGGCCUUGAAAUUGCUUAUAUUUUAUUAAAAAUUAAUGCUAACAAGAAAAAACUAGAUCGUAUUCCACCCCCAAAGCAAAAGUGAUAAAACAACCGGCUGUAUUCUUUUAUUAAACUACAAAUUAAAAUGGAUUUCUUUAAUUAAAGUGGAUAUCAUUUAAUUAAUGUUUGAACAUUAAAGUUCUGAUAUAUAACCACUAUGCCGACCACCUAAUUGCUGCUAUUUAAUUUCGUUCCAGUUCUCUCUCUCUCUCUUUUUCUUUUUUUUUUGGGCCAAGCAAUAAAUAGUAAAAAUUCAAUAAAAGCAAUAUUAAUGCUGCAAGUGAGUCAUGUUAUUUAUUGUCAAUUAGGAAAUGUGAACCUAAUUUGAUUGCAUCCCUUUAAUCAUUUAAUAAUUAUGUAAGCACCAUCCCUUUAAUUAUUUAAUAACUAGAAAAUAGAACACUGCGUUUCACGCGGCUUUGAAAAAAGAAUUUAGUAUUAUCUUUUUUUCUUACUUUACACUUGAUGAAACUGAUAAAAAAUAUGAAUUGAUUUUUUUUAAAGAUGAGGCAGCCUUAUAAAAAAUAAAAAAAGCUAUUAGCCAGCAAUACAAAUAAAGAAGGAAUGCAAGAUAAAGAAUAAAAUGAGAGAAUAUAUUAUAGAGUGAUCUUAUUCAUUCUAAUUGUGUGUGUACAAAACAAAAAGAUGAGCUCUCCUUUUAUAACUACAUAAUUACUUCAUGAAAUUAAUGAAAAAUUAUGAAUCAUAAUUUCUUGUGAGAUAGUGGGAGUUAUUGGGAAGCUAAAAGUUGCUAAUGGGAGAUAGUGGGGAGACUAAGAGAUAUAUAUUAUGAACAUCUACAUUUAUUUUAAUAAAUUCAUAACACUCCCCCUUAAAUGUUCAUUACAAAGAAUAUGCCUCAUUAAAAUCUUUACAUAAUUGUUAUUGUGUAAUAACAAUCAAAUUAAUUAUAAGAAGAUGAAAAGCCAAAUCUAACAGAAAAUUUCUCUAUUUAUUAGAUAAUAGAGAAUAUAGCAAGAUGAGAAAUGGUAAUGCCACAUCAUCUCCUCACGUCCCAACUUUAUAUAUAUAUAUAUAGAUAAUAUAUAUUAUUCCUGUCCUACAUUCACAUAUUUAAUUGUCCUUUUGAAAAUAUUCAUGAGUUAGGCCAAGUAAAGUCAAAGAAAUUGGGAAAAAGGAACAAAAGGACAAACCUAAAUUAAUUGAACCUAAUUCAUGAAAAUGCACACUUUUGUGUUGCGGACGGCGGACCCUAAAGCUUCGUUGUUUGCAGCUGCAAUUAAUUCUUUUCCUUCAAAAGUUAGAGGCUCGUGUUUACAGUGGGUCCCGAAUCGGACGUACCUAAUAAAUCUUUUAAAAAAAUUUGCCGUAUAAAGGACAGAGGUCAUUACUGAAAUUUCUCUUCCACGGGCAAUUACAGCAGCUUCAGUUAAUCAAACUCAAAUCAAUUUUCUUUCUUAACAAAAUAUUCCAAAGAUGUGUAGCAUUUUUCAGAUCACAUGCGAUGGUGCUUUUUUCAAUCGUUGCUUGGAUUGCUUUCUUGGAAAAGCAGCAUACAUACGUAACCUCCAAGAUAAUCUUGUAGCCUUGGACACUGAAUUGGGAAAUCUGAUCGCUAAAAAGAACGAUGUGAUGAGGAGGGUUGUCGAUGCUGAACGGCAACAAAUGAGAAGGCUGGACGGAGUGCAAGUGUGGGUUUCGAGGCUCGAUGCUGUUAAAACUGAAGCCGAUGAACUUAUCACAGACGGCUCUCGAGAAAUUGAAAAAUUAUGUGUUGGAGGCUACUGUUCCAAGAACUGCAGGUCAAGCUACAAAUUCGGAAAACAAGUGGCAAGAAAGCUACGAGAUGUGGAGACUUUAAUCGCCGAGGGAGUUUUUGAGUCGGUGGCUGAGAGAGCUCCGGAACCUGUGGCAGAUAAAAGACCCACUGAGCCAACAAUAGUAGGCUUGCAAUCACAGCUUGAACAAGUUUGGAGAUGUCUUCUUGUAGAAGAAUCAGCGGGAAUCAUUGGCCUAUAUGGUAUGGGCGGUGUUGGUAAAACCACACUGUUGACCCAUAUCAACAAUAAAUUUCUUGAGAGUCCCACCAACUUUGAUUGUGUGAUUUGGGUCGUAGUUUCAAAAGACCUGCGACUUGAAAAAAUUCAAGAAGAUAUUGGGAAGAAGAUAGGUCUGUUUGAUGGUUCGUGGAAGAAUAAAAGUGUUGAGGAGAAAGCCGUAGACAUCUUGCGGAGAUUAGGAGAGAAGAGGUUUGUAUUGUUGUUAGAUGAUUUAUGGGAGCGGGUUGAUUUAACAGAAGUGGGCGUUCCACUUCCCAGCCCACAAAAAUACUACAUCAAAGUCGUAUUCACGACCCGUUUCAUUGAUGUGUGUGGUAGCAUGGAAAGUCACAGGAAGUUUAAAGUGGCAUGCUUAUCAGAAGAGGAUGCUUGGGAGCUGUUUCGAGGAAAAGUAAGGCAAGAAACUCUUGAGAGUCAUCAUGAUAUCGUUGAGCUAGCCCAAACUGUGGCCAGAGAGUGUGGCGGUUUGCCACUCGCGCUUAAAACUAUAGGUCGAUCUAUGGCCUACAGAAAGACAGCUAAGGAGUGGAGACAUGCAAUUGAAAUGUUAAGGAGAUCAGCUUCAGAGUUUGCAGGUUUGGGAGAAAAGGUGUAUCGUCUUUUAAAGUUUAGCUAUGAUAGUUUGCAGAAUGAUACGAUUAGAUCUUGUUUCUUAUAUUGUUGUUUGUAUCCUGAAGAUUAUGGCAUUCUUAAAUGGGAUUUGAUUGAUUGUUGGAUUGGUGAGGGAUUCUUAGAGGAAUCUGACAGGUUUAGUGCAGAAAACCAAGGAUACUACAUUGUGGGCACUCUUGUUCAUGCAUGUUUAUUAGAAGAGGUGGAAGAUGAUAAAGUAAAAAUGCAUGACGUUGUUCGUGAUAUGGCUAUAUGGAUAACCGGUGAAAUUGAGAAGGAGAAGCGAAACUUUUUGGUUUGUGCAGGUGCUGGAUUAAAAGAGGCACCGGAUGUUGAAGUAUGGGAAAAUGUGAGAAGAUUGUCAUUGAUGCAAAACCAAAUUGAAACUCUGUCAGAGGUUCCCACAUGCCCUCAUCUUCUCACUUUAUUUCUUGACUUUAAUAGGGAGUUGAAGACUAUUGCGGAUGGCUUCUUCCGAUGUAUGCCUUCUCUCAAAGUUUUGAAGAUGUCAAACUCUGGAAAGCCUUGGAAAGGUUUGGAAUUAAAUUUGGGGAUGCCAAAGUUGGGUUCACUACAGCUUCUUGAUAUUUCACACACCUGCAUACAAGAUUUACCGCAAGAAUUAAAGUUGUUGGUAAAUCUGAAAUGUUUGAAUUUGAGGCGGACAAUUUGGUUAAAUAAAAUUUCAUGGCAACUAAUAUCAAAUUUUUCAAGGUUACGUGUGUUGAGAAUGUUCGCUACUGGCUGGUUCAAUUUUCAUGAAGCACCAGAAGACAGCGUUUUAUUUGGUGGGGGUGAAGUUUUGAUACAGGAAUUGCUCGGUUUGAAAUAUUUAGAGGUAUUGGAGUUGACCUUGGGAAGUUAUCAUGCUCUCCAAAUUCUUUUCAGCUCAAAUAAGCUAAAAAGUUGUAUUCGAUCUCUUUACCUCCAGUUGACCGGAGAUACAGCGUUAAUUAUUGAUGCUACGGCUUUCGCAGAUCUAAAACACCUCAAUGAAUUACGCAUUGAGUCGGCUACAAAGCUGAAAGAAUUGACGGCUGAUUAUACAGAGAUAGUUCGAAAAAGGCGGGAACCUUUUGUUUUCCGCAGCCUUCACCAUGUUACUAUACAAAGCUGCCAGAAGUUGAAAGAUUCGACAUUCCUCGUUUUUGCUCCAAACCUCAAGUCUCUUUCGAUAGUCAAAUGCAAUGCUAUGGAAGAAAUAAUCAGCGUCGGAAAAUUUGCUGAGACUCCUGAGAUGAUGGGACAUAUAAGUCCUUUUGAAAAUCUCCAAAUGAUUGAUUUACUAGGUUUGCCACAUUUGAAGAGCAUCUUCUGGAAGCCAUUGCCUUUCACUCAUCUGAAAGAAAUAUCUGUGCGUUAUUGCCCUAAUCUUAAAAAGCUUCCACUCGAUUCCAACAGUGCAAAGGAGCGUAAAUUUGUUAUUCGUGGAGAAGAAGACUGGUGGAACCCACUUCAAUGGGAGGAUGAAGCCACUCAAAUUGCUUUUCGUUCCUGUUUCCAACCCUUGUUCCUGAACAGUGGUCGCAAAAUUUGAUUUCUGGUGAGUGCGUUUGUCUUUUAAAAAGAAUAAUUUAAAAGAAAUUUAUUCUUGUCGGUUUCUUCACUGUUUUUAUUUCAGUUUCUCUCUCUCUCUCUCUCUCUCUCUCUUUUUGUCUUCUGCAAAUCACAAUUACAUUUUUAUUCUUGUCGUUUUCUUCACUGUUUUUAUUUCAGUUUCUCUCUCUCUCUCUCUCUCUCUUUUUGUCUUCUGCAAAUCACAAUCAAAUGUUGAAUUAAUGGAAUUAAUGCUUCAUAAAUUUGCCGGCACUGCCAUUACUUUUUUUUGGGGGAUCGAAUUGAUACUUUAUUUAUAUCUUCUUAGCGAUUUAAUUUCCUGUCAAAAGACGAACGAGAAGAACAUAUGACUUAAACCAAUGCUCGCAUAAACUUGCUGUAAAAAGAUAUAAUCUCACUGAAAUGCACACGCCUAGAAUGAAUAGAAUUAAAACAGGGAAAAUAUUAAGUAUAUUAGCCCUCUUUACUGAAAAUCAAAUGACAGUAAAUUUUUUGAAGUUUUGAUUUUCUAUGGUCAAUUCCACCUUUUGCAAUUUCUUCUGUUCUAACAAAAACCAAUUUCUUUGUUCAAGUAUUUUCGUUUGGAUAUUAAUAAUUCUCCACCGAAAGAGUGAACUCUUGCUCAAAGGGAUCUCUAAUAAUACAUAACAUGAUUAUUUUCGUUUGAAUAAUUGAUUUCUUGAUUGAAUUGUCGUGUAAUUGAUUUAUGGGGGAUGACACAUCAACAUACUUGAAAAUACACUAAUCUCAGCAUCAUCGGUUAAUAACUUUUAGAUUUAUGGGUAAUCAAUAGUUAAGAUUAGUUGUCAUUAAUACUAAAUAAUUUUUACUUUUUUUGUCUCUUCUAGAGGAUCUUCUAGAAAAAUGCAUCCACAAUUAAAUUUAAUACUUUACAUAAUAAACAAAGCCUAAAUGUUAAAUUUAAGAAACUGCAUUGUAUUUCAGUUGAAGUUGACUUUAAUAUUUAGGGUAGAAAAACAAUUAAUUUUAUUUUUUGAAAUGUCCAUAUUCAGAGCACAUUUCAAAAAGACUCAAUAAUUUCUCAUAAAUUUCAAUUAAAAAUAUUCAAUUUGUUGUUUCAGUUCUUUUAUUUUUUAUUUUUUCCGACAUGAAAGCGACUUAAUGUUACUAAAUUGGGUGGUCUUUGGAUUUUCAUGACCCAAUAAUUGGAACAAAACAAUUUUCUCAAGCGCUCUCCCGCAACAUUUUAUAAUUGAAGCCGCUGCCCCGCCCGUGGUUUCAAACUUUUUUCUUUCUCCUUGUUUAAAUUAAUGGGAGCAGCCUCCGUCCUUGACUAGUUGACUGCUUGUCUUCUUUUUUUUAUUAAUUAAUUAAUUCAGCCGCCCCCCUUUCUUGUCCCAAUAUCUUCUACUUUCGGUUUCCUUUUAUUAUCUCUUUAUUUUUAAAAAAUGCUUAUAAUAAUAAUAAAAUAUAAAAUAUAAAAAUAAAAAUAUAAUUUAUCAGAAAAUUAAGAUAAAGAAAUAUUAUAAGCACAUCAAUCAACAAGUGAAAAAAAAACAAUUUUAAUUUACAUUAAAUAUAAACUUUCAGUGUUAAUCAACUUUUCUAAAUAACUAAAUUAAAAAAUUAAUUGAUUUAAUUGUGGUGUAAUUGAUUUGUAGGGGAUGAAUCAGCAGCAUCAUCGGUUAACGCUUUCAGAUUUAUAGUUAAUCAAUAGUUGAGAGUUGUUAUCACUAACGCCGUGUAUUUUUUAAUGUUUUUUCUCUCUCCUACAGCAUCUUCUAGGAAAGUGCAUCCGUUGCUAAAAUUUAGUAUCGUAAAUAAUAAACCAAGAAUAAAUAUUAAAUCUAAGAAACUGUAUUGCAUUUAAUAUUUAAGGGAGAAAAAUAAUUAUAGUGUCUUUAUUAAUCAGUAAAAAAAAAAAUUAGAAUCAUAAUAAAUUGUAUUGUUAUUGAUGUAUUUAUUUUAUUUUAUACUCAAAAUAAAUUAUUUUAAAUUAUUAAAAUAAUUUAAAAUUAGUAUUUUAUUUUAUACUCAAAAUAAAUAAUUUAAAAUUUUCAUUUCUUGUUUAUUUCGCAAGUUGUUAUUGCCUAAUGCUAUGUCAACUCGAACAUUAGCAUUUUUUUUUUUGGUCCUCUUUUAACGCAAAAUUAGUGUAGGUUAAGUAACAUAAUCAAUAUUAGGACAAUUUGAAAUCCCUAUGGGUGCGUUUGGUACACUGUAUUGUAUUAUACUGUAUUGCAUUAUUUUAAUGCUGAUGUAUUGUAUUAUGUUGUAUUGCAUUAGCACUGUAUUAUAACAAUGCUAUACAAUAUUUGGUGUUACAUUGUACUGUAUUAGAUUUUAAUUAUAUUAUAUUUAGUGUUACAAUUGUUGUAACAUAAACACGACCAAAAUAAAUUGUACUAAAUAAUCUAAGUAAGAGUUCUGUAGUAUAUGUAAUAAUACUAUUUAUAUUAUUAUUAUUAAUAAUUCUAAAUUAAUAUUAUUUAAUUUUAUUCAUAUUUAAAUAUGUAUUAUUAGUUUAUUAAAUUAUUUAAAAUAAUUAAUUUAUAUAUAUUAAUUAUUGUAACUUAAUUAAAUAAUGUAAUGCUAUAUUAUAUUUUUAUAUACUAUUUAAGUAUUUAUUAUUAAUUAUAUUUAAUUAUAAAUUUAUUAAUAAAUUAUAAUAUAAAAAUAAAAAAUAAAAAUUAAUAUUGUAUAAUAUUAUAUUAAAUUAAAGUUUUAUUUUUAUUACUAUUAUUAUAAAGUAAAAAAAAAAAAAAGGGAAGCUACUGACUUUUGAAACACAAAAGUCAGUAAUACAACCUAAUCACGAGGGGGGGCGCGGGUUUUGAUAAUGCGGCAAAAGCUGCAUUGUAAUGCUGCUCAAUGCAAUCCAUUUGAUCACCAAACACAGGUAUAUUUUAACUAAUGCUGGGCCCACAAAAUAAUACAAUGCAAUUCCGCAUGCCAAACAUACCCUAUGGGUGCGUUUGGUACACUGUAUUGUAUUAUACUGUAUUGUAUUAUUUUAAUGCUGGUGUAUUGUAUUAUGCUGUAUUGCGUUAGCAUUGUAUUAUAAUAAUGUUGUACAAUGUUUGGUGUUACACUGUACUGUAUUAAUUUUUAAUUAAACUAUAUUUGGUGUUAUAUUGUAUUGUAUUAAUUUUUAUAAUUAAUUAAAUUAAAUAAUUAAAAAAUAAUAUUUAUUAAUACUUAGAAAAAUAAUAAAUAUAGAAAUCUUAAUUGUAGAAAUUUAACAAAUUUUUUAGUAAAUAUUAAAAAUUAAUGAUUAAAUUUCUAAAAUUUGUAUUAUAAUUAUGAUAAAAUAAAUUUAUAAAAUUUAAUAUUAUAUGUAAAUAAUAAAUUUAGAUUAUAAUUAAUAUUAUAAUUGUUAAUAUAAAUUAAUAAAUUAUUAUUCAAUAAUAUUCAAUUAUAUUUUAAUUUACAAUAUAUUAUUAUUUUUACAUUUUAAUAUAUUAAUAAAUUUAUAAUUUAACAUAAAUAAUUAUAAAUUUAAAUAAUAUUAAUUUUAAAAUUAAUAUUAAUGUAAAUAAUAUUAUAAUAUUAAUAUAUUAUUUUUAUAUGAAUCAUUAAUAAAUAAAAUAAUAUUAUCAUAUAAUUUAUUUUUAUAUUUUAUUCAUUAUAUUAAUAUUUAAUAAUAAAAUAAUUUAUUUUUAUAAUAUUUUAAUAAAAUAAAUUUGCCUCAAUUGAGGCAUUAACUGUUGCCUCAAUUGAGGCAAAAAGCUUCCGCAUCCCUCGGGUUUGCGUAAUGCGGCCCCAUGCCUCAUUAUGCUGCAUUAUAAUGCAGCAUAAUGAGGUGUCAAAUUUUGCCAAACAUGUUCUUGGUAAUAAACUAAUGUGAAUAGUAGUAUAAUACCACAUAAUCUCAUGCACCAAACACGCCCUAUGUGUAUUAUUCACGGUAUCUAUGAGGGCUUAUCCUUUUGCUAGAACAAACUCUAGCAAAUUGUCAAAUGUGCUUAUCCUUUCCCUUGACGACUCAUUUUAAAAUUGUCACUCAUUUUAAAAUUGUCUUUCAAUGCACAAACACAGACAUAACCGCCGACAUCGAGCACCAAGUUUGGAAUUUAAUUGAUAAGCAUACAUUUGAUAAAUUAAUGAAAAGUUUGGAGAGUAGUUUUGAUCACCCUUGAUUAGGACGGUAUUACAAAAAAGAUCAAAAAGAAAACAUCGUCUCUCUUCACAAAAAUAAAUAUUUUCCGUUAGAAUUUAAUACAAUAAUAUUUUUUUUGAUUAAAAUUUAAUUAAAUACACAAAUAAAUUAUAUAUUUUUUAAAAAAAUUUACACCCAGUCACAAGGCUGGCUAUUAAACUUAAAGGGUGGAAGCUUCGGAGACUAAAGUUGGUAACUUCUCCAAGUGGUCUUAAGUUGACCGGAACUACCCAGACUUUAUGUUUGGUAGCCUAGACCUGAUCGGACCUAGGCCCAAGUUUGGUCUUAAAGUCCACAAUUAAAUUAAAAAAAAAUUAUUUGAUUUGUAAUUGAUUUAUGGGGAAUGAAUCCGCAGCCCUAAAAUUACACCAAUCUUGACAUAAUGACAUCAUCGGUUAAAAACGUUCAGAUUUAUGGUUAAUCAAUGGUUUGAGAUUUGUUAUCAUUAAUGCUAGAUAUUUUUUAACAUUUUUUUCUAUCUCUCUUCUCCUGAAGGAUUUUCUAGGAAAAUGCAUCCACAACAAAAAUUUUAAAUUGUAAACAAUAAACAGAGUAUAAACGUUAAAUCUAAGGAACAUCGCUGCAUUUCAGCUGAAGCGAACUUUAAUAUUUUACGGAGAAAAAUAAUUAAGUCUUUAAUGUGAUUUAUUGAUUAAUAUAUAUGACUAAUUUUUUAAAAGAAGAUGAAGGAUGAAGCUUAAAAAUAUAAAUUAUAGAAUUAAUUUAUCUCUUCAAUAAAUCUAAAGUUUAUUUUUUUUAUUACAUGCUUCUAUUUUAUUUUUAUUCCAUGUUAAUGAAUGGAGAUUUAAAUCCAUUUUGGAUUUAUAAAGAUGUUUAGAUAUUUAAAUCCACGUGUGAUUCCAAACUUGAACCUUUUUUUUUUUUUUUUCUAAUUAAUGCAAACAGCCGCCUCUUUGACUGCUUUUCUUCUUUGUUUAUUAAUUAAUUAAUUCAGCUGCCCACCUUUCUUUUCCUAAUGUUUUCUACUCCCAAAUUUUUUUAAGGACAAGGCUACGUUGCAGACGCUGUACCUAACAGCUGCACCUUCGCCAGCUUAAAAAAGGGUGCAUUUGGUAAGCAACUUUUCUUUCGUGUGCAUAUGUGUCCUGCCACCAUUGGGUGUGUACGUAACAGAUAAUGUACCGUAACAAGCUCCUAUUUUUAAAUUUGUUUAUAAUGAUAAAAUAUAAAAAUUAAGAUUAAAAUGUAAUGUAAUGUAAAAUUAAAGGUGGAAGAGUAUUAAAAUAAGGCUAAACCUAUGUUACGUUUAACGUAACAUACAUUUAAAUAUAUAAAAUAUCAAUGGAAACCCUCAAAUUUUAUGGAAACUAUAUUAAUAAAAUUAAAAGAAAUAUUUUUAAAUCUGAAAGAAGAAAUAAAAGAUAUAAAGCAAGAGAUAGGAAAACUAAAAAUAGAAAUAUCUGUAAAAGAAAAAGGAAAAGAAAAAUUAGAAAUAAAAGAAACAACUCCAACUGAAUCGAAUUCAGACUAAUGGAAGAUGUAUUAGAAACUUUAACUGAAAAAUUCAGUGACAUAAAUCUUAGUGAUUUAGAAGACUUUGAAAAAGAAUAUUAGAUAAAAAUGAAUACUGCUGGAGGACCAGAAAUGAAACCUAAUGUAGCAUAACCAAGUCAUAGAUAUGGUAUAAAUAAAAUGAAAAAUAAACCUUUUUACGAGUAUAUACCUCCUAUUAAAAAUACUCCUUGGAAAAAAGAAUACAAACCAAAUCAAGAUACAUUAACCCCAAUAAAUAAUGCUGGAACAUUUUUAAAUCUAGAUUGUAAGAUAGACAUUCGAAAGGCGUUAGCAGAAUGGGUGUUACAAAUGAAAUUAUUUUUUAUAUUUAACGGGUCAAAGGAUGACUAGAAUGUAGAGACUGAAGAAGAAAAAAUAGAUAUAUUUGUUGAAAUCUUAAUAGCCAGUUUUUCAGGAAAUGUGUUUAAUUGGUGGAGAGGAUUAAGCGAUGAUACACAAAACUUAAUAAAAGAUUCAACCAAAUAGCAUUUAGAAAAAAUAAAGCCUUAGGAAUGGAAAGGAUAACUGAAUACAUAGCUAGUGAAUUUUUAGGAGAAGAUUGGCUAGAAAAAUCGGGCAUAUAUGAAAAUUUAAAAAUUUAUGAUAAAAAGAUCUUAGUGUUUUUAUUAAAAAAUUAAAAUUUACAUGACUAUUUCUUUAAAUAUUUAGGGCAUAUAUGAACCACGGAGGAGAAAAGCUUUAUUUAAUAUUUUAGAAUAGUUUUUGAUCAGUACAAUUGGGUCCUUAUUCAGAAUUAUUGUUCUCUUCCGCAACAGUUUUUGUUUAUCAAAGUCGUCAAUUAAAAUUUUAGAAUUCUUAUCAGAAGAAGUAGUCGUUUUAGAAGUUGGGUCUUGGAUCAAAUUUCUACGAGUGCAUGAAUUAACAAUAAAAAAAUUUCAUUACACACGGUUUAAGCUACAAACUACUAUUUGCACAGUUGACUAUAAAACUUACCUCCAAUUACACUAAACCUCUCUAUUUGGUAACGUUGAGACUAAAUUAAUUUUAUUAGCAUGAAAAGAUGAUAGAAAUAUAAUUAUAAAUAUUAUUGUUGUUAAUCAAUUAGUACAUGUGAUAUAAAGGUUAAAUGUGCACUAUAUUUAAUAAUUAAUUAGUGGAGCAUGUUAAACAAAAUGUUAAUGUAUAUUUAUAUAGUGUUAGGAAUAUGCAAAGUCAAGUCCUCAAUUUGCAUUAUCCUGUAUAGAAUAUUACUCUAAAAAUGUUUUACUAUAAUUGGCUUAGAACAUUUGUAAAGAAAAAUAAUAAUAAAAUAAUAAAUAACAUACACCGUCACAUAGCACCUAGACAAUGAUAGAAAAUUAUUAAAGAGAGUGCAAACAAUUAAUUAGAGAUUUUUAUGAUGACUUUUAAUAUUCAUGAUAAUAACAAAUAAAUACAUGUAUCACUUUUUUAAAAUAUUAAAUUUGACUGCUCCAUUAAUAAAUUAUUAUUGUAAUUCAGACUCUAUCUAUAUAUCCUUGCACUAAGAAUAAUUAAGGUAACGUUUGUUUUUUAACUUAAUGACUUAAAGUGACUUAACUUAAUUAAUUAAGUUAAUUAGAGGUGUUUGUUUUAUAACUUAAUGAGACUUUUUAGAUAAUUUUGACUUAAUAAAAUAAGCUAAUUUUUUUUGGCUUUUUACUUAAUGGAGAAAUCUGAAUUAAGUCAAUUACUUGCUAAUGUCAAAAAUAUCCUUGUUUUAUAAUUUAUUUUUCAUGUCUAUCCCAAAACUCGCCCGUAGAUAUUUACCCCACAUAAAAAUAUCCCUGUUUUUUUCUUUCUUAUAUUAUAUACGAUAAAAUUUGAAAUUUAUAGUAUUUUAUAUAUUAAAAUUCUAAAAUAAUUAUGUAUUCACUUGAAUAUAGUUUUACUUAUAAAUGUUAAAAUAUGAUGGUAUUUAAUAUAUUAUUUAUUUGACAUUCAAAUUUAAUAAGGAUACAAAUGUAAAAGUACAUAUUUUCAGCUUUUUAAAUUGAAAAAAAAUAACUUAAUAUUUAUUUUCUGAGAUUCAGACGAAAAAAUAAACAUAUUAUUCAGAUUCAUACAUUCAGAUCUAUUCAGAAUUCAAACUAAUUCAAGUCUAUUCAAAUUUUAGACAAAAAAAUAAACGCCACCUAAGUCAUAAUAAAAAUUUUCGUAACUACAUCUCGUUUCUUCCUCAUAAUAAUAAUUAGAUUGGUUCGAAUAUUAUAACUAUAUAGAUUUAGUGUAUAGCCACAUCCAAUUUAAAUAUUGACCCAAUUGGGAUGGUCCCCAAAAAAAAAGAUUCGUUAAAGGAUAAUUCUAAUUAUUUUUACUUCUCAAACGUUAGUGGGACGUUUCUAUUAGCGCACUCGUAAGCCAAGUUGUCAAAUAUUUAUACUAAACUACAAUUGCUAACAAGAAAAAUCAAGAUCGUGUUAAGCAAGUGGGUCCCGAAUAGGACGUGCAAAUCUCUCGUAAGUCAAGUUGUCAAAUGUUUAUAUAAAACUAACAAUUACUGACAAGAAAAAUCAAGAUCGUAUUAAAAAUGGGUCCCGAAUAGGAUUAUCUUUUUAAGAAUAUUAUUAUUUUAUUAUUAAAAUUUUAUUAAUAUAACAGUAUUAAAAUUUAUUAAAAAAUAUAUUUUAUUAUUAAAAUUUUAUACCGUUAUCAAUUUAUUAUUAUUUUAUUAAAAAAAUUAAUAUUUAACAAAAAUUGAGAUAAAAAUUAAUUUUUGUUCUCUGUCUUUAUUUAUUUAUUUAUUUUUUUGGGUCUUCUGCAAAUCACAAUCAAAUGUUGAAUUAUAAAUUUGCCGGCAUUGCUUUUUUUUUUUUUUUUGGGCCGGGGGGUGGUGUUGAAUUGAUGCUCUGGGUUUUUGACUUUUGUUGUCAAAUUUUACUCUGUUUUUCCCAAAUUGAUGCUANNNNNNNNNNNNNNNNNNNNNNNNNNNNNNNNNNNNNNNNNNNNNNNNNNNNNNNNNNNNNNNNNNNNNNNNNNNNNNNNNNNNNNNNNNNNNNNNNNNNNNNNNNNNNNNNNNNNNNNNNNNNNNNNNNNNNNNNNNNNNNNNNNNNNNNNNNNNNNNNNNNNNNNNNNNNNNNNNNNNNNNNNNNNNNNNNNNNNNNNNNNNNNNNNNNNNNNNNNNNNNNNNNNNNNNNNNNNNNNNNNNNNNNNNNNNNNNNNNNNNNNNNNNNNNNNNNNNNNNNNNNNNNNNNNNNNNNNNNNNNNNNNNNNNNNNNNNNNNNNNNNNNNNNNNNNNNNNNNNNNNNNNNNNNNNNNNNNNNNNNNNNNNNNNNNNNNNNNNNNNNNNNNNNNNNNNNNNNNNNNNNNNNNNNNNNNNNNNNNNNNNNNNNNNNNNNNNNNNNNNNNNNNNNNNNNNNNNNNNNNNNNNNNNNNNNNNNNNNNNNNNNNNNNNNNNNNNNNNNNNNNNNNNNNNNNNNNNNNNNNNNNNNNNNNNNNNNNNNNNNNNNNNNNNNNNNNNNNNNNNNNNNNNNNNNNNNNNNNNNNNNNNNNNNNNNNNNNNNNNNNNNNNNNNNNNNNNNNNNNNNNNNNNNNNNNNNNNNNNNNNNNNNNNNNNNNNNNNNNNNNNNNNNNNNNNNNNNNNNNNNNNNNNNNNNNNNNNNNNNNNNNNNNNNNNNNNNNNNNNNNNNNNNNNNNNNNNNNNNNNNNNNNNNNNNNNNNNNNNNNNNNNNNNNNNNNNNNNNNNNNNNNNNNNNNNNNNNNNNNNNNNNNNNNNNNNNNNNNNNNNNNNNNNNNNNNNNNNNNNNNNNNNNNNNNNNNNNNNNNNNNNNNNNNNNNNNNNNNNNNNNNNNNNNNNNNNNNNNNNNNNNNNNNNNNNNNNNNNNNNNNNNNNNNNNNNNNNNNNNNNNNNNNNNNNNNNNNNNNNNNNNNNNNNNNNNNNNNNNNNNNNNNNNNNNNNNNNNNNNNNNNNNNNNNNNNNNNNNNNNNNNNNNNNNNNNNNNNNNNNNNNNNNNNNNNNNNNNNNNNNNNNNNNNNNNNNNNNNNNNNNNNNNNNNNNNNNNNNNNNNNNNNNNNNNNNNNNNNNNNNNNNNNNNNNNNNNNNNNNNNNNNNNNNNNNNNNNNNNNNNNNNNNNNNNNNNNNNNNNNNNNNNNNNNNNNNNNNNNNNNNNNNNNNNNNNNNNNNNNNNNNNNNNNNNNNNNNNNNNNNNNNNNNNNNNNNNNNNNNNNNNNNNNNNNNNNNNNNNNNNNNNNNNNNGAAGGGUCUCUAAUCAAUAGCUGGAAGCAAUUGAGAAGGCGGUUGCUACAGUGAAUUCAAAUGUAAAAUGUUUGCUAUUCUUCGAUUUGGUUAAUGAUUUCGUAUGAAUAUUGUUGUUCCGUUGAGUUGCAUGCGAAUUCAAAUGCAAAAUAUUCUUCGAUUUUCAAUUUUGAAAUCAAAUUUUUUUUUCCUUCUCAAGCAUGUUAUGCAGAAACGAUUGUCAUGUUAUGCAGAAACGAUUUUUACUAAAUCAUUUUUAACAAACUAUUGAAAUUAAACCACUGGAAUAAGAAUUGUAAGGAUUUAUCGUAAGCUUACUAAUACGAUAAUUCUGAAACUAUCACCUUUUUUUUUUUAUUUGUUGCAGGGAAACCCAAAUUUUGUAUUUUGUCAAUUUCAUCUGAUAUGGAAUUUAUUUCCUCCCUAAAGAUUUAUCAAACUGCUUCUCUUCCCUGCUUCAAUAUCUUUAUGCAAUUACGAUCUCAUAGGAAAAGAGAGUUUGGGUUGUAUAUCUUAUAGUAUUUAUUUAUUUUUUGUUAAAAGAAAUUUAUUUUAAAAUAGUUUAUAGCAACAGUUUUUAUUUAACAAUAAUGAGGAAGGAUUAUUAUAGGUUCAAAUAGUUGUUAGAACAUUAUAAAAAAGUCCAUUUACUAUCAAAUGUUUUAAAUUGGUGCAACGUGAUAAUUGUCUCAUAUAAUUUUUUAAGGGUAAAAACUCGUUUCAUUCCCAUAUUUUAAGAUUAUUACUCAUUUAGUCUUUAUAUUUUUAAAAAUGUUUCAAAACAUUCAUACCCUUAAAUUAUUAACAUCUCUGCUGUUACUUUUUAUUUUUUUUUGACUUGUUUUUACAAUAUUGCCCUCUUACAAUAAUGUUUCUUUUUAUAAAAUUAAUAAAAAGAAAAAAAAUUAAAUUAUCAAUUUAACCCCAAAAAUAAAAUAAAAAUAAAAAGAAUAAAUAUUAAUUUUUGUGAAAGUUUACAUGUGUCCAAAAUAAAUUUUAUUGUAAAAAUAAUUAAAUUGCCUUUUUUUUGGACAUUAGUAAUAAAAAAAUUAAUAUAUUAAUUCCUCAGCAGUGUGUUACAAAAAAGUAAAAUAUAUUAAUUUUGUUUUUAUUUUAGACAAUGAGAUAGAGAAAAGUACAAGAUAAAGGAAAGGACUUCAAAACUCACUGUUCAUCAUAAUGCCCUUUGCCUUUAAAAAAAAAUCAUUCUAAUAUUUUAUAACACAUAAAAUAUAAUCCUAAGAUAAAUAUAAUAAUACAUAUUUUAAACUAAUCUCGAUAUUUAAAAUAUGUUUUAAUAUUUUAUAAUCUAUCAGACAUAUUUUAUUAUAUUAAUGUAAAAUUUAUAAUAAAUACAAACAUAUUAUUAAAAUAAAUAUAUAAAAAAUAUUUAUUUUUUAUAUGUUUACACUGAGGACUCUCUUUAAUUCAUUUAUUUUCUCUCUCUCCAAACAGGUACUGUCUUCAGUUAGCAAUGCUAUGAUAGUAAUCCAAUUCUCUUCUCCCCCACCUGAGCGAGAUUUGAAUUUGAAUCCCUUGUUUUUCACCCACUCUGUUUUUUUUCACGCAAGAUUUGACAAUUUGAGUUAAAAAAUAUGGUCCAAAACUUGAACACGUAUCUUUUAAUUGUAAUAAAAGUUCUUUAAGCUUUGGAGAUGGCAUAUAUAUGGCUGGAAGUGUCCUUUUCUUUGACCUAGAGGCAGCACCAAGCUAUCCAGCAUCAUCAUUUUUCAAGUGGGUCUUAAAUGCCUAGAAACGUUGGUGUUUCUUGAUUUAAAGAUGACACAUGCUAUAAGUGUGAAUGGUUUGGCUAAGCCUAAAUUUAAAGUCUACUCAAGUCGCAUUCAGGAUCAUGGAAAUUGGAAAGGGAGAGAUGAUAGCAAGAUUUAUAAUAAACAAUUAACUUGGGUCCUCAGUGUACAAAGCAAAUGCCACGCAAGCGAUAGCCGGCCCAGCCCAGAAAACCCAGUGGCGAUCCCAGAGAUGGCCUCCUCUAACGAGUGCUGGGCCCAAAAAUCUUUGCGGGUUGAGCCCAGCUCCGGCAUAGCCCUUUUGAGCAGUAACAGUUGUCGAGACAAAAACCAGAAGACCCAACACUGUUCCAAUGACAAUGCAUACGGUAAACUCUGCCAAGAGCCUUGGCUUGUCUGGAGUCAAAAGCCAUCCACACAGAAGCAAAAAGGAACACAAACGAGCAAAUUAUCUCAAGCCAAAGGGCCUGCCUAGUCCCCAAGCCGAUCUCAACAGGCCCAUCUGGCCCAGGUACGACAACAUUCAGGGUGCAGCCUCCAAGUUGUCAAAUAUUUAUAUUAAACUACAAUUGCUGACUAGAAAAAUCAAGAUCGUAUUACAAGUGGGUCCCGAAUUGGACGUGCCUAAAUCUUUUUAUAAUUUUCCCAGUGUAGCGGACAGAGGUCAUUACUAAAUUUCUCUUCCACACGCCACAGCAGCUUCGGUUAAUCAAACUCAAUCAAUUUUCUUGGCUUCUCCGCUUAUCAAUAUUACAAGGUAUGGGUAGCAUUUUUCAAAUCACAUGCGAUGGUACUAUUUUCAAUCGUUGCUUAGAUUGCUUUCUUGGAAAAGCAGCAUACAUAAGUAACCUCCAAGAUAAUCUUGUUGCCUUGGAGACUGAACUAAGGAAACUAAUCGCAGCAAAGAACGAUGUGAUGACGGCGGUUGUCAAUGCUGAACGGCAACAAAUGAGAAGGCUGGACCAAGUGCAAGUGUGGGUUUCGAGGGCGGAUGCUGUUAAAAAUGAAGCUGAUGAACUUAUCAGAGGCGGCUCUCAAGAAAUUGAAAAAUUAUGUCUUAGAGGGUUCUGUUCCAGGAACUGCACGUCAAGCUACAAGUUCGGAAAACAAGUGGCUAAAAAGCUACGAGCUGUGGAGACUUUAAUCGCCGAAGGAGUUUUUGAGGCGGUGGCUGCCGAGGUGGUGCCUGAGAGAGCUCCAGAGCCUGUAGCAGAUGAAAGACCUACCGAGCGAACAGUAGUAGGCUUGCAAUCACAACUUGAACAAGUCUGGAGAUGUCUUGCAGAAGAAUCAGCGGGAAUCAUUGGCCUAUAUGGUAUGGGCGGUGUUGGUAAAACUACACUAUUGACCUAUAUCAACAAUAAAUUUCUCGAGAGUCCAACCAACUUUGAUUGUGUGAUUUGGGUAGUAGUUUCAAAAGACCUGCGACUUGAAAAACUUCAAGAAAAUAUUGGGAAAAAGAUAGGUUUGGUUGAUGAUUCAUGGAAGAGUAAAAGUGUAGAGGAGAAAGCUCUCGACAUCUUCCGGAGUUUAAGAGAGAAGAGAAUUGUAUUGCUGUUAGAUGAUAUAUGGGAGCGGGUUGAUUUAACAAAAGUGGGCGUUCCACUUCCAGGACCACAAAAUACUACCUCAAAAGUCGUAUUCACAACCCGUUUGAUCGAUGUUUGUGGUAGCAUGGAAGCUGACAGGAAGUUCAAAGUAGCAUGCUUAUCAGAAAAGGAUGCUUGGGAACUGUUUCGAAAAAAAGUUGGGGAAGAAACUCUUGGAAGUCAUCAUGAUAUCGUUGAGCUAGCCCAAACUGUGGCCAAAGAGUGUGGUGGUUUGCCACUCGCACUUAUUACUAUCGGUCGAGCUAUGGCCUACAAAAAGACAGCCGAAGAGUGGAGACACGCAGUUGAAGUUCUAAGAAGAUCAGCUUCGGAAUUUGCAGGUUUGGGAAAAGAGGUGUAUCCUCUUUUAAAGUUUAGCUAUGAUAGUUUGCAGAAUAAGACGAUUAGAUCUUGUUUCUUAUAUUGUUGUUUAUAUCCUGAAGAUUAUGGCAUUCUUAAAUGGGACUUGAUUGACUGUUGGAUUGGUGAGGGAUUCUUAGAGGAAUCUGACAGGUUUGGUGCAGAAAACCAAGGAUACUACAUUGUGGGCACUCUUGUUCAUGCGUGUUUACUAGAAGAGAUAGAAGAUGAUAAAGUAAAAAUGCAUGACGUUGUUCGUGAUAUGGCUCUAUGGAUAGCUUGUGAAAUUGAGAAGGAGAAGAGAAACUUUUUGGUUUGUGCAGGUGCGGGACUAAAGGAGGCACCUGAUGUUAAAAGAUGGGAAAAUGUGAGAAGAUUGUCAUUGAUGCAAAACCAAAUUGAAACUUUGUCAGAGGUUCCUGCAUGCCCUCAUCUCCAUACUCUAUUUCUUGCCUCUAAUAAUAGUUUGCAGAGGAUCACCGAUGGCUUCUUCCAAUUUAUGCCUUCUCUCAAAGUUUUCAAGAUGUCAAACUGCGGGAAUUUAAUUUUGGAAUUACCUUUUGGGAUGUCAAAGUUGGGUUCAUUGGAACUUCUCGAUAUUUCACAUACCUACAUACAAGAGUUACCACAAGAGUUAAAGUUGUUGGUAAAUCUGAAAUGUUUGAAUUUGAGGUGGACAAGCGAGUUAAAUAAAAUUCCACGGCAGCUAAUAUCAAAUUCUUCAAGGUUACGUGUGUUGAGAAUGUUGGGUACUGGCUGGUUCAAUUUUCAUGAAGCAUCAGAAGACAGCGUUUUAUUUGGCGGGGGUGAAGUUUUAGUACGGGAAUUGCUCGGUUUGAAAUAUUUAGAGGUAUUGGAGUUGACCUUGCGAAGUUAUCAUGCUCUCCAAAUUGUUUUGAGCUCAAAUAAGUUAAAAAGUUGUAUUCGAUCUCUUUACCUCCAGUUGACCGGAGAUAGAAAGUCGAUUAUUGAUGCUACGGCUUUCGCAGAUCUAAACCACCUCAAUGAAUGAUUGAUUUUUAAAGGUUUUGAGUUGGAAGAAUUGAAGAUUGAUUAUACAGAGAUAGUACGAAAAAGGCGGGAACCUUUUGUUUUCCGCAGCCUUCACCGUGUUACCAUAGAUUCGUGCCUUAAAUUGAAAGAUUUGACAUUCCUCGUUUUUGCUCCAAACCUCAAGUCUCUUUCGCUAUUCAAUUGCCGUGCUAUGGAAGAAAUAAUCAGCGUUGGAAAAUUUGCUGAGGUUCCUGAGAUGAUGGGACAUAUAAGCCCUUUUGAAAAUCUCCGAAGUCUUCGUUUGUCACAUUUGCCAAAUUUGAAGAGCAUCUACUGGAAGCCAUUGCCUUUCACUCAUCUGAAAGAAAUGGUGGUACAUGGGUGUGAUCAGCUUAAAAAGCUUCCACUCGAUUCCAACAGUGCAAAAGAGCGUAAAUUUGUUAUUCGUGGACAAGCAGACUGGUGGGACCGACUUCAAUGGGAGGAUGAAGCCACUCAAAUUGCUUUUAGUUCCUGUUUCCAACCUUAACUUGAUUUCUGGUUAGUGCUGUUUCCUUAACUUUUACAUAUAUUCUCGUCGUUUGCUUCGUGCAAAAUACUAGGUCUUUUGUUCUCUGUUUUUAUUUCGCCCAUUUUUUUUUUUUUUUUUUGUCUUCUGCAAAUGACAGACAAAUGUUGAACUAAAAGGAAUUAAUGCUUUAUAACUUUGCCGGCAUUGCUUUUUUCUUUUUCUUUUUUGAUUUUUUGGGGCGAGGGGGGAUCGAAUAGAUGCUCUGGUUUUUGACUUUUUGUUGUCAAAUUUUACUCUGUUUUUUUCAAAUUGAUGCUUGAAUAUUUGAAUCAAAUUAAUGCUCACGUAAAUUUGUUCAGUUGCCGUAAAAGGAUAUAAUUACACUGAAAUACACAAACUCUAGAAUGAAUAGAAUUAAACAGAGAAAAUCUUGAGUAUAUUAGCCGUCUUCACAUAAAAUCAUAUGAAAAUUAAAUUUUGAAGUUUUUAUUUUCUAUUUUUAAUCAUACCCUUUAUAAUUUCUUCUGUUCUAACUACAAUAAAAUUUUUGGUUCAAGGAUUUUUAUGAGGGGUAUUAAUAAUAGUCCACCAAAAGAGUGAACAGUUGGAUGCUGCCCUAAGGGUCUCUAAUCAAUAGCUGGAAGCAAUUGAGAAGGCGGUCGUUACUGUGUACAAAGCCAUGCAGUAUUUGCUAUUCAUCUUAGUAAUUAUGAAGCUUUGGUAAAAUUUUCAAACAAAGUUGACAUGUUAUUUUGAGAUUUGGUUCAUGAUUUUGUAUGAAUAUCGUUGUUCCAUUGAGUUGUAUAUGAAUUCAAAUGUAAAAUAUUCUUUGGUUUUCAAUUUUGAAUUCAAUUUCUUUUCUUAAGCAUGUUGUGCAGAAAUGAUUUCUACUAAAUCAUUUUUGAUAAACUACUUAAAUUAAACAACUGCAAUAAGAACUGUUAAGGAUUUAUCGUAAGCAGACUAAUAUGAUAAUUCUGAAACUAUCAUUUUUUUUUUCAAUUUGUUGCAGGGAAAGCCAAAUUUUGUAUUUUUCAGUUUUAUCUGAUAUGGAAUUUAUUUCCUCUACACUAGCUACCUAAAGAUUUAUCAAAUUGCUUCUCUUCCCUGCUUCAAAUUAAUAUCUUUAUGCAACUACAAUCUCAUAGGAAAAGACAGUUUGGGUUGUAUUUAUUAUAGUUUUUUUUUUCGUUAAGAGCAAUUUAUUUUAAAAUCGUUUAGUAGUAACAGUUUUUAUUGAAUAAUAAUGGGGUAGGAUUAUUAUAGGUUCAACUAGUUGUUAGAACAUUAUAAAAAGUCCAUUUACUAUCAAAUGCUUUAAAUUGGUGCAACAUGAUAAUUGUCCCACAUAAUUUUUAAUAAUAUAUAUGGCCCAUAAAUUUAAUAUGAAUAAAUGAGUUUCGAUAGUUAAAUUUGAUACGAUUAUUAAAUAAGUUAUAUCCAUGUCAAUUCGACUUAAAAUCUGGUAAAUUUAGAUUUAGAGUUUAUAACAUGAUAACUUGUUUUAUGACAUGAUUUACUAAUCAAUUAAUAUUAAAUUAUAUUUUAGCCAAUCAGAUAUGUGGUACAUUUGUCAAAUUUUAAAAAUUAUUUAUUUAUAUAUGAAAUAAAUUUGACUAGACUGUGUGUAGGUAAUAGUGCAUAAUUUCUAAAAAAAUGUAAUAAUAACACGUUAAAAUGUUAUUUUUAUGAAGAAAAAUUGAAAUUUUAUUAAAUAGGCGACACAAUAAUAAAUGGGUUGAGAUUAUUUACAUUUUAAGAAUUACUCUGAACAUUAUUUUAUUUUAUAAAUUUUAUAUUACAAAAACACCCAUAGUUUAAUUUACCAUUAAGAACAAUUUUGUGCGAUUAAAUAAAAUACAUUACUCUUUACCCUUUCACUACAUCGACAUAAAUCCUAAUUGUUAUGUUUCUAAUUUCUUUGAUAUGCUUAUUGAAGUCCACAUUAUAAUCAAUUUUAAACUAUUAUACCACUUAAAUACAUUUUAGAAUGAGAAGUUUGGUUUUCUUCAUGGGCUGCCUUGCUGAUGCUGUUAUUGAAACUAUCGAACUUAAUAAUUUUAUGGCCAAAAUGAUAUAUGUUGAACCAGCUUUUACAUCGAAUUCUACCACCAUAAAAAAUCGUACUUGUAACAUCUCAAGGUUCCAAUUUAUCAAAAGUUAAUCAUUCAUAUUUGUUAGUUCCUAACAGUCACAAGAGCGUACAAGCCAAUUUUUGUAGCUCCUUUUUCUGCAGUAGAUUCAAGUAUAUUAUUAUCAAGCAUUUUUGUUACACCCUUAAUUCCUUAUCAUCAUCCCUUCAUUCAGAGCAACUAAACAGAGGUCAAUGUCAUUAUGUUAGAGUUACGAGGAAGAGUACUGCCAAAAAAGUUCUUUGUAUGGGAUUUAAUUUUCUGGGUUUGUAGUGAUGAACAAAUUGAGGGUUGUUUUGGUAUUUUCAAGAGUGUAUUGAGUGAAAAUUAUUUUUAAAAAAUUUAACAAAUGAGUGUAAUGAGUAAAAAAGUGUUUAAAGUAUUUUUUAGAGUACAAAUAGCUCCACCUUAAUAAAUGAGUUCUUGUAAAAAUUGAGAUUAUUGAUAUAAUUAUUAAAUAGGUUGGAUUGAAGUUAGUUUAAUUUUGACAAGAUAAUAAGACGACGCGACACAAAUACAACCAACCAGUCAACCCAAAUUGCAACCUUUUACUAAUAAAAGAUACCUGUUUGAAAAGUAAUUAUAAGCUAUCUUCUUUGUGUUAUUUCUCUAAAAAUUUGCGGCACAAAUAUUAUUUCCAUGGAGAAAAGUACGAAAUACCCGCUUUCACUUCAGCAGAAGCAAAGCAAAGCUAUGAGCCAUCUCUGUAUAAUUGAAACGCCAUUGCUAAACGGUUCUUGAUGAUGGGUGCCACCGUGCCAGCGUUGUCGCUGAUUUGCAUGAUUUAUUAGUUGUUCAGAUGGCGGAUUUUGUACUGUCACUUUCAUUUCAUUCUUGAGAGCCACGUACAAUACUAGGUGGCAUUGAAGUUGCCCCAGUGGUUAGUUUUCUGAUUUUUUUUAAUUCAAAUUUUUAUGUUUUAGAAAAAUGUAAGAAAUAUGUAGAAAUGUUGACAGCUACAAUUUUGAAACUUUGCCUAAAAUUAUUAUCGUUGCUUAUUGUUUCUUAGCUAAAGAGAAAUCCUAGAAACAUGAAAUUAUUAUUCUAUGCUUGUUUUAAUAUUAUACAUUAGCAGGUUAAUUAAAAAUUAGACGUGAAUACAACAAGAGAUAAGUGGAGAGAAUUUGGUAGUCGACCGCAUUUAGAAUUUAAUUUUUCUUUUAGCUGCCGAUCAUUAAAUUUUAUAUUUCAGAAAAUUAUACCUAGAAUAUUUCAAGGAUAUACUACGAAGAUUAUGAAGGUUUGAUUACAUGUCACUAUCAAUUGCCUCAAUCAUUUGUAGUAAAUUAAUUAAUCAUUUUGCUGCAAAUGAUUUCCUAUUAAAAAAUUCAAGUCAGAGCUGAAUUGCACAGUAGUUAGUCGUGCUUGCAAUUCAAAUCAAGUAUUGUAUUUUCUGCCUGAUUUGGUUGAUUCAACUAUGUGCAUUUGCAUAAUGGAGAUGCUUAUGAACGUUGUAGUAUAGAAAUCGAAACGUCUUGUCUUUUGCUAAGCCCAGAAGCAAAGUUCUUUGUAUUAUACUCAUCAGUUUUCUUCGUUCUCUUCGUUGAAAUUUUAUCCAAACAGCGGUUUCUUCGAAUUUUUGCCCUCUCUUACAUUUUUAAAUCUAUCAAAGAACGGUUACCUGAGAAGAUUGCCAUCAGGUAUUUCGAAAUUGAUUUCACUACAAUACCUUAAUCUAUCAGAUUUUAAUCUAUCAGAUGCUCCCGUCACUCAGUUGCCAAAAGUGACAAAAGCCUUAGUAAAUUUUUAGAGUAAAAACUCAUUUAUUCCUUAUAUUUUAAGAUUAGUAUCUAUUUAGUCCUUAUAUUUUGAAAAAUACCUUGAAACAUCACUGCCAUUAAAGUAUUGAUACCCUUACCGUUACUUUUUAUUUAUUUUGGCUUAUUUUUACAAUAUUACCCUUUAAUAAUAAUUUUUUUGUUUAGACAUUAAUAAAAAUAAAAUAAUUAAAUUACCAAUUUAAUCCUAAAAAAUAAAAAUAAAAAUUUAUAUUAAUUUUUAAUUGUAAAAAAUUGUAUGCAAACUACCAAAUGUGCAAACGGUGCUUGCAAAAAAAUUAAUAUAAAUUUUUUAUUUUUAGGGUUAAAUUAGUAAUUUAAUUAUUUUAUUUUUAUUAAUGUCCAAAAAAUUAGUAAUUUAAUUAUUUUCUUUUUAUUAAUGUCCAAAAAUUAUUAUAAAAGGGUAAUAUUAUAAAAGUAAGCUAAAAGAAAUGAAAAGUAACGGUAGGGGUAUCAAUACUUUAACGGUAGGGAUGUUUCGAGGUAUUUUUAAAAAUAUAAAGAGUAAAUGGACACUAAUAUUAAAAUACAGGGACUAAAUAAGUUUUUAUCCUAAAUCUUUAAGUGUUUGAAUUGGAGUACAUAAAUUAUCUCUCUACAAUUCAAAAACAACAGAUUUGUUACUUUUCAACGCUACAGGUUCCGCGAAUAUUCAGUUGUGGUUAUCUUGUUGAAACACCAGAAAAUAGCGUUCUAUUUGGUGGUAAUGAAUUCUUGGUUGGGGAGUUACUUAGUUUAAAACAUUUAAAUGUAUUAAGCAUCGCCUUAAAAGGUUUUUCUACCGUCCAAAAAUUUAUGAGCUCCCAAAAGUUUCAAAGUUGUACAAAAUGUUUGGAGCUUAUAGACAGUGAUGAUUCAAAGUCGUUUGCCAUGGCAGAGUUGAAGCAUCUUGAAAAACUAGGUAUUUCAAAUUGUGGAAAUUUGGAAGAGUUUAAGUUCUGCUGUGUCGAAGUUGGAAAAACUUGAGAAGAUUUUUGUUUGAACAGCCUUCACCAAGUUAAGAGAAAGGCUUGUCAUAAAUUGAGGGAAGUGACAUGGCUUGUGUUUGUACCAAAUCUUAAGGUUAUUCAGAUAGAAAAAUGUAUGGAGAUGGAGGUUGUUGGGAAAGAGACUACCACAAGCAGCUAAAAAUUAAGCGAAUACAAAAUUCUUUCUCUCUUUGUGUGAUUAAAAUAGGAUGUGCACCACAAACAAAUAAGCAGAAAAAUAAACCAAUAAAUGCAAAGCAAAAACCAACCACAAGAGACACCGAUUUUUAAGUAGAAAAUUUAAAUUGGGAAAAAUCACAGGAUAGUAGUCUGAUAUAAACUUCUACUAUAUUAAUGAGAUUACAACACAAAUUCUUCUCCAGAUAAUACUAGAUGCUAACAAUAUUAAAAUUCUCAACAAUCUUAGUUUAUAAUAAUAGAUCUAAAAUCUAUUUCUUCAAUAAGUGAGUAUCUCAAAUAAUAGCUACUGAGAGAAUAAAAUACAGAUCAACACCAGUAGAAAUAUAGAGGGCAAUGUCAGGAACUUACCCUCCAAAUUUAGGACUAAUCAGAGCUAAAAUAACCUUUUGAUUGUUGAAUCAAAGAUUGAAAACCAAAAAAAAAAAAAAUAUCUCUUUCUCUCGCAGUGUCUUCUCACUUUCGCAAAAUGUCUACAGCUCUCGCGAUUCUUUACUUAUUUCCUUAGUUAAUUUCAUCCAAGUCCAAAAUUUUACAAUAAUUACACAUCAAGCAAAUUAUUUUGGACUUUGAACUUUUUGGUCCACUGAAGUGAAAUGGACCUUACAAAUCUCCCCCUCCAUCUCAUCUAAGGGGCACCACCAAGCCCGCUCUCUACUUACAGCUUUCCAGCUUCUCCUUGGGUAAUGACUUUAUCAUCAUAUCUGAUGCAUUCUUCGUUGUGUGAAUUUCUCCAAGCUGCAACUGUUUCUACUCAAGCACGUCUUGUAUCCAAUGAUACUUCAUAUCAAUAUGCUUCGAUUUCAAAUGAUAUGUUGAAUUCUUUGCCAAGUGGAUGACACUUUAACUGUCACAGUACACAACAUAACUAUCUUGAUUAACACCUAGUUCUUGUAGAAAAUUCUUCAUCCACAAGGUUUCUUUGUAACUUUCAGUGAUUGUAAUAUACUCUACUUCUGUAGUAGACAAAGCAACACACUACUAAAGUCUAGACUGCCAUGAAACUGCUCCUCCUACAUAGGUGAGCAAAUAUCUUGAUAGAGACUUUCUAGAAUCAACAUCUCCUGCCAUAUAUGCAUCCGUAUCUACUUGUAAUAUAGGUUUGUCACCACCAAAACAUAAACAUGCCUUGGAAGUGCCUCUGAGAUAUAUGACAAUCUACUUUACUGCUGUCCAGUGUUUUUUACCCAGAUUAGAGGAAAACCAGUUGACUACCAACUGUUGAAGCGUACCUCAAACUACCAACUGUUGAAGCAUAAAAAACUCUUUUUAUCUCUUGCUUCUCUUUCUCACUUAUGGGACAAUGCUUGAAACUAAGCUUGAAAUGACCUGCAAGUGGAAAAUAAACAUAUUUUGCUUUGUCCAUAUUAUAUCUUUUAAGAACUUUUUCAACAUAUGCUUCCUGAGAUAACCAUAAAUUCCCAGUUUUUCUGUCACGAGAAAUCUUCAUGCCAAGAAUUUGUUUCGCCGAUCCCAAGUCCUUCAUUACAAAAGACUUGCUAAGCUCUCUCUUCAAAUUGUCAAUCUUACUAGUAUCCUUGCCAACAAUCAACAUGUCAUCCACAAAAAGUAAAAGAAUAAUAAAAUCAUUAUCACUAAACUUUUUCACAAACAUACAAUGAUCACACAUUGUCUUGCAAAAGCCAUGAUUCUCCAUAAAAGAAUCAAACUUCUUAUACCACUGUCUUGGUGCAUGUUUCAGCCCAUAUAAAGUUUUUUUCAAUUUGUACACAAGUUCUUCUUUACCUUUGACACUGAACUCUUCAGGUUGUUAUAUGUAUAUUUCCUCCUUUAAGUCAUCGUGUAAGAAAGCAGUCUUUACAUUGAAUUGUUCAAUUUCCAAAUCCAAGCUAGCUACUAAUCCCAGAGGUGCUUGCUCAAUUGGUUCUGCUGGACCAUUAUUAUUAUCCUCUCCAGCUCCCCUAUGAUCAUCAUGAACAACAUGUGGAGAAACCGAAGUUGGAAUAAUAAGAAUCUCUGGAGAUGGCUGAGACUUAUCAUUUUUUUUUCAUCACCAACUAUCUAAUUUUUAAGAAACACAACAUCUCUAAUUCUGAUUACUUUUCUUGUCACUGGAUCCCAUAAUCUGUACCCAAAUUCUUCAUGUCCAUAGCUUAAGAAAAUACAUUUCUUGGCUUUAUCAUCAAGUUUUGAUCUCUCAUCUUUAGGGAUAUGAACAUACACUCUGCACUUAAACACCCUCAAGUGUUUAUAAGAAACAUCUUUCCCAAUCCAAACUCUUUUAGGUACAUCGUCAUCUAAUGGAGCUUAAGGAGAAAGAUUAAUCAAAUCAACUACAGUACGCAUAGCCUCCGCUCAGAAGGAUUUAUAAAGCUUGGCAUCAGAAAACAUACAUCUGACUAUCUUUUCAAUUGUUCUGUUCAUUAUUUCUGCAACACCACUCUGCUGAGGGGAUUUUGGUACAGUUUUCUUAAGUUUGAUUCCAUGAGAUCUGCAAUACUGCUCAAAUGGUCCUCUGUACCCACCAUCAUUUUCUGCCCUGACACAUUUCAAUUUUUUUCUUGUCCCUCUCUCAACAUAAGCACGAAAGAAUUUAAACAUAGUAAGCACGAAAGAAUUUAAACAUAUCAAGCACUUAAUCUUUAGAUUUUAAAGCAAAAGUCCAUACUUUUCUAGAACAAUCAUUAAUAAAAGUCAUAAAAUAAAGUGCACCUCCUAUUGAUCUAUUUUGCAUCAUGCAAAUAUCAAUGUGAAUCAAAUCAAGGAUUUGUGACUUUCUAGAUGGAGAAAAGCUUUUAAAAGUUACUUUAUGUGCCUUUCCAGCUAAACACUAAACACAAGUCUUGAGGGACGUACCUACAAAGCUUGGUAGAAAUCCUUUUUUGGCAAGAGUUCCUAACCCUUUCUCACCAAUGUGACCAAGCCUUUUAUGCCAUGUCUCAAUGUCAGAAUUGUUUACAGCCAUAUUCAUAUAUUCUUUCUUGAUUUUGGCUUCUAUUACGUAGAGGGUGUUCAUUUUCUUUCCUUUAGCCAACACUAGAGAGCCUUUGGUGAGCUUUCAUUUUCCUUCACCAAAUUAGUUAGUAUAACUAUCAUCAUCAAUUUUUCUUGUGGAGAUCAAAUUAAGACGAAUAUCUAGUACAUGCAAGCUUUUUUGUGGAGAUCAAAUUAAGGCGAAUAUCUAGUACAUGUCUGACAUCUUUAAGGAGUAGCUUAUAGCCAACACUGGUUUGAAGCAAAUAUCUCCUAUGCCCACAAUCUUGGAUGCCCCCUCAUUUCCCAUCCGAACAUGGUCAUAAUUACCAUUAACAUAGGAUGUGAAGUAAUCAUGAUGUGCAGUUGUUGUGCAAAUUUUAAUGUACUCGCAAGCGCACGAAUCUAUUGUAGUAUAGAUCAAUGGUGACGAGUGUCGAUCCCACGAGGAGGUGGAUUUUAAUUGUGUAUAGAAUUAAUUUUGCAAAUGGUUGAUUGGAUUUGUGGUGGAAAUGAUUUGGAAUAUGCUAAAACUUAAAUUAAAAUGGCGAGAAUAAAUUCUAAAAUUGGAAUUGAAAUUGCGAGAAUAAAGUUGAAGAGAAUUCUAUUGAAAUGACGUACUUGGGUAUCUGGAUCCGUAUCAACAUGCAUCAUGGGCUAAAUAAUGCGUAUUAAUGCCAAUUAAAUCAUGAGGGGGGAAUCCACACCUCAUGAACCACGCUCUAAUCAAUAUGGUGCUAAGGGCUUAUCGUGCCAAAUAAUAAUAACCUUGUACUAGAGAGCCGGUGUAACCAAGGCGGUACUAGACAAGAUUAGUAUUAUUUGUCGACGAGAAGUCAAAACAUCCACAAAAACUAGAGGGGAAGAGAAAAUAAAUUUACCAAAUAAAGCCCAUGACACAUGUUGAGACUUCACCUUCAACCCAAGCUUAAAAGAAAAUUAGCUACUCAUAAUUGAACUAAGGGCAAAAUGGGAAUUUAUUAAAAUACGAAGAAAAUACAAGAUAGAGAGGGAAUUACAGAAAAUGGAUCCCAAAAAUGGAUUCAGAGAUAUCAAAUUAGGGGGGGAGGCCCCCUUUUUAUAGAUACAUGGAGUAAAUCAUGGCAAUCGGAUUAAAAACAGUUUGGACGCUCAGGAUUGCGCCACGUCAUCAGUCAACAGUCCACGGUUUGACCACGCGGAUGAACAGUAAUACGGUUUGACCCAUAUGAACAGUACGCGGUUUGACCCGGAUGAACAGUAACGCGGUUUGGUUGAAAAUAAUCCUGUGUGAUGCAUGCACCGUACGCGAGAUUUUUUGUCCACUGAUAUGCUGCCACGUCACCAUCAACAGUACAUAAGAAUUUUAGUCCAACAGGAUCGUGACACCUCAUCAGUCAAUGCCACAUCAUCGAUCCGUCUAUGUGAGCAGUGCCGUGAACAGUAACAUAUACAGUACCGUAUACGUGAAUAGUACCGUACAUGUGAAUAGUGCUAUUUUUCCUUUUAUGCUCCUCCUAAGGUUUUCGACCGUCCUGAGUUCAAAAGUGAUGUCCGUUUUACCGUCUGAUCUCUCCUUUAUUGUGAAAUCACUAUAAUACCACUAAAAUACAUAAAAUACUUAAUUAAAAUAAAACACAUGUAAUUAAAUCACAAGAAGGUUAAAUACAUAAAAGUAAGGGUUGUUAGUAAGACUUGAAAUGUAAAAUGAUGGUUUUCUCCUUUAUAAAUAUGCAUUUUCUAACACUCAACAGCAGUAACCACGAUGUGCAGUAACAUCAAACGAAGCACCCGAAUCAAUCACCCAAUUACUGGUAUGGCAAGUAAGAUUUAUAGAGCUAUCAUUAUAAGCAAUGCCCAUAUCACCAUUAAUUACGGCUGUAACAUUCUCUUUGUCAUUUUUCUGACCAUCGCCUUUUUCUUUCGCAUGUUCUCUUUUCCACAAUUUACACUACCUUUUUACAUGGCCCAUUUUCUGACAAUGAAAGCACUUAGCUUCUCCUAUGGGACUUAGAUCUUCCUCCAGGGUUAUCAUUAUUCUGAUGACGGAAAUUUCUGCUUCGACUUCUCCCCCGUCUUUUUUGGUUUUCUGAAACAAGUGUAGCUGACUCAGAGGGAACUACUUCAGCAUUCUUUCUUCGAGAUUCUUCAUUCCGCAGUCUAUCUGUAACCAUAUCCAAGUUUAAUUUACCAUUCGGUGCCGAAUUAUUCACUGACACCACUAAUGUCUCCCAACUAUCAGGUAAAGAACUAAGCAACAACAAUGCUUGUAACUCGUCAUCUAGAAUAAUCUUCAUAGUAGUCAACUGAUCAACCAAACCCUGAAACUCACUAGUGUGUUCAGUAAUACUGUGGCCUUUUUUAUAUUUCAAGUUAACAAGCCUUUUCAUUAGAUUGACUUUAUUUUGUGCUGUUGGCUGCUCAUAAAUUAUUUCUAAUUUUCUCCAAAGAACAUCAGCCUUGGAUUCCUUCGCGACAUGAUGGUACACACUCUGAUCAAUCCAUGACCUAAUAGUGCCCACGGCUUUCUGGUUCAAUUGAGCCCAUUUCUUAUCAUCUAUAUCAACAAGUUUAACUUCAUCACCUUCAAUAGGUUCAUGUAAGUCUUUCAUGUAGAGCAAAUCUUUCAUUCUAGACUUCCAAAUAUCAUAAUUCCACGACUCAAUUUAAUCAUGAACGCCAAAGACUCCUCUAUUUCAACCACAUAAGUAAUAAAAACACACAACCUGGCUCUGAUACCACUCUAUUGGGAAAACGACUACCACAAACAGCUACAAAUUAAGCGAAAAUAAAAUUCUUUUCCUCUUUGUGUGAUUAAAAUAGGAUGUGCACCAUAAACAAAUAAGCAGAAAAAUUAAUCAAUAAAUUCAAAGCAAAAAUCAACCACAAGAGACACCGAUUUUAACGUGGAAAAUUCAAAUCGGGAAAAACCAUGGGACAAUAGUCCGAUAUAAAUUUCCACUAUAUUAAUGGGAUUACAGUACAAAUUCUUCUCCAGAUAACACUAGAGGUUAACAACAUCAAGAUUUUCAACAAUCUUGGCUUACAAUAAUAGAUCUAAAAUCUAUUUCUUCAAUAAGUGAGUAUCUCCAAUAACAGCUAAUGAGAGAAUAAAAUAUAGAUCAACACGAGUAGAAAUGUAAAGGGCGAUGUCAGGAACUUAUCCUCCAAAUUUGGGAGAAAUCAAAGCUAAAAUUAUUUUUCGAUCGUUGAAUCAAAGAUUGAAAACCCAAAGAAAAAAAAUAUCUUUUUCUCUCGCAACGUCUUCUCACUUGCGCGAAAUGGCUACAUCUCUCGCGAUUAUUCACUUAUUUCCUUUAUAUUUUUUUUGGUUAAUUUCAUCCAAGUCUAAAAUUUUACAAUAAUUACACAUCAAGCAAAUUAUUUUGGACUUUGGGCUUUUGGUCCACUGAAGUGAGAUGGACCCUACAGAAGCAAUAAUCAGUGCAAGAAAAUUAAGUGAAGUUCCAGAGAUGAUGGCAGAUCUAAACCCUUUUGUAAAACUCCAAUAUCUUGGCCUCCGAAUUCUACCAAAAUUAAAAAAGCGUCUAUUGGAAUGUGUUGCCCUCUCCACAUGUCAGGGAAAUUUUUGUAUCUGAAUGCCCAAUUCUCAUUAGAGGAGAGGAACACUGGUGGAAUAAGUUGCAAUGGGAGGAUGAAGCAACCUAUAAUGCUUUUCUUCCUUGUUUUGGAUCCAUUUGAUGGGCAUCAACAUGGAUUAAUAUUUUGCAGCGAACCAAUUUGAAUAAAACUUACGGUAAGUGCUUUUCCAUUUAUUGCAUAUUUAUAUCUAAUUUUUGUUUUCCUUUAUGGUUAAAUUUUGCCCUGUAUAUGUUGUUGUACGGUGACAUUCUUGAAUCAAUUAUUAAUUUUUUUAAUUCUCGUCUCACAACCACCCUUUUGAUCAUGAGGAUAUGCCGAUAUCAAAGAGUCAUAAUUUGGGAUACAAAUGUAAGAAUUAGGCAGAUGACAUGUUGUUUCAAAGCUUUCGAAGAAGGACUAAAUAUGUCAUUGAAAGCCUCCAAUUUUGCGACUGAUUUUUUUUUAAUUUGUUAUUUUUAUAGGUGGCAAAAAUACCCGUCUGAUUUGGACUCGGCUGAUUUGGGCCGGGUACGGAGUAUGAAGCCGGGUUGGUCCUGGGCAUCACUUGAAACUCGGAACCUGGAUUUUAUUAAAAAAUAUUAUAAAUAUAUAUUAUUUUAAAUAUCUAUAUUUAUUAGACUCAUCUAUUACAUAUAUCUAAUUUCAUUGAAAUAAAUUUAAAAAUUAUAAAAUUACCAAUAUAUAUAUAUAUAUAUAAUAUUAAAAAAGUAUAAAAUCUGAGUCCUCAGAUUAAAACCCAGUUCAAGUGUCUAAAAAAUACAUGUGGACCGAGUUUGAACAUUGCGAUACCCAGACCCAAACUUGGGUUUUGCCAACCCUAGUCUUUUAAAUUGCUUGAUUGUAAUGUUUUAGUAUAGAAAAAUGAUAGCCAAGACAACAAUAAGAGGGCACAUUGUGCAUGCACAAUAGUGGAUAAUUUCGGCAUUCCAAAUCCAAUUAGGGUGGAUAACCUUUUAUUAGUAUUAACCUUCUCUCGUAUUCAAGUAAUGUAAAAUAUGCUUAGAAGCUGUGGAUCCCCCUUUAUAAGUGUUGGGCUUAUGCCAAACUCGAUUGAUGUGGGAUGCCUUUAUAGGCAUCAAGUUUUCUCCCAUACACUUUAUGUUAAAAAUAAUAAUGAUAAAAUAAAUCCAUUUUAAAAUAGACUUCUUUUUCUUUUCUAUAUAAACAAACUCAUUCUUCAAAUCAGUUGUGGGUGGAAGGAGUGAGUAGAGAAGAACUGGGCCCCUUUCGUUCCUCUAAAAACCUCACCAAACCUCUCUUGUAAGCUUCUCAGUGUCCCUCUCAAUAUUUCUUAUGAUCUCGUUUUUUAUUGAAUCACUUCUUUUGUGUGCUGCAUUUUUGUGUGUCGUAUUUGGGUUUAUCUUAUCUGGAAUCCUGUUAUGAUUGAUGGAACAAGUAAUCGAUUUUUGGUUUAUUUGGAAUGGAAUUAUGGUUUAUUUGGAAUGGAAUUAUCUGGGUGUAACGGAUUAAAUUAUGACAUUGGGGAGAAGGCACUAAGGGGUUUGCUUGACACAUUUGGUUCUGUGUUUACUCUGAAAGAAAUAGCUUUUGCUUAUCGUAAUGCAAGGCGAAAUCCCGAUUUGGGUGGUGAAUUUCUCUAUCCCAAUUGGGCUGGUGAAUUUCUCUGUGACAAAUAGGCAAACAGCUCAACCUCUUUUAUCUAUCUUCUACUAGUGAGGCAAGGGAUAAAAAGUCUUCAAAAUCAUCAAAUAGUAACAUCUUCGAGAAUUCAUUUUAUGCAAAUGGAAAAUCUAGACCUUCUAAGACAAAAUGGCGUCCAGUAUCAAGAGGUACCGUUUCAAGUUUUCUUGGUAAAAAUUAUGUAAACUUGCACAGCCAGCUAAUGGCACUUUUCUAGUUUUCUGGCAUCAAAGCCAUUGAAGUCGUAUCCAAAGGAGUUUCCCAUGUCUGCACUUUGUGGAGAAGGAACUAAACAAAAACAAUCAAAGGAUGACCAUUUGCAGAAGGAUGUGGAAGAUUUUCUGUUUAAAUUGCUAGGAGAAGUGUUCCAGCUGAAUAGGGAUGUGAUUCGGGAAGUUCCAGUAAUGUCUUAAAUAUGUUGAUGCCAAUUUAAUAUAUAUUGUCAUUUUCAAUGUUCUUUCUUUCUUUCUUUAUCUUCUUUUCUUCUACUUCUUCUUCUUUUUCUUUUCGUGUGCAUGUGAUCACUAAUUUGUUAUUAUACUUAACUUGCAGGUAGUUGUGGAUAUGAUAUGCAAAAGGUAAGGACUAUAUCUUCCUGAUAGAGGCCUCUGCUUUUUCCCUUUUAUGUAAUUUAGUAAAUCUCAUCUCCCUUUGUGAUUGUUAUAUCAUAUCAAAGUCAAGUCUUAAAUACUGCUGUCAUAUGUUAAGGUUCAACUUGCAUUUUGACUAACAUCCAUUUGUUGUCGCUUCCAAAAGUGAGAAUGAGAUACUUCGGUUAAUUUCAGUAGUUGAACCCAAUCGAGUACUUUAUCUAGAUCUUCAUGGUUCAAAGGCCUGAAACUUGCCCGUGAUUGUAAAAUGAUAUUAUGUGCUUUUAAUGCAAUAGGGGGAACAAGGUGUCAAAGGAAUUAGCAGAUUCUAUGGCAGAUUCUAUGCCUGUACAACUGUAACAAUUAUCCUUAUGAUUGUAAAUCUUAUAUGUUUUCCUUAUUUAGGAUAUACUAGCUGUAGGCUAUUUUAGAUAGUUAUGUAUAUGAUAGUUUAGCUAUGUUUAGGGCUAAACAUAAGCUUGUAUUCAUAGUAUAUAAAGGGAAUUCUCUUCUAAGAGAAAGCAUAACUUUUGCUCAAAAUUCUCUGAGUUUAUCAUGGUAUCAGAGCCUCAGUUCUGAAUUCUCUUCUUCCUAGUUCAUUCCCUUGUUCUUAGUUAUUCUUUUUUUUAUCAAGUUAUCUCAGCCUCAUGUCUUCAGACAAGUAUGAUGCUUUUUUGAUCCGUUUUAAUGGCACAAACUACUCAGCCUGGGCAUUUCAUUUCGAGAUAUUUGUCAAAGGCAAAGAUCUAUGGGGACAAGUUGAUGGCAGGAAACCUGCCCCUGAUAAAGAGAUAGACCAGGAUGGGUACGCCAAGUGGGAAGUCAAGGAUGCUCAAAUCAUGGCAUGGAUUCUAGGAUCUGUGGAAUCCAACUUCAUCUUGAAUCUUCGACCCUUCAAGACUGCAGCAGGAAUGUGGAAUCAUCUAAAGAAACUCUACAGUCACACCAACACUGCUCGUUGAUUUCAGCUUGAACAUGAGCUAGCCAAUCUCCAACAAGGCAGUCUCUCUAUUUCUGAUUUUUAUUCUAUCUUUAUGAUUAUUUGGGCUGAAUAUACUGAUAUAAUCUAUGCUACCUUACCUCCGAAGGUCUUAGUUUUGUUCAAUCUGUACAUGAAACUACUAAGAGAGAUCAAUUUAUGAUAAAACUGAUAUAUGAAUUUGAAAGCACUAGGUCCAAUCUUAUGAAUUGAGAAUCUGUCCCUUCCUUGGAUACAUGCCUCAAUGACUUAUUUCAUGAGGAGCAACGACUUCUUACUCAAAAUACCAUGAAACAAAAAAAAUCUACUUCUGUUCCUAUGGCUUAUGCAGCUCAAGGCAAGCCAAAAGGUAAGGACAUCAGUAUAGUUCAAUGUUUUUGUUGCAAAGGAUUUGGACAUUACGCUUCAAAUUGUUCAAAAAAAUUAUGCAACUAUUGCAAAAAAGAUGGACAUAUCAUUAAGGAAUGCCUUACUCGACCCCCCAAGAAAUCUGAAACAACAUAUGCUACCUCAGUUGGUUCUUCUAGUGAUGGUAGUUCUGUGGAUACAGCACAUUUGACCCAAAGUGCUCCUGUUCCUGUUCAAUCUGUGACCCCAUAAAUGAUUCAACAAAUGAUCAUUAUUGUAUUCUCCUCAUUAGGACUCUCAGGUAAAUCACCCACUAGAUCUCCUUGGUACUUUGAUUCUGGGGCUUCCCAUCACAUGACAAACAAUGCUAAAUUCUUCACCAAUGUAAGUAAAUACCUUAGAAAUCUAAAAAUUCAUACAGCUGAUGGCAACUCUUUACCUAUCACAGCCACUAGUGAUGUUUCUUUUUCUAUAACCAAUGUCUUUGUCUCUCCUGGUCUUCCUACUAAUCUUGUUUCAAUCGGUCAGUUAGUUGACAAUAAUUGUAAAGUAGAAUUCUCUAAAUCUAGUUGUGUUGUGCAGGAUCAGCAGUCAGGGAAGAUGAUUGCCAGGGGGCCUAAAAUAUGACGUCUUUUCCCUCUCCAAUUUGCUAAGUCUCCAUGUUUCUCUUUGCCUAUCAUCACUUGCAAUUUUACUAAGGUUAAUUAUCGAGCAUGGCAUAAACGUCUAGGACACCUAAACUCUAAUGUAUUUUAUGCUUUGCUAAAUUCUGGUUUACUUGGGAAUAAAAGAUCACCAUCCCUUAGUGUUGUUCAAUUUGAUUGCAAUUCUUGCAAGCUUGGAAAAAGUAAAAUUCUGCCAUUUCCCACUCACACACCGAAUGUUGUCCAGCCUUUUGAUUUGAUACAUAGUGAUGUGUGGGGUAUGGCGCCUGUUACAUCUCAUGCUAAUUACAAGUACUUUGUCACUUUUAUUGAUGACUAUAGUCGCUUCACAUGGAUUUAUUUUCUACAUUCUAAAGAUGAAGUGUUCUCUGUUUUCAAGCUUUUUCAUGCAUAUAUUCAGACCCAAUUUUCUACUAAUAUCAAAAUUCUUUGCUUUGAUAAUGGGGGUGAGUAUAUGUCUCAUUUAUUUUAAGAAUUUUUGCACACCAAUGGUAUAAUUUCUCAAAGAUCUUGUCCUUCAACCCCUCAACAAAAUGGGGUGGCUGAAAGAAAGAACUAUCACCUUCUCGAUGUUGUCUUCAUUUGUACCCUCUCGUUUUUGGUGUGAAGCUUUCUCCACUGUUGUCUAUCUCAUCAACAGAUUGUCCUCUCAUUCCUUGAACCAUGUCUCCCAUUUCUUUCAGUUAUUUGGCCAUACACUAAGUUACUCUCAUCUCCAUACCUUCAGUUGUGUGUGCUAUGUUCAUCUUCCUCCAUAUGAGCGUACAAAACUCACAGCCCAAGCUGUGAAAUGUGCUUUUCUAGGAUAUUUUAUGCACUAAAAAUGUUUUCUUUGUUAUGAUCCAAAUUUGCAUCAUAUAAGGGUUUCUCGAAAUGUGAUUUUCUUUGAAAAUCAGUAUUUCUUUUCCGCAUACCACGACGAUUCUUCGCCUUCAUUUUCUGUUUUGCCAAAGUUUACUAACCCUUCUGCAGAUUCUGCACCUUCUAAACCUAUCAUAGUCUAUCAGCGACGCAAGAAUUUAGUACCUCUCGGGCCCCCUCCAGCAACUUCCCUGAAUGUUGAUCCAGUUCCAGCAACUGCACCUGAACCUUUCAGACAUAGUACUCGGGUUCGUAGACCACCAGAUAGGUAUGGUUUCACCUCUCCAUUAUUUUUGACAGCCACUUUGUCUUCUAUUCUUAUUCCUUCAUCAUAUAAACAGGCAAUAGAGCAUGAAUUUUGGUGAAAAUCUAUUGAAUCAGAACUUCUUGCACUUGAAGAAAACCAAACUUGGGAUAUUGUUUCAUGUCCUCCAUCCGUGAAACCCCUUAGUAGUAAGCUAGUGUUUUCUAUCAAGCUGCGUUUUAAUGAAUCCAUAGAUCGUUACAAGGCUCGGUUGGUGGUUCUUGGCAACAAGCAAGAAUAUGGCCUAGACUACGAUGAGACCUUCGCGCCGGUAGCCAAAAUGACCACUGUUCGAACAAUAUUAGCCCUUGCUGCAUCACAAUCAUGUUCUUUACAUUAAAUGGAUGUAAAGAACGCUUUCCUACAUAGUGAUCUCAAGGAGGAAAUUUACAUGAAACUUCCCCACGGUAUGACUACUUCCUCUCCUAAUGAUGUUUGCAAACUAAAAUGUUCGUUGUAUGGGUUGAAGCAAGCACCGCGAGUAUGGUUUGAGAAGUUUCGAUCAACUCUUUUCAGUUUUUCAUUCACUCAAAGUCAGUAUGACUCCUCCUUUUUUUUUUCCAACAGACAUCUAAGGGCAUCAUUGUUCUCCUUAUUUAUGUGGAUGACAUCGUUAUCACUGGUUCUGAUAUGGAGGCAAUUUCUAAACUUCAGAAUUUGUUGCACUCUAUUUUUCACAUGAAAGACCUCGGUCAACUCACCUAUUUUUUGGGGUUAGAGGUGCAUUAUCUGCCUCAAGGUAUCUUCUUGAAUCAACACAAGUAUAUUCAGGAUUUAAUUUAAUUAGCUGGACUUAUGGACAAAAAUUCUGUUGACACCCCAGUGGAACUUAAUGUGAAAUAUCGACAAGACGAAAGGGAACUACUUCAAGAUCCUACUUAUCUAUCUAACUAUCACCCGCCCAGACAUCUCUUAUGCUGUCCACACCGUUAGCAAGUUCAUGCAAGCCCUUCGACAUCUCCACGUAUCCACAGUCCGCCGCAUCAUUAGAUAUAUUCUUGGCACUCUUAACUGCAGUUUAUUCUUCCCUACUGGUUCUUCACUCCAACUACAAGCCUACAAUGACGCAGAUUGGGCUAGCUGCCCGGACACGAGAAAAUCUACUUUGGGAUGGUGCAUGUUUCUUGGUGAUGCCCUUAGCUCUUGGAAAUGCAAAAAGCAAGACUCAGUCUCCAAAUAAUCCACUGAGGCAGAAUACCGCGCCAUGUCUGUAGCCUGCUCCAAGAUCAUUUGGUCGCGUGGUCUCUUAACAGAGCUUGGUUUCUCACAACAUCAACCUACUCCCCUACAUGCUGACAACACAAGUGCCAUCCAAAUUGUAGCCAACCCUGUCUACCAUGAGCGCAUGAAACACAUAGAGGUUGACUGCCACUCUAUUCGAGAGGCCUAUGACCACCAAGUUAUCACCCUCCUGCAUAUCUCCACUACUCUACUGAUUACGAAUAUCUUCACCAAAUCCAUGACAUGUCAGCGACAUAACGUUCUUGUUAGCAAAUUGAUGCUUGUAGAUUUACCAGCAUCAAUUUGAGGGGGGAUGUCAAAGGAAUUAGUAGAUCUUAUGGCAAAUUCUAUGCCUGUACAGCUGUAACAAUUAUCUUUAUGGUUGUAAAUCUUAUAUUUUUUCCUUAUUUAAGAUAUACUAGCUGUAGGCUAUUUUAGAUAGUUAUGUAUAUGGUAGUUUAGCCAUGUUUAUGGCUAAACAUAAGCUCGUAUUCAUAGUAUAUAAAGGGAAUUCUCCUCCAAGAGAAAGCAUAUGAAAGAAACUUAGUUCUAUAUUGUUUGGUAGGCUAGAAAAUGAAAGAAAAUAAAAGAAAAGCUUUGCAAAGAAAACUGUUAGAUCCUUUUAUUAUACCAAACUUACAGUUUAAUGACUAAAAAUUGAUAUUUAUAUUGAGCUACAAACUCUUCACACACACACACGAGAUUGUUGCAACACAUAACCAAUUGCUGUAUAACUAACUUGACACAUCAGCUCAACCAGCUAACUAACUUUGACAGGUCAGCUUAAUGAUUUGAUCUGAUACAACCAGCUACACAGCAACAUCAUGCUCUGCUCCAGCUUCAUCUAAUUCACUAACAACUUUUGCUCAAAAUUCUCUUAGUUUAUCACAGGGAAGUAUAGCUUUGGAAAAGGCCGGAUCAAUAACUAUGGAGAGAUUUAUAAGUGAUAAAAAUUCCCGUAACCCGCUGUCAAGAAAAUUUCACAUAGUUAAAGACGCCAUUUUGUUUCAGCCAAAAAUGUUUGUUUAAUCUGCCAAAAAUGUUUGUUUCGAUUAAAGACUUGAACCGUUUUCAUUUAACCUGAUUGUGAUGCUUUAUGUUAUGUAUGUUCCUCUCAAUCAAGAAAAGUUGAGGUUCAUGAUUUUAUAUUUCUAUCUUGUAACUUGCAAUAAUAACUGGUCUUCUUGUUUUUGUAGCUUGAUAACAUGAAUUUUCCUUCUCAAGUUAAUUUGAUCAAUAAAGUAAUUCUUCAAAGAAAAUAUGCCCAUUCUAUAAUCAUUUUCUUAGCUAAUAUGUUUUUUUUUUGUUUACUCUUCAGAGUGUGUCGAAACUAAUUGAUUGCUCGGCAGAGACUUUGGGUGACAAGUCAAAAUUUCAUGGUAAAUCCUCUGAAAAGGUAUGCAUAAUUCCUGAAUAUUAAAUAACCAAUGGUCAUAGUUUUUGUACACGACUCUUUUUGUGGAGAUCGUUAAAAGUGGUUGAUGAUCCAUUUGUAAUUUCAUAGAGGGAUCAUCAAUUCCUUUUCUUUUCUGUGGCUAGGCAUCACUUUCGUGCCAAAGUAAGGAAAUCUAUUUUAGGUAAUGUAAAAAACAAUGGUAGGAUGUAAUAGCUUAUUAUGCACUGACAAUAACUUUUUGUAUAAUUGUCAGUUUAAGGAAUACAAGAGGAACUCUGUUGACAAAUUCAUCCAAGAUAGAUGCUAAAAUUAUUUAUGCAUGCCAGUUGCCUUAACUAAUUUUUCUUAACACUUGUAUUGAACAGGAAAUGAGUAUGCAAUUUGUGUACGUGCCAUUGUGGAGAAUUUGGAUAUUCUUAUUUAAGUAAGAAGAAGAGUAUUUGCCUCAUCUUUAAACAAUGAAUCUUUGAGAAAUGAGGAGUGGGUGAUUGGAAGUGUCUUCAUGUAAAUGUUCAUUUACUUGUAUUUUGAACUAUUAUGAGAAUCUUUUAUAUGCCAAAUUAGUAAUACAAAUGUUCAGAUGAUUUUUCCUGUUGAUCACGCGUUUGUGUCUGCAGACAACCAUUGUAUAUCACUUUAUUCUGAUGUGCAAUUAUGUAUAGAUUAGAAGAAAAGAAAUAAUAGUCUUAUAUUAUUGUUUGGUUCAUGAUUAUUAAACGAUUAUGGCUUCAAAAAAUCUACAAAUUCCUUCUGUUCAUAUAUGAAUGUGCCAAGUUUGCUAUAUCUUAGAUUGCCUUCUUCCAAGAUAACAAGUUCAUAUGUUUUUUAAUCCUCUUCAAUCACAGUUGAAUUUUAAGUGUUAAGAUUUGUUAUUAAUACCUGGUUCCCUGUUAUUAUGAUUUUUAUUAUGAUUUCAUAAACAGUGUACGGACAUGUGCUCUACUUUUAAAGGGCCUCCACGUGAAAGAAAAUUGCAACAAUUGAAUUCUUCCGGAGGGUAUGGCAUUUAAUUUAUUUUCUCAACUUCUUGUAAGACUAAUAUAUUUCCUUCAGUAGGCAGGGCAUGUUGGGAAGGGCUUUUAUUGAAAGAAUUCUGAUAUUUCUUAGACUUUGUUUUGGAAGGGAGGUGGAGGGAUUUCUCAUCCAUAUAUGGUUACUUGAUUAGCUUUUGACUGUAUUGCCUCAGUCGUGCAAAGGAAGAUCCAAAUACUAAUGAAUGAGAAUUGGUUAGAGACCCAAAAGACAGAAAUGAACUACAGAAGGAAGUUUUUGCUGCUUUAUUUAGUGUUCCUGAGAACUCUGAUGAAGAUGGAGUGGAGGUCCAAAGCAUUAAGAAAGGUGGUGAGUGAACCGCCAGAGGAAUUGGUACCAGAAUACAAAGCUAAUGUGGUGCAUUUGCAGCAAGAUAACCAGACUAGUAUGUGCUCUUGUAUUAACUAUAUUGACUGGAUUUGUGAGCAUGUUCAUUUUUGUGUGUAUAAUCACUUUUGUAUUUAUGCAUAUUAAUGUUAGUAGGAUUCUUGAUUUCCUCCACUUACUGGAGAACUAGUGGAAAGCUUUAUAGUGAAAUAUCUGCAAUAACUAAUGGAAACCAUGAUUUGAAUAUUUUCUCUCACCUGGAGAGCUUUGUAACAGAUGUACUUUGUGGCUAUGGAAUACUAGAGAUUCUGCAAUAACUAAUGGAAACUCUGAUAUGAAUAUUUUCUCUCACCUGCAGAACUUUGUAACAGAUACACUUUGUGGCUCUGGAAUGUCUAAAGAUUUUGUCUGCUUCAGUUAGAUCAAAUAUCUUUUAGUUACCUACAUUAUGGAAAAGAUAGAGUUCUCUGAAUCUGAAAGACUGAAACAUUUUGCAUAUUUCGUGAAAGGAAAAUAUCUGUAGAUACUAGUUCAUGCAUUGAGGUAACAUCAAUGUUAAAGAAAAACAGCAAUAACUUAUUAUAUAGAAUUAGGUUCACUUGCUUUAAAUGCUGGUCUGGUCAACCAUAUGAACCUGUAAGUGUAUCUGCAGAAAUAUAUAUGGGGGGACAAACUAGCUAAAUUUUCCUCUCAUUUCUGGCUUUGGUCAUUUUUUCCCCUUAUUUUUCAGCUUUCCUUCUCCUGAAGUAUGUUAACAAUUGCAGAUAAUGACGAAGAGGACAGCUUGCAGGCUCUUCGUGGAGCUGUGAUGGAAUAUAGGGGCACAAUGAAAGAACAUUUUAAAGCUGUAGGUUCUUUUUCUCCUGUCAUUUAUAUUUGCUCACACAUUUUUCAUAUGCUCCAAGCAUGCAAGUUUGUAUGUGUCUUUGCCUUUUAAGUUUUAAAAACCAUAAGGUAAGAAUACAGUUCCUCGUCAGGUUAUUGAUGCAUUCACUCCGGAGGAUCAUGUUCGAGCAGGAAAACUUCUAGAACAGGCAAGGUUUUCCAUCUACAGCCAUCUAUUGACAACAGAUACAUUUUCAUUCAGCAGACACUGUUAGCAUUCAAGAUGCUGGCAGAUUCACUUGAUUCUUAUUAGUUUGUUUAGUGGUAAAGCAUAUAACCUGUUUUUCAAAGCCAAGUUGUGCUAUUGAUUAUGUUAACUUUAUUGUUCACAUAAAGUGAUAUGGAGGAAAUAAUCAUUGUAGGAAAAUUAGGUGAAGAGGUGAUGUCAAAUCUUGAACCUGUUACAAAACUCCAAGUUCUUUACUUGAAGAAGCUACCAAAUUUGAACAGGGUCCACUGGAAGGCCUUGCCAUUCCCUGAUGCCUGCAGAAUUUUUGUAUUUAAAUGCCCAGAGCUUAAGAAGCUGCCACCGGAUCUUGAAAGGGCAGGCCAAGGUAAAAUUCUUAUCAAGGGAAAGGAAGAUUGGUGGAAACAACUUCAAUCGGAGGAUCAAGUAACUCAGAAUGCAUUGCUUCUAUUUUUAAAAUCAACUGACAAGUGAUUGAAGGGGGCAUCAUCAACAUCAUCAACAUGGAUGGAGAGAUUCAGGAGCAGAUCCGCAGGGUUUAUUACGACCUGUGGUGGUUGCUUUUUUGUGACUUGUUCCCUUUCAUUUUUUCACUUCCUGUCAUAUUAUCAUUUCUUUGUCUCUGUUUCUAUUGCUGAUGUUGCUGCAUGCUUGCAGCCCUUGACAAAGUUAGCAAUGCAAUAUAGAUUUUGAAAUUAAAUUUUGUAUGUUCGGGACAGUCACAAAGUACUACUUGUUCUAUAUGGGGGUGAUGUGAAUCAACUUUUCAAUUAUAUAUUCUGUGGUAAUUGUGAAUUCAAUUUCAUUUGUCUCCUGCAAAUUAUGAAGAAAGUGCAGAGUUAGAAUAUCGAAAAGUUCACUGGCAAAUACUUUGUAAAAGCUUCGGAGUGAAACAGGGAAUGCACUUGCAACUAAGGACAAAUUGGUGGCCAGCUAAUGCAUUCAUUUUAUGUACAUUCAUCUUUUUAAUUAUUGAAGAUAAGUGGUUCGUUGCUUUUGUUGUAGAAAAAAUUCAGACGACCUCAAUUGUGAGAUGAAAAUAUUUAAAAUAUCUCUUAAAUUAUUAUAAACUUUAAUUUAUCUUAAUUUUAUUUAAAAGAUAAAAGAAAAAUGUGGUAUAUGGGUAAAAAUUUUUUUAUCUUGUUAAUAAAAUGAAAUAAAUUAAAAUUUACAAUAAUUUAAAGUAUUUUAAAAUUAUUAUUUCAUAAGAGAUUAAUAUGAAAUUAAUCCUUUUUACUUUUUGAAUGUGAAAGGACAAGAAAAGAGAAAGCUAGUGUCACUGCUUUUUAUUUUAUUUGAAAUCGGAGUUAUCCCAUAUACUUUACUACUUUAGCUCUAACAUUACAAUGUUUUUAGGCUACACUUUUAUUUUUCUUUUUCCCCCUUUUUUUAUACAUGCAUGUGGAUUACUUUUCUCUAAGCUCCUUAAUAUUUAAGACAAAUCAUAAAAGCAAUUGAAGCAUAACAAGAUGAUCAAAACAUUUAACCGAAAAAAAAAGAAAUAAAACAUUGAAAAUGGAGAUGUUGAUUAAUUUAGAAGAGAUGCAAGCAAAAAAUAUUCCCAAAAAAAAAAAAAAAAAAAGCAACGUUAGUUCAUCCAUGUCUGUCAAUGCGUUUUUUAUGGUUUUUUUUUUCCAGUUGUUUGUUGUAAUAGAUUAAUUGUAAAUUGAUAUAAACUUGAUGUUGUAAUAUGUUCGCUUUUGUGGAAAUAAAUUUCAAUAUUCAAGAUUAUUCAAGUCUUAUCUAGUAUGUGUUCGGUUGUGUUGUCGAUAAUUUUACAUUCUAAUAAGUUUUCACCUAAAAUAUUAGCAUGAGUAGUAGUCCUUAAACCUUUGGUCAAAAUUAUUGUUAUUGUUUCUUUUAGAGGAAAUUUUUUUAUUAAAGCCUCGUUAACACUAUUCCUUAUUAAGAUUAUAAGUUAGUGUCGGUGCAGGAUUUGCAGCGACAAAUCUUGUCUAGCCACGUGUCAAAAUACAAAUAAAUCAAGGGAAAGCACAUGACAUGGAUUAGGAUCCAAUAAAAUUUAAAUCCCAAGGAAAAGGACAACUGUAUCCUAAAGUUUCAAUAAGAGAUACUGGGAUAUCUUUUGACUAAUGUUAUUUUUUGGCUUUAUUAAUAAAAAGAUCCAAUAGUUUAUAACAAAUAAAAAUAUAGUAUUAAGCUAAAUGUGAUAAUUUACACAUUUUACAUAAUUUCAAUAAAAAUUUUUUUAAUGUUUUACAAUCUAUCAGACAUAUUUUAUUAAAUUAAUAAGAAUUUUCUUAUAAAUAGCAACAUAAUAUUAAAAUAAAUUUAUAAAAAUUUAAAUGUAAAAUAAUUUUAGUAUAAUUAAUACGCGGGAUAUAUUUUGUAAAUUAUAAAAUUACUUAACCCAAUGAUUUUUAAAAAUCUUUAAAAUAAAUAAAAAUAAAUUAUUCACAUUUUGAUGUAAAUAUUUAAAACAUUUUUAUACAUUAGUCCACAAUUAUUUAUGUUAUAUUUGUAUUUAUUAGAAAUUUUGAAAGUCAAAUGUUUUUUACCUCUAUGUUAUUAGAAUUAUUGCACACAGAGAAAGAGCCAUAUAUGCUUUAUAACUUUAAAAUCGAUUUGUUUUAUAGCUGGGAAUAGAGAUGAUCAUUAUUAUAAGGAUUUUUUAAAAAAAGAUAAAGAAUAUUAAUGAUUAGCGAAAUCUCUAUGGAAAUUGAAUUUAGUAAGAAAAAAUUGAGCUGAUUUUAGUGGUAUAGUAAUAUUUUAUAUAGAGAAAAGUAAAAGCUGCACCCAAGGUUAAGGGAAAUGGUCAAAAUUCUUUUUUAAUCAUAAUACCCUUUUUCCUAGAUAAUUUAAAAAUUUUACUCUAAUAGUUUAUAAUAAAUAAAAACAUAUAAUCCUAAAAUAAAUAAAAUGAUAUAUAUUUUAAAAUAAUCUCAAUAUUUAAAAUAUAUUUUAACAUUUUAUAAUCUAUUAGAUAUAUUUUAUUAUAUUAAAGUAAAUUUUAUAAUAAAUACAAAACAUACUAUUAAAAUAGAUAUAAAAAUUUUAAAGUAUUUUGAAUAUUAUAUAAAAUAACUUUAAUAUUGUUAAUGCAUGAGAUGCAUUUUAUUAAUUAAAAAUUCUAUGUAACCCAAAGAUUUAUUUAUAAUAAAUUAAUAAUCAUAUUUUUGAAAUUAUUUUAAAUAUUAAAAAAUAUUUUAAUAUUACUAACUAUUAGAUAGACUAAACUAUUUAUUUUAUUUUCUAUUUAUUAUAAAAUUUCAAAGUUAAUCUUUUUAACUACUAUUCAAAAGAUGUUAUGAUAAAAACAGAAUUUUUGUGUUUUUAUUGAAAAUUUGGAGUUUACAUCUAUUUUUUCAAAUAUUCAGGGUGUAACUGUUUUUUCCCUUUUAUAUAUACGAACGGUGGUGAGAAAGUUUGAUUUAACGUUAUUUAUUUAAAUAAAAUCUCAGUUAAAAAUGUACAGAGAAGAAAUUUCGGUUGGUAUUUUAGUCUUGGUAAUCUCUAUAUUAUAUGCAUAUAAGAUACAUCAUUCUCACAUGAAUAGUAUAUGUGUGAGAUCCAUAUAUUAUUCAUGUGAGGGAGAUGUAUCUUAAUAAGAUAGAGGGAUCCGUUAGUCUUUUACCAAUCAUCACGAUUAGGCCUUGGCCUUGAAACAUUAAUUGUUUCACUUUUAGCGCUAGUGGCGUUGAAAGUUGUCAAGAAAAAGCAAGACCAUAUUCCACAAAAGCAAAAGUAACGUAGGCUCUUUUAUUAAAGGCAAAGUAUAAAGUAGUCAAGAAUCGAAUAUCCUGUCGUCUACUCUUUUUUAAAUUCUUCUUUUAUUAUCGUUUAGAAUAGUUUUUGGUAAUUACAAUCAUUAUUCAGAGUUAUUGUUAUCUUCCGGGGCAGUCUCUGUUCAUCGAAGUCGUUACCUUUUUUUUAAUGGAUCAGUUCCAGUGGUAAGCAGUAAUUUUCUUAGAACUCGGAUCUUUAAUUCGAGUUUCUGUGUGAAUUAAUAAUAAAAAAUUUUCAUUACACGCAAUUUAAGCUACGAAUUACUUUUUGCAAAGUUGAAUAUGGAAUUGGAGAAAUUAAGUAAUUUAGAAUGUUGGUAAAAAUUGACGAACAUAUCUCCAAUUACAGUAAAACCUCUCUACAGUCAUAACAUUAUAACAAAAUUAAUUUUAUUACUAUGUUGAGGUAAUAUAGGUUUAGUUACAAAAUUAUUGUUUUAAUAUGGUUAGUGUCAAGUGAUAUAAAGGUUAAGUAUGCAGUACAUUAAUAAUUAAAUAAUGAAGUGUCAAAUCUAAUGUAUAUAUAUUAAUGAUAUAGAUAGACAUAGUUUUAAAAAACUAAUUAAUGUAUAUUUAUGUAGUGUUAUGAAUAUGGAAAGUCAAGCCUACACUUUACAUUAUCCUUAAUUUUUUCUCUCAGUUAAAUUCUACAAAUAUUGUACAAUGGUUGGGCAAGAACUCUAAAUUAAGAAUAAAUUAUUGUCACAAAUAAUUUUAGAAAAUAUUUUAUUUCGUCUUAAACCUUUAAUAUAAAUAAACAUAUAUAUAUAUAUAUAUAUAUAUAUAUAUAUAUAUAUGUGUGUGUGUGUGUGUGUGUGUGUGUGUGUGUGUGUGUGUGUGUGUGUGUGUGUGCAUAUUUUGCAACGUAUAGAUAAUUGUUAGUAUAUGGAGACAAGUCUUUUAAGGUAGGACCUAGGAAAAUUUAUAACUUACUACACUGUGGAGUUUUUAUUCCUUUUUAUAAUUGGCUCAUAUUGAUACAUUCUUACACAAAAUAUUACCAUUGACAUAUUUUACUACAAUUAGUUUAGAACAUUUGUUAGGAAAAAAAAGAAAAGAAAAGAAAACAUCCCUUGGAUGUAGCUCUCCUGACUAUUUAAAUCUUUUAAGGAAAAAAAGAAAAAAGAAAAACUGGCACAUUCAAAUCUUGAAGCAAUUACAUUAAAAUCUCUCCAUAAUGAUAGGAAUAAUCUCCAUUUAGUAAUAAAAAAUUUUGUUCGCAAUUUAGGCAGAGUUAUAAAUAAGAAUAAAAUCCUCAUUGUAAUAAGUUAUAUUUAUUAUGGAUCCCAUCCUAAGGAAUUCGUCUCUAUAUAGUAAUAAUUAUUUGCAUAUUAUAAAUAUAUAUGUUGCAUUAGAUUAAAUGAACUUGUCUCCACAUACUACUUAGACAACGAGAGAAAAUUAUUAAAGAGAACACAAAUAUUUAGAUAUUUUUAAGAUUACUUUGCAUAUUUAUAACAAUAAUACAUUGAUAUAUGUAUUAGUUUUUUGAUAUAUUAGAUUUAACAUGCUCUAUUAAUAAAUUAUUAAUACGAUGCAUAUUCAUCUCUAUAUCCUUGCAAUAAAAGUAACUAAGUUAUAACAAUAAUUAUUAAUAAAUUAUUAAUACGUUGCGUACUUCAUCUCUAUAUCCUUACAAUAAAAAUAACUAAGUUAUAAUGAUAAUUUUUGUAACUACAUACUUAUUAGGUUUUAACUACUUCAUAAUAAUAAAUUAGUUUCGUCCUAAUAUUAUAAUUAUGUAGAGUUGUAGUGUAUAGACACACCCAAUUUAAAUAGUAUAUCAAAUAAAAUUGUCCCCACGAAAAAGAAAAAAGGGGUAAAGGAUUCUCAUUUCUUCAAACAUUAGGAUCACGUUUGUACAAGUGCGAUGCCUUUCUUUUGAAGGCAACGUCAGUGGGUACCCAAUAGGACGUGUGUAAAUCUUUCCAAAAUUUCUCUGGUAUAACGGACAGAGAUCAUUACUUUUCUCUUCCAUAUACCACAGCAGCUUCAGUUAAUCAGACUCAAUCAAUUUUCUUGGUUUCUUCGCUUAUCAAAAUUCCAAAAUAUGGGUAGCAUAUUUCAAAUCACAUGCGAUGGUGCUUUUUUCAAUCGUUGCUUGGAUUGCUUUCUUGGAAAAGUAGCAAACACAAGUAAGCUCCAAGAUAACCUUGUUGCCUUGGAGACUGAAUUGGGAAAACUAAUCGCAGCAAAGAACGAUGUGAUGAUGAGGGUUGUCAAUGCUGAACGGCAACACCUGAGAACGCUGGACCAAGUGCAAGUGUGGCUUUCGAGGGUGGAAGCUGUUGAAACUGAAGCUGAUGAAUUGAAAAGACACGGCUCUCAAGAAAUUGACAAAUUAUGUGUUGGAGGCUACUGUUCCAAGAACUGCGCGUCAAGCUACAAGUUCGGGAAACAAGUGGCUAAAAAGCUACGGGAUGUGCAGACUUUAAUCGACGAAGGAGUUUUUGCGGCGGUGGCUACCGAGGUGGUGCCUGAGAGAGCUCCAGAACCUGUAGCAGAUGAAAGACCCACUGAGCCAACAAUAGUAGGCUUGCAAUCACAACUUGAACAAGUUUGGAGAUGUCUUGUAGAAGAAUCAGUGGGAAUCAUUGGCCUAUAUGGUAUGGGCGGUGUUGGUAAAACUACACUAUUGACCCAUAUCAACAAUAAAUUUCUUGAGAGUCCAACCAGUUUUGAUUGUGUGAUUUGGGCCGUAGUUUCAAAGGACUUGCGACUCGAAAAAAUUCAAGAAGAUAUUGGGAAAAAGAUCGGUUUGGUUGAUGAUUCAUGGAAGAGUAAAAGUGUAGAGGAGAAAGCUCUCGACAUCUUCCGGAGUUUAAGAGAGAAGAGAAUUGUAUUGCUGUUAGAUGAUAUAUGGGAGCGGGUUGAUUUAACAAAAGUGGGCAUUCCACUUUCCGGACCAAAAAAUACUACAUCAAAAGUCGUAUUCACAACCCGUUUCGUCGAUGUUUGUGGUAGCAUGGAAGCUGACAAGAAGUUCCAGGUGGCAUGCUUAUCAGAAGAGCAUGCUUGGGAACUGUUUCGAAAAAAAGUUGGGGAAGAAACUCUUGAGAGUGAUCAUGAUAUCGUUGAGCUAGCCCAAACUGUGGCCAAAGAGUGUGGUGGUUUGCCACUCGCACUUAUUACUAUUGGUCGAGCUAUGGCCUUCAAAAAGACAGCCGAGGAGUGGAGUCAUGCAAUUGAUGUGCUAAGAACAUCAGCUUCUGAGUUUGCAGGUUUGGGAGAAAAGGUUUAUCGUCUUUUAAAGUUUAGCUAUGAUAGUUUGCAGAAUGAGACGAUUAGAUCUUGUUUCUUAUAUUGUUGUUUAUAUCCCGAGGAUUAUAGCAUUCUUAAAUGGGACUUGAUUGAUUGUUGGAUUGGUGAGGGAUUCUUAGAGGAAUCUGACAGGUUCAGUGCAGAAAACCAAGGAUACUACAUUGUGGGCACUCUUGUUCAUGCAUGUUUAUUGGAAGAGUUAGAAGAUGAUAAAGUAAAAAUGCAUGACGUUGUUCGUGAUAUGGCUCGAUGGAUAGCUUGUGAAAUUGAGAAGGAGAAGAGAAAAUUUUUGGUUUGUGCAGGUGCUGGAGUAGGAGCGGUGUCAGAUGUUGAAGGAUGGGAAAAUGUGGGAAGAUUGUCAUUGAUGCAAAACCAAAUUGAAAUUCUGUCAGAGGUUCCCACAUGCCCUCAUCUCCUCACUUUAUUUCUUGACUUUAAUUAUAAAUUGGAGAUGAUCACCGAUGGCUUCUUCCAAUGUAUGCCUUCUCUCAAAGUUUUGAAGAUGUCAAACUGUGGGCAUGUCAAAGUUUUGAAAUUACCUUUUGGGAUGUCAAAGCUGGGUUCACUACAACUUCUUGAUAUUUCACAUACCGGCAUAAGAGAGUUACCAGAAGAGUUAAAGUUGUUGGUAAAUCUGAAAUGUUUGAAUUUGAGGUGGACACAUAUGUUAAAUAAAAUUCCACGGCAGCUAAUAUCAAAUUCUUCAUGGUUACGUGUGUUGAGAAUGUUCGCUAUUGGCUUUGAAAAUUCUAAAGAACCAUCAGAAGACAGCGUUUUAAUUGGUGGGGGUGAAGUUUUAGUACAUGAAUUGCUCGGUUUGAAAUAUUUAGAGGUAUUGGAGUUGACCUUGCGAAGUUAUGAUGCUCUCCAAUUUUUUUUGAGCUCAAAUAAGUUAAAAAGUUGUAUUCGAUCUCUUUUCCUCAAUAAGCUGGGAGAUACAAAGUCGAUUCAUGCUACGGCUUUCGCAGAUCUAAAGCAUCUCAAUGAACUAUGCAUUCGUUCGGCAGUGGAGUUGGAAGAAUUGAAGGUUGAUUAUACAGAGAUUGCGCCAAAAAGGUCGGAACCUUUUGUUUUCCGCAGCCUUCACCGUGUUACUAUGGAGCGGUGCCAUAAAUUGAAAGAUUUGACAUUCCUCGUUUUUGCUCCAAGCCUCAAGUCUCUUUCGCUAUACGGUUGCAAUGCUAUAGAAGAAAUAAUCAGCGUUGGAAAAUUUGCUGAGACUCCUGAGGUGAUGGGACAUAUAAGCCCUUUUGGAAAUCUCCAAACGCUUUAUUUAACUGAUUUGCCAGAGUUGAAAAGCAUCUACUGGAAGCCAUUGCCUUUCACUCAUCUCAAAGAAAUGACGGUACAUGGGUGUAAUCAGCUUAAAAAGCUUCCAUUCGAUUCCAACAGUGCAACAGAGCGUAAAUUUGUUAUUCGUGGAUACACACUCUGGUGGAACCGUCUUCAAUGGGAGGAUGAAGCCACUCAAAUUGCUUUUCGUUCCUGUUUCCAAUCUCAUGAAAUAUAAAUUCCUGAGCGGUGGUUGCAAAAUUUGAUUUCUAGUGAGUGCUUUUUUCUUAAACUCUUACAUAUAUUCUCGUCGUUUGCUUCGUGCAACGGACUAGGUUUUUAUUUCAGAUUCGUUUUUUGUCUCCUGCAAAUCACAAUUAAAUGUUGAAUUAUAUGGAGUCAAUGCUUUAUAAAAUUUUCAAGGCACUGCCAUUUCCUUUUUCUUUUUCUUUUUUUUUUUGGGUCGAAUUGAUGCUCUGGCUUUUUACUUUUUGUUGUCACAUUUUGCUCUGUUUUUUCAAGUUGAUGCUUGAAUAGUUGAAUUCAAUUGAUGCUCACAUAAAUUUGUUUAGUUGCCGCAAAAGGAUAUAAUUAGACUGAAGUACACACUUCUAGAAUGAAUACAAAAUGUUAAGUAUACUAGCCCUCUUUACAGAAAAUCAAAUGAAAAUCAAUUUUUUGGGGCUUUGAUUUUCUAUGGUCUAUUAUAUACUCUUUUUAAUAUCUUCUGUUCUAACUAUAACCAAAUCCUUUGUUCAAGGAUUUUUAUUUGGGGUAUUGAUAACUGUCCACCAAAAGAGUGAACACUUGGAUGCUGCUCAAGGAUCUCUAAUCAAUAGCUGGAAGCAACUGAGAAGGCGGUCGCUACUGUUUACAAAGCGAUGCAGUAUUUGCCAUUCAUCUUAAUAAUUAUGAAGCUUUGGUAAAAUUUUCAAACAAAGUUGAACACAUGUUGUUUUGAGAUUUGGUUCAUGAUUUUGGAUGAAUAUCGUUGUUCCGUUUGAGUUGGAUGUGAAUUCAAAAUCUAUAUAUUCUUUGGUUUUCAAUUCUGAACUCAAUUUCUUUUUCUCAAGCAUGUUAUGCAGAAAUGAUUUUUUACUAAAUCAUUUUUGAUGAAUUGUUUAAAUUAAACAAUUGGAAUAAGAAUUGAAAAGGUUUAUCAUAAGCAUGCUAAUAUGAUAAGUUGUUUUAUGAACGAUUAAUUAAUUAAUCAAUUAAUAUUAAAUUAUCUAUUAGUCAAUUAGAUAUGCGUUACAUGUCAUGUUUAAAAAUUAUUUAUUUAUAUUUCAAACAAAUUUGACUGGAUGUUGUGUAGGUAAUACUACAUAAUUUCAAAACAAAAAAAGUAAUAAAAACACGUUAAAUUUUGUUUUUAUGAAGAAAAAUUUAAAAUUUUAUUAAAUAGGUGAAAAUAAUAAAUGGAUUCGUGUAUGGUUUGAGAUUCUUGACAUAAUUAUGAAAUAAGCCGGAUUCGACUUAGUUCAAUUUUGACGCGAUAAGAAGACGACACCACACAAACACACGAUAAGAACCGUUACCUGAGAAGAUUGCCAUCAGGAAUUUUGAAAUUGAUUUCACUACAAUACCUUAAUCUUUCAGAUACUACCAUCACUGAGCUGCCAGAAGAGCUAAAAGCCUUGGUAAAUCUUAAGUGUUUGAACUGUACACAAAUUAUCUCUCUACAAUUCAAAAACAACUAAUUUGUUACUUUUUCAAUGCUACAUGUUCUGCGAAUAUUGAGUUGUGGUUAUCUUGUUGAAAUAUCAGACAAUAGAGUUCUAUUUGGUGGUAGUGAAUUGUUGGUUGGGGAGUUGCCUAGUUUAAAACGUUUAAAUGUAUUAAGCAUCACCUUACAAGGUUUUUCUGCUGUCCAAAAACUUAUGAGCUCUCAAAAGUUUCAAAGCUGUACAAAAUGUUUGGAGCUUAUAGACUGUGAUGAUUCAAAGUCUUUUGCCUUGGCAGAGUUGAAGCAUCUCGAAAAACUAGUUUUUUGAAUUGUGGAAGAGUUUAAGUUCUGCUUUGUUGAAGUUGGAAAAGCUCAAGAAUGUUUUCGUUUGAACAGUUUUCACCGAGUUAAUAUAAAGGCUUGUCAUAAAUUGAGGGACGUGACAUGGCUUGUAUUUGCUCCAAAUCUUACAGUUAUUCAAAUAGAAAAAUGUAUGCAGAUGGAAGUAAUAGUCAGUGCAAGGAAAUUGGGUGAAGUUCCAGAGAUGAUGGCAGAUCUAAACCCUUUUGCAAAUAUCUUUGCCAGCGAGUUCUACCAAAAUUAAAAAGCGUCUAUUGGAAUGAGUCACCCUUUCCACAUGUCAGGGAAAUUAUUGUAUCUGAAUGCCCAAUUCUCAAGAAGCUUUCACUCGGUUUUAACAAUGCAAAGGAAUCUAAAAUUGUCAUUAGGGGAGAGGAACACUGGUGGAGUGAGCUGCAAAGGGAGGAUGAAGCGACCGUUAAUGCUUUUCUUCCUUGUUUCGGUUCCAUUUGAUAGGCAUCAACAUGGAUUUAUAUUUUGCGGUGGACAACUUGUGGUAAGUGCUUUUCCAUUUAUUACAUGUUUAUAUCUAACUUUUGUUUUCCUUUAUGGUUAAAUUUUACUGUAUAUAUGUUGUUAUACGGUGACAUUCUCGCAUCAAUUAUUAGCUUUUUAAUUCUCUUCUGGCAUUAAUUGCCCUUCUGAUCAUGUAGGAUAUGCCGAUGUCAAAGAGUAGUAAAUUGGGAUACAAAUGUAAGAAUUAGCCAGAUGACAUGUUGUUUUGAAGCUCUCUCGAAGGACUAGUUAUGUCAUUCAAAGCAUCCAAUUUCGCUACUUUUUUUUUCAUUUGUUGCUUUUUAUAUUUCUAGAUAGCUUGAUAUUCGGCCAAGACAUCGAUAGGAGGGCACAUUGUGCAUGCACACUAGUGGAUGAUUUGGGCAUGCCGAAUCCAAUUAGCGUGGAUGACCCUUUAUAAGCAUCAGGCUUCUCUCAUACCAGAGCAAUGUAGAAUAUGUUUAUAAACUGUGGAUUACCCUUUAUAAGUUUAGACUUCUUCUAUACUCGAGCGAUGUGGAAUACCUGUAUAAGCAUUAAGCUUCUCUCAUACACUUUAUGUUAAAAAUAAUAAUAAUAAUAAUAAAAUAAAUCCAUUUUAAAAUAGGCUCUUUUUUUCUUUUUUUAUAUAAACAAAAUGCAUUCUUCAAAUCAAUAGUGGGUGGAAGAAGUGAGUAGAGAAGGACUAGGCCCCUUCAUUCCGCCUAAAACCUCACCGAAACCUCUCUUGUGAACUUCUCAGAUUCUCUCUCAAUAUUUCUUAUGAUCUCGUUUUUGAUAGAAUCACUUCUAUUGCAUGCUGCAUUUUGUGCGUCGUUUUUGGGUAAUAUCUUAUCUGGAAUGCUGUUAUGAUCAAUAGAACAAGUAAUCAAUUUUUGGUUUGACGGAAGUCGAUUUAUUUAUUUACUAUUGUUUUUUAUUUGAAAUUUUGACAGUUGUGUUUCAUUCAUUUCUUUCCUUCUUUUUUUAUUUUAUAUUUAUUAUGUAUAAUUGUGUUUCAUUUGAUAUUGAUCAUACUGUAGAUAACUAUGUGAUUGUAGCUGGGGAUUUUAAGUUUUGUGAAUUCAAGAAACUGUCAAAAUGCUAGUGAAAUUGGGACCUUUAUUCAUAAGCUUGUGGUUUUCAAAAGUAGCCGGGUUCAACUGAUGAAGUUCCUUUUUGGGAUUCUUUUUUUUCUAGGCUGCAAUUCGGAUAUGUACCUGAUAGACAAUCUUUUGUGAGUUUAGCAUAUCUUCUCCGAUUUUGUCUUUUAUUCCCCAACUUUACAGCUACACACCAUGAAUGCUGGGUGAUUGUACAGAAAAUUUGUGUUAGAACAAAAGCAUUGUGAAGGAGUUUCUGUGCUAUAAGUUAUUGGCUUCAGCUUUAUUGGCAUUAAUUGGGUAGAUUAUGUGUUACAGUGAUUCAAUUUGUGAUCCACACUUUAAUUUUCUCUUUUCCCCAAUUAUUUAUGUCAAAUUCAAAUCCAGAAGCAUGCGCUGAUUUUUUUUUUUUUUUGUGAUAAUCUGUGAAGUUUAUUUGGAAAGGACGUAUCUGGGUUUAAUGGAUUAAAUUAUGACAUUGAGGGAAAGGCACUAAAGGUUUUGCUUGACACAUUUGGUCUGUGUUUACUCUGCAAUAAAUAGCUUCGCUUAUCAGAAAUCCCUAUUUGGCUGGUGAAUUUCUCUGUGACAGACAGGCAAACACCUAAACCGCUUCUAUCCAUUUUUCUGCUGGUGAGGUAAGGGGUAAAAAGUCUUCAAAAUCAUCAAAUAGUAACAUCUCUGAGAAUUGGUUUUAGAAAAAUGGAAAAUCUAGACCUACUAGGACAAAAUGGCGUCCGGUAUCAGGAGGUACCGUUUCAAGUUUUCUUGGUAAAGAAUAUAUUAAACCUGCGCAACCAGCUAAUGGCACUUUUCUGGCAUCAAAGCCAUUGAAGUUGGAUCUAAAGGAGUUUUCCCAUGCCUGCAUUGUGCAGAGAAGAAACUAAACAAAAACAAUCAAAGAAUGACCAUUUGCAGAAGGAUACGGAAGAUUUUCUAUUUAAAUUGUUAGGAGAAGGGUCCCAGCUGAACAGGGAUGUGAUUCAGGAGGUUCUCGGUAAUGUCUUAAAUAUACUGAUGCCAAUUUAAUACAUAUUGUCCUUUUCAAUGUUCUUUCUUUCUUUCUUUUUUUUUUCCUUCUUCUUCUUUUUCUUUUCGUGUGCAUGUGAUCACUGAUUUGGUAUUAUGCUUAAGUUGCAGAUAGCUGUGGAUUUGAUAUGCAAAAGGUAAGGACUAUAUCUUCCUGAUGUAGGCCUCUGCUUUUUCCCCUUCUAUGUAAUUUAGUAAUUCACAUCUUCCUUUGUGAUUGUUAUAUCAUAUCGAAGUCAAGUCUUAAAUACUGCUGUCAUAUGUGAAGGUUCAACUUGCAUUUUGAUUAAGAUCCAUUUGCUGCUGCUUCCAAAAGUGAGAAUGAGAUACUUUGGUUAAUUUCAGUGGUUGAACCCAAUAGAGAACUUUAUUUAGAUCUUCAUGGUUCAAAGGCCUGAAAAAACUUGCCCGUAAUUGUAAAAUGACAUUCUGUGCUUUUUAUGCAAUAGGGAACAGGGAAGUAGAGCUUUGGAAAAGCCUGGAUUGAUAACUAUGGAGAGACUUAUUAUUUAAGUGAUGAAAAAUUCCCAUCGCCCGCAGUCAAGAAAAUUUCAGAUAGUUAAAGACUCCAUUUUGCUUCAGCCAAAAAUGUUUGUUUCAAUUAAAGACUUGAACCAUUUUCAUUGAACCUGAUUGUGAUCCUUUACGUUAUGCAUGUUCCUCUCAAUCAAGAAAAGUUGAGGUCAUGAUUCUAUAUUUCUAUAUUGUAACUUGAAAUAAUAAUUGGUCUACUUGUUUCUGUAUCUUGAUAAUAUGAAUUUUCCUUCUCAAGUUAAUUUGUUCAAUAAAGUAAUUCUUCAAAGAAAAUAUGCCCAUUCUAUAAUCAUUUUCUUAGCUCAGAUGUUUUUUCUUCACUCUUCAGAGCAUGUCAAAACUAAUUGAUCGCUUGGCAGAUACUUUGGGUAAGAAGACAAAAUUUCUUGGUAAAUCCUCGGAAAAGGUAUGCAUAAUUCCCGAGUAUUAAAUAACCAAUAGUCAUAAUUUUUGUACAUGACUCUUUUUUCUCUUUUUUGUGGAGAUCAUUAAAAUUGGUUGAUGAUCCAUUUUGUAACAUCAUAGAGGGAUCAUCAAUUCCUUCUCUUUUCUGUGGCUAGGCAACACUUUCAGGCCAAAGUAAGAAAAUCUAUUUUAGGUAAUGUGAAAACCAACGGUAGGAUGUAAUAGUUUAUUAUGCACUGACAAUAACUUUUUGUAUGGUUGGCAGUUUAAUGAAUACAAGAGGAACUUUGUUGACAAAUUCAUCCAAGAUAGAUGCUAAAAUUAUUUAUGCAUGCCAGUUGCCUUAACUAAUUUUUCUUAACACUUGUAUUGAACAGGAAAAUGAAUAAGCAAUCUGUAUAUUGUGCCAUUGUGGAGUAUUUGGAUAUUCUGAUUUAAAUAACAAGGAGAAUACUUGCCUCAUCUUUAAAUGAGGAGUGGGGGAUUGGAAGUGUCUUCAUGUAAAUGUUCAUUUAUUUGUAUUUUGAACUAUUAUGAGAAUCUUAUAUGCCAAAUCAGUAAUACAAAUCUUCAGAUGAUUUUUGCUGUUGAUCAUGGGUUUGUGUCUGCACACAACCAUUGUAUAUCACUUUAUUCUGAUGUGCAGGUAUGUGUAGCUUAGAAGAAAUGGAAUAAUAAUCAUCUAUUAUUGCUUGGUUCAUGAUUAUUAAACGAUUAUGGCUUUAAAAAGUCUACAAAUUCCUUCUGUUCAUAUAUGAAUGUGCCAAGUUUGCUAUAUCUUAGAUUAUCUUCUUCCAAGAUAACAAGUUCAUAUUCUUUUUAAUCUUUUUCCCUCACAGUUGACUUUUAGGUGUUAAGAUUUGUUAUUAGUCCCCUGUUAUUAUGAUUUCAUAAACAGUGUACGGAUAUGUGCUCUAACUUUGGAGGACCUCCACAUGAAAGAAAAUUGCAACAAUUGAAUUCUUCCGGAGGGUAUGGUCUUUAAUUUAUUUUCUCAACUUCUCGUAAGAUUAAUAUAUUUCAUUCAGUAGGCACAGCAUGGGGGGAAGGGUUUUUAUUGAAAGAAUUCUGAUAUUUCUUAGACUUUGUUUUGGAAGGGGGGUGGAGGGAUUUCUCAUCCAUGUAUGGUUACUUGAUUAGCUUUUGACUGUAUUUCCUCAGUCAUGUAAAGGAAGAUCCAAAUACCAACGAAGGAAUAUUGCCUAGACACCCGAAAGACAGAAAUGAGCUACAGAAGCAAGUUUUACUACUUUAUUUAGUGCUCCUGAGAAAUCUGAUGGAGACCGAAUGGAGGUCCAAAGCAUUGGAAAAGGUAGUGAGUGAACCGCCGGAGGAGUUGGCACCAGAAUGCAAGGCUAAUGUGGUGCACUUGCAGCAAGAUAACCAAACCGGUAUGUGCUCUUAUAUUAACUAGACUGACUGGAUUUGUGAGUGUGUGCAUUUUUUUGUGUAUACUCUUGUAUUUAUGCAUAUUAAUGUGUGUAGGAAUUUCUGCCACUUACUGGAGAACUAGUGGAAAGCUUUAUAUCGAUAUAUCUGCAAUAACUAAUUGGAAACUAUGAUAUUAAUAUUUUCUCUCACCUGAGGAACUGUGUAACAGAUAUACUUUGUGGCUCUGGAGUACUAGAAAUUCUGCAAUAACUAAUGGAAACUAUGAUAUGAAUAUUUUAUCUCAACUGGAGAACUUUGUAACUUGUAGCUCUGGAAUGUCUAAGGAAUUUUGUCUGCUUCAGUUAGAUCAAAUAUCUUUUAGUUGCAUACAUUAUAGAAAAAGAUAAAGUUCUCUGAAUCUGAAAGACUGAAACAUUUUGUAUAUUUUGUGAAAGGGAAAUAUCUGUAGAUACUAGUUCAUGCAUUGAGGUAACAUCAAUGUUAAAGAAAAACAGCAAUAAGUUAUUAUGUGGAACUAGGUUCACUUGCUUUAAAUGCUGGUCUGGUCAACCAUAUGAACCUGUAAGUUCUGCAGAAAUAUAUAUACGGGGAGAAACUAGCUAAAUUUUCCGUUCAUUGAUGGCUUUGGUCAUUUUUUUCCCCUUAUUUUUCAGCUGUCCUUCUCCUGAAGUAUGUUAACAACUGCAGAUAAUGAUGAAGAGGACAGCUUGCAGGCUCUUCUUAGAGCCAUGAUGGAAUAUAGGGGCACAAUGAAGGAACAUUGCAAAGCUGUAGGUUCUUUUUCUCCUGUCAUUUAUGUUUUCUCACACAUUUUUUAUAUGCUCCAAGCAUGCAAUUUUGUAUGUGUCAACUGCUUUCUAAGUUUUAAAAACCAUAAUGUAAGAAUACAGUUUCUUGUCAGGCUAUUGAUGCAUUUGCUCAGGGGGAUCAUGUUCGAGCAGGAAAACUUCUAGAACAGACAAGGUUUUCCAUCUACAGCCAUCUAUUGACAACAGAUAUAUUUUCAUUCAGCAAACACUGUUAGCAUUCAAGAUACUGGCAGAUUCACUUGAUUCUUAUUAGUAAUGUUUAGUAGCAAAGGAUAUAACCUGUAUUUCAAAGCCAAGUUGUGCUAUUGAUUAUGUUAGCUUUAUUGUUCACAUAAAGUGAUAUGGAGGAAAUAAUGUGAAGUGAUAUGGAGGAAAUAAUCAAUGUAGGAAAAUUAGGUGAAGAAAUGAUGUCAAAUCUUGAACCUCUUACAAAACUCCAAGCUCUUUACUUGAAUAAGCUACUAAAUUUGAACAGGGUCCACUGGAAGGCCUUGCCAUUCUCUGAUGCAUGCAGAAUUUUUGCAUUUAAAUGCCCAGAGCUUAAGAAGCUGCCACUGGAUCUUGAAAGGGCAGGCCAAGGUAAAAUUCUUAUCAAGGGAAAGGAAGAUUGGUGGAAACAACUUCAAUGGGAGGAUCAAGUAACUCAGAAUGCAUUGCUUCCAUUUUUAAAACAACCAGCAAGUGAUUGAAGGGGGCAUCAUCAACGUCAUCAACAUGGAUGGAGAGAUUCAGGAGCAGAUCAGCAGGAUUUAGUACGACCUGUGGUGGUUUCUUUUUUGUGACUUUUUUCCCUUUCAUUUUUUCACUUCCUGUCAUAUUAUCAUUUCUUUGUCUCUGUUUCUAUUGCUGGUGUUGCUGCAUGCUUGCUGUCCUUGACAAAGUUAGCUAGUUUUUUUUUUUUUAAUUAAAUUUUGUAUGUUCGGUCGGGACAGUCACAAAGUACUACUUGUUCUAUAUGGGGGUGAUGUGAAUCAACUUUUCAAUUAUAUAUUCUGUGGUAAUUGCGAAUUCAAUUUCAUUUGUCUCCAGCAAAUUAUGAAGAAAGUGCAGAGUUACAAUAUGGAGAAGUUCACUGGCAAAUACUUUGUAAAAGCUUCGGAGUGAAACAGGAAAUGCACUUGCAGCUAAGGACAAAUUGGUGGCCAGCUAAUGCCUUCAUUUUAUGUACAUUCAUCUUUUUAAUUAUUGAAGAUAAGUGGUUCGUUGCUUUUGUUAAGAUUAUAAGUUAGCGUCGGUGCAGGAUUUGCAGCAACAAAUCUUGACUAGCCACGUGUCAAAAGCACAAAUAAAUCAAGGGAAAGCACAUGACAUGGAUUAGGAUCUAAUAAAAUUUAAAUCCCAAGGAAAAUGACAACUGCAUUAUGAAGUUUCAAUAAGGGAUACUGACUAAUGAUAUUUUUUGGCUUUAUUAAUAAAAAAAGAAUAUUUUAUAACAAAUUAAAACAUAAUAUUAAGCUAAAUGUGAUAAUUAUAUACAUUUUAAAUAAUUUCAAUAAAAAAACAUUUUAAUGUUUUACGAUCUAUCAUACAUAUUUUAUUAAAUUAAUAUGAAUUUUUUUUUAUAAAUAGCAACAUAAUAUUACAACAAAUUUAUAAGGAUUUAAAUGUAAAAUAAUUUUAGUAUAAAUAAUACGUGGGAUAUAUUUUGUAAAUUAUAAAAUUAUUUAACACAAAGUUUUUUAAAAAAUAUUUAAAAUAAAUAAAAAUAAAUUAUUCACAUCUUGAUUUAAAUAUUUAAAAUAUUUUUAUAUAUUAGUCUACAAUUAUUUAUGUUAUAUUUUUAUUUAUUAGAAAUUUUGAAAGUCAAAUGUUUUCACCUCUAAGAGAAAGACACAUAUGCUUUAUAGCUUUAAAAUCGGUCUGUUUUAUAUCUGGAAACAAAUAUAUCAUUAUUGGUAAGGAUUAAAAAAAGGGAUAAAGAAUAUUAAUGAUUAAUGAAAUCUCUAUGGAAAUUGAAUUUAGUAGGAAAAAAUUGAGCUAAAUGAUUUAGACAUUUAGUGGUAUAGUAAUAUUUUAUAUAUAGAAAUGUAAAAGCUGCACCCGAGGUUAAGGGAAAUGUUCAAAACUCUUUUUUACUCAUAAUACCCUUUGUCCUAACUAACUUACAAAUUCGACUCUAAUAUUUUAUAAUAAAUAAAAAUGUAAUCCUAAAAUAAAUAAAAUAAGAUAUAUUUUAAAAUAAUCUCAAUAUUUAAAAUAUACUUUAAUAUUUUAUAGUCUAUCAGACAUAUUUAAUUAUAUUAAAGUAAAUUUUGUAAUAAAUACAAACAUACUAUUAAAAUAGAUAUAUAAAAAAUUUAAAGUAUUUUGGAUAUUAUAUAAAAGAACUUUAAUAUUGUUAAUACGUGAGAUAUAUUUUAUUAAUUAAAAAUUCUAUUUAACCCAAAGAUUUAUUUAAGAUAAAUUAACAAUCAUAUUUGUGAAAUUAUUUCAAAUAUUAAAAAAUAUUUUAAUAUUACUAACUAUUAGAUAGACUAAACUAUUUAUAUUAUUUUCUAUUUAUUAUAAAAUUUCAAAAUUAAUCUUUUUAACUACUAUUCAAAAGAUAUUAUGAUAAAAAUAAUUUUUUUGUGUUUUUAUUAAAAAUUUGGAAUUUGCAUAACUCUUUUUUUAAAUAUUGGGGUAUAGCUGUCUUUUCCCUUUUAUAUAUACAAACCACAGUGGUGAAAAAGCUUGAUUUAAUGUUAUUUAUUUAAACAACACCGAUAUUCACACCACAUUGAGCACCAUAGUUUUUUUUUUUUUUUUGAAAAGAAAGUACACCUUUCAUUGAAUUAAGAGAAAAGAAACAAAACAUCCUCUGGAAAUUCAUCCAGCCAAAUACAAGGGUCUGACUUUUUGAAAGCCAACUUUGCCAAAUCAUGCGCUAAAAAGUUACACAUCCUAAGGACGUGCUGAGCUUUAAAAUUCUGAAAGAUUUUCUUAGCUUCUAUAAUAUCAAAAAUCACCCAAAAGGUGUCUGUCAAAGUGCUUCUCUUGUUAUUGAUUAGCUCUAUCACCCCUUUAGAAUCAGACUCUAAGAUAACUGAAGUUGCCCCUGCCUUGGCAGCUGCCUGCAUUCCCCACAAAACAGCUUUUGCCUCACUCAACUCCACAUCUCCUGAGCUCUUAAAAGUGCUAACAGCUGCAGCAACUGUUUCUCCCUUAUGGUUUUUAACUACUGCUCCCAGCCCAGCAAGAUAAUUCACCCUAUCCAUAGCAUCAUCAACAUUUACCUUAAGCCAUCCUUCUUCGGGUGGACUCCAUUGGCUUUGCUGAACAUUGUUUUGUUCUGCUAAGAAAUCCUCUUCUGACAUUGAGCACCAUAGUUAAGUACAAAACGGUGCGUUUUGUUCACGCAUGUUAGUAAACACCCACGCAACUUACACACAUACGCGCGGCUCACAACACGCGCUCUCCUCGCCCUAAAUCUCACCUGAUUGAAGCCACAAAUUUGGCCACGUUCUCCCACAGCUCUCUCCGUUCUGACCGUUUACUCUUCCUCUAGCCCCAUCGAUUACAUCUCUCAUAGCACCUCAUUCAACCGACGUAAUUGCCAGAAAACAACCUACCUGGUAAUAAAAGUCGAUUCUCUUACAAUUUUGGCCCAAAAAAAAAAAUUGCACAACUGAAAAAUCAAAAUGCCACUCUUUAAAACCAAAAAUCAAUUUUGGGCCCCCUUCAUCACCGCCUUCACUCUAGAUUUUUUCAAUCCACUUUGUCGUCAAAACCGUGGUGUUCUUAAACCAUUAUUAUAUUCACCAUCCCCUUAAUCACAUCCAACCAUCCCCAUUAUUCGUUUGUCAAACACGCUGUUCUCUUCCCAAAUUAAUUAAUUAAUUAAUGACAGACAGGAACAAAAGUACUUUAAAUCUCUGCCAAAUCGUAUUGUUAUUACUUCUUCCGAGUCGAGGCCACGUCGUUCUCGAUGGAAACCAUUGCUUUUUAUUACCACUCUUGAGGAGUUCGAAGCAUUCUCGACGGAGACCCGCGCAAGCUGUGGAAAGAGAGAGAGUCAACGGUGAAAAGAGAGCAUGGUGAGAUGUGUGAGCGACGGGGGGAGAGAGAGAGAGAAAGAAAGCCGACGGAGAGAGCACAUAGAGCUGAGAUGCGUGAGUUGGGUGAAGAUUUGGUGAGCGUUGUGUCAGUUGCCCGUGUGUUGUGUGAGCUCUGUGCCAUGUGAUAUGCGUGCUACUUUGAGAAUUUAUAGAUAGCACAAAACUCAAUCUAUAUCCAAUUCAUACCUAGAUAGAUGCGGAUUUGACUCAAUUUAUAUCCAAUUCGUCAUUUGCGAACUAAAAAUUUUUAAUUCUCUCAAAUUCACAAACUAACUAAAUAAAUAAAAAUUUAAUAUAAAAAUAACUGUACUACCGAUCAAAUUUAAAAUUAAAUAAUAUUUAAAUAAAUUAAUUGUUUAAAUAAAGUUAGAAAAUACAUUCAAAAUUUUAAAAUAUAACACAGUAAAAAGAAAAAAUCUCAUUUGUUUAGACCUAUGUAUGAAAAUUAAUUGUUUAGGAAUCUAUAUUUAUUUAUUUUUAUAUUAUUAUCGGAUAAGAUAUAAUAUGGUGUUAAUGUAACUAUAUUUUAACUUAUUUAUUUAUAAGACCAAUGCUAUAUGUACAAGUUUAAUUUUUUAAUUAAAUAAAUAUUUUUUUUUGCGGAAUUGUGGAUUUUUGCGGAUUUACAAAAGUAAAUCUAUAUCCAAUCCACCGACUAUGGAUUUUCAAAUUUUCAAAAUUUCAAAUUUUCAAAUUUUCAAAAUUUCAAAUUUUCAAAUUUUCAAUCCAAUCCAAUCCACCAAUUCACAAAUUCGGAUUUUUACGGAUUAGAUUUCUACAGAUUAAACGAAUUGAGCAGACCAUAUUUGAUUUUGAACAUUGCUAAUUUGUAUGUUAAGUAUAACAUAAUCAAUUAUUUGGAUAAUCCCUUGUGUUUUAUCUCUAAUUAGAGCAUCAAUCUUCACAAUAUCUACAAAGCUACAAUGGCUACAAAACAAACCUGCUUGCAAAUUGUCAAGGAUACUUAUCCUUUCUCUUGACAAGUCAUUUGGAAAAAUACUGUCCCUUGGCGGCUCCAUGACUUCUCUGCUCCUCCUUUUGGUCUUAAUGUACGGUUGCAUAAUGAUAGUUUAGGCCCUUUAGGGACUACUUUCCCUGGGGUUGUUAAGUCUUAGCUUGUGCUAGGCUCGUUUUUCUUACCAAAAAAAAAGGGAAUACUUCUCCUAUAAGAAAUAAUCUCUAUAUAUAGGGUGGUUGGAUUCACUUGUUUACAUAACAGAUCAAUUAGUUCUCUGUAAAUAGAGAGUUUCUAGUAUAAGAGAAACGGUAGAUCUAUUGAGAGAUUAUGUGUUAUUAAAAUUUUAGUUGCGAAGAAAAGUACUAGAGUGAUUGUAUUAAUUUUUUACAUAGUAGAUUUUUCUAUCGUCAUCUUUAUGGCUGUGAUUUUUCUUCCAUAUAGAAGUUUCUCACGUAAAUUUUUAUGUUGUGUGAUUAGUUUUAUUCUCUAUCUAUUUUUUGUUUAAUAUUUUAUUUGUAAGAUGCUGGAUGGGAUUAAAAUUUCUUAACAAAUAACGGAUUAAAAAUCAUGAAGAAAAAGCUCAAGAGAUCUUCAAGAUUUGAAGUGUGCAAAAGUUCAUAUUACUGCUAGAUGAUAUAUGGGAGCGGGUUGAUUUAGUAAAAAUGGGUGUCCCUCUUCCUAGAUCAGAAAACAGCACAUCCAAAGUGAUAUUUACAAACCCGUUCUGAGGAAGUUUGCGGCUUAAUGGAAGUUCGUAGGAGUUUUAAAGUGGCGUGCUUAUCAAAUAAAAAUGCUUGGGAAUUGUUUCUAUACAAAGUUGGGGAAGUGAAAGAAAACAGAGAUGUACUGUUUGGUUGAAUAGAAAAUUACAGAGAAAAUUCUCAAUACUUGUAUUUGAUAAGAUUCAAUUCUUAAGAGCUUUUACAAAUCAGUACAAGUAUUUAUAUUAUUCCUUACACGUGAGAAUUGCUAGUAACUCACUAACUAACUAACUUUCUUUGAGCUGGAUCACUAACACUUGACUAAUCACACUGAGCUGUUAUUCUUCACUAACAACCUUCUGCUGACGUGGCUUCACCAAGCUACUUGAAUAAUGAGCAGCCUUGACAGCCCCCCUCAAACUCAAGGGACAAGACAUGACGUUGAGUUUGGCCCUAAGAUAGUUAAAAUGGAUGAAUGAGAGUGGCUUGGUCAUGAUGUCAGCUACCUGCUCCUCACUUGGUAUAUAUUGAAUGUUUAGUUCUCCAGCAAGAACUUUGUUUCUAACAUAAUGAAUAUCAAUCUCAAUAUGCUUUGUUCUUGAGUGGAAAACUGGAUUGUGAGCUAACUCUGUUGCACUGAGAUUGUCACACCAAAUAACAGGUUUCUCUAUGCAUUGUAAUUUCAACUCAGAAAACAGUGAUUGCAGCCAGCUUAUCUCGGCACUUGCUGAGGCUAGGGACCUAUACUCACUCUCUGCACUGGACCUAGCAAUAACAGGCUGCUUCUUAGACGACCAAGAUAUCAGAUUAUGACCAAGAUAGAUGCAAUAGGCUCCAAUCGAUUUUCUGUCAUCCAGAUCCCCUGCCCAGUCUGCAUCUGUGAAUCCUGUUAGUUUCAGAUCACCAUCCUUAAUAAUUUUGAGUCCAUAGUUCUGUGUAGCCUUUAGAUAUCUGAGCACUCUUUUGCAAGCCAUAAGGUGCUGCAGUGUUGGUGCAGAAACGUAUUGACUCAGCUUGUGAACACUAAAGGCAAUUUCUGGUCUUGUUAAUACCAAAUAUUGCAUCCCACCAACAAUGCUUCUGUAAUGUGUUACAUCUUCAACAUAACAACCAAGAUUACCUUGAGCUUCCUUCUGUAGCUUCAUUCCUGUACUCAUAGGAGUAUCAAUAUCUUUGCAAUUUAUCAUCUCAACUCUUGACAGCAGAUCCCUUAUGUAUUUCCUUUGAGAUAAGAAAAUACAAUCUUUAUCAUACAGUACUUCAAUGCCUAAGAAAUAAGAGAGAACUCCAAGAUCCUUCAAAGCAAACUUUGUACUGAAUUCUGUAAUGAAUUUUUCCAGCUCAAAGCUAUUUGGUCCUGUUAUUAAAAUGUCAUCAACAUAUAUAAGAACUAGAAUCAUAGAUGACUUAUUUAUUUUCAAGAAUAAGGAGGUAUCUGAGCUGGAAUUUGUGAAUCCCCACUGCAACAAACAGCCUUUCAACUUAUCAUACCAAGCUCUUGGAGCUUGUUUAAGUCCAUAAAGAGACUUGUGAAGCUUGCAUACAAAGUCUGGUUUCUCAAAGCUGAUAAAUCCCUCUGGUUGAUCCAUGAACACUUCCUCUGUUAAGUCUCCAUUAAGAAAGGCAUUAUUCACAUCAACUUGCCUUAUCUUCCACUGAUUCAUCACAGCUAAACUCAAGACUACUCUUACAGUUGCUGGUUUUAUGACAGGACUGAAAGUUUCAAAAUAAUUCACUCCUAUAAUUUGUUGAAAUCCCUUUGCAACUAACCUAGCUUUGUAUUUAGCUACACUUCCAUCAGUGUUGUAUUUAACCCUAUACACUCAUUUGUUUCCAACAACUCUUUGAUCAUUUGUUUUUGGCACUAAGGACCAUGUACCACUCUGCAUCAAAGCUGCAUAUUCUUCUUUCAUGGCUGUAAACCAUUUUGGGUUUUGCAUAGCCUCAUAUACAGAAUCAGGUUAUUUGUGAACAAGGGUUGCUGUAUAAAGCUUUGGUUUGAAGAUACCAGUUUUGCUUCUGGUAGUCAUUGGAUGUGUAUUAGGUUGGACUGGAAAAGAUAUAUCAGGUGUAGGUUGAGCUAAUAAGGAUAUGUCAGGUGCAGGUUGUGGUGAAUUUUGAGGCUCUGUAGAUGGUUCAAUAAAUGUGGUAUGUGUUUGUGAAUAGGAAUGUUGAUUGUCAGUAUGAAAUGGAUUAUCUGAAUGUUGUGAACUGCUGCUGGUAGAAAUUGCAGAUAGAGGAUUGCAUGAGCUAUUUCCAUCUGAUACUGGUGUUGUAGAUAAUAUGGUCAGAUGAAACACUGGUUGGGGUGUAAGGGAUUGACUCGAAUAAGAUGAUGAUUCAUUAGAAUGAAAAACUGAGUCUGUAGAAUAAGGAAAUGUUGACUCAUAAAAAACAACAUGUCUGGCUAUGUACAUCUUGCCUGAUGAAUGCAAGCAUUUGUAACCUUUGUGAACUGGACUGUAGCCAAGGAAAAUGCAUUUGCUUGAGUGAUAAUCAAAUUUGUGUUUGUUGUAAUCCCUUAGAUAAGGAUAACAUGUGCAACCGAAACACUUGAGCAUGCUGUAAUCAGGUUUAAGUUUAAAAAUUGUCUCAUAUGGGGUAAGAAGUUUCAGAGCUGUUGAGGGUAAUCUGUUUAUAUGGUAAACAGCUGUAAGAAAAGCAUCCCACCAAAAUUUAAAUGGUAGCUUAGCUUGUGCUAAUAGGGUUAGUCCUAGCUCAACAAUGUGUCUAUGUUUUCUUUCUACCACCCCAUUUUGGUGAUGUGUAUAAGGACAAGAAUGUCUGAAAAUGAUUCCACAUUGGUUUAAGAAUUGAGUAAAUGAUCUGUAUUCUCCCCCCCAAUCAGAUUGCAGGUUUUUAAUGGGGCUGUCAAAUUGGUUUUCAACCUGCAAUUUGAAUAGUUUGAAUACAUCUAAUGCCUCAGAUUUCAACUUAAGAGGAUAAAUCCAAGUGUAUCGGCUAAAAUCAUCAACAAAACUUAUGUAAUAGACAUAGCUAUCUCUAGAAGGUGUAGGUGAGGGUCCCCAUAGGUCUGUAUGUAUAAGCUCAAGGGGUUUUGUUGUUUUGGUUUCUGUGCUGGGAAAAUGCAGCCUAUGGGAUUUGCCCAUUUGACAUGCUUCACAGAUAUGCUCAAGUGUUUGUUUUAUGUUAUUUCUUGAGAGAUUAACUGAAGUAAUUCCUUUUAGCAAAUGCAUUAGAAUUUGAGAAUUAGGAUGGCCAAAACGUUUGUGAAGAAGAAGAAUUUUAUUAUUCAAUGCAUCACAAGAUGAAAUGUAGCUGGAAAAUUUAUUUAUUGAUGCAUUACAAACUGUGACACAACUGGAAUCAUUAUUCUGAGUGUUUUUAAGAACACUUGAAUCAAAAGAACAUGCAGAUAACAUUGACAAAGGUUGAGUGGAUGAAGGUUGACCCAUGUAAGAACAAGGAAGAGACUCAGAUGGUCUUAGAAGUAGCUUAUACAAUCCUUUCUCAGCAAUUCCUGUCAGAAGCACUUGCCUCUUCAGAGAAUCCUUCACAUAGCAAACAUUAUCAACAAAUUCAAUAGAGAUAUUGUUAUCAGCAGUUAAUUUUGAUAUGCUGAGCAGGUUCUUUGUGAUAUCAGGUACUAAUAACAUGUCAUUCAGUAAGAUAUGUGUUGGUUUAUAUGCAGCAUUUGAUCCUUUAUAAGUAAAACAUGGAUUACCAACAUGAGUUAUAGGCAAACCUUGGCCAUUGCCGAUGACAAGUUGAUUAGAUCCUCUGAAUUCCUCUCUGACAUUCAUGUUGGCCAUACUGUUAGUCAAGUGAUGUGUGGCACCAUUGUCAAGGUGCCAUCCUUCAUCAGCAGGCCCUUCAUAGUUGGUAAGAUAGGCUUCAGGAAUUACUGUGUCUGUUGAUGGAUAAGAGGAGAAGGAUAAAGGAUUGUAGCUUGAGUAGGGUGCAGCAUACUGUUCUUCAGUUGAAGGAGCAGCAUAGGUUAGAGAUGGAUCAAAGUUAGCUGUGUAUGCAGCCUUAGAUUCAAAAGAUCUGCCCCUUCCAAAAUGCCUAGGUAAUGGUUGAGGAUUGUCAUCAUAUCUAUGCCAGCAUUCAUCUGCUGCAUGUCCUGUUUUGUGGCAUAUCUGACAUAUGGUUGGUAAUUCAUCAGCAUGCAUGUUAGCUGAAGGAUGAAAGUUUGGCUUCAUAGGUGGCCUAAAAGGUUGCAUCAUCUGGCCCCUGCCAUAACCCCCAACAUUACCAACACCAGGUGAAAAACCUCUGGGAUGUGGAUUGUGAAACAUGCCUCUUCCAACAUUAAAUCCUCUAGUCAUAGGUCGACCAUAAUUUCCAUUUCCAACAACACCUCUUCUAAAAUUUCCUCUCAUAUAAGGAUGAUUCACAUUCAUUGUGCUAUAGUUUGCAUUAAACACAGUUUUGGCACUUUGAUUUUGUUCAAGUCUAGCUUCAUGAGUCAGUAAUAAUGCAUAAGCAUCAUCAUAGCUCAUCUUAUUAGCUGUGAUUAUGGAAGCUAGAUCUAGAUAACCUGAACCUAAGCCAUUCAAAACUCUCAUUAACAGAUCCUUUUCAGUGAUUACAUCACCAGCACAAGCAAGUUUGUUGGCGAGUAAUUUCAUUUUAGCACAAUAUUCCUCAACAUUCAUUGAAUCUUUUCUUAAGAUAUUCAUUUCAUAUCUGAGUUGCAUAAUCUUAGCCUCAGAUUGAACUCCAAACUGUUUUUCAAUAGAUCUCCACACAUCAAAUGAAGUGUCAUAGCUAAGAACAGAACUAAGAAUACCUUCACUUAUAGUUGAGAGCAGCCAGCCAAGGAGUAUUUGAUCUUGUGCUCUCCAGUUGCUGUAGGCUGGAUUUUCAAUGCUCUCACCAGAUCCUUCGAUCAUUGAAUCAACUAGAUACUGUUCUGGAAUAAUUUGCGGCUCUAGAAUGAAUCUUUCAAGGCGAUUUCCUCUGAUUGAAGUUACCACUUGUUUGCGCCAAAGCAAGAAAUUUGAUCGAUCAAGUUUCACAGUUGCAGCAAAAGUAAAUGAUGUUUGUGUAUGUUGAUUUGAGUUUAUGAUUGUUUGAUUUGAGAUUGUAUUGCUUGAGCUGGCCAUUUGUGGCUCUGAUACCAUGAAAGAAAACAGAGAUGUACUAUUUGGUUGAAUAGAAAAUUACAGAGAAAAUUCUCAAUACUUGUAUUUGAUAAGAUUCAAUUCUUAAGAGCUUUUACAAAUCAGUACAAGUAUUUAUAUUAUUCCUUACACGUGAGAAUUACUAGUAACUCACUAACUAACUAACUAACUUUCUUUGAGCUGGAUCACUAACACUUGACUAAUCACGCUGAGCUGUUAUUCUUCACUAACAACCUUCUGCUGACGUGGCUUCACCAAACUGCUUGAAUAAUGAGCAGCCUUGACAGGAAGAAACUUUGAACAAUCAUCCUGAUAUCCUUCAGAAAGCACAAUAGUUGUUAAGGAGUGUGGUGGUUUGCCACUUGCACAUUUUACCAUCGGUCGAUUUAUGGCAUGCAAGAAGACACAGCCGAAGAAUGGAGAUAUGCUAUUCAAGUGUUCAAUUCGUCCGCUUCCCGUUUCCAGGUCUGGAAGAAUGGAUAUAUACUCUUGUAAAAUUCAGUUAUGAUAGUUUACCCAAUGACACAAUUACACCUUGUCUGUUAUAUUGUAGUUUAUAUCCAGAAGAUUGUUGCAUUUCUAAAGAGAAUUUGGUAGAUUGUUAGAUCAGUGAAGGAUUUUUUAAUGAGAGUGAUUGGUUUGGAGAAAAAAUCAAGGAUACUUCAUUUUGGGCAUUCUUCUUCACGUUUUUUUUUGGAAAAGGGAGGAGAUUGUGAAAUGAAAAAUGCAUGCAUGACGUUAUUCGUGAUAUGGCUUUGUGGAUCGCAUGCGACUAUGAGAAGGAGAAGGAGAACUUUUUGGUUUACGCUGGUGUUGGUUUAACUAAGGUACCGGAUAUUAGAGAUUGGGAAAAGGUAAGGAGAUUGUCAUUGAUGAAAAAUAAAAUUGAGAAUCUAUCCGAGGCUCAUACAUGCCCUCAUCUCCUCACUUUCUUUCUUGACGAUAAUGAGUUUCGGAAGAUCCCCGGUGAUUUCUUCCAGUUUAUGCCUUCUCUCACUGUUUUAAACUUGUCAUGUAUUAAACUAAAGUCAGUUCCUUUAGGGACUUCAAGGUUGGUUCCACUACAACAACUCGAUCAUUCAUAUUCAAGCAUAAAAGAGUUGCAAGAAGAGUUAAAUGCCCUGAUUAAAGUUAAAUGCUUGAAUAUAGAUCAUGUAGAGGAGCUAAUUACAGUUCCACAACAACGGAUAUUUAAUUUUUAAGGUUAUAUGUGUUGAGAAUGUUCGAUACUAUUAGUUUAAAUUUUCAAGAAGCAUUAAAUAAAGACAGCAUUUUAUUUGGUGGGGAGGAAGUUUAAGCAGAGGAGUUGCUCGGUUUGGAAUAUUUGGAGGUAUUGAGCUUCACUUGAGAGGUGUUCGUGCUCUCCAAUUUAUUUUGAGCUCACAUAAGCUACGAAGUUGUACUCAAGCGCUGUUCCUCCAAUCCUUCAAUAAUUCGAUAUGGCUUGAUAUUUCACUUUUGGCAGAGUUAAAAGCACCACUGCAGAUUUAAGUAUUUUUGGCUGUAGAAAAUUGGAGGACUUGAAGAUGGAAUAUACAGGGGGAGCGAAAAACAAGCGGCAACCUUGUGUUUUCUAAGGCCUACAUACAGUUCACAUAGAGGUUUGUUCUAAAUUGAAGGACUUAACAUUCCUUGUUUCUGCUCCAAAUCUCAAGAACUUGGAAAUACAAAAUUGCCCUGCUGUGGAAGCAAUCAUCAGUGUGGGAGAAUUUGCGGAAGCUCUAGAGGUGGUGGAAAAUCUAAACCCAUUUGCAAAACUCCAGUAUCUUGGACUAGAAAAUCUGCCAAAUGUGGAGAGCAUCUAUUGCAAGCCUCUGCCCUUUCCAUGUUUGAAAAGAAAUGACUGUGGAUAGUUGCGGUUGUCUUAAAAAGCUUCCACUCUACUCCAACAGUGUAAAAGAGUGUACAAUUGUUAUUUCAUCAUUCGGAGAGUUAAUGGUGCAAUGAGAUUUGGCAGUUAACUCUCGUGGGAAGAGCUUGAAUGGGAAGACGAAGCCACUCGAAUUGCUUUUCAUUCAUGUUUCAAAUCUCUGAUUGGAUUGGAGAUUGCAUUUCGCCUCAGGUUCGUACUUUUCUUGAAUUUUUCUUGUUAACUUCAUUUGUUCAUUUAUCCAUUUUUUUUUAAAGGAAUCAGAAGGGUUAAUAAUUUUGGUUGUGUUAGGUCGACUUCUAAUCACGAGGCAGAAGGAGUUGAGAUGAAGUUUAAUUUUGGUGGAGAAAUUGUUUGAUUUAAAAAAUUUAAAUGAGUUGACCAUCAUUCUUUAGCAUAUUUGUAUGAACAGGAGUGUGUAAAUAUGCAAACUGUCCAGCUGUAUGUGUAUAGCGUAAUAAUUUUGAGGAGUUAAAACAUUGAAGAAUAUUGAUGUUUCCAUUGUCAAACCAAAUAUACUUAAUUACUUGAGGAUAAUGAUUACUGCUAAUACAUUUGCUAAUACAUUUGCAAAGAAAAAAACAUGCCUAUUGAAAAACUCAUCUUAUUAGCAACAGCAUUAUAAGUAGUAUCCAAUCAUAGUUUCAUGCAAGAUUUUGAGAUUUUUCAAAUGCUGAUUCCGGGAAUGGAGAUUAAUAGAUAAUGGAGACAGGUUGACUGCAAUGGCUAAUUGCAAGAGGGAAUUUUAGUCGUAAAAACAGACCAACUAGCAAAGCAAAUUCCAAAUCUUGGAAUGAAGUGGCAAAAAAACGAAACAAACAAAUGGCAAGAGGAAGUGACUAUACAAUAAUAACAUCGACUUGCAAUUCAACAUUUAUACAGUUUUACUCACCAAGAAAAGAGAAAAUUACAAUAGCAAUUUGGCUACUAGAAGAUGUUCAUUCAUGCUUAUGCCUGUCAUAUGGAUUUGAAACAAGGAGUAAAAGCAUUUAGAGUGGCUUCAUCCUUCCACUGCAGCUCAUUCCACCAGUGUUGCUCUCCCCUAAUAACAAGUUUGCGUUCCUUGGCGCUGUUGUAAUCGAGUGGAAGCUUCUUGAGGUUCGGGCAUCCAGAUACAAACAAUUCUAAGAGAUUUGGAAAGUGCACUUAAAUUCUUAUGAAUUGCUUAAGUAUGCAAGCAGCAGAGCAGAAAACAAACAACCUUUUCAUAUAUUAUAAUAACAUGAAUAAUCAGAUAUACACAUCCUUCACAUAUUUAUACUAAACGUGAAAAAUGGUAGCUUGCUCAAAGGGAAAACAGAAAUGAAUAAAACAAAAGAUUACAGCUGCACUAGCCAAUCAUUGGAAACAUUCUAGAAACUCCAGCUUGCAGUAUUCACGUGUAAAUAUUCUCCUGCAUAACAGUUUUGCCAGCUCAUUGAAUACACCUCAACUUCUUCAUCAGCUGGUUGCUGGAUAUGGCUGCUCAGGUGGCAUGCCAGCAUGGCCUUUGGGUCAAUUGUUGACUCAUCUUCAUAAUCUGAAUUCUCAACACCCUCUCUCAAACUUAAGGUCUUGUCGAAGACAUUAAGUUUGCUUCUAAAUUGACUGAACUUGUAAUAAGGCAAUGGCUUGGUUAAUAUGUCUGCAACUUGAUCUCUGCUGGCUACAAAACUGAUUUCCAGCUCUCCUUGAGUGACUUUGUCUCUAAUGAAAUGAAGGUCUAUCUCAAAAUGCUUUGUCUUUGAGUGAUACACUGGAUUUGUGGCUAUUGCUGCUGCACUUGUGCUAUCACUUAAGAUCAUUGGAACUCUUUGCAUCUUGAUUUCCAAUUCACCAAACAGAGAAUUUAUCCAAGUGAUUUCAGUAGUACACAAAGCUAUGGCCCUGUACUCGGACUCAGCUGUCGAUCUUGCUACCAUGCCUUGCUUUAUUGAGCUCCAAGCUACUAAAUUGUCUCCCAAAAACACACAAUAUCCACUUACUGAUCUUCUGUCAUCUGGAUCACUAGCCCAGUCAGCAUCAAUAUAGGCUAUCAAAUCUAGAUGUUCUGACUUCUGGAACUUUAAGCACAUGUUUGCAGUGCUCUUUAGGUACCUCAACACUCGUUUGCAAGCUGUCCAGUGAGAUUGUCUUGGGUCAGACAGGUAUUGGCUAAGCUUGUUCACAGAAUAUGCAAGCUCUGGUCUUGUUAGAACAGCAUAAUGUAGACUUCCUACAACACUCCUAUAAAAUGAAGGAUUGUCAAGUUUGGUGCCUUCACCCUUCUUUAGUUUCUCUGCUGUGCUGAAAGGUGACUCUAUUCCCUUGCAAUUCUCCAUCUCUGUUUUAGCUAAUAGGUCUUGAACAUAUUUAGCUUGAGAGAGCAAAAUGGAGUUCUGAUUUCUUAUAACAUGUAUCCCAAGGAAGUAGCUUAAAUUUCCAAGAUCUUUCCACUUAACUUUCCUAUCACUUCCUCAAUACCCUUGCUGUUAUUUCCAGUCACAAUUAUGUCAUCUACAUACACAAGCACAAUGAUUAUUUCAGCACUGCUUCUUUUGAAGAAUAGAGAAAUAUCACACUUGGAGUUGUUGAAUCCCCAAGAGCACAGAGCAUUCUUUAAUUUGUCAAACCAUGCUCUGGGUGCUUGUCUCAGUCCAUAAAGAGCUUUCUUGAGCUUGCAUAUGUGGUUUGGUCUUCUCCUAUCCUCAAAUCCCUCAGGUUGUGGCAUGUACACUGUCUCUGUCAAAUCUCCAUUCAGAAAUGCAUUAUUUAUGUCAACCUGCCUCAACAGCCAAUCAUUACUUACAGCCAAAGUUAAAAUGAUUCUGAUUGUUGCAGCUUUGACCACAGGGCUGAAAGUCUCAUUAAAGUCAAGUCCUGGUGUCUGCAGAAACCCCUUCAAGACAAGUCUAGCUUUGUAUCUAUUUAUGGUGCCAUCUGGAUUUUCCUUUACUUUGUACACCCAUUUGUUGCCAAUGAGUUUGUAGUUCUGGUCAUGUGGAAUUAAGGUCCAGGUUUGGUUUUUGACAAGAGCAUUAUAUUCAUCCUCCAUUGCUCUUCUCCAUUUAGGAUCUUUCAGUGCCACAGUGGAGUCAGGGGGUAAGGAAGUUUGAGAUUGAGUGGAUAUUUGAUAAACCUUUGGCUUGCAAAUCCCUGCUUUUGACCUUGUGAUCAUGGGAUGUAAGGAGGCUUGAGUGUUUGGUUAUGUUAUGAGAGGCAAGGUGCAAUUUUCUACUGAGGUGUUUGGUGAGAGUUCAACAGGUGAGUGGUUGUCUGAUAUAGAGUUGAAGCUCAAAUUCUAACAAGCUCCAUCUUAACUAAAACUUGGGAGCUGUUCUGAGUUUCCAGCAGUGGCCUGAGAUUAACUAUGAGCUGCAUUUUGCUGUGUUGACUCAGGGGGAACAGUAGUGGAGAAAGAUACAACUUGAAAUUUUUCUAGAACUGUGGGGGAAUCAUUUUGGUCAGUGAGCCUUUGCUUGCAGAAAUUUGAGUCAUUUUGAAAAGGGAAUGAAUGAUCAUUAAAUUGACACUGGCUGAAAUGUAGAUCCUCCCAGAAUGAUGCAUGCAAAUGUAACCUUUGUGACUGAUGCUAAUGCCUAGUAGUGUGCACUUGAAAGUGUGAAAAUCAAACUUAUGCUUGUUGUAGGGUCUUAAGUAUGGAUAGCAUUCACAACCGAAAACUUUAAUUUGGGAAUAAUCUGGUUUGGUGAGAUAUAACAGCUCAAAUGGAGUUUUAUUUUCAAGAAUAGGUGAGGUUAAUCUGUUUAUGAUGUAGGUGGCAUAGCUGAAAGCUUCUUGCCAAUAUCUCAAAGGCAUUUUUGCUUGGGCUAGUAAUGUUAGGCCAGUUUCCACAAUGUGUCUGUGCUUUCUCUCCACCUUUCCAUUUUGUUCAUGUAAAUAAGGGCAUGAGUGUCUUAAGGCUAUUCCUUCUUUCUUGAGAAAGGGUUCGAAAGUUUUAAACUCCCCACCCAUGUCUGUUUGUAAAGCCUUGAUUCUUAAAUUUAGCUGAUUUUCUACUUGGUUUUUAAACACAAUGAAUGUGUCAAGGGCCUGUGAUUUUGUUGUUAAGGGAAACAACCAUGUGUAUCUUGUCUUGUCAUCCACAAAUGAUAUGUAAUAUCUGUGUCCAUGGGUAGAUGGAAUAGGUGCUGGUCCCCAGAGAUCACUAUGUAUUUGUUCUAAGGCUGUGCUGGUCUUGGUUUCAAUGCUUUUAAAGUUUAGUUUUGAUUGCUUUCCAUACUGACAAGCAUUACAGAAUGAGGGAAAUAUAUUUUUAUUUAAGUUGAGCUGAUUACAAGAUAAUAGAGUAUUUUUCAGAACUGACUCAUUUGGAUGCCUCAGCCUAUGGUGCCAGAGAUCUAUUUCAUUUGUUCUAAGAUCCCUACUGCUUGUAUCAGCUCUACUGGACUCGACAACACUGGCACCAACACUGGCACCUAAAGACUCAUUACUACUGAAAUUGAAACAUGCCAUUGACAUUGGAUUGCUAAUGCAACUUAUUGACUUGGGUAUUGGAAAUGAAGAUAACUCAGCAGCAUAAGUAACCUUGUUGCCACUCAAAUGAGUUGGCAUGCAUAGCAGCUCAUAUAGUCCAUCUCUAGCCACUCCUUUCACCAGAAUUCUCCCUUGGCUCUUGUCCUUGAUGAAGCAAACAGAUUUUUGAAACUCAACAUCAAUAUCAUUAUCAUGAAGCAAUUUGGAAACACUAAUGAGAUUUUUGGUAAUAUCAGGUACAAACAAAAUAUGAUUUAAUUUGAUGUGUUUGUGUGGACUGUAAGUGGGCAAUAUAGAAUAACCAAUGUGAGAGAUAUGAAGUUUGUUACCAUUACCAACAGUGAGCUUGUCAUUACCUUGGUACUCUGAGUUCAGGUUCAUGUUUCCAAUAGCAUUGGUCACAUGAUUUGUGGCACCACUGUCAAGGUACCAGGCAUUGCUGUUUUGUCCUUCUGUUGUGGCCAUGUAGGCUCCUCUCCUCCUAUUUAGCUGUGGCACAUAAUUUUUCUUAAACCUAUGCCAGCAUUCAACAGCUGUGUGCCCCAUUUUGAAGCAGAUUUGGCAUGGACCCUUUGAUUCAGAACCUUCACCUUCUGCAGCAGCUUUGCCUUUGCCUUUGUCUUGAAUAUUUUGAUUUCCCUGACCAUGACCACCAUUGCCACCAUUUCCAGUGCCACCACCAGGAUUUCUGAAGACUAUCCCAGGUUGUUGCUGACUGCCAAAUCUUUCACCAUUGCCCCAGUUCCUCCUGCCAUUUCUCAUCUGUGUGAAGUUAGCCUCAAGAAUCCCUGGGCUGAGAUUUUGCUCAGUCCUGGUUUCUUGGCUGAGGAGCAUGCUGUAGACCUCUGACAAUGAAGGAGUUUCUGGCAUAGAGUUAAUGUUAGUGACAACAGAGUCAUAUUCAGAUCAUACUCCAGCUAAGACACACAUAAUAAAGUCCUCAUCACUCAUGUUAUUUCCAGCUGCUCUGAGUGUAUUUAGGAUAGUUUUCAUCAUGGAGUAAUAAUCAUGGAUUGUAAGAGAGCCCUUUUUAGUGGUUUGAAUCUGUGUCCUCAAAUAUAGGAUUCUAGCUCUUGUUCUUGCACCAUACUGAUUGGUAAGAGUUGUCCAAACUUCAUGUGAAGUAGAACAAUCCACCACAGUGCCGAGGACACCCUCACUGAGAGAUGAGAGCAACCAGCUCAAAAGAAUGUGGUCCUGUUUCUUCCAGAUUUGAUAUUCUGGAUUUUGGUGGGUAACGGUAGCUUGGUUAGGUCCAGGACUGGUGAAAUAUCUGGGGGGACAGGUAUAGCUUCCAUUUAUGAAGCCUUCAAGCUCAUUUGCUCGUAUGCUGGAGACCACUUGUGAUCUCCAGAGCAUGAAAUUGUUCUGUGUUAACUUGAUGGGAGUGGUGAACACAUAUGUGUUGCUGGUGAUAUGUUGGGUAGGAGAUGGGUUCAUUAUGGUCACAUUUCUUGUGUUAUUAUCUGGAUUCUGAUUGUCGAUAUUUUCAGGUUGGUUUUGAUUCAAAUCAUUUGGUUGAUCAUCUGGAUUUUCCAGAGUUUGAUUCAUGUUUGUUUGUGAAUUUCUGCUGCUUUCCAUAGCUCAAAAGUUGCUCUGAUACCAACUUAAAUUCUUAUGAAUUGCUUAAGUAUGCAAGCAGAAGAGCAGAAAAAAAAUAACCUUUUCAUAUAUUAUAAUAACAUGAAUAAUCAGAUAUACACAUCCUUCACAUAUUUAUACUAAACGUGAAAAAUGGUAGCUUGCUCAAAGGGAAAACAGAAAUGAAUAAAACAAAAGAUUACAGCUGCACUAGCCAAUCAUUGGAAACAUUCUAGAAACUCCAGCUUGCAGUAUUCACGUGUAAAUAUUCUCCUGCAUAACAGUUUUGCCAGCUCAUUGAAUACACCUCAACUUCUUCAUCAGCUGGCUGCUGGAUAUGGCUGCUCAGGUGGCAUGCCAACAUGGCCUUGGGGUCAAUUGUUGACUCAUCUUCAUAAUCUGAAUUCUCAACAAUGCAUUCAAACAGAUCUUCUUCAAAUUUCUUAGAACUUGCAACCGAAGAUAUUGGAGUUUCGCAAAAGGUUUUAGCCCUGUAACUUCUUCCACUUUCCAAACACUGAUUAUUUCUUCCAUCUCAUAACAACGUUCUACAUGGACCAUCUUCAGAUUUGGGGCAAAAACAAGCCAUGUCAUCUCCCUCAAUUUACUGCAAUAGUCUAUGGUAACACUUUGAAGGCUGUUGAAACCAUAAGUUCUCUUGUUGUUUGAACUUCUGCAUAGUCAACCUUUAGCUCUUCCAAACUUGUACAAUACACAAAAUCUAGUUUGUCAAGAUACUUGAGAUCUGCUAUGGACAAAAUAUUCCAUGACCUUGAAUCCUCACAGCGUCGAAGCUCUAAAGCAUAUUUACAACUCUUGUACUGUUGGCAGCUCAAAAGUCUUCGUAGAGCAUAAAAACUUCUUAACGUGACGCUUAAUACAUUUAAAUGUUCCAAAGUAAUCAACUCCUCUACCAAAAUUUCACUACCACCAAAUAGAACGCUAUCUUCUGGUACUGUAUUAGCAGAGCCACAAUCUAGCAUCCUCAACACCUUUAACCCAGAAAAAUUACAAAGCAGUUGCCGUGGAAUCGUAUGGAGAUAACGCAUGUACUCCAAGUUCAAACACUUUAGAUUUUUCAAGGCUUUUAAUUCAUGUGGUAACUCUUUGAUGAAAGUUUCUGAAAGAUUAAGAUAUUGUAGUGAAACCAAUUUUGAAAUUCCUGAAGGCAAUUGACUCAAGGAGCGAUUCUUUGAUAGGUUUAAAACUUUAAGAGAAGGCAUAAAAUCGAAGAAAUCACUAGGGAUAGUAUCUAACAUAUUAAUGCCGAGGAACAAAGUUAUAAGAUGAGGGCAUAUUGGAGUUAUUGGUAAAAUCACAAUUUUAUUUCUCAUCAACGAUAUCCUUCUCUUAUCUUCCCAUUGUUUAACCUCGGGUGGUUCAGUUAAUUCAAUACCGGCAGAAACCAAAAAGUUUUCAUUCUCCACUUCACAGGCUAUCCACAAGGUCAUAUCACGAAUCACAUCAUGCAAUUUUACAUAAUCUGAUCCUGCUUCUUCCAAUAGGCAUGCAUGAACAAGAACACCAAUAAUGUAGUAUCCUUGGUUAUGUACUCCAUUAAUUCCUUCAUAUUCCUUCAGAAAACCCUCACCAAUCCAACACCCUAUCAAUUCAAUUUUGCUAAUUUGAUAAUCCUCAGGAAAUAAACUACAGUAUAACAGACAAGAUCUAAGGACGUCACUAGACAAACUAUCAUAACUGAAUUUUAAAAGACGAAACACCUCUUUCUCCAUACCUGGAAAUUCAUAAGCUGAUCUCCUUAACAUCUGAAUUGCAUAGCUCCAUUCUUCGGGUGUCUUCUUGCUGCUCAUGGCACGACCGGUGGUAAUAAGUGCAAGUGGCAAACCACUACACUCCUUUGCCACAGUUUUGGCUAACUCCGGAAUAUCGGGAUGACUUUCAAGAGUCUCUUCUCCGACCUUCUUUAGGAACAAUUCCCAAGCAUCUUGAUCUGCCAAACACUCCACCUUGAACUUUUUUUGAGCUUCCAUGAGGCCACAGACGUCCACAAGACGAGUCGUAAAUGUUGAAAGUCAUGGCUGGCGCCGGCCAUCUAGAUGGCCGGUGCCAACCAUUCAACAUUCAACACGGCCCGCCAUUAUUGGUGGUGCCGUGUUGAAUGACUCCAUAAAAAAAAAAAAAAAAAAAAAGAGCCAAAAUUUUGGCUAUAUAAAGAGGGCUUCCCACCCUCAUUUAUAAUCCAAUCUUGAGAGAGCAAUUUAGGGAGUUGAGAGAGAGUUUAAGAGCUUGCAUUUAUAAGCUCUUAUUUUAGUGAUUUGAGAGUUUGGGUGUAUUGGGGUUUUGGGUAGUGAGCUAAAAUACUACAAUACUUGUAACUCCUUUUCACUAGUAAAAUAUUUCCUUCUGUCUUUGCCCAUGGACGUAGGCUAAAAGCCGAACCACGUAAUUUCUGGUGUCCUCUAUUGUGCUUGUUCUUUAUUUUAUUUCCAAUUUCAUUUUAGCUGCGGUCCUGCUUCACCCACCAAUUUCCUAACAGUGGUAUCAGAGCUAUUGGUUGUAUUUUUGGAGUCGGGAACUGUUCACGUAAGGGGUACUAUUCACGUAUACGACACUAUUCACGUAUACUGUACUGUUCACGUAUACGGGUUUGUUCACAUAUACGGUACUGUUCACGUAUACGAUACUAUUCACGUAUACGGUACUAUUCACGUGAAACGGGGAAGCGAUCCAAGAAUUUUCCGGUGCAAAGCAGGGAAUAGUAGUGUGAGAAAAGCAACUGUGGUUUUGUACAUGUCUAGGAAAGUUCUGUCACAAAGGCGAUAAGAGCUUAAGGAGUCUGGGUUUUAAGUGGGACCAUUGUGACCCCUCCAGUCUUUCCUGGGAACUUUCCUGGUGUGCAUUCUCACACAUACUCACAACUAUUCAAGGUGGUAUACUAGCUUGUGUGCAGUAUUUAUCAACAAAAUGGCGGCAAAGUAUGAAAUUGAGAAGUUGAACGGAAAUAAUUUUUCGUUGUGGAAAAUGAAGAUGAAAGCUGUAUUGAGGAAAAAUAAUUGUUUGGCAGCAAUUGGAGAAAGGCCCAUGGAGAUAACUGAUGACAAGUGGAACGAGGUAGACGGUAACGCCAUUUCUGAUCUACACUUGGCACUUGCGGAUGGUGUAUUAUCUAGUGUGGCAGAGAAAAAUACGGCGAAGGAAAUAUGGGAUACUCUCACAAAAUUGUACGAGGCCAAGUCACUACACAACAAAAUCUUCUUGAAGAGAAAACUAUAUACUCUUCGAAUGGCGGAAUCUACAAUGGUGACCGACCACAUCAACACUUUGAAGACUCUAUUUUCACAACUCACAACGUUGGGUCAUAAUAUAGAGGAGAAUGAACGUGCAGAGCUUCUACUUCAAAGUCUACCAGAUUCGUAUGAUCAACUCAUCAUCAACCUGAUGAACAACAAUCCAGUGGAAAGUCUAGUUUUCGACAAUGUUGCAGCCUCCGUAUUAAAUGAGGAGAGCAGACGGAAAAAUAAGGAAAACAGACAAGCAAGUUCGCAGCAAGCAGAGGCGCUAUCGGUGACGAGAGGGAGAUCAACGGAACGUGGCCCCAGUGGGAGUCAAAGUUAUGGUAGAUCAAAAUCCAGAAGUAAGAAAAAUGUUAAAUGCUACAACUGUGGCAAGAAAGGGCACGUCAAGAAAGAGUGUUGGAGUAACCAGAAGAGAAGAGAGGGUAAAGAACCUGAGUCAUCAAAUGCUCAGGGGUGUGUAGCAAGUACCUCGGAUGAUGGCGAAAUUCUCUACAGUGAGGCAACAACUGUUUCAGAAGGCAGAAAACGACUUUCUGAUGUCUGGCUUAUAGACUCAGGAGCUACCUGGCACAUGACCUCUAGGAGAGAAUGGUUCUACACAUAUGAACCUAUCUCAGGAGGAUCUGUAUAUAUGGGUAACGAUCAUGCCUUGGAGAUCGCUGGUAUUGGUACUAUCAAAAUAAAAAUGUUUGAUGGUACAAUUCGCACAAUUGGGGAGGUACGACAUGUCAACGGCCUAAAGAAAAAUCUAUUGUCUUUAGGACAAAUGGAUAGUCAUGGGUACAAAACUCAUGUGGAGAAUGGAAUUAUGAAGAUCGUUAAAGGCGCGCUUGUAUUAAUGAAGGCAGAAAAGAUCAGUGCUAAUCUAUUCAUGCUUAAAGGAGAAACACUACAGGAGGCUGAUGCGUGUGUCGCGUCAAAUGGAGAAGAAUCAACGAUGAUGUGGCAUCUCAAACUCGGCCACAUGUCAGAACAAGGCUUGAAGAUUCUCUCUGAGCGAAAAUUGCUUCCGGGGCUCAAAUCAGUAAGUUUACCAUUUUGCGAGCAUUGUGUUAUAAGUAAGCAGUAUAGAUUAAAAUUCAGUAGAUCUAUUGCUAGAAGUAAAUGCAUUCUAGACUUGAUUCAUUCUGAUGUUUGGGAAUCACCGGAUAUAUCCAUGGGAGGUGCAAAGUACAUGGUGACUUUCAUUGAUGAUUAUUCCAGAAGAUGUUGGGUGUAUCCAAUUAAGAAAAAGUCAGAUGUAUUUCCUGUGUUUAAAGAAUACAAAGCGCGGGUGGAACUUGAAUCUGGUAAAAAGAUCAAGUGCUUAAGGACAGAUAAUGGUGGAGAAUAUACAUACGACGAGUUUCUUGCUUUCUGUAAGCAAGAAGGUAUUCAGAGGCAAUUCACGGUGGCAUACACUCCUCAACAAAACGGAGUAGCAGAGCGGAUGAACAGAACUCUUACAGAAAGAAUAAGAGCUAUGUUGAGGACUGCUGGUUUACCCAAUUCAUUCUGGGCAGAAGCAGCCAAAACCGCCUGUUAUAUAGUAAAUCGGUCGCCAUCUACAGCUAUUGGGUUGAAGACAGCGAUGGAGAUGUGGACUGGAAAGCCAGCUGAUUAUUCCUACCUACAUGCAUUUGGAUGUCCUGUGUACGUGAUGUACAAUGCCCAAGAAAGAACAAAGCUGGAUGCAAAAUCUAGAAGAUGUAUCUUCUUGGGGUAUGCUGAUGGAGUAAAGGGGUAUCGUCUGUGGGACCCCACUGCCCAUAAGAUCGUCAUCAGCAGAGAUGUUAUCUUUGUAGAAGAUCAACUACAAAGAAAAGAUGGAGAUGAUGGCACUGUAAAAGAAAAGUCAGAGACUGUACCAGUAUAUGUCGAAAAUAAUCUAGAAGAUUCAGAUUCUUCUGAAGCAGCACCAGAGCACGAGGAACAAGAACCAGUCGAGUCUGAGGCUCCAGAAGUUCGUCGGUCAACUCGUGAGAGACGACCACCGGCGUGGCACUCGGAGUAUGUCACAGAGAUCAACGUUGCAUACUGUCUUCUAACAGAGGAUGGAGAGCCUUCAACUUUCCAUGAAGCUUUAAACAACUUAGAUGUUGCUUUGUGGAUGACAGCAAUGCAGGAAGAAAUUGAAGCUCUACACAAGAACAAGACAUGGGAACUUGUACCACUACCACACGGAAGAAAAGCCAUUGGAAACAAAUGGGUCUACAAGAUCAAACGUGAUGGCAAUGACCAAGUGGACCGGUAUCGUGCAAGAUUGGUGGUGAAAGGAUAUGCUCAGAAAGAAGGUAUUGACUUCAACGAGAUAUUUUCUCCGGUGGUUCGACUCACAACAGUCAGAAUAGUCUUGGAGAUGUGUGCUACAUUUGAUCUACAUCUUGAGCAGUUAGAUGUUAAAACUGCAUUUCUUCAUGGAGAACUUGAAGAAGAAAUAUAUAUGCUCCAACCAGAAGGUUUUGCAGAAACAGGAAAGGAGAACUUGGUUUGCAGGUUGAACAAAUCUCUAUACGGUCUCAAACAGGCGCCGAGGUGUUGGUAUAAGAGAUUUGAUUCCUUCAUCAUGAGCCUUGGAUACAACAGACUCAGUUCAGACCAUUGUGCAUAUUACAAGAGGUUUGAAGAUAAUGAUUUCAUCAUUUUACUGUUGUACGUGGAUGACAUGUUGGUAGCAGGCCCCAACAAAGAUCAAGUCCAAGAAUUGAAGGCACAAUUGGCUAAGGAGUUUGAAAUGAAGGACUUGGGACCAGCAAACAAGAUUCUAGGGAUGCAAAUUCACCGAGACAAAAAUAACAGGAAGAUUUGGCUUUCACAGAAGAAUUACUUGAAGAAAAUCUUGCGGCGCUUCAACAUGUAAGAUUGUAAGUCAAUUUCUACCCCACUUCCUGUUAAUUUCAAAUUAUCCUCAAGUAUGUGUCCUAGCAAUGAAGUGGAGAGGAAGGAGAUGUCUCGAGUACCGUAUGCAUCAGCAGUGGGAAGUUUAAUGUUCGCUAUGAUAUGUACUAGACCAGACAUUGCACAAGCAGUGGGAGCAGUCAGUCGAUACAUGGCGAAUCCUGGUGGAGAGCAUUGGAUAGCUGUAAAGAGGAUUCUGAGAUACAUCAGAGGAACCUCAGAUGUUGCAUUAUGUUACGGAGGAUCAGAGUUUACUAUCAGGGGCUAUGUGGAUUCAGAUUUUGCAGGAGAUCUUGAUAAAAGAAAAUCCACUACUGGUUAUGUGUUUACACUUGCAGGAGCAGCUGUAAGCUGGGUUUCGAAACUGCAGAUCGUUGUGGCUUUANNNNNNNNNNNNNNNNNNNNNNNNNNNNNNNNNNNNNNNNNNNNNNNNNNNNNNNNNNNNNNNNNNNNNNNNNNNNNNNNNNNNNNNNNNNNNNNNNNNNAUAUUCUUGAUUAAUCCAUUUUCUGAAAUUUUUUAUUUUGUAUGGUCAAUUAUACCUUCAUACUAAAAAUUUCUGAUGUUAUGGGGUUGUUGGAUGUGUUUUGGAUAUUUGCAGCUAAGUUUGAGUUUAUAUCUCAACUUAAAAUUUGUAGUUUUCACUUGAAAAAAUUCAGUUAAAAAUUGAUUGGUAGAAUUGUGAAGAAGUUUAAAUUUUUAGUUCAACCCGAUUGCAUAUUUAAGAACAUCUCAAAUGAAUUGCUUACUGCUAUCAUCAUCAUAAUUGUCAGAGAUGGUUAAUUGAUAGACUAUGUGCCUGGGUCGAGCACUGGAAGCCUGCAAUGCAGACUGAUUGAUUUAUCAGUUUAACGUGUGCCAGGAAUGAAGAACUGGAAUAUCACCGUCAAGCAAGCACCCUGUGGAGCAAUACCAAAGAAUGCACAAUCCGGCUUUGCAAGGUGACACUGGAGGCUUUUUGAAAAGUGCUUCACGCUCACUUGCACAGAUUGAGCAUCCCCUCUGGAUAUUGCCCUCUCUGAUCGAGUCUGAGCACUCAAAUUUUGGUCCUCAGAGGGAGCUACAGUUUUCUCUCCAAUAACCAACAAUUUUCUAAACUCAGCACCUAGUGUGAUCAGAGUUGUUGAUAUUUAUAAAUGGAGAUCCCCAUAUUUGCAAGUGGAGACAUUUAACAAUUCACCAACAUGCUUCAUCCGGUGUACAAAAUUCUGCAGCUGAUUCAAAUCCGGAACCUGAACCAGAGUCGGAGGUAUAUCUUGAGCCAUAUCUAAAGUAGUUUGAAGUUCAAGACCUUGAGCCCUUGACAAUGGUUUUGAAAUUGGAACAUCUUGGAUUACUGCAGACUUGUACCCCUUGGUUUCAAAGGUAAGGAAAGGCAUUGCUUGAGUACAAUUUGGAGGCAGCUUCUUCACCAAUUUUAUUUGGAGGCGAUUGGCAGCGGAUCCAGCAGCACCAAUUUCAGAGCAAAUACUGACACUACUUCGAACAGCACACUGAAGAAGUGAUAUGUCUACGGCAAAGGCAAUGCAGUCCUCAUUUUGGCUUGAGAUGCAGUAAUCAUCGAAGAGAGUUUCCUUGUGAAACUGGGCAACACAUUGAAUCCCUUCGCCACUGAGAAGGUUGUGGAGGAAGUAAGCUUUCUCUCUAGUGAGGCAGAGGUGGCAUACCUUCCCCAUUUUGUCGAGGGCAGGUAGGAAUCUUUUUUCUAAGAGAUUUACUUCAUUCUCUGUGAGAAAUGCUUUGAACUUCAUCCCUCUGUCUCUAUCCUCACUUAUCAGGAAAUAAGUUGAAAGCACUACGAAGAGAGAGAGAGAGAGAGAGAGAGAAUUAAGAUAUAUAGACAAGAAAAAUAUUAGACGUUGAUCUUACAAACUAAUACUUCAAGCAGUAUCCUGGAAAGCUAAAAACUGCAAGAUGGCUUGAAAUUUGAAAAGAGCACGUGCUUUUCCUCCUUAACUUGAGAAAAUGUUUAAUAUAGUGCACCUUAUGGAAGCAUUUAAGCAAUUAGAACUUUGCACAAAAACAUCAAGAAGACUAAACAAGUCAGAUGCAGUGUAUUUGUCCAAGCACAAAUUGCAUUUUGUCCUCAACUUUAAUAUUUAUUGAUGAGAAUCAAUACAGGUCCCUCAUUUGUUAUAGAAAGCUUUCUUUCUUGUAGUCUCACCAGUUAAUUCACAGGUCUAUAAUCAUCUUGCAAAGUUAAGGGCAUUUCUUUUGAUCUAAAGUCUUUGCAUCACCACCUCAUCACACGCCAAGCCAAUAUUCCAUUUACCUCUACAACAAAAAGUUUUAAUUAAACAAUCCUAAUGCACGCAGCCAAAUAAAAUGCAGUAAGAAUAUUCAACUUAAAAAUCUGAAAGCCAACUUGGUGAAUUGCCUCCUUAGGUGAAGUUCCAUGCUUUACUAUAGUUGACAGAACUCAGCAAAAGCUUCCAUACAACAGAUUUUGAAAAUGAUGAUGCCAACAGAUACUCAUUCAAUCCAUUGAAACUCCAAAGGUUCAUUGUUCAUAGAAGUUUACAAAGUUUUGGUCAUCAAAUAGCUCAGACCUAAUCCCAAACAAAAAAAGAGUGAAAAUUAGAUCACGAGCAGCUAAUUGUAAAUUCUAACUUAACUCUUCAUCUCCUUUGUAAACAAGAAACAAAAUGGAGACACGCAAAAUGAAUAUGGAGAAAAUUUGAACUCAAAUGAAAUGAGGGCACGAAAGCAAACAAAUGGCAUGCACAAAAAAACCAAGCCUCAAUCAAAAACUAAUUAACCAUUAAGAAAAAAAUUGGUCAGACAAUGAACUCCAAAUUCAGGAGUCAAGCAAGAAGCUUUCAUUAUUUCAGAAGCUCCUGUACAAAUUAAUAAGUUAUGCUCUUUGGAAGCAAAACCAAAUUCCAAGAGAAACAGAACCCAAAAAAUUUGCAAUUAUUCGCAAAGGAAGUGAAGCACAGGAUUCUAUCACACAUAGGAAUUUUAUAACAAGAGAUCGAUAUAUCGAAUUAGAAAACUCAAUUCGAAUUUGUGUGAAAAAUCAAAAUUAGAAGAUUUCACAUUUCGAGAGGAACAAGCAACAGAUGAGUUUAAUUUCAGCCAUAACAUGCUAAAAAUGCUACACUUAACGGUUCCUUGUCAGCUAUUGAUGCGUUCGCUCANNNNNNNNNNNNNNNNNNNNNNNNNNNNNNNNNNNNNNNNNNNNNNNNNNNNNNNNNNNNNNNNNNNNNNNNNNNNNNNNNNNNNNNNNNNNNNNNNNNNAAGGGUCAUGUUCAAGCAGGAAAACUUCUAGAACAGGUAAGGAUUCCAUCUACAGACAUCCAUUGACAGCAGAUAUAUUUCAUUAAGCAGACACUGUUAGCAUUCAAGAUGCUGGCAGAUUCACUUGAUUCUUAUUAGUUUGUUUAGUGGCAAGGCAUAUAACCUGUAUUUCAAAGCCAAGUUGUGCUAUUGAUUAUGUUAACUUUAUUGUUAACAUUAAGUGAUUUGGAGGACAUAAUCAAUGUAGGAAAAUUAGGUGAAGAGAUGAUGUCAAAUCUUGAACCUCUUACAAAGCUCCAAGUUCUUUACUUGAAGAAGCUGCCAAAUUUGAAGAGCGUCUACUGGAAGGCAUUUCCAUUCCCAGAUGUAUGCAGAAUUUUUGUAUUAAUGCCCAGUUCUUAAGAAGCUGCCACUGGAUUUUCAUGGGGCGGGCCAAGGUAAAAUUCUUAUCAAGGGAAAGGAAGAUUGGUGGAAAGAACUUCAAUGGGAGGAUCAAGCAACUCAGAAUGCAUUGCUUCCAUUUUUCAAAUCAACUGACAAGUGAUUGAAGGGGGCAUCAUCAACAGAGAUGGAGAGAUUCUGGAGCAGAUCAGCAGGGUUUGUAUAUGAUCUUUGGUGGUUGCUUUCUUUUGUGAUUUUUUUUUUCUCAUUUUUUUACCUUCCUGUCAUUUUAUCAUUUCUUUGUCUCUUUUUCUAUUGCUGAUGUUAGUGUAUGCUUACUGUUGCUUGACAAAGUUUGCUUGCUUCUUGUUUAUUAAAUUUUUUAUGGUCACAAAAUAUUACUUGUUCUAUUUGAGAGUGAUGUGAAUCAAUUUUCAAUUAUAUAUUUUUUGGUCAAUGUGAAUUCAAUUUCAUUUGUCUCCUGCAAUUAUUAAAAAAAUGCAGUCUCAUAAUAUGGAAAAGUCGACCGGCAAAAAUUUUGUGAAAGCUUCGGAGUGAAACAGGGAAUUCACUUACUACUAAGGACAAUUGGUGGCGAGCUAUUCCAUUCAUUUUAUGUCCCUACAUCUAUUUAAUUAUUAAAGAUAAGUGGUCCAUUUGUAAAUUUCAGAUUGUGUCUCUCUGAAAAUAACAAUAUUUAAAAUGUCUCUUAAAUUAUUAUAAAUUUUAAUUCACUCUCGAUUUAAAAUGGAACAUGCUGAUGAAAAUUUUUUUCUUCUCAAUAUUCAAUAAAAUUGAAAUAAAUUGUGUUUGCAGUAUUUUGAAAUAUUUUAAAGAUUAUUAUUUUAUAAGAGAGUAAUAUGAAAUGAAAUUUACUCUUCAUGCGUGAAAUGUUGAAAAGGACAAAGGAAAGUGUCACUGCUUUUAUUUUAUUUCAAAGUGGAGUCAUCUCACAUACUUUACCUCUAUCAUUACAAUUUUUCACGUUACAUUUUGAUUUAUUUAUUUCUUUUAACACAUGCAUGUGGGUUACUUUUCCGUAAGCUCCUUAAUAUAUGUUUAACACAAAUCAUGGAAGAGAUGGGAGUAUAUCAAGAUGAUCAAAGCAUGAGACAAAAAUAUUUAAGAAGUAAAACACUGAAAAUAGAGGAGAGAUGCAAGCAAAAGAUAUUCCAAAGAAAAGCAAUCUAUCCCCUUUCGAGGGCAAACUUAAUCAGGUUUAAGAAAAGUACAUGUUUUGGAUUGGUAGUUGCAGCCUUGCAGGAUAAUUGUUUUUGCCAUUAUAUUAGUUGGAGGAGUUGAACCCAGCGAAGAAUGUUAUGGAAGAGCAAAUUAAUGAUAUUUCUGAUAGAGUCUAUUUGAUUAUGUAGCCUGAAUGGAUGUCUUGUUGAAAGAUAUCUCAGUGCAUUAGUUCAUCCUUGUCUGUCAAUGUGUUUUUAAUGGUUUUUCCAAUUGUUUAUUAUUAUAGAUUGAUUGUAAAUUUAUAUGAAAAUUUGAUAUGAAUUUAAUGUUGAAAUGUUUUCUCUUUAGUGGAAUGAAUUUAAAUUGAUUGAUUGUAAAUUGAUAUGAAUUUAAUGUUGCAAUGUUUUCUCUUUAGUGAAAUGAACUUAAAAGUGUAAAAGAUUAUUGCACACAUAGAAAUAAACAUAUAUGCUUUAUAGUAUAACUUUAGCAAUCGAUUCUUUUACGGCUGGAAACAGAGAUGAUGAUUAUCAUAGGGGUGAAGAAAAGGACAAAAAAUAUUAAUAAAUGAUCUUAAUGUUCCACAAAAGCAAAUCGUAAUAUUCCACAAGAAAAAGCAAGAUCUUAAUGUUCCACAAAAGCGUUAUUUAUUUUUUUUGGUGAGCCACGUGGAGCUCAAUUAUCAUUGUCUUUACUUUAAAAACGUUAUUUUAUUUUAUUUUCUUACAAAUUAAUGCUAACAAGAAAAAGCAAGAUAUAAUAUUCCACAAAAGCAAAUCGUAAUAUUCCACAGAGGAAUAAGAUCCACAAAAGCAAACAACUAGCUGGAUUCUUUUAUUAAACUACAAAUUAAAGUGGAAUCGUUUACUAAACAACAAAUUAAAGUUCAAAUAUUUAAAUAGUAGUGCGUUAGACGAUUAGGCUCUUUUAUUAAAGUCAAGUAUAAAGUAGUCCAGAAUCGAACAUCUCUAUUGUCUAGUCUUUUUUUUUUUUAAUUCUUCUUUUAUUAUUUUUCAGAAUAUGUUUUGGUGAUUACUAUUGGGUUAUUAUUCAGAGUUAUUGUUAUCUUCCGGGGCAGUUUCUGUUCAUCGAAAUCGUUAAUUAAAAUUUUAAAACUCUUAUCGGAAGAAUGUUUUUCCGUUAUUUUUUUAUAUUCUAAUUUCAAUUGUAAGAAGUAGUCAUUUUAGAAUUUGGGUCUUGAAUCGAAUUUCAAUGCAUGAAUUAAUAUUUUAAAAAAAUUUACUACAUGCAGUUUAGGUUACAAACUAUUUUUUGCAAAGUUGACUAUGAAAUUGGAGAAAUUAAGUAAUUUAUAAUGUUUGCAAAGAAAGAGACCAACAUACUUCCAAUUACACUAUAUCUCAAUUAUCAUAAUGUUAAGAUUAAACUAACUUAAAAUAAAAUUUAUUUAAAAAGUUUAUCAAACGCAGUCUAAUUUUAUUAACUUGAAGAGAUAAUAGUUAUAGAAAUUAUUAUUCUAACUUAAUUAGUAAAAGUGGUAUAAAGGUUAAGUGUGCACUAAAUCUAUUUAAAUUUUUUUCCAGUAUAACUAACAGAGGUCAUUACUAGAAUUAUAUUACUAGUCUAUUAGAUAGAAAAAAUUAUUUAUAUUGUUUUAUAUUUAUUAAAAAAAUUUAAAGUCAAUCUUUUUAAUUACUAUUUAAAGGAUAUUAUAAUUAAAAAAAUUUUAAUGUCUUCAUUAAAAAUUUAAAAUUUUAUAUGACCGUUAUCUAAAUAUUUAAAGUGUAACUGUCAUUUUCUCAUAUAUAUAUAUAAUUUCAUCAACCCCUUAUACUUUAUGUUAUUUAUAUUUUAUUCAUGAAUAUUAUAAAUUUUUUGAAAUAUAAAAUUUCGUUUAACCCUUUAUACUCAAUUUUAUUUUAUUAAAACCCUAGAGUAUGAAUUCGUCCCUAUAAUAUUAAAUUCUCAAAAUAACUUCCAUUUAAUUAAAAAAUAUAAUUAUUAUUAAAUGAAUUAUAAUUAUUAUUAUUAUGUUAUUAUAAUCAUAAAAAGCGAGAUCAUAUUCCACAAAAGCAUAAGUGACAAAACAACCAACUGGAUUCUUUUAUUAAUCAACAAAUUGUAUAGUCUUUUUCAAAUUGUUAUAAAUUGGUGGCCCCUACAAUCCUCAAUAAUUGUACCGAAAUUCACAAGUUGGUGGGCCCUACAAUUCUGUUCCGAUAAUUUAACUGUGCAAGUGCUCAUUCACAAUCUUCCAGGUCAUGCUCUUAACAAUUGUUUUUUCUUUUCUGCACGCCCUUUCAUGCUCUUAAUAAUUGAAGAGCAUACUUUUCAAAUGUGAAGCCGCAUCUAAUGUCGCUAAUUUAAUUUGGGAUUAAAUUACGGGACUAUUAUAUUGCAGUGUGCACUAAUUUUUAUGUUUAUCUAAACUCUUCAAAUUUAAAACAUAUUAUGGCAUAAAUAAGAAUGUAACAAUAACAAAAGAGUAAGAAAGUGUAGAGAAAAUCUUGCAGAAAUAUAAAUAAUAUUUAUUUUUAAAAUAAUAUUAAUAUUUAAAAUAAUUUUUAAUAUUUUAUGGUCCAUUAGAUAUAUUUUAUUAUAUUAAAAUAAAUUUUAUAAUAAAUAAAAACAUACUAUUAAAAUGAAUAUAUAUAGAAAAUUUAGAGUAUUUUAAGUAUUAUAUAAAAUAAUUUUAAUAAAAUAUGUGAGAUAUUCAUAUUUUAUUAAUUUAAGAUACCAUUUAACCUAAAGAUUUAUUUAUGAUAAAUUAAUAAUUAUAUUUUUGAAAUUACUUCAAAUAUUAAAAAAAUUAAUAUUACUAAUAUAUUAGAUAGAUUAAAUUAUAUAUAUUAUUUUUACUUAUUAAAAAAAUUUUAAAAUUAUUUUUAAUUACUAUUCAAAAAACGUAUUCAAAAAACAUAAUGAUAAAAAAAUCUUAACAUCUUUAUUAAAAAAUUAAAAACUUAUAUGAUAAAUUCUCUAAAUAUUUACGGUAUAUGUGAACCACGGUGGAUAAGCUUUAUUUAAUAUUAUUGAUUUAAAUAAUAUGUCAAUUAAAAAUGUACAGAGAAGAAAUUUCGGUGGGUAUUUUAGUCUUUUAAGCAAUUAUCAUGAUCAGAUCAGCCUUUAGCCUUCAAACGUCGGUCAGAAAAGUUUUAAAAUUAAUGCUAAAUUGUUUUUCACUUUUAACGUUGGUGGCCUUGAAAUUGCUUGUAUUUUAUUAAAAAUUAAUGCUAACAAGAAAAAGCUAGGUCAUAUUCCACAAAAUCAAAAGUGACAAAACAACCAGCUGGUUUCUUUUACUAAACUACAAAUUAAAAUAAAUUUUUUCGAUAAAUUACAAAUUAAAGUGGAUUCUUUUGAAUACAAAUGGGACAGACGAUUAGGCUCUUUUUAUUAGAGGCAAGUAAAAACUAGUCAAGAAUCGAACAGUCUUUUUCCAAUUCUUGUUUUAUUAUUUUUCAAAACUAGUUUUUGGUAAUUACAACCGGGUCAUUAAUCAUUAUUCAGAGUUACUGUUAUCUUCGGGGGCAGUGGGUAAAAGAUAAUUACUAACUGUUUUUCCUUCAAAAGUUAGCGGCUCAUGUUUGCAAGUGUGAAUGUGCGAUGCUCUUUUCUUAAAGGCCAUUACAGUGGGGCCCGAAUCAGACGUGCCUAAAUCUUUUUAAAAUUUUUGCCGUAUAACGAACAGAGGUCAUUACUAAAAUUUCUCUUCCACAGCCUACAGCAGCUUCAGUUUAUCAAACUCCAUCAAUUUUCUUUCUUAACAAAAUUCCAAAGAUGUGUAGCAUUUUUCAGAUCACAUGCGAUGGUGCUCUUUUCAAUCGUUGCUUGGAUUGCUUUCUUGGAAAAGCAGCAUACAUACGUAACCUCCAAGAUAAUCUUGAUGCCUUGGACACUGAACUGGGAAGACUAAUCGCUAAAAAGAACGAUGUGAUGAGGAGGGUUGUCGACGCUGAACGACAACAAAUGAGAAGGCUGGACGGAGUGCAAGUGUGGGUUUCGAGGGUGGAUGCUGUUAAAACUGGAGCCGAUGAACUUAUCACAGACGGCUCUGAAGAAAUUGGCAAAUUAUGUGUUGGAGGCUACUGUUCCAAGAACUGCAGGUCAAGCUACAAGUUCGGAAAACAAGUGGCUAAAAAGCUACAAGAUGUGAAGACUUUAAUCGCCGAGGGAGUUUUUGAGGCGGUGGCUACUGAGGUGGUGCCCGAGAGAGCUCCGGAACCUGUAGCAGAUAAAAGACCCAUUGAGCCAACAAUAGUAGGCUUGCAAUCACAGCUUGAACAAGUUUGGAGAUGUCUUGUAGAAGAAUCAGUGGGAAUCAUUGGCCUAUAUGGUAUGGGCGGUGUUGGUAAAACCACACUAUUGACCCGUAUCAACAAUAAAUUUCUUGAGAGUCAAAACAACUUUGAUUGUGUGAUUUGGGUCGUAGUUUCAAAAGACCUGCGGCUUGAAAAAAUUCAAGACGAUAUUGGGAAGAAGAUAGGUCUGUCUGAUGAUUCAUGGAAGAAUAAAAGUUUUGAAGAGAAAGCUGUGGACAUCCUGCGGAGAUUAGGAGAGAAGAGAUUUGUAUUGUUGUUAGAUGAUUUAUGGGAGCGGGUUGAUUUAACAAAAGUGGGCGUUCCACUUCCCAGCGCACAAAAUACUACCUCAAAAGUCGUAUUCACAACCCGUUCCAUUGGUGUUUGUGGCAGCAUGAGAGCUAGGCCGGUUAAAGUGGCAUGCCUAUCAGAAAAGCAAGCUUGGGAACUGUUCCGCGAAAAUGUUGGGGAAGAAACUCUUGAGAGUGAUCAUGAGAUCGUUGAGCUAGCCCAAACUGUGGCCAAAGAGUGUGGUGGUUUGCCACUCGCACUUAUUACUAUUGGUCGAGCUAUGGCCUUCAAAAAGACAGCCGAGGAGUGGAGUCAUGCAAUUGAUGUGCUAAGAACAUCAGCUUCUGAGUUUGCAGGUUUGGGAGAGAAGGUGUAUCGUCUUUUAAAGUUUAGCUAUGAUAGUUUGCAGAAUGAGACCAUUAGAUCUUGUUUCUUAUAUUGUUGUUUAUAUCCCGAGGAUUAUGGCAUUCUUAAAUGGGACUUGAUUGAUUGUUGGAUUGGUGAGGGAUUCUUGGAGGAAUCUGACAGGUUUAGUGCAGAAAACCAAGGAUACUACAUUGUGGGCACUCUUGUUCAUGCGUGUUUGCUAGAAGAGAUGGAAGAUGAUAAAGUAAAAAUGCAUGACGUUGUUCGUGAUAUGGCUCUAUGGAUAGCUUGUGAAAUUGAGAAGGAGAAGAGAAACUUUUUGGUUUGUGCAGGUGCUGGAUUAAAAGAGGCACCGGAUGUUAAAGGAUGGGAAAAUGUGAGAAGAUUGUCAUUGAUGCAAAACCAAAUUAAAACUCUGUCAGAGGUUCCCACAUGCCCUCAUCUCCAUACUUUAUUUCUUGCCUCUAAUAUGGAGUUGGAGAUGAUCGCGGAUGGCUUCUUCCAAUUUAUGCCUUCUCUCAAAGUUUUGAAGAUGUCACGCUGCUGGAAUUUUCAAUUACCUGUUGGGAUGUCAGAUUUGGGUUCAUCACUAGAACUUCUUGAUAUUUCACAUACCACCAUAAGAGAGUUACCCGAAGAGUUAAAGUUGCUGGUAAAUCUGAAAUGUUUGAAUUUGAGGUGGACAGGUGCGUUAAUUAGAAUUCCACGGGGACUAAUAUCAAAAUUUUCAAGGUUACGUGUGUUGAGAAUGUUGGGUACUGGCGGGUUCAUUUUUUAUGAAGCACCAGAAGACAGCGUUUUAUUUGGUGGGGGUGAAGUUUUGAUACAGGAAUUGCUCGGUUUGAAAUAUUUAGAGGUAUUGGAGUUGACCUUGGGAAGUUAUCAUGCUCUCCAAAUUCUUUUGAGCUCAAAUAAGUUAAAAAGUUGUAUUCGAUCUCUUUACCUCUAUUUGACCGGAGAUAAAAAGUCGAUUAUUGAUGCUACGGCUUUCACAGACCUAAACCACCUCAAUGAAUUAUGGAUUGAUAAUGGAAUUGAGUUGGAAGAAUUGAAGAUUGAUUAUACGGAGAUAGUACGAAAAAGGCGGGAACCUUUUGUUUUCCACAGCCUUCACCUUGUUACGAUAUAUAGUUGCCAUAAAUUGAAAGAUUCGACAUUCCUCGCUUUUGCUCCAAACCUCAAGUCUCUUUCGCUAUUCAAAUGCCGUGCUAUGGAAGAAAUAAUCAGCGUCGGAAAAAUUGCUGAGAAUCCUGAGAUGAUGGGACAUANNNNNNNNNNNNNNNNNNNNNNNNNNNNNNNNNNNNNNNNNNNNNNNNNNNNNNNNNNNNNNNNNNNNNNNNNNNNNNNNNNNNNNNNNNNNNNNNNNNNNNNNNNNNNNNNNNNNNNNNNNNNNNNNNNNNNNNNNNNNNNNNNNNNNNNNNNNNNNNNNNNNNNNNNNNNNNNNNNNNNNNNNNNNNNNNNNNNNNNNNNNNNNNNNNNNNNNNNNNNNNNNNNNNNNNNNNNNNNNNNNNNNNNNNNNNNNNNNNNNNNNNNNNNNNNNNNNNNNNNNNNNNNNNNNNNNNNNNNNNNNNNNNNNNNNNNNNNNNNNNNNNNNNNNNNNNNNNNNNNNNNNNNNNNNNNCACUGUUUUUAUUUCAGUCUCUCUCUCUCUCUUUGUCUCUGCUAAUCACAAUUAAAUGUGAAUUAAUGGAAUUAAUGCUUCAUAAAUUUGCCGGCACUGCCAUUACUUUUUUUUUUUUAAUACAAAUUGAUACUUUAUUUAUAUCUUCUUAGCGAUUUAAUUUCCUGUCAAUUGACGAACGAGAAGAACAUAUGACUUGAACCAAUGCUCGCAUAAACUUGCUGUAAAAAGAUAUAAUCUCACUGAAAUGCACACGCCUAGAAUGAAUAGAAUUAAAACAGGGAAAAUAUUAAGUAUAUUAGCCCUCUUUACCGAAAAUCAAAUGACAAUAAAUUUUUUGAAGUUUUGAUUUUCUAUGGUCAAUUCCACCUUUUGCAAUUUCUUCUGUUCUAACAAAAACCAAUUUCUUUGUUCAAGUAUUUUCGUUUGGGUAUUAAUAAUUCUCCACCGAAAGAGUGAACUCUUGCUCAAGGGAUCUCUAAUCAAUAGCCGGAAGGGCGCCGAGACCUGAUCGGACCUAGGCCCAAGUUUGGUCUUAAAGCCUGGGCUUGAGCCUGGCAAUUAAAUUAAAACAGUAAUUGAUUUCUUGAAUGAAUUGUCGUGUAAUUGAUUUAUGGGGGAUGACACAUCAACAUACUUGAAAAUACACUAAUCUCAGCAUCAUCCGUUAAUAACUUUUAGAUUUAUGGGCAAUCAAUAGUUAAAUUAGUUGUCAUUAAUACUAAAUAAUUUUUACUUUUUUUGUCUCUUCUAGAGGAUCUUCUAGAAAAAUGCAUCCACAAUUAAAUUUAAUACUUUACAUAAUAAAGAAAGCAUAAAUGUUAAAUUUAAGAAACUGCAUUGUAUUUCAGCUGAAGUUGACUUUAAUAUUUAGGGUAGAAAAAAAUUAAAUCCUUAAUGUGUUUAAUUUAUAUCACUUGUGUCAUUAAAAUUUUCUAGUCACCCUAACCAAUUACAUCUCAACCCACUUUUUUUUGGAUGAUUUUAUUUUUAUACUAUUAUUUUCAACAUUUUUUUUUCCUUUUAACACCAACAUUAGUGUAUGUUACGUAACAUAAUCCAUAUUUGGAUAAUUUGAAAUUUGUUUGUGUUUUAUCUCAAAAUAGAGCUUCAAUCAAUUUGUACCUCAUAAAUUCACAAUAUCUGGCAGGGCUAAUAAGACCAAACUCUGGCAUAUUAUCAAAUGUGCUUAUCCUUUUGCUUGACAUGUCAUUUUAAAAUUGUCAUUCAAUGCCAAAAAAAUCACAUCAACUGAUGGCCGACUACUUUAAUUUGAAAGCAUGCAUGCGAUCGCCACCAAUAAUUAUAACUUAAUUGUUAUAUUGAAAUUUUUUUCUUUAUAAUUUUUAAGUUUAAUACUGCUACAUGUGCGGCACAUAAGUUGGAAAAUAUAACAUAAAAUUUGAAAAAUGUGUAGUUUUCGUUCCUUUUUUUUCUUAAAAAUGGGGAAAAAGAAUGUAAUUUUGUUUAAAUUACUGUUGUGAUAACAAUUAUUAUUUUAUUGAUUAAUUGGCAGAGAAUCGUUAUGGUUUCGCAUGGUUGUUAAAACAUUGGAAAAUCCACUACAUCAUCCGAUAAUAACUUUCAGAUUUAUGGUUAAUCAAUAGUUGAGAUUUGUUAUCAUUAAUGUUAAAUAUUUUUUUAAUAUUUUUUCUCUCUCCUAGAGGAUCAUCCACAGUUAAAAUUUAAUAUUAUAAAUAGUAAACAAAGUAUAAACGUUAAAUCGAAGAAACUGCAUUGCAUUUCAGCUGAAGCUAACUUUAAUAUUUAACAGAGAAAAGUAAUUAAGUCCUUAAUGUGCUUUAUUUACCCAUAUAUAUGGCUAAUUUUUUAAGAUAAAGGGGAAGGAUGAUGCUCAAAAAUAUAAAUUAUAGAAUUAAUUGAGCUCUCAAGUAAGUUUAAAGUUCAUUAUUUUUAAUUACAUGUUUAUAAUUUAUUUUUAUUUCGUAUUAAUCUAUAGAUCUAAAUCCACUUUGGAUUCAUAUACAUAUAUAGACAUAAUGUGUAUGUUAAUCUAUAGGUCUAAAUUCACUUUAGGUCUAUAUAGGUAUUUUGACAAAUGUACUCCAAUCAUAUUGGCAAGUUCUAACUACUAUAUUGGUAUGUCAAUAUUAUCUCUAAUUGCCCUAUACAUUCAGAAAUAAUCUAGAUAUACAAAUUAACAUAAAAUAAAAAUAAUUGGUAGAAAAUAUAAAUUAUAAACAUGUAAUUGAAAACGAUAAACUUUAAAUUUACUUAAGAGAGUAAUUAAUUUCAUAGUUAAAAUCUUUAAAUUUUACCCCUCAUCUUAACUUAAGAAAAUUAAUCACUUAUUUUAUUUAACAAAGAAGAGAUUUUUUUCCCCUAUAUUUCCCAAUUAUUUCUCUCCCUCUCGCUCCCGUAAGUUAUACAACUUGAAGUGAAAUAUGAGUGGUCUGAUUCUAGCUUAAAUAAUUUAUUGUGACAUGCUAUCUAAGGACAAUACAUUACCUAGCUCUACAUAUUUUAUUUAACCUCCGGCUCACCCUGUGCAAACUUGCCUUCCCCUACAAGACAAGAUUAAUCAAUCUAUCAAGUCUCAAAUUCAAUUUGGAAUAUGACCAUCGUACGUUCUUGUUCUUCCCUCUUUACGAGUGCAUUCCCCCCAACCUCAAGCUCCCUCUCUCGUCUUCAAUGUCACUGCCUAUAUCCUUGUGUUGUUCUAGUUUGAAAUAGUGGCUUCCACAAUUUCAGGGCCCCCAAAAAUCCAGAAACAUAGUAUUCAUCACGAUGACAAAUUUUUUGGCAGGCAGGUGCUUCCUGACUUUCACACGGUAAUUCUCAAAUUCUGAUUUCACCAUAUUUUAAUUACUGAUUAGCAUAUAUUCAAGUGCUCUCCAUUAUAAUAGAAGCCGCCGCCUCACUCGUGAUUCCAAACUUUAUCUUUUUUCCUUUUUUAAAUUAAUGCAAGUAGCCGCUGUCCUUUUUAUUAAUUAAUUAAUUAAUUCGGCCGCCCACAUUUCUUUUCCUAAUGUCUUCUACUGUCGAUUUUCUUUUAUUUUCUUUUUAUUCUUAAAAUAUGCUUAUAAUAAUAAAAUAUAAAAAUUAAAAUUAACAUAUCAAAAUAUAAUUUAACAGAAAAUUAAGAUAAAAAUAAAAAAAAUAAAUUAUGAGCAUAUCAAUCAAUAAAUGAAAAAUAAUAAUUUUUAUUUUUAUUAAAUAUAUAUUUUUCAGUAUUAAUCAAUUAUUUGAAUAAAUAAAAUCAUUUAAAAAUAAAUAAAUAAAUUAUUCUUAAAAAAAAAGAAACUUUUUAUAACACUCACUAUGCUGGUUGUAGGGUAGACGCUUUGGGAACUGAAGCCGGUAACUUCUACAAGUAGUCUGAAGUUGACUGGCAACAACUAUAUUGACAUUUAGACAUAAUGUACUCCAACCGUAUUGGUAUGUUUAAAUGUUCUUACUAUUGUAUUGGUGUGUCAAUAUUAUCUCUAACUGCCCUAUAGAUAAAAAAAUAAUCUAAAUUUAUAAUUUAACAUAAAAUAAAAUAAUUGGUAGAAAAAUAAUUAUGGUUCAUUUACUUAUCAGUAAUCAGAAUAGACUAAAAUCGAAAUGAGUUGUAUUACCGUUGAUGUGUUUAUGUUGUCCUGGAAUCGGAAUGAAUUAUUUUAAGUUACUAAAAUAUCCUUGGUUUGUUAUUCUAAUUAUUAUUUAAUAUUUAUUAUAAUAUUUGUCAUAUCAUUAAAAAGAAAUAAUAAUGAUGAUAAUAUUAUCAUUAUUGUUUGUUACAUUAUUAUUAUUCAAAAAAAUUAUUGUUAAUAAUAAUAAUUUUUUUAUUUCAAUAAUAAUAAUGAUAAAAUUAAUAAUAAAAAACAUGACAACAACAAUAAUUAUUUAUUAUGCCAAAAAAUAACAAUAAUAAUAAGAAUAAUAAUCAUCAUCAUUUUUUUGCCAAAGAAAUCAUCAAACCAGACAAGAAAUCAUCAAAAAUUGCUAUUUCAAUUUAGGAAGAAGUUCUUUCGGUGUGCUAGCGAUGGGAGAUGUUGUGGCUGCGAUUCGGGGAGCUAAUAGUUUAUUGCACUAAUAACGGCAGGUGCUGCUGCUUGAUGCGAGGUCCAUGGCCAGUUGUCAGCAGUUCGACUUUGGCAUGGGCGCUGCUGGUUCGAUUUUAGGUGUUGUCUAAUUUCAUUUUCAGGAUUUUAAUUUUAUUUUUUUCUUUUAUAUUUUCAUUAAUUAAUCAGGGCAAAGUUUGAUUUUAGAAUUUGGAAUGAAGGUAAUUUUGUUAAUCAUGGAAAUGAGAUUUUGAUUGUCGAGAAUGAACUUACACAAGCAACUGCAAAUUAAGUGAAAACAAAACGCUUUUUCUCUUUGUGUGAUUAAAACAUGAAAUAUACCAUAAAUAAAUAGGUAAAAAUUAAAUCAACACAAUCCAAAACAGUAAACCAAUUAUAAGAGGCACAAAUUUUUAUGUGAAAUACCGAAAACGGAAAAAACCACAACAUGUUAGUAUGAUAUAAUCUUCUACUAUAUUAAUGGGAUUAUAACACAAAUUCUUCCCUAUAUUACACUAGAGAUUAACAACAUCAAGAAUCUCAAUAAUCUUAACUUACAAUACAACCUAAUAUAUGUCUCUCUAAUAAAUAGAUAUCUAAAAUAACAAUCUCUAAUAAGUAAGUAUCUCAAAUAACAGUCUCUAAUAAGUAGGUAUCUCAAAUAAUAGUUAAUAAGAGGAUAAAACAAAAAUUAAGAUUAGUAGGAUGUGUAUAAGGCGAUGCUAUCAACUUAUCUUCUAAAUUUGAGAAAAAUAGUUAAAUUCACUUUUUUGAUUGUCCGACCAAAGAUGGAAACCUUGCCCCAAAACCAAAGGAGUCACCAUUGUGUUUCUCUCUCUCUCUCUCUCUCUCGUUCUUUUCUUCUACUUUUCUUAAUGUUAGCCGCCACUUGCUUUUAUUCUUUAUAGCAUUUAAAAAGUUACUUUUAAUGGUAAAUUUCAUCUAAGUCCAAAACUUAGUGAUAAUUGCACACUAAACAAUCCUUUUUGGACUAUAGACUUUUGGACCUCCAAAUGAGACGAAUACAACAAAUCUCCCCUUUUAGAUCAUGUAGGAGGCACCACAAGCCCACUCUCUGCAUAUAGCUUUUUAACUUCUCCUUGAAUAAUGACUUUGUCAUCAUACAUAACUCAUUCUCCGUUGUGUAAAUCUUCUCAAGCUAUAACCGUUCUUUCUCAAACACGUCUCGUAUCUAAUAAUACUUCACAUCAAUUUGCUUAGAUUUCGAAUGAUAUAUCAAAUUCUUUGAACGACACUCUGAUUUUCGCAGUACAUAAUAUAGUUGUCUCAUUUUAUACCUAGCUCUUGUAGGAAAUUCUUCGUCCACAGUAUUUUUUUGCAACCUUCAAUAAUUGUAAUAUCAUUUGCUUUAGUAGUAGAAAAGACAACUUAUUACUAAAGUUUAGAUUACGAUGAGACUGCUCCUCCUGCAAAAGUGAGCAAACAUUCUAGUAGGAAUUUUUCGGAAUCAACAUCUCCUACCAUAUCUAUACACUUGUAACACAGGUUUGUCACCACCAAAAUAUAAACAUGCUCUGGAAAUGCCUCUAAGAUAUCUGAGAAUUUUUCACUAUUGUCCAGUGCUCUUUACCGGGAUUGAAGAGAAACCACUAACUACACUAGUUGUAUAAGUAAUAUCUGGUCUUGUACAAAUUAUGGCGCACACCAAACUGCCAACUGCUGAAGCAUAAGGAACUCCUCUCAUGGAGAAAUGGGUUUUGCUCUUGAGAUUUUUGGGAACAUGAAGAAUAAAUAUGUAAUUUCUUGGACUGCCAUUGUUUCGAGGUAUAUAAACAGAGGACAAGUCUAUAUAGGUCGACAGUGGUUUGCUCAGAUGCCAGAACGAGAUUAUGUCUUAUGGACUGCCAUGAUUGAUGGGUACCUUCGAGUGAAUAGGUUCAAAGAGGCUUUGACGCUUUUUCAGGAGAUGCAAACUUCAAAUAUAAUGGGAGACGAGUUUACCAUUGUUAGCAUUCUUACAGCUCGUGCGAAUCUGGAAGCACUAGAUCUGGGAGAAUGGAUAAAGACUUAUGUUGAGUGUUAGAAAAUGCAUAUUUAUAAAGGAGAAAACCAUCAUUUUACAUUUCAAGUCUUACUAACAACCCUUACUUUUAUGUAUUUAACCUUCUUGUGAUUUAAUUACAUGUGUUUUAUUUUAAUUAAGUAUUUUAUGUAUUUUAGGGACAUUAUAGUCAUUUCACAAUAAAGGAGAGAUCAGACGGCAAAACAGACAUCACUUUUGAACUCAGGACGGUCAAAAACCUUAGGAGGAGCAUAAAAGGAAAAAUGGCACUAUUCACAUGUACGGUACUAUUCACGUGUACGGUACUGUCCACGUUACUGUUCACGAUACUGUUCACAUAGACAGAUCGAUGACGUGGCAUUGACUGAUGAGGUGUCACGAUCCUGUUGGGCUAAAAUUCUUAUGUACUGUUGAUGGUGACGUGGCAGCAUAUCAAUGGACGAAAAAUCUCGCAUACAGUACAUGCAUCACACAGGAUUAUUGUCAACCAAAUCGCGUUACUGUUCAUCCGGGUCAAACCGUGUUACUGUUCAUCCACGUAGUCAAACCGCGUACUGUUGACUGAUGACGUGGCGCAAUCCUGAGCGUCCAAACUGUUUUUAAUCCGAUGGCCAUGAUUUACUCCAUGUAUCUAUAAAAAGGGGGCCUCCCCCCCUAAUUUGACAACUCUGAAUCUAUUUUGGGAUCCAUUUUCUAUAAUUCCCUCUCCAUCUUGUAUUUUCUACGUAUUUUAAUAAAUUUCCAUUUUACCCUUAGUUCAAUUAUGAGUGGCUAAUUUCCUUUCAAGCUUGGGUUGAAGGUGAAGUCUCAACAUGUGUCAUGGGCUUUAUUUGGUAAAUUUAUUUUCUUUUCCCCUCUAGUUUUUGUGGAUGAUUUGACUUUUCGUCGACAAAUAAUAUUGAUCUUGUCUAGAUACCACCUUGGUUACACCGGCUCUCUAGUACAAGGUUAUUAUUAUUUGGCACGAUAAGCCCUUAGCACCAUAUUGAUUAGAGCGUGGUUCAUGAGGUGUGGAUUCCCCCCUCAUGAUUUAAUUGGCAUUAAUAAGGAUUAUAUAGCCCAUGAUGCAUGUUGAUACGGAUCUGGAUACCCAAGUGCUUCAUUUCAAUAGAUCUAUCUUCAAUUUCUUCUCGCCAUUUUAAUUUAAGUUUUAGAAUAUUCCAAAUCAUUUCCACCACAAAUCCAAUCCCCGAUUCACAAAAUUAAUUCUAUACACAAUUAAAAUCCACAUCCUCGUGGGAUCGACACUCGUCACCAUUAGUCUAUACUACAAUAGAUUCGUGCGCUUGCGAGUACAUUAAAAUUUACACAACAACUUAUAUUGACAAAAACAAAGUCAAGAAUGAUGUAUUUGCGGGGAAUGCUUUGAUAGACAUGUACUGUAAAUGCCGAGAUGUUGAGAAAGCUCAAAAGGUAUUCAGGAAGAUGCUUUGAAAGGACAAAUUCUCAUGGACGACCAUGAUUGUUGGCCUUGCCAUCAGUGGCAAUGGUGAUAAAGCUCUUGAUAUGUUUUCCCAAAUGCUUAGGGCUUCGAUCAAACCGGAUGAGGUAGCUUAUGUUGGUGUUCUGUCUGCCUGUACUAACAAUGGUAACGAAACUUUUGUGAUAAAUAGUUGCAACUUAAGGUGAGAAUUGGAGGAAAGGAAAUAGACUGAAGUUGUUCAAUCAUCGGUCGUCUCUAUUUGGUUUUCUCCGAUAUCUCAUCUUCAGUUUUGACUCAGAUUCUAUCUUACCACUUAGGGGUGGGCAAAAUCGGGUUCGGGUCAACCCGAUCGGGUUUCGGGUUGUUCGGGUUAGACAAGGAACAAUCCGAACAUAACCCGAAUUAAUGACCCGACCCGAACUUAGUUCGGGUCGGGUCAUUAAUUCGGGUUAUGUUCGGGUUGGAUUUAAAAUGGGUAGGAUUGAGUUCGGGUCAAUUUGGGUUAGUUCGGGUCAAUUCGGGUCAGUUCGGGUCAAUUCGGGUCAAUUCGGGUCGGUUGAAAUCGGGUCAGUUCGGGUCAAUUCAGGUCAGUUCGGGUCGGUUGAAAUCAGGUCAAUUCAAGUCAGUACGUUUUUUUUUUUUAAGAACCCGAUCGGGUAUUCGGGUCGGGUCGGGUUUGACCCGAACCGAUCACAACCCGAUCGGGUUUGUAAAUUUCAAACCGAUCGGGUUUCGAUCCCGACCCGAUCCGACCCGAACCCGAAAUUUAUCGGGUCGGGUCGGGUCGGGUAAAAUGCCCACCCCUAUUAAUACCACUAGUAAUUACAUAGACUUGCUGCCAAAGGUAAGAAUGAGAAUAAAUUAAAUAGAUUAUGUCGAAAACGAAAUAAAUUUACCAUUGUUCUGUUCAUUCUAUUUGUUUCCUACAGAAUAUUUCUCCAGCCUAAAAUUUUUUGAAUUAGUAAGUUUUUAUCUUAUGCAAGAAUUGUGCUGAGAGUAAUUCCAUUUCUCAGUCUCUUUAUGUUUCAAUGAAGACGUAAAACUUGUGUUCUAGUGCACCAAUGUUUAUGCUUCUUACAAUUUGACUUUAAUUUAGUUUGUAAAACUUUUGUCAAAAAGUACUAAAAAGUAGUGCACCAAACACAAACUUUAUUACAGAGAGGACUUCAGUUAAAUUUUAAGAAAACACUCAAAAGAACGAGUUAUAAAUUAUUAUCGAAAUAUUUCACAUAAAUAAAAGCCAUCCCAUGCUGCAAAGAUCUUGCUAUAAUCACCAAAAACUAUCGGGAGCUUUUAGGGUUUCCAUAAAAAUGUCAUUUCGUUCCAAAAGUCAAUGGUGGGUAGAAAGUGGUGCAAAUGAGACUCAUUGUUAAUGGUAUAAGUUUUUGCUUAAUUAUGUCUUCCCCAAAAUGAUGAUUUAAUUUCCAUUCUCAAUUAAUUUUCAAGUUUCAACACUUUUCUAUGUAGCAUGACAUUGGAAAGAUCUUGUACAGUUGUACUACUAAAAGCUAGCACCACACGUUAGUUAUUGUUAAGUUCUUUUUCAACGUGAAAUAAAGGAAGUAGUCCUUCGUUAAAACCAUUAUAGCCAAAUUUCACGUAAUUGGACAUUUACAGACUUUUAUUUCAAGUUGGAUUUUGGUCCAACAUUUCAAAGUUGGCCCAAUUAUUUUUGUCUGGUCAAGUCCUUCGCAGCUAAGCCCCUCAAUGAAUGAGGGUGAGAUUGCUAAAAAUUACGACAGGUGAUAUUUUAUUAUUAUUAUUUGUUUGAGGGAAAAAAUAGGAAAAGCAAUAGAGCGCCACGUGUCAACCAAUGGAAUGAUUCCUGCACAAUCUAAGGUACCCCACACAAUCCGAGGUACCCCAUAUAAUAUGAGGUACCCCACACAAAUAGGGGUACCCCGCGUAAUAGGAGGUACCCCAUGUAACUCGAGGUACUCGGCAAAGCGGAUGCAAGAGAAUCCUCCGAAAAUAUCCGCCAUGAGAAACGUCUCCGCCUCCUAAAAGAUAUUAUUCAAUUUUGUCAGAAUUAUGAAUAAAAAACGACGCCCUAAAAGGAGGGACAGUCGCCUGCGACCUCUGCCAAAAGUGAAGGACACUGUCCCAAGGACAGUGGUCCCCAACGCCUACCCGACAGCUACUGCAAAGGUACCCUGGACCACUCUCCAGCGCGCGCCACGUUUCCAAAAGAUGAGAUACGCCGCGAACGUGCAGAUAACUGCCCAAAAAUUAUAAAGAGGUAAAAGGACGUUAGUAAAAAAGGGUAUGCCAUGUGGCAGCUGAGGUACUCCAUAUAUAAAGGCGCCUAGGUUUCAUUCUCCAUCAUGUUCUCACUCACCAUUAACACUCGCACUCCAAAAAAUAGGUUUUCUUCAACCUUAAACCCUAAUUUACAGAGGGUUAGUCAGCUCUCUUUACCAUAAAAGCUUGAGUUUGCUAACUUGAGCGUCGAAGUGUGAACGCCGGGGUACCCCGGCUUCACCUCUAACCUCUAUUUCACUGUUUUGCAGGCGUGAAGCUCAUUUGGAAGGACACAUCUCUUAGUUCUAAACCUUUCACCAUUGUUACCACUCUCUCUCCCUUUCUCACCUCCCCUGGAUUUCAGAUACACCACACCGCACACAAUAAACUAGUGAGGUACCCCGUCUCCCAUAAAAAUACAAAUUCAUUGUUCUAGAUAGAUUUGGCUUUUUUUACCCCAAAAUCUGUUGAAAACACUAUUUUUAAUUUUGGGGGAUAAAUCCUCACCAAAGUGAGGAGAUUUUAUCAAAAUCAAAAUAAAAAUAUAACAAGAACUGAAAGUCGGGCAGCCUAAAAGCUAGAUGAACUAAAAGUCAGGCGCCUAAAAACAACCUUAUGCAAAAGAGAAGCAACAUGAGACCGAUCAAGUAAAAGAAUCCACCGCAACACCUAAAUUGGCCAAAUUAUCUGUUGGUAUUACAAGUUUCUUGUUAUAAAAGUGUAGAAUGAAGUAGGUGACAGUAGUUUUAAGUUACAGCUGCAUGCCUAAUCGCAAUAUCAAAUAAUGAUUAAAUAUCAAAUAAUGCUUAAAGUAGUUGCCUAGGCCCGCCACAAUUUAUAUUAACUCUUAAAUUUAUAAAUAAUUAAAUUUUUAAAAGUUUGGAUUUAUAUUAAAAAAUCUUCAUAUAAAUAAAUAAUAUAUGCACUUUUACAACACAGUCUUUAAAUUUAAAUUUUUCUAGAAAAAUCUUCUGUAUAUCUUUUCUAUUAAAAAAUUUCCAUAUAAAUAAAUAAUAUACCUAAUUUAAUUGGACCCAGCACAUCGCAUAUGCAUAGAACACAUUCCACAAAGCCAUGCUAUUCGGAAAUUGACGAAUGAAAAGUGAGGAGGCAGCAGUCAAUGCUAUUUGGGCUUGGCCCAAAAUUGAUUUAUCAGGUUGACGUUUGCCAGGAAUGAAGAACUGGAAUAUCACCGUCAAGCAAGCAACCUGUGGAGCAAUACCAUAGAAUGCACAAUCCAGCUUUGCAAGGUGACACUGGAGGCUUUUUGAAAAGUGCUUCACGCUCACUUGCACAGAUUGAGCAUCCCCUCUGGAUAUUGCCCUCUCUGAUCGAGUCUGAGCACUCAAAUUUCGGUCCUCAGAUGGAGCUACAGCUUUCUCUCCAAUAACCAACAAUUUUCUAAACUCAGCACCUAGUGUGAUCAGAGUUGUUGAUAUUUGUAAAUGGAGAUCCCUGUAUUUGCAAAUGGAGACAUUUACCAAAUCACCAACAUGCUUCAUCCAGUCUACGAAAUUCUGCAGCUGAUUCAAAUCCGGAACCUGAACCAGAGUCGGAGGUAAAUCUUGAGCCAUGUCUAAAGCAGUCUGAAGUUCAAGUACUUGAGCCCUUGACAAAGGUUUUGAAAUUGGAACAUCUUGGAUUACUGCAGACUUGUACCCCUUGGUUUCAAAGGUAAGGAAAGGCAUUGCUUGAGUACAAUUUGGAGGCAGCUUCUUCACCAAUUUUAUUUGGAGGCAAUUGGCAGCGGAUCCAGCUGCACCAAUUUCAGAGCAAAUACUGACACUACUUCAAACAGCACGCUGAAGAAGAGAUAUGUCUAUGGCAAAGGCAAUGCAGUCCUCAAUUUGACUUGAGAUGCGGUAAUCACCAAAGAGAGUUUCCUUAUGAAACUGGGCAACACAUUGAAUCCCUUCACCACUGAGAAGGUUGGGGAGGAAGUAAGCUUUCUCUCUCGUAAGGAAGAGGUGGCAUACCUUCCCCAUUUUGUCUAGGACAGGUAGGAAUCUUUUUUCUAAGAGAUUUACUCCAUUCUCUGUGAGAAAUGCUUUGAACUUCAUCCCUCUGUCUCUAGCCUCACUUAUCAGUAAAAUAGUUGAAAGCGCUACAAGGAGAGAAAAGAAGAGUAUUAAGAUAUAUAUAGACAAGAAAAACAUUAGAUGUCGAUCUUACAAGCUAAUACUUCAAACAGUAUCCUAGAAAGCUAAAAACUGCAAAAUGGCUUGAAAUUUGAAAAGAACACAUGCUUUUCCUCCUUAACUUGAGAAAAUGUUUAAUAUAGUGCACCUUACAGAAACAUUUAAACAAUUAGAACUUUGCACAAAAACAUUCAAGAAGACUAAACAAAUCAGAUGCAGUGUAUUUCUCCAAGCACAAAUGGCAUUGCAUUUUUUCCUCAACUGUAAUAUUUAUUGAUGAAAAUCAGUACAGGUCCCUCAUUUGUUAUGGAAAGCUUUCUUGUAGUCUGACCGGUUAAUUCACGGGUCUAUAAUCAUCUUGCAAAGUUACAGGCAUUUCUUUCGAUUUAAAGUCUUUGCAUCACCACCUCAUCACACACCAAGCCAAUAUUCCGUCUACCUCUACAACAAAAAGUUUUAAGUAAACGAUCCUAAUGCAUGCAGCCAAAUAAAAUGCAGUAAGAAUAUUCAACUUAAAACUCUGAAAGCCAUCUUGGUGAAUUGCCUCCUUAGGGGAAGUUCCAUGCUUUACUAUACUUGACAGGACUGAGCAAAAGCUUACAUACAACAGAUUUUGAAAAUGAUGAUGCCAAUAGAUACUCAUACAAUCCAUUGAAACUCCUAAGGUCCAUUGUUCACAGAGGUUUACAGAGUUUUGGUCAUCAAAUAGCUCAGACCUUAAUCCCAAACAAAAAACGAGUGAAAAUUAGAUCACCAGCAGCUAAUUGUAAAUUCUAACUUAACUCUUCAUCUCCUUUGUAAACAGGAGACAAAAUGGAGACACGCAAAAUGAAUAAGGAGAACAUUUGAACUCAAAUGAAAUGAGGGCACGAAAGCAAACAAAUGGCAUGCGCAAACAAACCAAGCCUCAAUCAAAAACUAAUUAACCAUUAAAAAAAAAAAAGUGGUCAGAGAAUGAACUCCAAAUUCGGGAGUGAAGCAAGAAGCUUUCAUUAUUUCAGAAGCUCCUGUACAAAUUAAUAAGUUAUGCUCUUUGGAAACAAACCUAAAUUCCAAGAGAAAGAGAACUCAAAAAAUUUGCAAUUAUACGCAAAGGAAGUGAAGCACAGCAUUCUAUCACACGUACAAAUUGUAUAACAAGAGAUCGACACAUCGAAUCAGAAGAACUCAAUUCAAAUUUGUCUCAAAAAUCAAAAUUAGAAGAUUUCACAUUUCGAGAGGAACAAGCGACAGGUCAGAUGCAAAAUUUUCAGCCACAACAUGCCACAAUUAACAGUUUAUUUCCAUGGAUUUAGAGAGCUGACUGACCUUUUGGCUUUUGGAAUUGAGAAGAUCGCGGGCCAAAAUGGAAGAGGGAAAGCGAAAGUGCGGGUUUUAAUAGGGUAUUGGAUUAGCAAAUUUAAUUAGUUUGCGAGGGUAAAAUAGGAAAGAGAUAUCACUAUUAACUUUUUUUUUUAUAAGAAAAAAGAAUAAUAAAGAAUAUUUUAUUGUCAUUUGCAGCCUGCAAAUGACAAUAAAUCAAAUACGUCAUACAGAAGCUUAAAGCUGAAUCUAAAAAAUCUAGAGCUCUCAACUACAAAAAUUACACUUGAUGAUCCUCUACAAGAUGAAGCUUGUUCAAUAUCUUAUCCAAAGUUUAUAAAGUAACCUUGUAACGAUCUUGAGAUUGCCUGCCUUCCUCGACGACCUGCACGAUGCGUUUGUACAAAUCAUCAUACCUGUGCACCGGAUUUUUAAUAUCAACGCCACUGCAGCUGUGAUCAAGAACAUAAGAGCGUUUAACAUCUUUUCUCCAUCGAGAAAGAAUGUAGUGAGAUGGGAUCUCCUGCAUGCCACUCUGGUUUAGAACACAAAGAAUGUGUCUGGAUAAAUAUCCUCUGAAAUUGAACAACCCACAAACACAAAGCACCUCCAAGUCGGAGGCAUUGUACAAAACAUCGAAAGCCCUUGAAUCUUUCUCGUUGCUACCAACCUCAAAUUCUUCCUUCACUAUGUAUGUUAUAGGUCCAUCAGCACUGACAUGUUUUGUGCUAUAGCAAGAGUACAUAGCCUCCACCUCCGUCUGAAACUUCCUUCACAUUUCAUUUGUGUACAGUUUUGAGAGUUGAAAUUCAUAGUCACAUCUUGGUUUCUGGAUACAACUUGAAUUUCUUGAAUCCAUAUCUGCCAAGGCUUCCGGUUGAUAAUUCGCCUGCAGUGCUUGAUCAUACUUGUGUAAGAAUUCUUUCAAAGGAGUACGCUUAUCAAGAUAUCCUUCAAAGUAUGAAGUAGAAACCUCAUUCUGCAGGAAUGAAAACACUCCUGAUAAAAAUGCUUCCUUCAAAUAAACAGGAGCCCACCUUUUACGAUCUUCAUAUAAAGUUUGAAUCCAUCCGUGAUCCUUUAUUCCAUGACGUUGAAUCAUGUCUUCCCAAGCUGCUUCAAAUUCCUCAGGCCUGAGAGAGUGAUAAAUUGCUCUAUGUAAUGCACCUCUAAUAGCUUCAUAUUCAAACAAUCCUUGGAGUUUCUCUGGAAUUUUUUGCAAGAUGCAUGACAAUGAAAAGCAAUGAUAAGCUCUUGGGAAAACAUCGCCAACAGCAAUUUGCAAGAUUCUACAUUGGUCAGUGAUGAUUGUUUGUGGAGAGCGUCCUAACAUACAUGUAAGCCACACCCUAAACAACCAUGUAUAUGAUUCUAUGGUCUCCCUGGCAAGUAAACCACAACCCAACAACACUGAUUGUCCAUGAUGAUUCACCCCAAUGAAUGAAACCAGUGGUACAUCAUAUCUUUCAGUCAAGCACGUAGUAUCAAUUAAGACUACAUCACCAAAGUACCUAUAUGCAACUCUUGACCUGGUAUCAGUCCAGAACAGGUUUCUCAAGCAUCCCUUUUCAUUUAGAUCCACUACAUUAAAAAAGUUUGGAUCUGUCAACUGCAAACGACAAAAGAAACUCUGGACAGCUUGUGCAUCUCCUGGUUUAAGCUUCAAUUGAUUUGAGCUAUUAACAUUAUUUCCAAAUACUCCAUUAACAUCUACAUUACCAUUUCCCUCGGUAUCGAUGAUAAGAGUUCGAAACAGUCUAAUUUUUUGAACGUCUUCAGCACUAUCUAAUUGCAAUGUUCUUUUGGUUCCAAUACCUAUGUGCUUAUGUGACUUGUAAAACUUUCCGCUUCUUGGGCUUAACAAGUGGUUAUGCUCAAGCUCGACUUCAAUGAUUCUCCACCUUUUGGUUUCCAUCAACCUAAACUUUAUCAUUGCUGGACAGCCAGUUCUUGUUUCUGGUCUUGGGCGGUUUGCCUCGCUUUUCUUCUUGAAGCCUGCACUACUACAGCUCAGCUUUCCUCUAUACUUUUCUCUACUCUUUCGGUACCAUGUAUUGCUAACUCUAACACCAAAACCCUGUUCCUUGGCAUAGCAAUUGUAAAAGUAAUAAACAUCAUCAUACGUCUCAAACUCCAUUCCAACAGCAGGAGCCAAUGGAUUUUGGAUUAUCCCAGUUUGUCCAACAUAUUCAGUCAUUGCACAAUCUCCUACGACCUCAAAAUCAUCAGCAUCAUCAUCACCUACUGGUUCAGUAUUCAGAGAAACUUCAUCCAUCUACAAUAGAUGUUUAAUGAAGUGAACUUUAAGGAGAAAAAGCAAAAUCAGUUCAAGGAAUGAUAAUAUAACCAUACAGUUACUUUCACAAAGCUGCGUAUUUCAUCAAUACCUUAACAACAUACAACUGCCUGAGAACGUAUAGACAUGUCAUAGACGCUUGAAUUAAGUAUUGGUACAAAUUCAUGUGGGACACAAUUUCAGUCACUAAACCCAAUGCCUUUUUUUUUCACAUCAUACCAAGGAACGGAUUAAACCCAAUACCUUCUUUUACGCCAUACCAAAGAACAGAUUAAAUCAUCAAUGAAAAAUUAAUCACAUAAUAAUUUAACUAGACAAAUAAAGAGCUCGAAACAGCACAAAACUUGAAUAUGAUUAUGAUAAUUGUUGAGUCAUUGUAUCUACAGCUUUCCUUCAACAAGAAGAUUAUGAACAUAAACUACACACAAAAAAUUUAUUUUAAACUGACAUAAAUUUAUUCAGUUACAUUGAAACCCAAAAAAGGAAGCAGGAGCUGGAGAAAAACAACAGCAGAGAAACUUAUUUCCAGAAGGUUUACGAAAUAAGGAAUUUAUUAAGACACAAAAUUUGAGGUCAACAAUAAGAAUUUGGUUCUCAUUCUCUUUUUCUUCAUUUUUCACUUAUUGAUGGAGUUACCAUACAAUCCUAAAUGAUAAAACCCCAUCUCCAUCUUUUUGAAAUAGAGUUAAAGCAAAGCUUUUUAAGAUGUUUUUCCCUAAAAGACUCAAUAGUACAAUGUUUUUCAAUAUUAAAUACACAACUCAAUCUUCCCCUAAUUUACUCUAAUAAUCUCUUAACUAAGGAAGAUUAAGCUCCACUUGUAAGCUAAAACAAGUUUCUUAAAUCAAGCCCCAAUGCUCUAUGCUAUUCAACAAGGCCUCAUAAAUGAUAAAACUACCUCUACAAAGAUACCCAUUUUAAUUUCGCAAACUAAAAUCGAACUCCUGAAACGUAACGAGCAUUAAAACAAACAAGUCCGAACAAGAACUGAAAAAUGAUACGUAAACCCGUUUCGACAAACAGUUUCCAAUCAAUGAGCAAAAAAGUUAAUGGAAAACAUGAAAUUCAAACGAAACAUACCUUAGGUUGAUAAAUUAGUAGCGCAAAAGAAAUUUUAGCGAGAUAUGGGAUCAGGGAUUUUGCCACGGUGAUGUUAAUUGCGACAUUCGGGUGACUCAGCAGCCUUCGAGGCUGAAACUUUGAUUGACCAAAAGCUUCCCGUUCGUUGAUUCUCUAAUUGCAGAAACGAAACUGGCAGUGUACAGAAGACGUACGCUGAUUUGAUAAUUCUGUGAAAAUCAUUGUUUUUUUUCAGAUUUUUAAUGUGUUCGAUAAAAUAUCAAAAUCUCAAAAACUUUUGUCUUUCAUUUUGGGGGGGAAAAACCCAUUGAGAUCCUUAUGUUUUUUCUUAUAUAAUCUGGCUUAAUAAUUUGCAAAGUCUAUUACUUAGCACCCAUGCAUGCUGCGUUCCAAUUUACAAAAUUGUACGUGAGUGCAUCCAGCUAAAAUUUGUAAAAAGAAAAUAGCAAUAACAUGUUAAAAAUGUGAUUAUUAUGAAGAAAUUUUAAUUUAGUUAAAUAGGUGACGAUGGAUAGGUAUAAAAUCUGAGAUCUUUUAUAAGGUUAAUAAAUAUGUUGAGUUUGGAUUAGUUCAAUUUUGAAAUAAUAAUAUUCAAAAUAUCUCUUAAAUCAUUAUAAACCUCAAAUCUAUUUUAAUUUUAUUUAAAAGAUAAAAGAAAAAUAGGUUAUGUUGGUGAUUUUUUAUUAUCUUUUUAAUAAAAAUGAAAUAAAUUGAUGUUUAUAAUUAUUUAAAGUAUUUUAAAGACUGCCAUUUUAUGAGAGAAAAAUAUUUCACUUUUUUUUAGUGUGAAAGGCCGAAAAAGGACAAAGCAAGUUUCCCUAGUUUUUAUUUAUUUGAAAUUGGUCAUCUCAUAUACUUCACCCUUCAACACUAUAAUUUUUUUGGUUAUAAUUUUAUUAUUUUUUCUCUUUUACACAUGCAUGUGAAUUACUUUUCUUUAAGCUCCUGAAUAUUUAAGAUAAAUCAUGGAAGAGAUGAGAGUAUAACAAGAUGACCAAAAUAUGUAACAAAAAAAUUUUAUAAGUGAAAAAUAUGUUAGAGACUUACAGUGGAAGUAAAACUCUGAGGUGAUGUUUGAUUUGAAGAAAAUGGAGGAAAUGAAAAGACUGGAAUGUAGAGGAAAAGAGAGAAAAGGAGAGGAGAGGAGAGUGAAAUUUUUUUCUAAUGUUUGGUUUGUCACAUAAUUAUACAAAGAAAGGAAAUCUCUAAUUUUUUAUUUAGACAAUUUUAACCUUAAUAAGUAUUAAGUUUUCAAUAUUUAUCAUGUGUAUAAUUAAAAAAAAAAGAAGUAAAUGGUAGAAAGCGGUUUCUGAUUCCGGCCACAUCGCCCGCAAUGGAAGGUACUUAUCAGAACAUCAAGAGCCAGCCAUCAUUCCCUAGCCAUCACUGCUGUCGGAACACUGCCGGAAAGCUGCCGAUUGAACCGCGAAAAGUCGUGGAAAUCGCUGCCUCAAAUCGGUGAGUUUCGCCCUUUUCUGGUCACGCCGUCGCCAUGGCUUUGUCCAUCAAGCCUGCCACUUCCAUUUUCAACCAUCCAUAGCCACUAUUAAUUGCCAAAUCACCGCCGAUCAGCGGGAUCUGUGGAAGUUAAAAAGUUUCUAAAUUUUUUUAACUGGAUUUGAACAACAUACGACCAUUUUUUUAUCUCGAUAACGACGUAGUAAUGUUGAUCGUUGGUCGGCAAGUCGUAUGGUAGUGGCAGUGAGUAACACGCGCCAAUCACAUCGGCGGCGGCGGCGGCACUAUCCGGCGACUGUUAAAAUAAUAUUUUAUAUUUUCAGAUUAAAUAAAUUUAUUUUAUUAAAAUUUUUAAAUCAUUAUUUAAAUUUAAUUAAUUUAAAAUUAUCUAUAAUGUUGAAUUGAUAAAAUAAAUUUAUAAAUAAUAAUUAUGUGAUUACAUUAAAUAAGUUAAAAAGUUGAAGGGUUAGUUUUGGAAGAUUUAGUUUCCAACACAAAGGGAAUUUGAAUUCUUCACUUCUUAGUGUGGAAUUCAAAUUCUAUAUUGUAAUAGAUAUUAAAUUUCAAUAAAAAUUAAAUUCUUAUAAGUUAUGUCAAACCAAACAACGAAAAUAAAAAAGAAAUUUAAAUUAUUUUUCUUUCCUCCACCCUCUCCUUCCAACUAAAUACAUCCUGAAAAUAGAGAUAUUGAUUAAUUUAGAAGAGAUUCAAGCAAAAAAUAUUCCAAAAAAAAAAGCAAUAUGUCCCUUUGGAGGGCAAACUUGUCAGUUUCAAAAAAGUACAUGCUUUGUAUUGAUAGUUGUAGGAUAUUUGUUUUGUCACUAUGUAUUAGUUGGAGAAGUCCAGCCUUGUGGAGAAUGUUAUGAAAGAGCAAAGGAUAUUCCUGAUAGCUGAUAGAGCUCUAUCUGAUUAUGUAUCCAGUGAAUGGAUGUGUUGUUGGAAGAUAUCUGAGUGCAUUAGUUCAUAUGUGUCUGUCAAUGUGCUUUUAAUGAUUUUUCCACCUGUUUGUUGUAAAAGAUUAUUGUAAAUUGAAAUGAACUUGAUGUUUUAAUAUUUUCUUCCGUAAAUUGAAAUGAACUUGAAUUAAAUCUCGUUGAAUUUAAUAUUAUCUCCUUAGUGGAAUUUCACCUAGUAUGUAUUCAGUUGUGUUGUCUAUAAUUUUGCAUUCGAGUAAGUUUCACCUAAAACAUUAGCAUGAGUAGUGGCCCUUGAACCUUUGGUCAAAAUUAUUGUUAUUAUUUCUGACUAGAUGUAAAUUUUGUAUUAAAUCUCGUUAACACAAUUCUUAAUUAAAAGUAUAGGUUAGUGUUGGUGCAAGAUUUGCCACACCAAAUUCUGCCUAGCUGUCAAAAGUGCAAAAUAAAUGAAGAGAAAGCACAAAUACACGACUUGAAUAAGGAUACAACGAAACUUAAAUUCAAGAGAAAAUGAUAGCUAUAUCCCAAGAUUUGAAAAAGUAGUCAUGUAGGUUUUUAAGAUUUCAAUAAGCGACUGAGAUUCAAAUAAUAUCCUUUAAUUCUAUUAAUAAAAAACAAAGACUCAAAUAUUUUAUGAUAAAUAAAAAUAUAAUAUUAAAAUAUAUGUGAUAAUAUACACAUUUUAAAUACUUUCAAUCCAAAAAAAUAGUUAUGUUUUACAAUCUAUUAGACAUAUUUUAUUAAAUUAAUAUAAAUUUUCUAUAAAAUAAGAAUAUAAUAUUAAAACAAAUUCACAGAAAUUUAAAGAAUUUUGAAUGUAAAAUAAUUUUAAUAUAUUAAUACGUGAGUUUUUUUAUUAAUAUAAAAAUUAUUUAACUUUAAGAUUUUUUAAAAUCUUUACAAUAAGUAUAACUAUAUUAUUUACAUUUAAAAAUAUUUAAAUAUUAUUAACCUACAAUUAUAUUUGCAUUUGUUAGAAAUUUUUAAAGUCAAAUAUUUUGCACUUCUAUAUUAUUAGAAUUAUUGCACACAAAGAAAGAAACAUAUACGUUUAGAAAUUGUUUUCUUUUAAAAUAGAGAUGAUGAUUAGUAUAAGGAUCAAAAAAAGGAUAAAGAAUAUUAAUGAUUAACGAAAACUCUAUACAAAUUGAUUUUAGUAGGAAAAGAGUGAGAUGAAUGAUUUCUUUUACAGUUAGAAAAAUAGAUGAUGAUUAUUAUAACGAAGAAGAAAAGAUAAAGAAUAUUAAUUAUUAAUGGAAUCUCUAUGCAAAUUGAUUUCAGUAGGAAAAAAAAUGAGUUAAAUGAUUUAGAGUGCGUUUGGAAUUGAGAUUGGACAGCCAUAGAUUUUAAGUUACAACACUGAAGUGUUUGGUAAAUACUAGCUGCUGCAGAUUGAAAGUUAUGUUGAUAUGAUUUUUCACAUGUAUCAUAGAAAAUAUAUUACAUCUUUAAUAAUUUUUUUAAAAUUUGUAUUUGCUAUAUAUUGUUUUUUUUAUAUAGUUAUAACUUUUUUUUUUUCCACAGCAGCUGUAGCUUAAAAGCUACAGCACCUCAAUCUCAAACAAGUCCUUAGACAUUCAUAGUGUGUUUAUUUUUUGGAUUGGUGAAUCAAAAUUAUUGACAACGCUAACUUCAUCUUCACCGUUCGCAAUCCAACAGCAGCAAUUGUCGCCAAUAAUGAUAUCGCCGAUGAUGAUGACAAUAAUAAUAAUAAUAAUAAUAAUAAUAAUAAUAAUAAUAAUAAUAAUAAUUAUUAUUAUUAUUAUUAAUAAUUAAUAUAUUAAUAUAUUAAUGUUAAUAUUAUUAUUAUUAAGAUUAACAAUAAUUAUUAGUAAUACAAUUUUUUGAAUAAAAAUAAUCACAAUAAUUAAAAUACAAAUUAACAAUUAUGACAAUAGUUAAUUAAUGUCUUUUUAGUAAUUUGUAAUAAUCUAACUCAUUUUAAUUCUGAUUAUUACAGUUUAAGUAAAUAAAUUAUUAUGAUUCCUAUUCUCCUUUUCUAUUUUAACUCACUUCGAUUCCAGUCUAUUCUGAUUUUUGUUUAAUAAACGCACCAUUAGUGCUAAAGUAAUAUUUCAUACAUAGAAAAGUAAAAACUACACCUAAGGUUAAGGGAAAGGACUUCAAAACUCUCUUUUGAUCAUAAUACAUUUUGUACUAAUUAACUUAAAGAUUUUGAAUCUAAUAUUUUAUAAUAAAUAAAAAUAUAUUCCUAAAAUAAAUAUAAUAUCAAUAUUUAAAAUAUGUUUUAAUAUUUUACACAUUUUAUUAUAUUAAAGUAGAUUUUAUAAUAAAUACAAACGUCCUAUUAAAAUGAAUAUAUAAAAAAUUUAGAAAAUUUAGAAUAUUAUAUAAAAUAAUUUUAAUAUAAUGCGUGAGAUAUAUUUUAUUAAUUUAAAAUGUUAUUUUACCUAAAAAAUAUGAUAAAUUAAUAAUUACAUAUUUGAAGUUAUUUCAAAUAUUAAAAAAAUUUAAUAUUAUUAGUCUUUUAGAUAGAUUAAAUUAUUUUUUUUAUAAGAGAUAGAUUAAAUUAUUUUAAAAUGCCUUAAUUAUUUUUACUUUUAACGUUACCGGCCUUUCUUUUAUUUUAUUGCAAAUUAAUGCUAACAAGAAAAAGCUAGAUCAUAUUCCACAAAAGCAAAAGUGACAAACACAACCAGCUGGAAUCUUUUAUAAAACUACAAAUUAAAAUGGAUUUUUUUUUUGAUAAAUUACACAUGAAAGUGGAUUCUUUUGAAUAUAAGUGGAGUAGGCUCUUUUAUUUUAUUUUUGAAUAUUGUAUAACGGGACUGUAGACUCUUUUAUUAAACUACAAAUUGUAUAGUCUUUUUAAAAUUGUUAUAAAUUAAUGGCCCCCACAAUCCUCAACAAUUGUACCGAUAUUCACAAGUUGGUGGCCCCUACAAUUCUGUUCCGAUAAUUUAACUGUGCAAGUGCUCAUUCACAAUCUUCCAGGUCAUGCUCUCAAUAAUUGUUUUUUUUUCCUGCAUUCCCUUUGGGAAAUUUACGAAAAUAAUCAUUAAUAUUUUAUUAUUUUUACAAUUAACCGUCUUAAUUUUUUUCUAUCAACAUUAGCCAAAUACAAGUCUUUCUUCCCAAAUUACCCUUCUUUACAGAACAAAACCAACAUUGUUUCUCCCAUAUCGCCAAACCAAAAGCAGCUUUUUAUUCUUAAAUCAUCAGCCAACGGCGACCGCAAAAGACAACGGUAAAAGUGAUAUCCGAUCAUAAUCUAUCCGGAUCCAACACAAAUCUACAUCACUCAGUGGUAUGAAUUAUUUUUUGAACUUACUGAACUCAGUCGGGUGAAUCUGAGUCUGGCGACAGGCUGCCUGUCGCAGUAAAACUUGGUGCGACAGGCAACCUGUCGUACCAAACCUUGGUGCGACGGGCACCCUUGGAGAUUUAUUAAAAAUGUAUUAUUUUAAUAGGACUCAAAUAAUUUUUUUUUAUAAUUUCAGGCUUAAUGGAUUCAGUUGUACUUGAAUUGUGUUACGAUGGUUGGUGGGAGACAUUAGAGAAUGGCUGUAUGGAGUACGUGAAUGGUAAAAAUCGAGCUUUUUUGGUUGGAAAAAAUUACUUGUUUGAUCAGUUAUUGGCAAGAGUAUACGAGGUAUUAAAAAUAAACCCUAAUGACUAUAGUAUCACAAUGAAGACAACUUUGAGGUCUAGUAACACAUUAUAUCGUAUAUGUGCAAUGCCCAUGGAUAUAUGUGAUGAUGAAAUGGUGAGGGUUGUGUUGCAUAUGGCAUCUGACGUAGCUAAUUUUGGAUGCAUUCCUAUAUUCGUGACCACAUCACCUCGACUUCCGAGCGAAGGUAUUGAGCCACAUGUCGAUAUAGAAACUUCGUUUAGAGCAAAUAUGUCUGGCCCCGAUAAUGAUGAAGAGGUGUUGCCAAGGACAAUAUCGCUGCAGCAAUAUUACUCUCCAAUCCACGACAAUUAUGAUAACAUUGAUGAUAAUAGCGUUACGUUACAGGAUGUUGGAGCAACGGUAUUUCCAAUAACAACGUCGUUGGAGCAACGAUAUUCUCCGUAUCACAACAAUGAUUUUCGGGACAAUGAUGAUUUUCAUAAUGAGACAGAGGAGGAUAAUGUUUGUGCAGAACCUUCUAAUAAUACGAGGCGGGGCACUCGUUUCAAUAAUGAUGGUGAUGAUGGAGGAGUCGGUCAUUCGAAUGUUCCGUCGUUUCAGCAUGAGGAUGAGUGUGAAGACAAUACUCCUGUGAAUAACAGAGGCAAUAGACCUAUUCCUUCUAUGGUUCGAUCGAGAAGGAGAAUUGACCCCCUUACAAGUCUUGCUCCAACUUUACCUUCGAACAUGGUUGCUCCAAGCUUUGUUAGCAGUUGUGACUCAGAUGAUAUCAGCGUGGGUAAGCUAUUUGUUGAGAAGAAUGAGCUUAUAUUACAACUACGCAAGGUGGCCUUUAGAGAUAAGUUUGAUUUCAAGAUUGCACGGUCUACUACGACACGUUUCGAGGCUCACUGUUGUUCAGAAUCAUGUAAAUGGCAUAUUCGAGCAACUAGAAGUUCGAACGAGCAAAAUGUUCCUUGGGUGGUGAAGAGAAUUGAUAAUGUACACACUUGUCAUAAUGAGGUAUUGAUUGAUGGACGUCAUCAAGUAAGGAGCCGGGUUGUCGGUCAUAUUAUCGCAGAAAAAUAUAUUCAAGAUAAGAGGAUUUAUACUCCCAAUGACAUAAGAGCAGAUAUGCAACAGGAAUACGGUGUUCAGUUAACAUACCAGCAGGCAUAUAGGGCGAGAGAAGUUGGUCUUGAAAUAGUUCACGGCAACCCUGCAGAGUCAUACAACUUGCUCCCUAAAUACUCUCACGUACUAACUACAACGAAUGAGGGUACAGUCACUCACCUCGAGCAGGAUGGAGAUGGUAAUUUCUUGUACUAUUUUGUAGCACUCGGAUAUUCCAUCAAGGGGUUUAUGCAGUACAUUCGGCCUGUCAUUGCUGUAGAUGGUACUCAUCUAAAGAGAUUAUAUCGUGGAAGCAUGUUCGUGGCAACAUGUCUUGAUGGUAACAAUCAAUUGUAUCCGUUAGCCAUUGGGAUCAUGGAUUCAGAAAAUAAUGAUGCUUGGGAAUGGUUUAUGAUGAAGUUACACGGAGUGAUUGGUGAUAGACCUGAGUUGGUAAUUAUCUCUGAUCGAUGCACUGCCAUAAGGAGAGCCGUUCUUAAAGUAUUUCACAAUGCAACUCAUGGCGUUUGUUUUUACCACGUCAAAGGUAACAUUAAGUCACAAUUUAGAAUGUCCAAAGCUCUUUGGGAUGAAUUUGAGCAUGCCUUUAUUAAUGCAGCAAAAGCAUAUGGCCACGAGGAAUUUAAGAGACAACUUGAAGGGUUGUGGAUGAUCCACUCGGGUGCGGCUGAUUACUUAGAAAAUAAUGUCGGCACGUGUAAUUGGGCAAGGUCUCAGUUUCAAGGUAGGAGGUACAACAUUCUUACCACCAACAUCGCGGAGAGUGUUAAUGCUUUCAUGAGGGAACCUCGAAAAUUUCCUGUUACUCAUCUUGUUGAUCACUUCAGGAAAACAUUGCAGCAAUUGUUUUAUGAUAGAAAAAUUGUGGCUGAAUCAAUGACUACUCGGCUAACAACAUGGGCGGAUGAAAUAGUCACUGAGAGGAGAACUAUAGCUGAAAGAAUGAUAGUUCGGCCGGUGUCUCCGCAUCGCUUUCAAGUUAUAGGCGGUGGGCUUAAGGAAGGGUUGGUUGACUUGCAAAAGAGAACUUGCUCCUGCAGAGUGUUUCAGCUUGAUCAGCAUGUGUGUGCUCAUGCAAUUGCGGCGUGUCUAACACACCGGGUGGAUUUUAUUAACCUUUGCUCGGACUUUUACACUACAGAAUCGUUGGCGAUGGCUUAUGCACAACCAGUGGAGCCAGUUGGUGAUGUGGCUGAUUGGGAAGUUCCAGAUGAAAUUCAGGAGAUGCAGGUAUACCCACCAGUUGAGGCACCACUACCUGGCCGUCGUAAAGAGCUCAGAAUACCCUCGACUGGCGAGGACGUUGACCGGCGGACUGUAAGAUGCGGCCGGUGUCAUGAACUAGGCCAUAAUCGUAAGCGAUGUAAGAAUCCUAUUGCGUCGACUCGAAGUUAGUUGUAUUUUGUGUGUUAUUCGUUGGUUAAAACUAUUAUUGUUUUUGUGUUACAUUGGUUAAAACUGUUAUUGUUUUUUGUAUUUCGUUGGUUAAAACUGUUAUUGUUUUUUGUGUAUUGUACACUUAUAUUCAUAAAACUUUAUUUUAUUUUAAAGUUCAAAAUGUGAGGCAUUAAAAUUAUAUAAACUUAAGUGCGGAAAUUAAAAAAAAUGCAAAUUUCAACAUUGAAAUUACUACAUAGGUCUACAAUAUAAUAUCGUCAUUAAAUAUAUCAACCGCAAUCUUCUUUCUAAAGUACUCGACAUGACUAGCGUUAAACUCCAAUCUAAGCCCGAACAUUAAAUACAUCGUAACCAUCAAUACAAAAACACUGCAAUCGCUAGUUCCGGGCUCUUGUUGUGGUGCGCUCUUAACUGCGAUAACUUUCCACGGGUCUUCACUCCGCAACUCAGGUCGGAUAUUGUAGAAGCCAACAUAUUCCAACCAUCGAGGGAAUAUAACUUCAAGUGGCUUGAAUUUCAACUUGUACUUUUUGUCGUCGCGAAAUGUGAGUAAUGAGUCAUAAAUCCAGACUUUAUUUUUCCGAAAGUCAACUCGUGCUAGUACCCAAUGCGCGCCGUCCAAGUUAACAGGGAUGAGUAACUGCAUAUAAAAAUUAAAAAAACAUGUUCGUUAUAUAUGAAAUUGAAAUACAACAAAGAAAAAGCAACAACUCGAAUAUUUUCAUUAUAGAGCAUGUGAAAUGUAAUAAAAUACACACCAUAUCGACAUCCGUCAUUAAUUUUGACAUUGUGUGCUGUCGCCCACAAAGAUAACUAUUCAAGCGGUCGUCGAAUACCAUUGAAUCAACUGCACAAUUCCUGUUAUUCCAUAACUGAUUCAAGAACACCUAGUACAUAGAUAACCAAGAAAUGCAUAAAUUAAUAAAACUUAAAGGCAAUAAUUAAACAAAUUAAAUAGUAUUUAUAAGUUUUGUCGGCACGUUACCCAAAAAAAUGUGUCAGUAUGUGUGACACGUUGGAGUAAGGCAUUUGGAUACUGCCGUUGUUUCUCGCUAAUCAAGCGGAGAUACUCGUGAAUAUGCUGUAGAGAAACAAAAAUAUUACGAUUUAAAAAAAAAUUAUACACAAAUCCACAACAGUAUACACCACGAGGAAAAUAUAAAUACCUCAUCGCCUAGCCAUCCCAUCGAAGCUGUCCCCAAAAUUAUUUGAAAGAAUGACCGCAGGUGCUGGACUCUCCGGCGGACUCUGCUAUCACCAGUGAACCAUCGAUCAAACUCAGCAAACAAACUAGAGUCCUCCAAUCCUCUCAGUGGAUUUACAUCCACACUCGUACUCAUGUCAAUCGCAUGCUCCAUCAUUUGGGGUCGAGGUAACCUCCGGACGUUCUGUCCACGCCUGACCGGAGGAAUCAUGUAAGGACUGUUAUAAACAUACGACGGUAUGUACGCGCGGCCGAACUUACUAACGCCCGGAGGCACCUCUGUGAACACCUGCAUGCUCUCCCCACUAACAUCCCCGUAUAAACUAUAAAAUGACGUGGGCGUAGACAAAUUUUCAUUGCCCACGUCAGUAUACACUCCAUAGUCAUCCGGGGCCUGUACAUUCGCCAAAAAGAACAUAUUAAAUAAUUAUCAAAUUAAAAGUUAAACGAACAUAAUUAUUUAAUUUAAAUUAGCUUACCGCAUACGAGCGUGCAGUGGGAGAAUCCUUAUUUGGAUGUUUAGAAAAUGUGUCGAUGAAGCCAACAACGGUUUCUUUAAAAUCUUUUAAUUCUGACUUUAUUUCAUACACAUUACGAUCAAUCUUAUCCAGCCGUCGUCGUACGUAAUCAUUAAACUGCUUUGUCCUCGACUAUUACAAAAGAAAAAAAUAAAACUUUAGAAUAACAAUAAAAAAAUAAUAAUUUAUAAAGGAAAAAUAUCGUAUAUUAUUUAUAACCUCAGAAUCCCGUGCGUCAUCAGAGUUGUCUGUUUGCUGCUGGUGGUCAUCAACAGCCACCUCAUCCUCAAAAGUGUCAAGACGCUGCUCUGGUAUUGGGUUUAGUAUGUCGUCAUGAUCAUCAUGCUCGUCCGAUUGUCUUGUAACCGACGGCAUCGCGUUGAUUGAGGGUUGGUGCUGUAUAAAGUAUCAUUUAAAAUUACUAAAUGAAAAGUCAAAAAUUUCGAUAAAAAAAUUUUUAGUACUUACAGUAUACCGACCUUAUGAAUCCAAUCUGGAAUGCUUGGCAAGUAAUCCUUCACAGAGAGUCAAUAUUUUCUGCUACUCUCUUUUGAAUUUGGCUCAAGAGUUUGUAAAAUGUCCGUCUGCCAUAAAUUCAAUUGAAAAAUUUAAGUAAGUAUACCCAACUUAAAUUUAGUAAAGUUAAAAAAUAAGUAAUACAUAUUACUUACAAGACGAGAUUCGUCGUUGAAGAACGAAUAAACCUCCGCAAAGUUGAUUCUCGAAGACGUCAUGGGCUUCCAUUGCAGAAUGCGGGGAAUCUUACUCUUCGUUUUGACGACCCAUGUUGAUGGCAACCCUCCGAUUGCUUCGUAAAUCCAAGCCUACAACAAACCAAAGUGAAAAAUCAAAUAAAACAACUAUCAAAUAUUUAAUACUAUAAAACUUAUUAAUAAACAAAAAAAAGCACCUGCACCCCAGACGUAAAGCCGUAAAGAUUAUAUUUUUCAAUAUUAUGAUCUGAAUUUUUCAACCGAGUCUUCUUAAAUUUCUCGUCUUUCUCGAACAGUGCAUUGUCAAGACUCUCGUAAAUCAUUUCCCACGACAAUAGACCCCAUGGCGCUUUCGGAAGUACUGUAUAUCAUCAACUUGGUCAAGCCAAUCGAAAUUAAUUUGACAGUGAUUUUUUCUUGCAUUUAGUACUCUGUCCGCAAAAUAAAACAGCGCAAUCUUUAAUGCGUCCAUAUCGUCCAUUUCCUCGAAAUUCAACUCCUUAAAUACUGCAUCAAAUUGCUUCACAUUAAUCUUACGAUGCACACCACCAAAAUACGUAUUCCGUAGCCUCUGCUCCAUUUCAUCAUUUUUUUCAUUGGUAUCAACACCAAAUGAAAGUCCAGUAACCAAGCACCAUUCGAUAAUUGACAAGCGAAUCAAAUGCUUACCAAUUUGAAACCAUAACUGAUCCUCACAGCUAUCUUCUUCAUGGGCCACUUGCCGCAGUAAACGAUUGUGCAAAAUUACCCCACUAAAUGGAAAACUUCGGCACUCCAAGAAAUGCCCAAAUAUAUCCUUUUUGAACAUACUCAACUGCCGCUUUGUUAAUUUUUCCUCGAUGGCUUUUACGACCGAAGAUAACAUACACAUGCUCGAAAUUCGACCAGGAAAGUGAUCAGCAUAACGAAAAUACAUCUUGCCUACUUCAAUAUCCGGUGAUUCUGAUUUCGCCAUGUAUCUGUAAUAUUUAUAAAAUUAUUACAUUACAUUUACAAAAUUAUUACCAAACUCUAAUUUUUUGGUGCGACAGGCGCCUGUCGCUCCAAAAAACUGCCUGUCGCACCACAGCUGGUGCUCCAAAAUCGAAAACAAUACUCCCAAACACUACCAACUACCACAAACAUCAUCACCACCACUAUUAAUCUCAAGCUAUAACUAUUAUUAUUCUAAAAUCUCAUUUUAAAUUAAUGAAAAUAAGAAAAAUGACUAACCUAGGUUUUGUUGAAGGUUGUAGAUCGUAGAUCGGAUGCCGGUGAGAGAUGGAGCCGCCGCCGACGAGGGUUGAUGUCGCCGCCGAUGAUGGGAGUUGGAUCGGUUUGGGAGAGAUGAGUGAAAAAGGGAGUGUUGGGGAAGAGAUGAGGGAUGGGUAUUUUGGUCUCAAAUGUUGUUUUAUGGCUAAUGUUGAUAGAAAUAUUUUUGGGGGGUUAAGAUGAAAAAAAACAAAUUUGUUUUGGUUAUUACUGUAAAUUUCCCAUUCCCUUUCAUGCUCUUAAUAAUUGAAGAGCAUACUUUUCAUUUUCAAAUGUGGAGCCGCAUCUAAUGUCGCUAAUUUAAUUUGGGAUUAAAUUAGGGGACCAUUAUAUUGCAGUGUGUACUAAUUUUUGUGUUUAUCUAAACUCCUUAAGUUUAAGACAUAUUAUGGCAUAAAUAAGAAUAUAACAAUAACAAAAGAGAUGCCGGAGCAGAUCAGCAGGGUUUGAAUAUGACCUUUGGCGGUUGCUUUUUUUUUGUGAUUUUUUUCAUUUUUUCCUUCCUGUCAUUUUAUCAUUUAUUUGGCUCUGUUUCUAUUGCGGGUGUUACUGCAUGCUUACUGUUGCUUGACAAAGUUUGCUAGCUUUUUGUUUGCAGUGCUGCUAUUCACCCCGAGUCAAGCUCCGAAAAUUUAUUAAACAACGCCGUUUCGAUAGUAACAAUUUUUUUCUUUUCCCUUUGUCUGUCUCUUUCAUCUGCUGUUUCUCUAUCACUUUUCAUUUUUUAUUUCCUUACUUCCCAGCUGCCCCUAAAUUGUUAUUCUAGCAAUAUACUUUCUCAUCUUUGAAUUUUCAUCCUUGAGUACUCCCACAGCCGUAAUUUCAUCAUUAUAGACUUCACUUGGAAUGCUGUAUUUUUUCGAUUCUUAAGCUACUUCAAUUACAUCUCCCAGUAUAGGAUCCUCAUCUUCCUUUAUUUCUUCAUCUUAUGAGGUAACAAAUGGAUUUCACAACUCAUCUACUUUUAAGCAAUUACAUAUUAUACCUUGAAUGAUUCAACUGUUCCGACAGUUAAAGAUUUUAUGCUCAACCUGCAGUGCUACGAACAUUGUCCAUGAAAGAUGAGUUUCAGCAUAUAAAAUGAAAUAUAGAUGUUUAAUCUAAAAUAACCCUUCACUGCCAAGAAACCUAGGUCACAAAAUUCACAGAUAAUGAUAAAGAGCUAAAAAAUUUGAAAAACUCUACAGAUCACACAUCAAGCAAGAUAUCAUGUUUUUUUCCCUCAUUCGGUGGUGAUUGAUUCGCUUUUUGAUGAUGGAUAUGGUAUAAAAGUUUUGACCCAAUUUCAAGCAAACACAAAUAGAAACACAAAUAGAAACACAAACACAAUCAGGACUAGAGUUGUGGGCGAUUAUCUUAGGUGUACAAGUGAAACGGUGGUGGCUGUCGAUGGUGGUAGUGGGGUGGUUGGGUAUGCGUGAUGGCUAGAUUUUAGGACAAUAAUGGUUGGAGUUGACCUCGAUCAACGAAGGAAAGUGACAACAAUUUUGACAUCAAACGGUGCAUUUUUUAGCUUAGUAAAAUGGAGCCGUUUCGAAUUUGGGGUUUAAUCCGGGGUUUGACUCGGCGCAAGUAUCAUUUUCCUUUUGUUUAUUAAAUUUUUUAUGGUCACAAAGUAUUACUCGUUCUAUUUGAGAGUGAUGUGAAUCAAUUUUUCAAUUUUAUAUUUUGUGGUCAAUGUGAAUUUAAUUUCAUUUGUCUCCUGCAAUUAUGAAAAAAUUGCAGUCAUAAUAUGGAAAAGUACACCGGCAAAAACUUUGUAAAAGCUUCGGAGUGAUACGGGGAAUUUACUUACUACUGAGGACAAUUGGUGGCAAAGCUAUUCCAUUCAUUUUAUGUCCAUCCAUCUAUUUAGCUAUUGAAGAUUAGUGGUCCAUUUGUAAAUUUCAGAUUGUCUCUCUCUCUCUCUCCCACUUGAAAUAACAAUAUUUAAUAUAUCUCUUAAAUUAUUAUAAAUUUUAAUUUACUCUCGAUUUAAAAUGGAGCAUGUCGAUAAAAAAUUUUUCUUCUUAAUAAAAUUGACGUAAGUUGUGUGUUACAGUAGUUUGAAGUUUGAAAUAUUUUAAAGAUUAUUAUUCUAUAAGGGAGUAAUAUGAAAUGAUAUUUACUUUUCAUGUGUGAAAUGAAAAAGGACGAAGCAAGUGUCCCUGCUUUUAUUUUAUUUCAAGGAGGAGUCAUCUCACAUACUUUAGCUCUUAACAUUACAUUUUUUCUGGUUACAUUUUUUAUUUAUUUAUUUUUUUUUUUUUACACAUGCGUGUGGGUUGCUUUUCUGUAAGCUCCUUAAUAUAUAUUUAAGACAAAUCAUGGAAGAGAUGGGAUUAUAUCAAGAUGAUCAAAGCAUGUAAAAAAAGAAAAAAGAAAAAAAAAAAUUAAGAAGUAAGACACUGAAAAUGGAGAAGAGAUGGAAGCAAAAGAUAUUCCAAAACAAAGCAAUCUAUCCCCUUUCGAGGGCAGACUUAUCAGGUUUAAAAAAGUACAUGCUUUGGAUUGGUAGUUGCAAUCAAGGGAAAAUAAAUAGGAUCCAAUGAAAUUUAAAUCUCGGAGAAAAUAAAUAAUCAUGCAGAUUUUCAAGAUUUUAAUAAGGGAUACUAAUAUCUUAUUUUGAUUAAUAACAUUCUUUUAUUGUGUUAACUCAAAAAAAAUAUUAUAAUGCUUUACAAUAAAUACAAAUGUCCUAUUAAAUGAAUAUAUAAAAAAUUUAGAAAAUUUAGAAUAUUAUAUAAAAUAAUUUUAAUAUAAUGCGUGAGAUAUAUUUUAUUAAUUUAAAAUGUCAUUUUACCUAAAAAAUAUGAUAAAUUAAUAAUUACAUAUUUGAAGUUAUUUCAAAUAUUACUUAAUUGUUUUUACUUUAAACAUUACCGGCCUUUCUUUUAUUUUAUUGCAAAUUAAUGCUAACAAGAAAAAGCUAGAUCAUAUUCCACAAAAGCAAAAGUGACAAACACAACCAGCUGGAAUCUUUUAUAAAACUACAAAUUAAAAUGGAGUUUUUUUAAAAAAAUUGUUAUAAAUUGGUGGCCCCUACAAUCCUCAAUAAUUGCACCGAUAUUCACAAGUUGGUGGCCCCUACAAUUCUGUUCCGAUAAUAAUUGUUUUUAUUUUUCUGCAUUCCCUUUCAUGCUCUUAAUAAUUGAAGAGCAUACUUUUCAAAUGUGGAGCCACAGCUAAUGUCGCUAAUUUAAUUUGGGAUUAAAUUAGGGGACCAUUAUAUUACAGUGUGCACUAAUUUUUGUGUUUAUCUAAACUCCUUAAAUUUAAGAUAUAUUAUGGCAUAAAUAAGAAUAUAACAAUAACAAAAGAGUAAAAAAGUGUAGAGAAGAUCUUGCAGAAAUAUAAAUAAUAUCUAUUUUAAAAUAAUUUUUAAUAUUUUAUGAUCCAUUAGAUAUAUUUAUUAUAUUAAAGUAAAUUUUAUAAUAAAUAAAAACAUACUAUUAAAAUGAAUAUAUAGAAAAUUUAGAGUAUUUUAAAUAUUAUAUAAAAAAUUUUUAAUAAAAUAUGUGAGAUAUUCAUAUUUUAUUAAUUUAAAAUACCAUUUAACCUAAAGAUUUAUUUAUGAUAAAUUAAUAAUUAUAUUUUUGAAAUUACUUCAAAUAUUAAAAAAUUAAUAUUACUAAUCUGUUAGAUAGAUUAAAUUAUAUAUAUUAUUUUCUAUUUAUUAAAAAAUUAAAAUUAUUUUUAAUUACUAUUCAAAAAAUAUAAUGAAAAAACAUAAUGAUAAAAAAAUCUUAACAUCUUUAUUAAAAAAUUAAAAACUUAUAUGAUAAAUUCUCUAAAUAUUUACGGUAUAUGUGAACCACGGUGGAUAAGCUUUAUUUAAUAUUAUUGAUUUAAAUAAUAUGUCAAUUAAAAAUGUACAGAGAAGAAAUUUCGGUGGGUAUUUUAGUCUUUUAAGCAAUUAUCAUGAUCAGAUCAGCCUUUAGCCUUCAAACGUCGGUCAGAAAAGUUUUAAAAUUAAUGCUAAAUUGUUUUUCACUUUUAACGUUGGUGGCCUUGAAAUUGCUUGUAUUUUAUUAAAAAUUAAUGCUAACAAGAAAAAGCUAGGUCAUAUUCCACAAAAUCAAAAGUGACAAAACAACCAGCUGGUUUCUUUUACUAAACUACAAAUUAAAAUAAAUUUUUUCGAUAAAUUACAAAUUAAAGUGGAUUCUUUUGAAUACAAAUGGGACAGACGAUUAGGCUCUUUUUAUUAGAGGCAAGUAAAAACUAGUCAAGAAUCGAACAGUCUUUUUCCAAUUCUUGUUUUAUUAUUUUUCAAAACUAGUUUUUGGUAAUUACAACCGGGUCAUUAAUCAUUAUUCAGAGUUACUGUUAUCUUCGGGGGCAGUGGGUAAAAGAUAAUUACUAACUGUUUUUCCUUCAAAAGUUAGCGGCUCAUGUUUGCAAGUGUGAAUGUGCGAUGCUCUUUUCUUAAAGGCCAUUACAGUGGGGCCCGAAUCAGACGUGCCUAAAUCUUUUUAAAAUUUUUGCCGUAUAACGAACAGAGGUCAUUACUAAAAUUUCUCUUCCACAGCCUACAGCAGCUUCAGUUUAUCAAACUCCAUCAAUUUUCUUUCUUAACAAAAUUCCAAAGAUGUGUAGCAUUUUUCAGAUCACAUGCGAUGGUGCUCUUUUCAAUCGUUGCUUGGAUUGCUUUCUUGGAAAAGCAGCAUACAUACGUAACCUCCAAGAUAAUCUUGUAGCCUUGGAGACUGAACUGGGAAGACUAAUCGCAGCAAAGAACGAUGUGAUGAUGAGGGUUGUCAAUGCUGAACGGCAACAAAUGAGAAGGCUGGACGGAGUGCAAGUGUGGGUUUCGAGGGUGGAUUCUGUUAAAACUGGAGCCGACGAACUUAUCACAGACGGCUCUGAAGAAAUUGGCAAAUUAUGUGUUGGAGGCUACUGUUCCAAGAACUGCAGGUCAAGCUACAAAUCGAAAACAAGUGGCUAGAAAGCUACGACAUGUGAAGACUUUAAUCGCCGAGGGAGUUUUUGAGGCGGUGGCCACUGAGGUGGUGCCCGAGAGAGCUCCGGAACCUGUAGCAGAUAAAAGACCCACUGAGCCAACAAUAGUAGGCUUGCAAUCACAGCUUGAACAAGUUUGGAGAUGUCUUGUAGAAGAAUCAGUGGGAAUCAUUGGCCUAUAUGGUAUGGGCGGUGUUGGUAAAACCACACUAUUGACCCAUAUCAACAAUAAAUUUCUUGAGAGUCCCACAAACUUUGAUUGUGUGAUUUGGGUCGUAGUUUCAAAAGACCUGCGACUUGAAAAAAUUCAAGAAGAUAUUGGGAAGAAGAUAGGUCUGUCUGAUGAUUCAUGGAAGAAUAAAAGUUUUGAAGAGAAAGCUGUGGACAUCCUGCCGAGAUUAGGAGAGAAGAGAUUUGUAUUGUUGUUAGAUGAUUUAUGGGAGCGGGUUGAUUUAACAGAAGUGGGCGUUCCACUUCCCAGCGCACAAAAUACUACCUCAAAAGUCGUAUUCACAACCCGUUCCAUUGGUGUUUGUGGCAGCAUGAGAGCUAGGCCGGUUAAAGUGGCAUGCCUAUCAGAAAAGCAAGCUUGGGAACUGUUCCGCGAAAAUGUUGGGGAAGAAACUCUUGAGAGUGAUCAUGAGAUCGUUGAGCUAGCCCAAACUGUGGCCAAAGAGUGUGAUGGUUUGCCACUCGCACUUAUUACUAUUGGUCGAGCUAUGGCCUACAGAAAGACAGCCGAGGAGUGGAGUCAUGCAAUUGAUGUGCUAAGAACAUCAGCUUCUGAGUUUGCAGGUUUGGGAGAGAAGGUGUAUCGUCUUUUAAAGUUUAGCUAUGAUAGUUUGCAGAAUGAUACGGUUAGAUCUUGUUUCUUGUACUGUUGUUUAUAUCCUGAAGAUUAUGGCAUUCUUAAAUGGGACUUGAUUGAUUGUUGGUUUGGCGAGGGAUUUUUUGGGGAAUCUGACAGGUCUGGUGCAGAAAACCAAGGAUAUGACAUUUUGGACACUCUUGUUCGUGCAUGUUUAUUAGAAGCGGUGGAAGAUGGUGAAGUAAAAAUGCAUGACGUUAUUCGUGAUAUGGCUAUAUGGAUAACUUGUGAAAUUGAGAAGGAGAAGAGAAACUUUUUGGUUCGUGCAGGUGCUGGAUUAAAAGAGGCACCGGAUGUUAAAGGAUGGGAAAAUGUGAGAAGAUUGUCAUUGAUGCAAAACCAAAUUGAAACUGUGUCAGAGGUUCCCACAUGCCCUCAUCUCCUCACUUUAUUUCUUGACUUUAAUCAGGAGUUGGAGAUGAUCGCGGAUGGCUUCUUCCAACUUAUGCCUUCUCUCAAAGUUUUGAAGAUGUCAAACUGUGGACAGAGGAGGUUGAAAUUACCUGUUGGGAUGUCAGUGUUGGGUUCAUCACUAGAACUUCUCGAUAUUUCAUGUACUGGCAUAACAGAGUUACCAGAGGAGUUAAAGAAGUUGGUAAAUCUGAAAUGUUUGAAUUUGAGGUGGACAGGUGCGUUAAUUAGAAUUCCACGGCAACUAAUAUCAAAAUUUUCAAGGUUACGUGUGUUGAGAAUGUUCGCUAUUGGCUAUGAUCGUUUUCAUGAAGCACCAGAAGACAGCGUUUUAUUUGGUGGGGGUGAAGUUUUGAUACAGGAAUUGCUCGGUUUGAAAUAUUUAGAGGUAUUGGAGUUGAGCUUGGGAAGUUAUCAUGCUCUCCAAAUUCUUUUGAGCUCAAAUAAGUUAAAAAGUUGUAUUCGAUCUCUUUGCCUCGAGUUCGCCGGAGAUACAGCGUCAAUUAUUGAUGCUACGGCUUUCGCAGAUCUAAACUACCUCAAUGAAUUAAAUAUUUAUAGUGGUUUUGAGUUGGAAGAGUUGAAGAUUGAUUAUACAGAGAUAGUACGAAAAAGGCGGGAACCUUUUGUUUUCCGCAACCUUCACCGUGUUACUAUACAUAGCUGCCAGAAGUUGAAAGAUUUGACAUUCCUCGUUUUUGCUCCAAACCUCAAGUCUGUUCAGCUACUCGAUUGCUAUGCUAUGGAAGAAAUAAUCAGCGUCGGAAAAUUUGCUGAGACUCCUGAGAUGAUGGGACAUAUAAGCCCUUUUGAAAAUCUCCAAAUGCUUGAUUUAGAAGAUUUGCCACAUUUGAAGAGCAUCUUCUGGAAGCCAUUGCCUUUCACUCAUCUGAAAGAAAUGGCGGUAAGUGGGUGUGAUCAGCUUGAAAAGCUUCCACUCGAUUCCAACAGUGCAAAGGAGCGUAAAUUUGUAAUUCGUGGAGAAGAAGACUGGUGGAACCGACUUCAAUGGGAGGAUGAAGCCACUCAAAUUGCUUUUCGUUCCUGUUUCCAACCUUAUUCCUGAGCGGUGGUCGCAAAUUUUGAUUCUCUGUUUUUAUUUCUGGUUAGUUUCUCUCUCUCUCUUUCUCUCUCGCUCUCUCUCUUUUUGUCUUCUGCAAAUCACAAUUAAAUGUUGAAUUAAUGGAAUUAAUGCUUCAUAAAUUUGCCGGCACAGCCACUACUUUUUUUUGGGGGGGGGGGGGGGGGGGGUCGAAUUGGUGCUCUGGUUUUUGACUUUUUGUUAGCGAUUUAAUUUCCUGUCAAAAGACGAGCGAGAAGAACAUAUAUAUGACGUAAACCAAUUGAUACUUUAUUUAUGUGCAUUGUAUGUAAUAAAUAUUAAGUAUACUUUAUUUUUGCCCUGUUCUCUGUUUUUAUUUCAGUCUCUCUCUCUCUCUCUCUGCUGUCUCCUGUCUCCUGCAAAUCACAAUUAAAUGUUGAAUUAUAUGGAAUUAAUCCUUCAUAAAUCUGCCUGCGCUGGCUUUUUUUUUUUUUUUGUGGGGGUCGAAUUGAUGCUCUGGUUUUCGACUACUUUUUGUUGUCAAAAUUUUCUCUGUUUUUUCAAAUUGAUGCUUUAUUGAUAUCUUCUUCGUGAAAAGUGAUUUAAUUUCCUGCCAAAAGACGAACGAGAAGAACAUUAGAGUCAAACUAAUGCUCACAUAAAUUUCCCGUAAGAAUAUAUAAUUAUUAAGAUAGAUCUGCUCUUUCAUUAAAUAUAUAUUCCUUUUUCACAUAUUAAUUGACCUUUAUUUAAUUUGUUUAAAAAGUUUAAUUAAUUGUUGUUUGCAGAGAAUCAUCUACGCCGCUCGCCGAUAAAAGUUGAGGUGUUCGAGCAGGUGCUUGCCUUUUUUUUUUUCUUUUUCUUUUUUCCCUGUUUUAAUAUUUCUUUAAAUUUUGAAAUUGUUUAAUUAUUCUUCUGGUUUGGAAUGUUGAUAAUAGUGUUGUGAAAUUAAUUUUUACAGGAUAAAAGGUUGUGGGACAUUUAUUAUCCAUGUCCUAUGUAUCUCAAGCUUAAAGGUCUCAGUGGUCCUCUAUUGGAAAAAGCAAGUUUAAUAUAUAUUAAUUGGAUAUCGUCGCCUGUAUAUAUAUGUAUAUACAUACAUACACAGCCACUCAUCGAUUAUAGACUUAAUUAUUUAAUUGAUUAUGUAAUCUCUCGUAGUUUCUUUGUGCAUUUUUAGUUAAUUUAAUGAAUAAACUCAAAUACAUUGUAAAUAAAACCAAAUUAAAUGUUCCCUAAAAUAUACGUAUAUGCCUCUCGAUGGCACACAAGGUUAAAUGUCAGCCCAUCGCGGGUAAUAUUAUUUCUAGCCGCCUUCAUUACGAGUUAAGAGUCAAUUAUUACUAAACUAAACUAGUCAAAACUCGUAAGUGCUAGAAAGUAGAAACGUUUGAUUCUAUAUAAAUGACUUCAAUUCAAUAUGUACCAAAGAGUAUCGAUAAUUGAACCCCAAAAAACUUUAAAAAAGAUUGACAAAAUUAAUUAUAUUAUUGUGUGUUUUUAGAAGAAAAAAUAAAAUAAUUAAUUAAUGUUAUAACACUAUGUUAGGUGAAAAGUCAGCUGUCUGGAAGAGAACAAACUUACUAAGAUAAGAGCCUUCUUCAGUAAUCAACCGAACGAAAAAGUCAUCUCUUUUCUUAUUUAUUUAGUAAAAAUAAGUAAAGGCCGAAAAUUUCCUAAAAUAUCUAAAUCCCUCUCUUUAAAAGAACACCAUAUGCUGCAUAACAUGCAAAUUAAUUUCCCAUAUGUGAUGCAAUUUUCUCCUCAACAUAUGCGCAAUUCUUUCCAUUCCGGCAUUUACACUCAAAUUUUCCUUCCUUUCUCUUUGUGGUUGAAUCUUACACCACAACUCAUGUGAUGCAAUCUCCUCUCGCUGCCUAAAUUGCACUCUCAGCAAAGCAGCAUAUGUAAGCAAGCUUGAAGAUAAUCUUGCUGCUCUGCGGAAGAACGGCAAAAGUUAAUCGAAGCAAGGACUGAUGUAUCAGAAAAAUUUUGGUGGAGAAUUCAGCACAAACAUAUUUCGGAUGAUCAGAAUCAAUAAAACAUGGUGGUUGCGCCAUAUAAACAUCUUCGGAAAGCUGGCCUUGAAGAAAGGCGUUUAUUGAUAUCCAAUUGACGAAGAGGCCAGCCAUGACUAACAUCAAUACUAAGAACAAGCCGUACUGUGGUGGGCUUAACAACUGGACUGAAAGUGUCAUAAUAGUCCACACCAGGCCGUUGAUUGAACCCUUUGGCAAUAAGACGAGCUUUGAACCUGUCAACAGAACCGUUGGAAUGUCUUUUAAUACAAAAAUCCAUUUGCAGCCAACAAUAUUGGAAAGGAUGGGAGGUGGAACAAGCUUCCAUGUCCCGUUAAGAACAAGAGCAUCAUACUCUUCUGACAUAGAUUGACGCCAGUGAGGAUUUUUGAUAGCUUGCGUCACAGUUGUAGGUUCACAAUCAGAAGGAGGGCUAAAAUGAGCACAGAGGUUAAGUUUUUGUAACGGCUUGUGAAUGUUAUUUUUAGCUCCGGUAGUCAUAUCAUGAUGAUUUGUGGGGCAACGAUCUAGUGGAGUUUGGGAAGAUGAUUGAACAGGAAGUGAAGAAGUGCUUUGUGUAGAGGUAGAAAUAGGUUGGGAGGAUUGCUGCGGAGAUGUUACCGGUAGAGAAGAAGGAGCAGUACACGGUGGCAACUCCAAAGGGCCCACAAUAGAUGGAGUAGGUGCCGACGAUGGAGUACUAGGAAAUGAAACAGUAAGAAUUGGUGGAACACUUGCGUAAUUAGGAGUUGUAGAUGAGCUUGUAAUGAUUUGUAUGGAAAAACAAACUCUACAAAUUUAACGUGACGUGAAAUAAAAAUUUGAAAGGUGGAUGGGUCAAAACAUAAAUAAGCACUUUGAGAUAAAGGAAUAUCCUAGAAAAACACAAGGCUUAGAGGGUGGUUCGAGUUUAUGUGAUGAAACACAAACAUUCAAAAUUUUUUAAGUUUAUAUUAAUUAGGAGUGGUACCAAAAAUUAAUUGGCUAUCGGGUUGUUGGAUGUGUUUUGGAUAUUUACAGCUAAGUUUGAGUAUCUCAACUUAAAAUUUGUAGCUUUCACUUGAAAAAAUUCAGUUAAAAUUUGCAAUGCAGACUGAUUGAUUUAUCAGUUUAACGUGUGCCAGGAAUGAAGAACUGGAAUAUCACCGUCAAGCAAGCACCCUGUGGAGCAAUACCAAACAAUGUACAAUCCGGCUUUGCUAGGUGACACUGGAGGCUUUUUGAAAAGUGCUUCACGCUCACUUGCACAGAUUGAGCAUCCCCUCUGGAUAUUGCCCUCUCUGAUCGAGUCUGAGCACUCAAAUUUUGGUCCUCAGAGGGAGCUACAGUUUUCUCUCCACUAACCAACAAUUUUCUAAACUCAGCACCUAGUGUGAUCUUGAGCCAUAUCUAAAGCAGUUUGAAGUUCAAGUACUUGAGCCCUUGACAAUGGUUUUAAAAUUGGAACAUCUUGGAUUACUGCAGACUUGUACCCCUUGGUUUCAAAGUAAGGAAAGGUAUUGCUUGAGUACAAUUUGGAGGCAGCUUCUUCACCAAUUUUAUUUGGAGGCGAUUGGCAGCGGAUCCAGCUGCACGAAGACUAAACAAGUCAGAUGCAGUUUAUUUGUCCAAGCACAAAUUGCAUUUUGUCCUCAACUUUAAUAUUUAUUGAUGAGAAUCAAUACAGGUCCCUCAUUUGUUAUAGAAAGCUUUAUUGUAGUCUCACCAGUUAAUUCACAGGUCUAUAAUCAUCUUGCAAAGUUAAGGGCAUUUCUUUCGAUCUAAAGUCUUUGCAUCACCACCUCAUCACACGCCAAGCCAAUAUUCCAUUUACCUCUGCAACAAAAAGUUUUAAGUAAACAAUCCUAAUGCACGCAGCCAAAUAAAAUGCAGUAAGAAUAUUCAACUUAAAAAUCUGAAAGCCAACUUGGUGAAUUGCCUCCUUAGGUGAAGUUCCAUGCUUUACUAUAGUUGACAGAACUCAGCAAAAGCUUCCAUACAACAGAUUUUGAAAAUGAUGAUGCCAAUAGAUACUCAUUCAAUCCAUUGAAAAUCCAAAGGUUCAUUGUUAAUAGAAGUUUACAGAGUUUUGGUCAUCAAAUAGCUCAGACCUAAUCCCAAACAAAAAACGAGUGAAAAUUAGAUCACGAGCAGCUAAUUGUAAAUUCUAACUUAACUCUUCAUCUCCUUUGUAAACAAGAAACAAAAUGGAGACACGCAAAAUGAAUAUGGAGAAAAUUUGAACUCAAAUGAAAUGAGGGCACGAAAGCAAACAAAUGGCAUGCACAAAAAAACCAAGCCUCAAUCAAAAACUAAUUAACCAUUAAGAAAAAAAUUGGUCAGAGAAUGAACUCCAAAUUCAGGAGUCAAGCAAGAAGCUUUCAUCAUUUCAGAAGCUCCUGUACAAAAAAACCAAGCCUCAAUCAAAAGCUUUCAUUAAUAAGUUAUGCUCUUUGGAAGCAAACCUAAAUUCCAAGAGAAACAGAAGCCAAAAAAUUUGCAAUUAUACGCAAAGGAAGUGAAGCACAGGAUUCUAUCACACAUAGGAAUUGUAUAACAAGAGAUCGAUAUAUCGAAUUAGAAAACUCAAUUCGAAUUUGUGUGAAAAAUCAAAAUUAGAAGAUUUCACAUUUCGAGAGGAACAAGCAACAGAUGACGUUCAAAAUUUCAGCCAUAACAUGCUAAAAAUGCUACACUUAACGGUUCAUUUUCAUGGAUUUUCUCGGGAAACAAACAGAAAAUUACGGUUCAGAGAGUUGACUGACCUUUUGGCUUUUGAAAUUGAGAAGAUCGCGCGCCAAAUUGGAAGAGGGAAAGUGAAAGUGCGAGUUUUAAUAUGGGUAGAUAAGGAAAUUUUAUUAGGUUGCGAGGGUAAAAAAGGAAAGAGAUAUCAUUAUUUUAUCAUCGAUAAUUAUUAAAUUUUUUUCCAAAAAAAAGAACAAGCAAGGAUAUUUUAUUGUCAUUACUAAGUUAAAAAAAAUUGUUUCAAAAUUACUUGAGUCAUAUCCAAUGGACCAACAAAGUAAUCGUUUUUAUUUUUAUUGAUUUUUGCAGGAAAUUAAUAACUUAAAAAUACUGAAAGCUAUUGUAAAAAUUUUUAUUAUCAACCUCAUAGUUUUUUUUUUUUGGGGGAAGAGAAUUCAAACAUUUUUUUUUUAAAUUUCCAAGAAUUCUUGACACCCGUCUUAAUUAAAAGCUAUAUUUUUAUUCAAGAGUCAUGCUAUUCAUUCACUCACAGACCAAAGGCUUUCCGCAGCAAUAUUAUUAUUUAAAUUACAACAAAGGGGAAAUCAAAUACGUCAUACAGAAGCUUAAAGCUGAAUCAACAAAAUCUAGAGCUCUCAACUACAAAAAUUACACUUGAUGAUCCUCUACAAGAUGAAGCUUGUUCAAUAUCUUAUCCAAAGCUUGUAAAGUAACCUUGUAACGAUCUUGAGAUUGCCUGCCUUCCUCGACGACCUGCACGAUGCGUUUGUACAAAUCAUCAUACCUGUGCACCGGAUUUUUAAUAUCAACGCCACUGCAGCUGUGAUUAAGAAAAUAAGAGCGUUUAACAUCUUUUCUCCAUCGAGAAAGAAUGUACUGAGAUGGGAUCUCCUGCACGCCACUCUGGUUUAGAACACAAAGAAUGUGUCUGCAUAAAUAUCCUCUGAAAUUGAACAACCCACAAACGCAAAGCACCUCCAAGUUGGAGGCAUUGUACAAAACAUCGAAAGCCCUUGAGUCUUUCUCAUUGCUACCAACCUCGAAUUCUUCCUUCACUAUGUAUGUUAUAGGUCCAUCAGCACUAACAUGUUUUGUGCUAUAGCAAGAGUACAUAGCCUCCACCUCCGUCUGAAACUUCCUUAACAUUUCAUUUGUGUACAGUUUUGAGAGUUGAAAUUCAUAGUAACAUCUUGGUUUCUGGAUACAACUUGAAUUUCUUGAAUCCAUAUCUGCCAAGGCUUCCAGUUGAUAAUUCGCCCGCAGUGCUUGAUCAUACUUGUCUAAGAAUUCUUUCAAAGGAGUAUUCUUAUCAAGAUAUCCUUCAAAGUAUGAAGUAGAAACCUCAUUCUGCGGGAACGAAAACACUCCUGAUAAAAAAGCUUCCUUCAAAUAAAUAGGAGCCCACCUUUUACGAUCUUCAUAUAAAGUUUGAAUCCAUCCGUGAUCCUUUAUUCCAUGACGUUGAAUCAUGUCUUUCCAAGCUGCUUCAAAUUUCUCAGGCCUGAGAGAGUGAUAAAUUGCUCUAUGUAAUGCAGCUUUAAUAGCUUCAUAUUCAAACAAUCCUUGGAGUUUCACUGGAAUUUUUUGCAUGAUGCAUGACAAUGAAAAGCAACGAUAAGCUCUUGGGAAAACAUCGCCAACAGCAAUUUGCAAGAUUCUACAUUGGUCAGUGAUGAUUGUUUGUGGAGAGCGCCCUAACAUACAUGUAAGCCACGCCCUAAACAACCAUGUAUAUGAUUCUAUGGUCUCACUGGCAAGUAAACCACAACCCAACAACACUGAUUGUCCAUAAUGAUUCACCCCAAUGAAUGAAACCAGUGGUACAUCAUAUCUUUCAAUCAAGCACGUAGUAUCAAUUAAGACUACAUCACCAAAGUACCUAUAUGCAACUCUUGACCUGGUAUCAGUCCAGAACAGGUUUCUCAAGCAUCCCUUUUCAUUUAGAUCCACUACAUUAAAAAAGUUUGGAUCUGUCAACUGCAAACGACAAAAGAAACUCUGGACAGCUUGUGCAUCACCUGGUUUAAGCUUCAAUUGAUUUGAGCUAUUAACAUUAUUUCCAAAUACUCCAUUAACAUCUACAUUACCAUUUCCCUAGGCAUCAAUGAUAAGAGUUCGAAACAGUUUAAUUUUUUGAACUUCUUCAGCACUAUCUAAAUGCAAUGUUCUUUUGGUUCCAAUACCUAUGUGCUUAUGUGACUUGCAAAACUUUCCACUUCUUGGGCUUAACAAGUGGUUAUGCUCAAGCUCGACUUCAAUGAUUCUCCACCUUUUGGUUUCCAUCAACCUAAACUUUAUCAUUGCUGGACAGCCAGCUCUUGUUUCUGGUCUUGGACGGUUUGCCUCACUUUUCUUCUUGAAGCUUGCACUACUACAGCUCAGCUUUCCUCUAUACUUUUCUCUACUCUUUCAGUACCAGGUAUUGCUAACUCUAACACCAAAACCCUGUUCCUUGGCAUAGCAAUUGUAAAAGUAAUAUACAUCAUCGUACAUCUCAAACUCCAUUCCAACAGCAGGAGGCAAGGGAUUUUGGAUUAUCCCAGUUUGUCCAACAUAUUCAGUCAUCGCACAAUCUCCUACGACCUCAAAAUCAUCAGUGUCAUCAUCACCUAUUGGUUCGGUGUUGAGAGAAACUUCAUCCAUCUACAAUGGAUGUUCAAUGAAGUGAGCUUUAAGGAGAAAAAGCAAAAUCAGUUCAAGGAAUCAUAGUAUAAUCAUACAGUUACUUUCACAAAGCUUCAUAUUUCAUCACUGCUUUACCAACAUGCAACUGCCAGAGAACAAACAGACAUGUCAUAGACGCUUGAAUUAAGUAUUGGUACAAAUGAGCACACAUCAUGUGGGACAAAAUUUCAGUCACUAAACCCAAUACCACUUUUUACAUCAUACCAAGGAACAGAUUAAACCCGACACCUUCUUUUAAACCAUACCAAGGAACAGAUUAAAUCAUCAAUGAAAAAUUAAUCACAUAAUAACUUAACCAGACAAAUGAAGAGCCUGAAACAGCACAAAACUUGAAUCUGAUUAUGAUAAUUGUUGAGUCCUUGUAUCUACAGCUUUCCUUCAAUGAUAAGACAAUGAACAUAAACGAGACACAAAAAAUUUAUUUUAAACUGACAGCCCAUGAUAUAAAUCAAACAAAAUCAACUCCUUUUUUUACACAUCACAUCUCAUAUUCAUUUACAUUGAAACACAAAAAGGAAGCGGGAGUGGGAAAAAAACAACAGCAGAGGAACUUAUUUCCAUAAGGUUUACGAAAUAAGGAAUCUAUUAAAACCCAAAACUUGAGGUCACCACAAAGAAUUUGGUUCUCAUUAUUUUUUUCUUCAUUUUUCACCAAUUGAUGAACUUAAAAUACAAUCAUAAAUGAUAAAACCCCAUCUCAAUCUUUUUGAACUAGAGCUAAAGCAAAGCAUUUUAAGAUGUUUCAUCAUUUUUUUUUUAAAAAAAACCUCAAUAGUACAAUGUUUUUACUCUAAUAAUCUCUUAAUUAAGGAAGAUUAAGCUUCAGUUGUAAGCUAAAACAAAUUUCUUAAAUCAAGCCCCAAUGCUUUAUGCUAUUCAACAAGGGCUCAUAAAUGAUAAAACUACUUCUACAAAGAUACCCAUUUUCUAAAUUAAUUUCAAAAACUGAAAUCAAACUCCUGAAACGUAACGAGCAUUAAUAUAAUCAAACCCGAACAAGAAUUGAAAAAUGACACAUAAACUCGUUUACACAUUUCGACAGACACUUUGCAAUCAAUGAGCAAAAAAUUAAUGGAGAAGAUAAAAUUCAAACGAAACAUGCCUUACAUUGAUCAAUUAGAAGGGCAAAAGAAAUUUUAGUACGAUAUGGGAUCAGGGUCUUGCCACGGUGAUGUUAUUUGUGAUGUUCGAGCGACUCAGCGGCCUUCGAGGUUGAAAAUUUGAUUGACCAAAAGCUUCCCGUUUGUUGAUUCUCUAAUAGCAGAAACGAGACUGGCAGUAAACACAACAACUUCGCUGAUUUUAAAUUCCGUUGUUUGAGAUGGAAAACUUUUUGAAAAAAUUAAUGUGUUCGAUGAAUAUCAAAAUCUAAAAAACUUUUUGUUUUUCAUUUUUUUGGAAAAAACCAUUGAGAUCCUUACUAUUUUUUCUUAUAUCAUCUUGCUUAAUAAUUUGCAAAGUCUAUCGCAUAGCACCCAUGCAUGAUGUAUGCUGCGUAACUGCGUUGUAAUUUACAAAAUUGUAAAUUUGUUAAAAGAAAAUAAUAAUAACAAGUUAAAACUUUAAAAUUUUUAUCAUUCGAAGAAAUUUUAAUUUAGUUAAGUAGGUGACAUGAUAAUAAAUAGAUACGUAUAAUGUCCGAGAUUUUUUAUAAGAUUAAUAAAUAUGAUAAAUUUGGAUUAGUUCAAUUUUGACGUAAUUCAGAAUAAACACAUCUUCCUAAUCUAAAAAUAAUUACAAACAAUUUAAUUUGUGUUGUUUCUCUAAAAGUUUGAGACACAAAUGUUAUUGCAAAUUGAAACGCCAUGCACUAGUAGAAGGUAAGAGAAACCAAGGUUGAAGUUACUGUUCAUUUAUUUUUAUUUAUGAUUUUUUGUAAAAUGUAAGAAAUAUGUAGAAAUGUUGCCAGCAAUGAUUUUGGAACUUUGCAUAAAAUUUUUAUCAUUAUUGUUUUUGGUAUUAAGAAAUCCGAGGCGGUGAUUAGUCGUAUGUUGCAACAAUUAAGAAAUUUCUUAUUGGAGAUAAUUUGGUAGGUUGCAACAAUUAGAGAAUAAUUUUCCUGUCAGUUAAUCAAUCAAUAAUAAAUUUCAAAUUGCAGAAAAUAAAAUAAUACUGUCGCACUUAGAAUCAUCUUUUCUAUUUCUUUCAAUUGUGACAAUCAUUUGUAACAAAUAAAUCAAUUUGAUGCACAUCAUUUCCCCAAUUCAAAGUUCAAGUCACUGCUCAAUUGCAGGGUAGUUAGUAGACAUGCAUGCAUGUUUAAUUAAGUACUGCAUUGUAAUAUAGAAAAUCAUAACAUCUCACCAAGCCCGGAAGCAUAGCUCUUUAUCUUGUAAAUGUUGAAAUCUUAUGCAAACUAUGGGAAACAUGAUCUCACUCUCAGUGCCACUUGAUUCCAUUUUCUUUGUUGGGAAUGCUACGAAGUCUAAGCUUGAAGAUAAUCUCGAUGCCUUGCGGACUGCAAUGGAAAAAUAAGCGGAAACGAGAAAUGAUGUGAUAAAUUGUGAGCCAACAAUAGUGGGCAUGGUGUCGACUUUUGAGAAAGCCUGGAGAUGCCUUGAAGAAGAAUCAGUUGGAAUUAUUGGCCUGUAUGUUAAUGGGGGAGUUGGAAAAUAUUUACUCAAAUCAACAACAAGUUCCUUGAUGGUCCAAAUAAUUUUGAUGUUGCGAUCUGGGUAGUGGUCUGCCAAGAUUUACAACCCCAGAAGUUUCGGGAAAAGAUUGGGAAAAAGAAAGGCUUGUUCGAUGAGUCAUGGAAGAACUGAAGUUUUGAAGAGAAAGCACUCGACAUAUUCAAGAAUUUAAGCAAGACGAAGUUUGUAUUACUGCUGGAUGAUAUAUGGGAGCAGGUUGAUUUAAUUAAAAUUGGUGUCCCUCUUCCAAGCACAAAAAUUACAUUCAAGAUAGUCUUCACAACUCGUUUUAUUGACAUUUGUGGCCUCAUGGAAGCUCACAACAAGAUUAAAGUGGAGUGUUUAAAUGACGAAGAAGCAUGGGAAUUAUUCUGCAAGAAGGUUGGAGAAGAUGUGGCGACUCUGUCCAAGUGCUAAGGAGAUCAGCCUCAGAAUUUCUAGGUAUGUAAAAAUGAGUAUAUAUAUCCACUUUUGAAAUUCAGUUAUGAUAAUUUACCUAGCGAUAAAAUUAGAUCGAGUCUGUUAUACUGUAGUUUGUUUCUGGAAGACUUUCCAAUUAGCAAAACGGAAUUGAUACAUUGUUGGAUAAGCGAGGGCCUUUUGGAUGAAACUAAUAGUUCUGAGAUAUGAAAUCAAGGAUACUACAUUAUUGGUGUUCUUGUUCCUUUAUGUUUAUUGGAAGAAGAGGCUCCACUAUAUGUAAAAGUGCAUGAUGUGAUACGCGAUAUGCUUCUGUGGAUCGCAUGUGAAGUUUUUUUUUUCUUUUUGAUAGGGAUAGCAUGUGAAGUUGAGAAGGAGAAAGAGAAUUUUUUGGUUCGUGCAGGUGCAAGGAUUAACUGAAGUGCCAGACAUUUGGAAAUGGGAAGGGUUGAGAAGGGUGUCUUUCAUGAGCAACAAAACUGAGAAGUUAUCAGAAAUUCCUUCAGAUCCCCAUCUACCGACUUUGUUGCUUCAACGUAAUUAUUUAGAGAUGAUCAAUAAUGACUUCUUCCAAUCUAUGAAUUCCCUUAGAGUUUUGAACUUAUCAUGUAAUCAUUCUCUAAUUGAUAAUUUCAAAGUUAGUUUCCCUACAACAUCUUAAUUUAUCAAUGACUAACAUACGAGAGUUGCCGAAUGAGUUAAAGUUUGUAGUGAAUCUAAAGUUUUUGAAUGUGGAGUAUGCACGGUUUCUUCAUUCAAUUCCAGGGCAAGUGAUAUCCAGUUUUACGAUGUUACACGGUUUGAAGAUGUUUGGUUGUGGGAGGUCAUCUUCUGAUCAUGAGCCACACUAGAAGAUAGAGUUUUAUUUGAAGGCUGUAAACUUUUGAUUGUGGAGUUGUUUGGUUUGAGAGACAUCUAGAUGUGUUGACCAUCAUCCUAACAAGUUCCCUUGCUCUGAAAAGAUUUUUGAGCUACAACAAACUUCAAAGUCGUACUCAAUCUCUCUAUCUUAAAUGCUUUGAUUCAAAUCUUCUUGUUUUUUCCAUAAAACAUUGCCAUGAUAUGGAGGAAAUACUCAGUGUCGGAAAAUUAGGUGAAGAGAUGAUGUCAAAUCUGGAACCUCUUACAAAACUCCAAGUUCGUUGCUUGAAGAAGCUACCAAAUUUGAAGAGCGUCUACUGGAAGGCCUUGCCCUUGCCCAAUGUAUGCAUAAUUUUUGUAUCUAAAUGCCCAGAACUUAAGAAGCUGCCGCUGGAUUUUGAAAGGGCGGGCGAAGGUAAAAUUCUUAUCAAGUGAAAGGAAAAUCGAUGGAAACGACUUCAAUGGGAGGAUCAAGCAACUCAGAAUGCAUUGCUUCUGUUUUUCAAAUCUAGUGAUUGAAGGGGGCAACAUCAACAUCAUCAGCCUGGAUGGGGAGAUUCUGGAGCAGAUCAGUAGGGUUUGAAUCUACAUCAUUAACAUCAUCAGGGUCUGUAUUUCUAUUGCUGGUCUUAAUGCUUGCUUACUGUUGCUUGACAAAGUGAGCCAGUUUUUUGUUUAUUAAAUUUUGUCUUGUAGAGACAGUCACAAAGUAUGGGUUGUUCUAUGUGAGAGUGAUGUGAAUCAAUUUUUCAAUUAUAUAUUCUGUGGUCAUUGUGAAUUUUGUUUAGAGAUGCAAACUUAGAAUAUGGAAAAGUUCAUCGGCAAACAUUUUGUAAAAGCUUCCAACUGAAGUUUUCAUAAUUAAAUAAUAAAAAAAUAGGAAGUGACGAAAAAAUUAUCCUAGGUGUUACGAAAAAACAUGAGCUCCGAAAAUAUUGGAAGUGACGAAAACUUAGGGCUAGGGUUUGAGAACUCUAACCCGCCACCACUGCAAGAGGACAGGACGACUAAGAAGGCCCGGUUUCGGGCUGAGGGAAUUGAUGCUGAUAAUCCUCAUAAACCCUCUUGGAGAGAUAAGGCUAUGGAGGCAGUCACGGUGAUGGCAGGUCAGACAGGAAGGAUUGGAGAGUUGGGUUACGGCAGUGUAUGCUAGCCCUAUUCCAACAGUCCUGCGUGAAUUAUGGUAUCACCUUGCAAGUAUUGCUUCUCAAAUGUUGGAUCCGUGGUUGGUGGGCGGAGAUUUCAAUGCUAUCUUAUACGCACAUGAGAAGAAAGGGGGCUCGAACCGAAUAAGUGGCACUUGCAAUUUAUUUAAUCAUUGGUUUCAUUCUUGCAGGAUGCUUGAUCUAAAGUUCUCCGGCCCUCGCUUCACUUGGUCUAGGGGAAACCUUUCUAAACGAUUGGAUAGAGCGGUUUGCAAUAAUGGAUGGCUAAUAAAACAUGCAAAUAGUAGUGUCAUGCAUCUUCCAAAAAUUGAUUCCGAUCAUCGGCCUAUUCUAGUCAAGUUCCAGAACAUGGAUUCCAAGCAUGGGGGCCCGAGGCCAUUUCGAUUUUUGGCUGCAUGGCUCACAGAUGAGAGAUUUGGGAGUUUUAUGAAUGAUAGCUGGAAUAAGGGAGAGAAUUUUCUUGAGGCAGUGGCUGAUUUUACUCAACAAACUAGGUGGUGGAAUAAGGAAAUUUUUGAAAAUAUUAUUUAUCGGAAGCGGAAAUUGUUGGCUAGAAUAGGUGGGAUCCAAUGAAUUUUGGAAGCCAAGCCUAACCAUAGCCUUACUAGACUUGAAGUUAAGCUUCAGAAGGAGCUCGAAGAGGUUCUCACUCAGGAAGAAUUAUUGUGGCUUCAGAAAUCCAGGAGAGAUUGGACUUUGUAUGGUGACCGCAACACUGCUUAUUUCCAUAAAAAAAUGCUAACCAGGCAUCGCCAGAAUCGGAUUACUGCAAUUCAAAAUGAUACUGGGCAGUGGAUACACGACGUCGAGAUCAUUAAGCAACGUGCAGUCAAUUUCUUUUUGGAAUUAUACACGCCUGAACAAGGGGUGCAUAGAACAUAUAAUGUCAGGGGGUGUUUCCCUGAGACGUCAGAUGAUAUUUGUUUAAGUUUGAUGUCUGCGGUAACAGAUGAGGAAAUCAGACAUACUAUUUUCAGUAUGAGUCCUUUUAAAGCUCCUGGAGUUGAUGGCUUUCAUGCUAGUUUUUACCAAGCGCAAUGGAAUACAGUUGGUAUGUCUUUGAGCUCUUUAAUCAAAAAUAUUUUUAAUUCUAAUCAUAUCCCUGCAGAGAUCAACAGAACCUUGCUGGUGCUCAUUCCUAAAGUGUAUCAUCCAACAAGCCUCAAGAUGUUUCGGCCGAUCAGCCUUUGCACAAUUCCGUAUAAAACGGUGACGAAAAUUAUUGCAAAUAGGUUACAGGUUUUUCUUCCAGAUCUCAUUGGACCCCAACAAACCAGUUUUGUACCGGGUCGGCAUAUUACAGAGAAUAUUGUUAUUGCUCAAGAGGUAAUCCAUACAAUGAAGAAAAAUGUGGGGGGUAAAAGAAUGAUGGCGGUUAAAGUGGACUUGGAAAAGGCUUAUAACCGGUUGAGUUGGCGAUUUGUUCAGGAAACUUUACAGGAAGUUGGGCUACCGGAGCGAUUUAUUCACCUCAUAAUGGAGUGUUUGUCCACAGCCCAAAUGAAUGUUUUGUGGAAUGGAGAAAUGACUGAAGAUUUUCGGCCAGGGAGAGAAAUUCGACAAGGAGACCCUCUUUCGCCUUAUAUUUUUGUGCUUUGUAUUGAAAGAUUAAGUCAUGGGAUUAUCCAGGCGGUUAAUCAAGGUAGAUGGAAACACAUUUGACUGACUCGAACUGGCACUCCUCUAAGUCAUUUAUUUUUUGCGGAUGAUCUGCUUCUCUUUUUGGAAGCAAGUUACGGCCAAGUUGAUGUAUUGAAUGAUGUGGUGGAGAAUUUCUGUAGGAGCUCGGGCGCUAGAGUUAGUAAUCAAAAGACCCAAGUCUUCUUCUCCAAAAAUGUCCCGGUCACUUUAGCCAAUGGAAUUGGCAAGGCUUUAGGCUUCUCGGUUACAAAUAAUUUGGGAAGAUAUCUUGGCAUGCCUCUUCUUCACGAUCGGGUUUCUAAGAAAACGUAUCAGAGUAUCAUUGACAAAAUUGAUCAGCGGCUAUCAGGAUGGGCAGCAAAGCAAUUGUCUCUGGCAGGGAGAGUUACUCUCACUCAAUCGGUGCUUCAGGCAAUCCCGAUUUACGCUAUGCAAACCACGUACCUCCCAUCUAGUGUCAGAGUUAAAAUUGAUCAAUUAUGUAGAAGAUUCAUUUGGAGUGGGGCUGGUUCUCAACGCAAGUUAAGUUUGGUUAGCUGGGACAACAUUUGUAGGCCUAAGAGCAAUGGAGGGCUCGGUUUCAAGGACAUGGAACUUAUGAACAAAGCCUUACUAAUGAAAGUGGCUUGGGAUUUAUUCAUAAAUCCUAGCAAGCUGUGCUCCCAGGUUUUAAUUUCUAAUUAUGUUGCGCCUUGUGAUAUGAUUACUACUGAUGCUUCAUUUAAAAAUGGUUCCUAUUUAUGGCGCUCUAUGGGUAAGAUUUGGAAAGACUUCCAGAAGGGUUUGCGUUGGAGUAUUGGAAAUGGCCAACGGGUGAAGUUUUGGGAUGAUAUUUGGGCUACAAAUGGUGAUCCCUUAAUCAACUAUACGGUGGCUUCAAUUCCGGAUAGCAUGCGAAAUAUGUUGGUGGCGGAUUGUGUGGAUCAAAAUGGGAAUUGGUUGUGGAACAUAUUCAACUCUUUUUUGAAUAACCAUGCUGUUUUAAGGAUUGCUUCCAUGGCUCCUCCGUCGUCAAUGAGAGGCGAGGAUAGGAUGUAUUGAGGUGCAUCAAAUACUGGCAAUUUUACAGUCCAAUCAGCUUACCAAGUGCUUACGAAUUUUUGCCCCGCUGAAGACUGUCAAGACUGGCAACAUUUGUGGAAAUGGAAGAGGCCUCAAAGCGUAAGAAUUUUUCUAUGGUUAUUAUGCCAUGAUCAAUUGAAGACGGGAUGUGAGCUUGCUAGAAGGCAUCUGGACGUCGAGGCUUUAUGUGGGAGGUGCCAUGCAGACGUUUAGAAUUCUUUGCAUGCAAUUCGAGAUUGUGAUUAUUCGAGAGGUGUUUGGCGGAAGCUUGUUCCCGCGCUUAGACAACAUGACUUUUUUAGUUAUCCUCUUUGGCAAUGGAUCAUGACAAAUCUUAGGAGAAGAGUCUGUGAUAUGGGGAGCUUAUUUUGGCCGAUUAUGUUUGGUAUUGCGGCUUGGAGAAUUUGGUAUUGGAGGAACCAGGUGAUGUUCAACAACAAGAGCUGGAAUGGUGAUUUGAUCGUUCGAGAUAUUAAGGCAAGGACUGAGAGUAUUUGUUCUACUCUUUCAAGCAUAGGCUAUCGAAGAAAUGAAAGGAUUCAGAAAUGGAUUCGUUGGGCUCCUCCACCAUGGCCUUUCUUGUGCUUAAAUACGGAUGGUGCAAGGAAAGGAAAUGGAGAGGCGAGUGCAGGUGGGCUGCUGCGGGACUGUCAUGGUAAUUUUAUUCAUGGUUUCAGCGCACAUCUCGGAGUUUGUUCAGUUCUAAAGGCUGAACUUUGGGGUGUCUUGCAUGGGUUAAGAAUGGCAUGGGAUCUUGGCUAUAGACGUAUCCAAGUUGGAGUAGACAACUGUAGUGUGGUGCAAAUUAUAAGGGAAAAUAAUGCUCAUGUCAACGAAAUUUCGAAUAUAAUCGAGAUGAUUAGAGAACUCAUGAGGAGGGAUUGGAGGAUUCAAAUUGAUCACAUCUACCGCGAAGCAAACUCGGCAGCUGAUUUCCUUUCUACGCAUGCUUUGAGUUUACUUGUUGGAGUACAUUUUCUUCAUUCUGCACCUUUAGGUUUGAGAUCUAUUUUAUAUUUGGAUAUGUAUGGGGUGGCACACUCCCGGUUUGUGCCCCUUUAGCUCUUCUCUUUUAGAGCCUUUUGUUUAUCAAAAAAAAAAAAAAAGCUUCCAACUGAAAUAGGGAAUGCACUUACUACUAAGGACAGUUGGUGGCCACCUAAUGCAUUCAUUUUAUAUCAAUUCAUCAUUUUAAUUAUUGAAAACAAGUGGCUCAUCGCUUUUACUUUAGGUAAAAUUCGGAUAAUCUCUAUUAUGAAAUGAUAAUAUUCUCUUAAAUUAUUAUAAACCUCAGCCAAUCUUAAUUUUAUUUAAAAGAUAAAAGAAAAAUAGGUUAUGUUGGUGACUUUUUUCUUAUCUUUUUAAUAAAAAUAAAAUAAAUUGAUGUUUAUAAUUGUUUAAAAUACUUUAAAGAUUGUUAUUUUAUGAGAGAGUAAUAUUUUACUUUUUUAUUGUGAAAUGCUAAAAAGGACAAAGCAAGUGUCCCUGGUUUUUAUUUUAUUUGAAAUUGGUCAUCUCAUAUACUUUACGUUUCAACACUACAAUUUUUUUGGUUAUAUUUUUAUUAUUUUUUUCUUUCUUACACAUGCACGUAAAUUUUCUUUCUUUAAGCUCCUGAAUAUUUAAGACAAAUCAUGGAAGAGAUGAAAGUAUAACAAGAUGAUCAAAAUACGUAACAAAAAAUUUACAAGUGAAACAUACGUUAGAGUCGAAGUAAAACUCUGAAAAUAGAGAUAUUGAUUAAUUUAGAAGAGAUGCAAGCAAAAGAUUUUCUUAAAAAAAAGAAAAGCAAUUUGUCCCUUUCCAGGGCAAACUUGUUAGUCUCAAAAAGGUACAUUCUUUGAAUUGAUAGUUGCAGGAUUUUUGUCUUGUUUUUGUUGUUGUGCAUUAGUUGGAGAAGUCAAGCCUAGUGAAAAAUGUUAUGAAAGAGCAAAGGAUAUUUCUGACAGCUUUAUUUAAUUAUGUAUUCAUUUAAUGGAUGUAUUGUUAGAAGAUAUUUAAGUGCAUUAGUUCAUCCGUGUCUGUUGAUGUGCUUUUAGUGAUUUUUCCAGCUGUUUGUUGUAAAAGAUGAUUGUAAAUUGAAAUGAACUUGAUGUUGUAAUAUUUUCUCUUUUGUGGAAUCUCAGUUGUGUUGUCUAUAAUUUUAGUCAAAAUUAUUGUUAUUAUUUCUUACUAGAGGUAAAUUUUUUAUUAAACCUCAUUAACACAAUUCUUAAUUAAAAGUAUAGGUUAGUGUCGGUGCAGGAUUUGCAGCACCAGAUCCUGCCUAGCUACGUGUCAAAAAUACAAAAUAAAUGAAGAGAAAGCACAAAUACAUGACUUGGAUUAGGAUAGAAGGAAACUUAAAUCUUAAAGAAAAUGAUAGCUAUAUCCCACUAUUUGAAAAAAUGGUCAUGUAGAUUUUUAAGAUUUAAAUAAGGGACGGAGAUCUUCUUUUGACAAAUAAUAUCUUUUAGCUCUCUCAAGUAAAAAAAAAAUUAAAUAUUUUAUAAUAAAUAAAAAUAUAAUAUUAAAAUAUACGUGAUAAUAUAUACAUUUUAAAUAAUUUCAAUCCAAAAAAAUAGUUAUGUUUUAUCGAAUCUACCUAUGUUACAAUAGUAGUAUGGUACCACAAUAUUUGUUCUUAUCCAAUGUAAUCAUUGGAUGAUUUAGAGCUUAAUCUAACGGCUUAAAUUAUUUUUCUGAAUAUUUGAAGCAACAACUUGCAACCGUUGGAGCCGGUUGCAUAUUAAUUUAAUAUCAUUUGGGGAAGCGUACGGUCAGGAAGUUUCUUAGUAUGCCACCAAUGGAAUUUGAUUUCAUCUCAAAUCGAUCUGCAGGCAGCAAUUGGGAAAUUACACUCACGGUCUUCCUCUUCUUCACUUCCUCUCUACUCUUCACUUUUCUCACUCUCGCGAUGUUUACAGCAUGAUAAGUACAAUUACAAACCAGGAAAUGCCAUUAACAAUUUUCAUUUGUCUUAGUCGUUUUUUUUUUUUUUAGUAGAAAGCCAAAAAAGAAAACGGGUGGGAGGUUGGGGCGUCGUGAUGAAAUGGUUUUGAGUUUUUGACGGAAUGUUUGUUUUUGUGAUUCAUUUAGGGUUUGAAUUCAGGCUUGUACGAACUCGGAUCUAUUCGAGAUCCGUAUUGGCGCUGAAAUCAGAUCCUUUGAAGCCUUGGUUUGAAUUCAACCUUGAGAACUCCAAGCUUGUUAGAAUCUUCAUUGAUCUCUCCAGAAAUUACACGGAUCUUAUUACUAAACCCUACAUAUAGGGCUGCAAUGGAGUCCGAUUCUCUCACAAUUGAUGAAUCAAUAUUGAGACAGUUCGAAAAGGAAGUAAAAAAGAGAAUCAACUUGACUGGCUAAAUAAUUGCGGAGGCCAAAGAGUCUUUUGAUAAUCAAUUGAAGAUUUAGAAGUUAAAAGACACUAUUUUUACUAUGAACGAACAAUUGACUAAGGCGAAAAAGCAAGGAGCUUUUUUGAGUUUGAUUGCUGCGAAAUCGAUGCCUUAGAGUUUGCAUUGUUUGGCCAUGAGGUUGAUGAAAGAGCGAGUUGUUCAUCCGGAGAACUAUAAUGAAGAAGGGAAGCCCACACAUGCAGAAUUCGAGGAUCCCAAACUUUAUCAUAAUGCUAUUUUUUCUGGGUAAUAUGCUUGCAGCUUCGGUGGUGGUGAUUGGUGAAUUUAGCUGUUAAGAACUCGAAGGAGCCUUGGAAACAUGUGUUUCAUGUUGUGAUGGAUCAAAUGUUUAAAUUGAAGGAUUAUAAUGGAGCACAUUUAGGCACGAAGGCUGUUGAGGAUUAUAAGUUUUUGAAUUCUCACAUGUCCCUGUGUUAAGGCAGCCGGGGUUUGCUAAUUUGCAAAGGUUUUACUUCGGGAAGUAGCUUGAGAAUGCUACGAAAGAUGCUACUAACAUGAAGUUUAGGAAUCCCAAUUACUUGUUGAUACUGUAUCAUUUGAGGUUCUGGAUAAGAUUUCAAUGAUGGCCGCUUAAAACAAAUAAUAAAAAAAAAGAACUUGUACUGUAUUUGGAUCUUUACUUAUUUGAUAUAGUUUUCUGCAAUCUCUCCAUGCAACCGGUUACUUUAAUUAUCCACUAACUCAUCUCAACCGUUUGAUGGACUCACUUUAUAUCCAACGGCAGUUUUAAAUGAAGACAAAAAGUGUGGUAUGUUGCAAUUGUUGCAACAUAUGUGAGUCUUGUUUUACAAUCUAUUUAACAUAUUUUAUUAAAUUAAUAUAUUUCUAUGAUAUAGGAACAUAAUAUUAAAAUAAAUUUACAAAAAUUUAAAGAAUUUUGAAUGUAAAACAAUUUCAAUAUAUUAAUAAUGAGAUUUUUUUAUUAUUAUAAAAAUUAUUUAACCCAUAGAUUUUUUUAAAUCUUUACAAUAAGUAUAAAUAUAUUAUCUUCACUUAAAAAUAUUUAAAUAUUAUUAACCUAUAAUUAGGUUUGCAUUUAUUAGAAAAUUUUAAAGUCAAAUAUAUUGCACUUUUGCAUUAUUAGAAUCAUCACAGAGAAAGGAGCAUAUAUACUUUAUAACUUUAAAAAUUGGUUUCUUCUGGAAACAGAGAUGAUGAUUAUUAUAAGGAUGAAAAAAAAAAGAUAAAGAAUAUUAAUGAUUAACGAAAUCUCUAUGCAAAUUGAUUUUAGUAGGGAAAGAGUGAGAUGAAUAACUUCUUUUACAGCUAAAAACAGAGAUGAUGAUUAUUAUAAGGUUGAAAAAAAAAGAUAAAGAAUAUUAAUUAUUAAUGGAAUCUCUAUGCAAAUUGAUUUUAUAGGAAAAAAGCGAGCUAAAUGAUUUAGACAUUCAUAGUGUAUUUAUUUUUGAAUUGGUGAAUAAGAAUUAUUGACAACGCUAACUUCAUCUUCACCGUUGGCUAUCCAAUAGCGGCAAUUGUCGCCGAUUAUGAUAUCUCCAAUGAUGAUGACGGUUUUUUUAUUAUUAUUAUUGGUGACCCCUUGGAAAGUUAACUGCAACUGCCAAUCAGAGAAAAGUCGUCAUGCACAAUCCUCAAUCGAACCAAUCAUCUACGUUACAGAAUCUGAAACGUACACACUGUUAACAUAUAUGUUUCCAUAAUGUUGAUUUUGAUGAUAACAAACAAGAUUAAGAAUGAUUAAUCUUUUAAGCUCAAAUUAUUUUUAUGCAUUUUAAAUAAAUCAUUAUUUUUACAUUAUAAAGGUUCUAUAUUUAAUGGAAAAAUGAUUUUAUGAAAUUGAUUGUUUUUUAUUCUUUUUAAAUAAAUCAUUAUUUUCACAUUAUAAAUGUUUCAUAUUCAAUGGAAAAAUGAUUUUAUGAAAUUGGUUGUUUUUCAAAGUUUAUGGUUUAAUUGAAAGAAUUUUGAAAACUUUGAAAUAAACAAGUAUUGCUUGAAAUUUCAGAUUUGGACUUAUUUGAAACUAUUUAAAUGUUUUUAGGCUAUUCUAUAAUUUCACAAAGUUUGGGCGAAAUUAUAAUUUCAGAACGUUGUGGGAUUGACAAAGUAUUAUUCUAAAAUUCUGAAAUUGGACUUAUUUGUAAAUUUUCAUAACGUUUUGGGUUAUAGUAUAGUUUUAUAAAGUUUUGGGGUCAAAUUAUAAUUUCAGAAAAUAGUGCACUGUGCAGGUUACUGUGGCAUCCGGCUUACCGGAUAUAAAAAUCGGAAAACCGGAUACGGGGCAGAAUGUAUCCAGAAUGUAAACGGCUUACCGGAUUUCGUAACCAGCAAGCCGGAUAGGCAAAAUUCAAAUUUUUGCCUUAACGGUAACAUAAAUCCAGCUUAUCGGAUUCCAUAAAUGGCAAACCGGAUACGCCCAGAAUGUGAGUAACGGCUAGUUUUUGAGUUCAAACUAUAUAAACUCAAAACCAAUUCAUUUUUGGUAAUCCAAGCAAGAAAGAACAAGUGCACAUAACAUAUAUUGAGCUUCAAUUUCGUAACUCAUCAUUUAUUAAAUCAUCUUUGUUUUUCAAUUUGUAUAUCCACUCUUAAAGAGAGAUUCAUUGUUGUAUUUUUCAUUUCUCAUCAAAUUGUGAGUGUACAAGUGUGAGAAACACUUGGGGUGAAGAGAUUGGAGAGAUAAUCUCUUGUUGUAAAGGUUCAUUAACACAUUGAAGUCAAUUGUAAACGUUUGAAGCCUUGGAAAUGCUUGGAUAGUGAAAUCCUCAAGCCCGGUGUGCUUGGAAGCGUGGACGUAGGCGGAGAUUACCGAACCACGUAAAAAUCCUUGAGUUUGCUUUCUCUUCCCUUACUCUUUAAUUAUUGUGCUUUGAUUGAACUUAUUGCUUUCAAUUUUUAUUAAGACAUUAGAUUAAAUUGUUGUGUGGUUUGCCUAGGAUAAUUUUUAAAAUCUCAAUUCACCCCCCUCUUGAGUUGCCUAGUUAGUAUUUCACACACCCAAUGGGAAGCAGCACACGUGUUCUGAGGAGAGAGAGAAAAAACCGUGCAAAUGCAAGCAAUAGGUAUUGGCUACAGUUGGAUCUGUAAGUUACAGAAUCUGUAACUUAGCCAACUCCCUCAAUGAUCAAUAUUGUUUCCGAUAUUUAUAAAUUGGUGGCCCCUUGGAAAUUUAACUGGAAGUUUGCAAGUGUCAAUCAGAAAAAAAUCGUCAUCCAUUGUUUUUUUUUUUCUGCAUUCCCUUUCAUGUUCUUAAUAAUUGAGGACAGGUUGUUCAUAACAUUUAUACUUUUCAAAUGUGGAGCUGCAUUUAAUGUCGCUAUUUUAAUUUGGGAUUAAAUUAGGGGAACACUAACUUUUAUAUUUAUCUAAACUCCUUAAAUUUAAGACAGAUUAUGGCGUAAAUAAGAAUAUAAUAAUAACAAAGGAAUUAAAAAGUAUAAUGACGAUCUUGCAGAAAUAUAAAUAUUAGCGUUGAAUUAAAUAACAUAGAACACAUGAAUUGAAUAGUGAUUAUCAAGACGGUGUUACUUGCACUCCUAUUUAUAAAAAAUCUUGGUUCUGUUCCAUUAGAUUUUUUAUCUUCAAAAUCUUGCAAAGUUUUGACAACCCAAAGGCUCAGUUUGGUUGUUCUAUAUUUGUAUGAUAUGAAUUCAAAUUUUUGUGUUCUGUUUUUCUUAAUUCUGAACACGGAUUCUUCUCUUCUCGUGCAAACCAGAAAGAAAUGUUGUCUUACAAAAAAAAAAGGGGAAUAACUUCAUGAGAACAAAAAUUCAGAAAAAUAAUAUAAAGUUUAUAUUUAGACUUUUGUGGUAUAUUUUAAUUUUCAACAAUGAGUUAAAGAAAAUAAUAAAUAAAGUAAAUAAAAGUUUAGAGAUUCAAAUUUUUAGUAUUGGAUUCUUUAAUUCAAAUACCUCUCAUUAAUUAACACUUAAAAGAGAGUUCACUAUUAUAAUUUUAAGUUUUUUGAUUUAUUAUUGAUAUAUAAAUUAGGAGUUUAAGCUUACUUUUUUAUUUUUCCAUUUUUUUUCAAAUUUGAAAUUAUUAUUUAAAUUUAUAAUUUUUUUUAAAAAAAUAGAGGGCUUGAGCCUGGCUUGGGUAUUGUUUCCUAAACCCUUAUCCGGCCCUGGCUUUUUUGCCAGCCCCAAUGAUGAUGAUGAUGAUUAUUUUAUUAUUAUUAUUAAUGAUGAAAAGUAUUAUAAUUAAUUAAUAUAUUAUUGUAUUGUUAUUAAGAUUAACAAUAAUUAUUAAUGAUAACAAUUUUUUGAAUAAAAAUAAUCACAAUAAUUAAAAUAUAAAUUAAUAAUUAUAACAAUAGUUAAUUAAUGUAUUUUUAACAAUUUGUAAUAAUUUAACUCAUUCUAAUUUCGAUUAUUAUAGUUAAGUAAACAACUUAUUAUAAUUUUCAUUCUCCAUUUUAAUUUCAGCUCAUUUCGAUUUCAGUCUAUUCCAAUUUUCAUUUAAUAAACGUUCCAUUAAUGCUAUAGUAAUAUUUCAUAUAGAAAAAAAUAAAAGCUACAACUAAGGUUAAGGGAAAGGACUUCAAAACUCUCUUUUUGUCAUAAUACAUUUUUUCCUAAUUAACUUAAAGAGUUUGAAUCUAAUAUUUUAUAAUAAAUAAAAAUAUAUUCCAAAAGUAAAUAUAAUAUAUCUAUUUUAAACUAAUCUCAAUAUUUAAAAUAUAUUUAAUAUUUUACAAUCUAUUAGACAUAUUUUAUUAUAUUAAAAUAAAUUUUAUAAUAAAUAUGAACAUACUGUUAAAAUGAAUAUAUAAAAAACUUAGAGUAUUUUGAAUAUUAUAUAAAAUAAUUUUAGUAGAAUACGUGAGAUAUAUUUUAUUAAUGUAAAAUGCUAUUUAAUCUAAAGAUUCAUUUAUGAUAAAUUAAUAAUUAUAUUUUUAAAAUUAUUUUAAAAAUUAAAUUUUUUUAAUAUUAUUAAUCUAUUAGACAGAUAAAAUUAUUUAUAUUAUUUUGUAUUUAUUAAAAAAAUUUAAAGUCAAUUUUUUUAAUUACUAUUCAAAGGAUAUAAUAAUUAAAAAAAUCUUAGCGUUUUCAUUAAAAAUUUAAAAAUUUACAUGACUAUUUCUGUAAAUAUUUAAGGUAUAUAUGAACUACGGUAGAGAAGCUUCAUUUAAUAUUAUUGAUUUAAAUAAUAUCUCAAUUAAAAAUGUACAGAGAAUAUAUUUCGGUGGGUAUUUUAAUCUUUUUAGCAAUUAUCAUGGUUAGCCCUUGGCCUUGAAACGUCUGUCAGAAAGGUUUUCAAAUGCUUUAAUUGUUCUUAUUAAAAAAAAAAUCUUUAAUUGUUUUUUCACUUUUAACGUCAGCGGCCUUGAAAGUGCUUUUACUUUAUAACAAAUUAAUUAAUGCUGACGAGAAAAUAUCUCUUCCACAGCCCACAGCAGCUUCUGUUAAUCAAACUCAACCAAUUUUCUCUCUUAACAAAAUUCCAAAGAUGGGUAGCAUUUUUCAGAUCACAUGCGACGGCGCUUUUUUCAAUCGUUGCUUUGGAUUGCUUUCUUGGAAAAGCAGCAUACAUAAGCAACAUCCAAGAUAAUCUUGUAGCCUUGGAGACUGAACUGGGAAGACUAAUCGCAGCAAAGAACGAUGUGAUGAUGAGGGUUGUCAAUGCUGAACGACAACAAAUGAAAAGGCUGGGCCAAGUGGAAUGGUGCGUUUCGAGGGUGGAUGCUGUUAAAAUUGAAGCUGAUGAACUUAUCAGAGACGGCUCUCAAGAAAUUGACAAAUUAUGUGUUGGAGGCUACUGUUCUAAGAACUGCACGUCAAGCUACAAGUUCGGGAAACAAGUGGCUAAAAAGCUACGAGAUGUGGAGACUUUAAUCGCCGAAGGAGUUUUUGAGGCGGUGGCUACCGAGGUGGUGCCUGAGAGAGCUCCAGAGCCUGUAGCAGAUGAAAGACCUACCGAGCGAACAGUAGUAGGCUUGCAAUCACAACUUGAACAAGUCUGGAGAUGUCUUGCAGAAGAAUCAGUGGGAAUCAUUGGCCUAUAUGGUAUGGGCGGUGUUGGUAAAACUACAUUACUGACCCAUAUCAACAAUAAAUUUCUCGAGAGUCCAACCAACUUUGAUUGUGUGAUUUGGGUAGUAGUUUCAAAAGACCUGCGACUUGAAAAAAUUCAAGAAGAUAUUGGAAAAAAGAUAGGUUUGGUUGGUGAUUCGUGGAAGAGUAAAAGUGUAGAGGAGAAAGCUGUCGACAUCUUCCGGAGUUUAAGAGAGAAGAGAUUUGUAUUGUUGUUAGAUGAUAUAUGGGAGCGGGUUGAUUUAACAAAGGUGGGCGUUCCACUUCCCGGACCAAAAAAUACUACCUCAAAAGUUGUAUUCACAACCCGUUUCAUCGAUGUUUGUGGUAGCAUGGAAGCUGACAGGAAGUUCCAAGUGGCGUGCUUAUCAGAAAAGGAUGCUUGGGAACUGUUUCGAGAAAAAGUUGGGGAAGAAACUCUUCAGAGUCAUCAUGAUAUCGUUGAGCUAGCCCAAAUUGUGGCCAAAGAGUGUGGUGGUUUGCCACUCGCACUUAUUACUAUUGGUCGAGCUAUGGCCUGCAAAAGGACAGCCGAGGAGUGGAGACAAGCAGUUGAAGUGCUAAGAAGAUCAGCUUCUGAGUUUGCAGGUUUGGGAAAAGAGGUGUAUCCUCUUUUAAAGUUUAGCUAUGAUAGUUUGCAGAAUGAGACGAUUAGAUCUUGUUUCUUAUAUUGUUGUUUAUAUCCCGAAGAUUAUGGAAUUCUUAAAUGGGACUUGAUUGAUUGUUGGAUUGGUGAGGGAUUCUUAGAGGAAUCUGACAGGUUUAGUGCAGAAAACCAAGGAUACUACAUUGUGGGCACUCUUGUUCAAGCAUGUUUAUUAGAAGAGUUAGAAGAUGAUAAAGUAAAAAUGCAUGACGUUAUUCGUGAUAUGGCUCUAUGGAUAACCAUUGAAAUUGAGAAGCAGAAGAGAAACUUUUUGGUUCGUGCAGGUGCUGGAUUAAAAGAGGCACCGGCUGUUAAAGAAUGGGAAAAUGUGAGAAGAUUGUCAUUGAUGCAAAACCAAAUUAAAACUCUGUCAGAGGUUCCUUCAUGCCCUCAUCUCCAUACUCUAUUUCUUGCCUCUAAUGAUAAUUUGAGGAUGAUCACGGAUGGCUUCUUUCAAUUUAUGCCUUCUCUCAAAGUUUUGAAGAUGUCAAACUGUGUGGAUUGGCCAGUUUCGAAAUUACCUUUGGCGAUGUCAAAGUUGGGUUCACUACAACUUCUUGAUAUUUCACAUACCGGCAUAGAANNNNNNNNNNNNNNNNNNNNNNNNNNNNNNNNNNNNNNNNNNNNNNNNNNNNNNNNNNNNNNNNNNNNNNNNNNNNNNNNNNNNNNNNNNNNNNNNNNNNGAAGAGUUGAAGUUGUUGGUAAAUCUGAAAUGUUUGAAUUUGAGGUGGACAUUUGAGUUAAAUAAAAUUCCAUGGCAACUAAUAUCAAAAUUUUCAAGGUUACGUGUGUUGAGAAUGUUCGCUACUGGCUUUGCACGUUUUGAUGAAGCAUCAGAAGACAGCGUUUUAUUUGGUGGGGGUGAAGUUUUAGUACAGGAAUUGGUCGGUCUGAAAUAUUUAGAGGUAUUGGAGUUGACCUUGGGAUGUCAUCAUGCUCUCCAAAUUUUUUUGAGCUCAAAUAAGUUAAAAAGUUGUAUUCGAUCUCUUCUCCUCCAGUUGGCCGGAGAUACAACGUCGAUUAUUGAUGCUACGGCUUUCGCAGAUCUAAACCACCUCAAUGAAUUAUGCAUUGAUAGGGCUAAGGAGUUGGAAGAAUUGAAGAUUGAUUGUAAAGAAAUAGUACAAAAAAGGCGGGAACCUUUUGUUUUCCGCAGCCCUCACCGUGUUACUAUACAUAGCUGCCAGAAGUUGAAAGAUUUGACAUUCCUCGUUUUUGCUCCAAACCUCAAGUCUCUCGAUCUAGACCGUUGCGAUGCUAUGGAAGAAAUAAUCAGCGUCGGAAAAUUUGCUGAGACUCCUGAGAUGAUGGGACAUAUAAGCCCUUUUGAAAAUCUCCAAAUGCUUGAUUUAGAAGAUUUGC
rnacentral:lncRNA from 1 species